AGAAAUUAGGGUCUGUAUGUCAUAUAUUUGUGCGCGAAUAUAGAAGAUUGGGAAUUUGGGAUUGGAUUGAAGUAAAAAAGUCAAAAUGAAAUUACAAUAAGAGUACGGUAAAGGGAUAACGUUGGGACACCAGUACGGAUGUACACUUCAAGGAAGUAGGCCAUGCCAUGUCAUGCCACCUGGAACAAAAUAAGGGGUUCUACAGAUUCUCUUAUCGGAAUCAUUUGAGAUAUAGAAUGGAUGCAUAGAAGGGAAGGAGACUCCUCCUCCUCCUCUAAAACUAUUUUUUGUGUGUAGGUGAGAAGUUGGGAUUCCCCCAUCAAUUAAACAUGGCUGAGGAGAGGGAUCCAGUAGAGUUGGGCAUGGCACUCGGCGCAGAUUCGAACAUGAAAGAAGACGGCGUAACAGCUAAGAAGAGGGCAAAACGGUGGGCAAUCACCGCAGAAGCGAGCAUGGAAAGAGAGAAGGGGACGCUUGAUCAAGAUGAAGAUGAUUUGUGUGUAGGUGAGAGGUUGGGAUUCUCCGAUCAAUCAAACAGGUCUAAGGAGAGGGAUCUAGUAGAUCAGUUGGGCAUGGCACUCGGCGCAGAUUUAAACAUGAAAGAAGACAAGGAAACAAGUAAGAAGUGGAGGGCAGAUUCGACACUGAUCAGCUCAGAUUCGACAAUGGAAGAAAACCCUGUACCGCCUGAGGUGUGGGUGCCAGAAACCUCGCCAAUCUUCGCAGAUACUAAGAUGGAAAUAGACAUCAGCUCAUAUGUGACAAUGGAAGAAUACCGAGUACCGCCGUGGGUGCCAGAAGCCAGGGUAGUAGGCAUGCCAAUCUCCGCAGAUGCGAACAUGGAAAUAGACAGGGAAACGCAUCUUGUAAGAAAUAUAAGUGCUCGUUCCACACAGGGACUCCACGCCCCCGCUGAUGAAGAUGAAGAUGCGGAGCAUAAGAAAUUAAUGGACCGCCGCAUGCACGCGCAAGCGACCCCAGGAAAUGUUGAUGGCUUUAUUAAAANNNNNNNNNNNNNNNNNNNNNNNNNNNNNNNNNNNNNNNNNNNNNNNNNNNNNNNNNNNNNNNNNNNNNNNNNNNNNNNNNNNNNNNNNNNNNNNNNNNNCGAACAGGACCUUCAACACUCAGAAAUUCUCUGCCAAGUUAGUCCCCGGAAAAACACAUGCCUCCACAUAGCAGCAAGCUUUGGACACCAUGAUCUUGCCAAGUACAUAGUGAGAGAGUGUCCAGAUCUUAUAAAAAAUAAAAACUCCAAAGGCGACACGGCACUUCAUAUUGCUGCUAGAAAAAGGAAUUUAUCUUUCGUUAAGAUUGUCAUGGAUUCAUUCCCUUCUGGAAGUGGCGCAUCCCAAGAUGUAGAGAAGGCUGAGCCUUCAUUGCUGGGAAUUGUCAACAAAGAAGGAAAUACAGUGUUGCAUGAGGCACUGAUAAACCGUUGCAAACAAGAAGAGGUGGUGGAGAUCCUUAUUAAGGCAGAUCCCCAAGUGGCUUAUUAUCCGAAUAAGGAGGGAAAGUCACCAUUGUAUCUAGCUGCAGAAUCACACUACUUCCAUGUCGUAGAGGCUAUAGGAAACUCUGAAGUUGAGGAGCGCAUGAAGAACAGAGACCGCAAAGUCCAUGGUGCCAUUAUGGGAAAGAAUAAGGGUACUUCCCGCCUCCUUCUCUCUCUCUAUUAAAUUUUCUUCUUCCUCUUCAAACUUAAAAAGCAUUGUUUGCAAUGAUGUUGGGGCUUUAAAUAAUCUGUUGCUUCUAACCAUAGAAGAAGUCUACUGGGCUUUUCUCAGCUUUUGCUUCAAUAUUCCUUGUUCCUAAAAAUUCAAAUUUUUUUAUUAAUUUAUGGGAGAUCCAUAAUAUUUAUAAAUCUUCUUUCCCAACCCAAACCCCGUCGUUGUAAAUAUUCUUCAUCUUUGUUUUCAAAAUCCUAAUCCUAUUUUGUCAUCUUCUUAUUCUUCUUCAAAACUCCAGUCCUAAUUAAUUCUUUAUUUUCUUUUCUAAAUCACAAAAAUUUAAAUAAAAAUAAAAUAAAAAUUGCAGUUACAUAUGGCUUCGUUGUGUGCAUAUGGGAUGGUUUAAAUAGAGGGGGUAAAAAGGGCCGUAAGAGGGAAGAGCAAUUGUCUGUAUAGUUUGGGGUUGACUUCAAGUGAUCAUUUAAGAUUUGAUUCGAGCUUAAGGUUAGAGUUAGGAUUUUUCUUUUCCCUUUUUUUUCUUUAUGUUUUAUGUUUCUUAUAGAUGCGAUGAAGUAGAAUGUAUCCUACACAUUUGAAAUAAACACAAAUUAUAAAUAAUGUGAUGAUUUUCUAUUAUUCCCCAUUUAACUAUUACAAUAUUAUUAAGAGUAGGGGUGGAAAUGAGACAGGUUUGUACAGGUUCCACCCUAUCCCUCCCCUAAUGAGAUGAGUUUGAAAUUUAAAUAAACGGAAUUUGGAACGAGUUUGAGAUUUUUUUUAAAACUUAAACGGAGUCAAACCGGGUGGGACAUAAAUGAGGCCAUUUAAUUUUUUAUUUUUAAUGGGAUGGGAAUGAGAAAUAUUUUGAAUAAAUGAGACGGGGGUUGGGAUAAAAGUGAUCGUCCCGAACCCACCCCAUUUCAAUCCCUAAUUAAGAGGACGAUAAGGUAAAUAACAAAAUUUACAGAAAUUUUAAAAUCCAAGGAGGGAAGAAGCUUUUAAAAGGAUGGGCACCCCAUGUGGUACAACCUCGCACCAAAUUGAUACUGUUUUAUUGAAUUAUAGAUAAUAAAAUAACAAUUAAAAAAAAUUUCUUUUCUAUUUUUAUAUUAAUUUUUCCUUCCUUAUUUUAAUUAUCUAAUAAUUGAACCCUUUCCAAAAAAAAAAUAAAAGCAAUCUUAAUUUUAUUUUUUAUAUGUUCAUAUUUUUUUUAUGUAAUUUUAGUUAUUAAUGACUUGCACUCAUAUAAUAAUAUAUUUAUUAGAAAAAGGUUGUUUGAAACAUUCAUAUAAAAUUUUUCUUUUAUAUAUGAUGAAAAAAUGCCAGAGAUGUUGGAAAAAAUACUAGCCAUGAAGCUCGUCCACCAAAAAGACAAAGAUGGAAGGACUCCACUUCAUUGUGCAGCAUCCAUUGGAUAUCUCGAAGGAGUUCAAAUGCUGUUAGACCAAUCUAACUUGGAUCCAUAUCAAACGGACUCUGAUGGCUUCUGUCCCAUCCAUGUUGCAUCAAUGAGAGGCAAUGUGGACAUUGUCAAAAAGUUGCUCCAGGUCUCCUCUGACUCAAUAGAGUUACUAAGCAAACGCGGUGAGAACAUUCUUCAUGUGGCAGCCAAGUAUGGUAAAGACAAUGUAGUCAAUUUUGUGCUCAAAGAAGAAAGGCUUGAGAACUUUAUAAAUGAGAAGGACAAUGGUGGAAACACGCCACUGCAUUUGGCAACCAUGCAUAGACAUCCUAAGGUCGUAAGCUCUUUAACAUGGGAUAAAAGAGUUGAUGUAAAUCUUGUGAAUGAUAGAGGCCAGACUGCUUUGGACGUUGUAUUAUCAGUGAAGCAUCCAACUACAUUUGACCAGGUAUAUCUAUAUGAUGCAUGAUUCGCAUCUUGUUUUCUAAAUGAUGGGUACUACUAGUAGUUUCACCCUUCAACUGCAUGCCAUGAGUAGGAAAUUAGAAUGCCUCAUCCAUGCAUUGUUACAGUGCUAUGGCAUUUUCCUUCGUAGAUGCAUGCAUGCAAUUAUUCAAGCCUCUGACCCCUGAUUGAAGGUCAAUUUGAACCCAUGAUAUCCUAAAAGUCAAGAAAAUUAUGGAGUCUAACUCAAUCACCAUCACCCUCACCAAGAUUAGAGCGACUCAACCAAGGUUAGGCUAGGUUUCUCCAGCAAGUGCAUAUACUCUUGAUGUCGGCAAAGACUUAUGGGAAUAAGUUUUUUGCAUCAUACUAAAAAGUUUUCGAACUGCUAUAUCAUGGCUUGUGGUUGCUCUCUCGCUGCUUCACAUUGCUUAAUUUCAUACUUCUAGUGGGUGUUCAUUGAAUUUACAGGGAAAAGAGAAUGGCUUCCUAACAAAAUAUUACGAAACCCAACUCAUGGAAUUAUAGCCUACUUUUAGUUAUUAUUAGGACAUACAUUUUAUGUUCUUUCUUUCUCACGAUUACAUUAACAGCAACAUAUUUUUCUGUACCACGCAGGCACUAAUUUGGACAGCACUCAAAUCUGCUGGUGCACGACCAGCGGGAAAUUCAAAGUUCCCACCCAAUAGACGUCGUAAACAGUACUCUGAAUCACCUAAUACGGACAAGUACAAGGACAGGGUAAACACUCUUUUGUUGGUUUCGACCCUUGUUGCCACAGUGACAUUUGCUGCUGGUUUUACCAUGCCAGGUGGCUACAACAGCUCUGACCCAAAUGUCGGCAUGGCUGCCUUGCUGAUGAGAAAUAUGUUCCAUAUGUUCGUCAUCUGCAAUACCACUGCUAUGUAUACCUCCAUCCUCGCGGCAAUCAUCCUCAUCUGGGCACAGUUAGGUGAUCUCAAUGUGAUGGAUACUGCCCUGAGAUUUGCAUUGCCAUUCUUGGGGUUGGCCCUUACUGCGAUGUCCUUAGGCUUCAUGGCAGGUGUUUACCUGGUGGUCAGUAAUCUUCAUUGGCUUGCAAUUGUUGUCGUCAUUAUUGGAAUCAUCUGCCUUGUCGGUCUCCUAGUACCCUUUUUUUUACUUUUCCUCCCAAGUAAGUCUACUAAUCGUAUCCUUAGGCACAUCUCCUAUUAUCCGUUUCUUAUAUUGGUAUGGGCAUCUAAAAGCCCCGAAAUGAAACGGGAAGAUUAGCUCACCCUGUUGAUGAUGUCUGCUAGCUCCAUCUUCCCCUAUGUUUGUUGCUUCUUUCAGCAUUAUCUCAAUGACUUGGUAGACAAAGUAUGUCAUGUAUAAAUGCUUAGUGUGAUCAGAACUUCAAUAUAUUGAUGGUGUUGUACAUGACCAUUUCUUAUAUAAAUCUAUACUUUUUGGAUCUAUAAUUAGGUAUUUCUAUAUAUAUUUCAAUAAAUACUCCAUUCAUACAUAAAAAAUGUGAAUUUGUUUCAGUUUAAUUUAUUGAUUGAAAUUUGAAUUUUCAGUUGCAUUUUUAAAACUUUCUUAAUUAUUAUUCAUAUGAGAAUUUUGGGUAAAGUUUUAUUUUCAAAUCCAAGUUACAUCUUCUACGUUACUAUUCAUUGGGAAGGGGAAAAGGUUUUAAUUUUAGAAAAAAAAUUUAUUGGCUUUUGAGUUCCAAAGUACUUUUAAAAAUUAAGGAGUUCAAUAAUUUUUAAAAUAUAAUUUGAAAAUAAAAUAUGGAGGGAGUUAACACUAGAACCAAAAAUUGGUUGAAAAAGACCAUAUUAAUCUCUAGUCUAUGCACCAUUAUGUUUUUCAUUAUAUUUUAUUAUAUUAUUAAUAUUUAUAUUUAAUUCUUAUAAUCAUUUAAGUUAUCUAAAUAUAGAAAUAAAUGAAAAAAUAAACGAAAUCUUCGUUUCCACUCCUGCUCUCCCGUAGCAAACAGUCCCUAAUCUUAAUUAAUAACAUAACAUAAUUUAUAUAUUUGAUGGACGGUAAAAUCAACCAUUUGUUUGGUAACUCAUAUUAUAGCAAACCUUAAGAACCUAAAUUCCCAAAAAUUUUGAACCCAAUUUAAGAAUGCAUUUAUUGGUAAUUUUAAAAUGAGUUUCUAUCCUUUUAACAUUUUUAAUUUUUUUUUAAAAAAAUUCUUUUUAAAAAAUUAAAAAUGUUAAAAAUACUCCCUACAAUCACCUAUAAUGUUUGGUUCCCGGAAAGUACAAAGGAAAGAAAAAAAAUGCUAAAAAAAAUGAUUUUCUCAUGUUUGGUUGUCCUAUGAAAAAUAUCAAAGAAAAUCAAAUAUAAUUAAAACUAAUUAAAAACUUAUGUAUUUUUAAAUUAUUUAAUCUUUAUAUUGAUGAGUUAAAAUAAAUAAAAUGAGUUUGAAGUAACAAAAAAAAUAAUUUAUCAACUUUUAAUAUAUUUUUUUAUUUUCCUUCACUUUUUCUUUCCUUCUAGUUUUCCUUUGUAUUUUCUUUCCCUCGCAUUUUCCCUCAAAUUUUCCGGGAACCAAACAUAGCAUAUAUAAACUGUAAGGUGAGUCGUAUUGACUACGGAUUGGACGGACAUUAAGUUCAAAGCCGCACAAAGACUCAAACCCACGGAACUUCACAACUGAUUAAAAUAAUUUUAUAAAGCAAAAUGAUCAAACUCUGUAGUUUCUGGGAUUGGUGUUGAUGCUUCCAAAUAGGUUCCAAGAUGUUCCCAUUGAGUUUGGAAAAGAGAGAAGUGGAUUCCUUGAGCUUCUCAAACAUUUUCUUAGAAAAUGUCAAACGCUUGGUCUCAAAAUCUAACCCGUAUGAUUCAAACACACCCAUGAAGACUUUUCUUCAUAGGACGUCACAUUUCUAACUCCAGCAAACGAGUAAGAUAUUUGAGUUGCCGUGCUUCAUAUCCAUUCCGUGUCUGCUGGAAGUCCUAUGUGAUGUAAGUUGGACUAUCAUAUGAAUUUCUUUUGAGUAUCAAAUUUUUUAUUCACUCAUCUUCUGCAGAUCUUUUAUUAUUUGGGUCUUGUUUAGUGUUAUAUGACACAGGCAAGGUCUUUGCGUUGCAUAAUGCGUGCAAACUGUUUGAUGAAAAACCCAACAAAUUGUUUGGUGAAAAAACCAUGGUGAUAUUGAAUUUCAGACUCUUGAUAUCAUAUAGCUUCUCAGUAUUCUAUUGUAAUGAUUUUUAUGACUGCAUAAACUUUUGGAGGCUUUCAUAUGUAUGUAAUGAAUAGGUUCUUCUCUCACAUAUUGACUUGCCCCUUACUUCCAUCCCUAGCAAGAGAGUGCAGGUAUCUCAUGGCCGGCAGUGGACUAAUGAUAUAUGAACUCAUUUUAAAUUGGGUCUGACUAACUUGGCCACAGGGGUUGUUACCUUGAAAGGACUUGAGUGGGGUUCAUGUUUAAGUCUUUCUUUUUUAAUCUAGGUAUGUACUGUGUGUGCUCUCUUCUUGCUUUAGUUGAAUUCGAAGAAUAGUUGUUUCUUCCUAGUCUUGGUAAGUGGUUGGUUAAGGGUAUCAUAUUAAGAUUUUUAUUAUUUUUAUUUUCUGUUUUUGUCUUAGUGCCUUUUCAAGAUUUUGAAUUGUCAAAAAAGCUGGUAAUUUUGUAUAAACAAUCAUCAUAGUAUGAGAAUUAGUAUAUAUAAUUUGGUAUUGAUGUGCAUGUUCUCUUCCUCUGUAUGACCUAUCCUUUGCGAUGAAGUAUCGGACUGGUUUCUUUGUUGCCAUUAUUUCUUUUUUCUUUUAAACUUCUUAACCAACAUAAAUACAAGCACAACUAACGGAUUUGAUUAGGCAAGUCAACUACAAUAGGAGAUACCAUGAGACAAGACGAUUUAAUGAUGAAUUUUGAGAGGCUAAGAAAGCAGGGGAGGGGGGAAAGAAGGAAGACAGGGAAACAAAGGCAAAAACAACCCAAGAAGCAAGCCAUCUUGGCAAUCUCUGAGCAUAAGGAUGCCAAAUUGUUGGAGGACUAUGUGACAGCAAGUUCCAUGGAUCCUGAUUUGUACAGAGCUACAAUACAAGGAGACAUUCUUGAAUUCAUAAAAGCCGUGGAACAAGGACCAGACAAUAGACACGCUGGUGUACCUGCUGCAUCUUGUAUCCAAGUGACCCCUCAGAAGAACACAGUUCUUCACCUAGCAACGAUCUUUAAACAUGACGAGAUUGUAAAACUCAUUUGUAAGGACUUGCCCUUUCUUGUCAUGGAAAGAAAUUGCAGAGGUGACACUGCACUUCACAUUGCAGCCAGAGCUGGCAAUUCACUGCUAGUGAAUUUGUUGAUUAAUUCAACAGAGGGGGUUUUGGGUGUGAAGAAUGAGACGGGUAAUACCGCAUUGCAUGAGGCAUUGCAACAUCGUCAUGAAGAGGUGGCCUGGAAUAUAAUUAACAAAGACAGAAAUAUGUCUUGUUCUGUCAAUAAGGAAGGAAAAUCUUUGUUGUAUUUGGCCGCAGAAGCAGGAUAUGCAAAUCUUGUUAGGUUUAUAAUGGAAAAUCCUGCAGGAAACUACAGCAUUGAAGGAAAGCUCGAGAACAAACCAUCUGUGAAAGCUGCCAUUCUUGGGAAGAACAUAGGUAAAUGAAAUUCUCUCCUCUAAUCUCCCUUUUUUUCCCUUUAUUGGUAUGCUUGUCUUUCAAUUUCAGACUUCCAAGAGCCUGCACUUGGAUUGGAAAUUUUUAAGUGACUGCACUUUCACACUUAGUUUUUUCCUACAAAAAGCCCUGCAACUACUAUAAACCACCCAAUUCUCUGCACCUGUGAAUCAGAAAACUUUACCCAAACUAUAUUGCAUCCAAUUGUCACCAUUAAAAGGUAAUGAUAUCAUGGCACAUAAGAGCAUUCUCAUUUUUCUGGAAGUUGGAAGACCUCAAUUAUUUCUUGCUUAAUUAAUUGGUGAUAUUCCUGUGCUUCCAUGUUUGAAUCAGUGUGUCCAUUGUAAUCUCCUUCCAUGGAUUUCCUUAGGUGUGGCUGCCCAUCAAGAAGAGAUCAGGAAUAGUCCAGAAAUAUUACUGUCUUAUUCUAACUACAUGAGUAUCUAGCAGUAAAGAAAUAUAUCUGUAGUAGCUGAUUUUUUUAGAUGGGUCCUCUAGUUGCUGAUCGACCUUUUUUCUUUACAAGAAGGCUUCUAUUGUGACUUGCGAAGACAAUGAUAAAUUGACAAUAUUUCUAAUUAUCAUUUGGAUUUAGGAGCAUAUUUUACCAUAUAUUUUGUUCUCACACAUGGCAAGAUUUUCAUUUAAUGUGUUAUCAUCAGUCCUGUGAUCACCAAAAAAUUCCCUUACAUAUGGUUCACACUUCUUUGUUUGUUUGUUUUCAUUUUUUUGUUUUGGGAGAUGUUAGAUGUUAUCAAGAUAAUGUGGGAAAGAGAUCAAUCAUCCUUCAAUUUAAGAUGUGAAGAAGGGAGGAACCCUCUUCACUAUGCAGCAUCUAUUGGUUUUGUUGAAGGAAUCAAUUACUUAUUAGACAAAUUCUGUAUCGCUGCUUACCAAGGGGACAAAGAUGGCCUCUCUCCCUAUUCAUAUAGCAGCCAUCGAAUGUCAUUUCCACAUAAUUCAAGAGAUGCUUCAGCAUUGCCCAGAUUUGAUGGAGCUGCUCACUUGCAAAGGCCAAAAUAUCCUUCAUGUCGCAGCAAAGAGUGGAAGAGCUGAAGCAGUUAGUUAUAUGCUUAAAAAAAUGCCUGAGCUUGAGAAGCUUAUAGAUGAGAAAGAUGAGGAUGGAAACACACCUUUACAAUUAGCCACUAUUUUUGAGCAUCCAAAGGUCGUAAGAGCUCUAACAUCGAAUAAGAGAGUUAACCUAAAGGUAGAGAACAAUGGAAGGUUGACAGCACUUGACAUUGCUGAUGAGUACAUGGACACAAUGGUUUCUUUUCGCAAGGUGUGCUUUACAAACUAUUUGUUAGGGGCUAAUCAUCUCAUUUUACUUGUUUAUAUUUAUCAUAUUAUUUGAAAACAACAAACAUUGUUUUAAAGAAUAGAAACGUUUAAAUCAUUUUAUGCUGAUGGUAGUAUGGUACUUGACUUUCAAUGAGCAAUGGUUAACUUUUGGUGAGAUGUAUUUGCUGGUGUAUAACCUGAUAUUUUUAGUUUGAAUAUUCUGAGGGAUAAAAAAGAAAUAAUGAUAUUUAAAUAAGUAUUUUUUAUUUAACAAUAUUAAUAAUUUUAUUUAUGAAUUUAUAUUUAUCUUUUAUUUAAUUAGUAAAUAAAAUAUAUAAUAAGAUAAUUAAGAUUAACUUAUUUAUAGUAAUUCUAUUUUAAUUCAUUUAUAAUAUAAUAUAUAUUUAUAAUUUAUCAAUUAUGUCACAAAUUAGAUGCAUAACAUAAAUGAUGGAAUUAUAAUGUCUUGACAAGAACAAAAUAUAUUAAUGUAACAAGGACAAGGAAAUUUAAAAGAUAUAAGUUAUAAUAUAAAUUUUAUUUAAUAUAUAUAUUUUAAUUUUUUUAGAUAAAUAAAAAAAUUGAAAUUCCUUCUAUUGGUCACACUUUUCAUGUUUAAAAUCCCAAGUAAAUGUUUUAUAUAGCAAGAAAGGCUCCGCUAUGGCUGCUUUAUUAAGAGGAGAAGCUCCAACUAGUGGAAUCAAACAAUCCAACGCGCCGAAUUUCUCCAAACGCCCGCGCUCUCCAACUUUCCUCAUAUUCUAAUUCCCAACUCUCGAUGGCGCUUCUUCCACCUUCUCUUUCAAAUUCCUCCUUCUAAUCUCCACGAUUUUCCGCAGCAUCUAGGGUUUCCUCUACUCCAAAUUCUUCAUGAAGCGCGAUUUCACGGAAAUCUCCGACGACGAGUGGGACAACCACUCCUUCAAGCUCUCCCGAGCCCUCAAAAAGUCCCAAGGAGCACCUCCGCCCAUCGAGUCCUUCUCUUACCGGCCAGAGAAUCCCCAGGUUUCGCUGGAGGAUGUUUCCGAUGGGAGCACCGACGAUUGCGUCAAAAUUAAAGAGGACUUGGAGGAUGAUGAUGUUGGAGUGUUACAUCUCAUAUUGAAAGCAUGGAAUUAAAAAGGAAAGAAGAAAGACUUAAAAUAUAAAGCAAGUUAGAUGAGAAGAGUUGUUAUUUCUUGAUUCUUUACUCUGUUAUUGUGUCAUUGAUGUAUAUAAAUAGGACUCAAAUCUGAUGUAGUUUUUUCAAUUUUUCAAUUUUUGCAAUUCAUUUUCUUUUGCGUCCUCUGUUUCUUGGUGUUUUUCAUUAGUUUCAGAUUCUUCUGAUUCUCAACAUGGUAUCAGAGCCAAACCCUAAAGCUUUCGCAACCUAAAUCGAUCAAUUUCUUCUCAACUUUUGCCUUGCAAAAUUCUGCUCUGGAAUUCUCGCAUUGAUUGUCUUCCAGCUUCUUGCAUUUUCUUGAAUAAAUUCUUGAAAAUGAGUUCUGGUGAUUCUCCUCUUGUCAAUCCCUCUCCUAUGCAUCCUUCUUCAUCUAAUUCUUUUAAUCAGCCUCCUAUCAAUCCUUCAGAUGACUCAUCGAGUCCAUAUUACCUACAUCCAAGCGACAAUCCUGGUGCUUUGUUAGUAUCAGAAAUCUUCAAUGGAGAAAACUAUGUUGCAUGGAGUCGUUCGAUAGUCAUUGCAUUGACAGUCAAAAACAAGGUACAAUUUAUAGAUGGUUCAAUUGUUUCUCUCUCUACUGAUUAGCUUGUUAAACACACAGCAUGGUUAAGGGCAAAUAAUUUGGUUCUUUCUUGGUUUAUGAAUUCCAUUUCAAAAGAAAUACGAAAUAGCUUGCUGUUUGUGGUAUCUAUUGUUGAUAUUUGGAAUGAGCUUAAAGUCAUAUAUCUCAGGAGUGAUGGACCAAGGGUUUUCCAACUUGAGAAAUCUUUGAGUUGCAUCAGUCAAGGUGCUUUGUCUGUUACUAAAUAUUUCAGUACCUUUAAAACCCUUUGGGACGAGUACAUUAGCUAUAGGCCAUUUCCAACAUGCACUUGUGACAAGAUGGCAACAUGCACUUGUGGCAAGAUGGCAACAUGCACUUGUGAACUUUUCAACUUUCUACAAAUCAGACAGUAAUCUGAUUAUGUACUCAAAUUCUUGGUGGGGCUAAAUGAUUCUUAUGCCUCUAUCAGAAGCCAAUUGCUGCUAAUGGUUCCAUUACCAAACAUGUCCAAGGUUUUCUAUCUACUGCUUCAAGAAGCAAGUCAGAGGCAACUCACAAAUUCUACUACAUAUAAACUCAUGCUUUGAUGGCAAAGGAAUCCAAUCAGCAAAAUUACCAGCCACAAUCUUUCAAGGACAAACCAAAGAAAUCAGCCCUACACAAUACUCAUUGUGGCUAUAAUGGUCACACAGUGGACAAAUGUUUUCAACUUCAUGGUUAUCCCCCUAGCUGGAAUGGACCAAAGGGAAAAAGAAAUAUGGCUUCUGCUCAUGCUGCCAUUACUACUCCAGAGGUCCCCAAUUAAAAUAGCAAUGAGCAACAAAAGUUUUGUUUCACUCCAGAGGAAUUUCAUAAACUAAUGGCGCUUGUAAAUUCAGUUCAACCCAAUUCUUCCAAUCAAAAUAAUGUCCAACCAACUAUUAACCUUGUCACCACCUCUCACUUUUCUGGUAAAGUUCAACCUACUCUUAAACCAAUUUUUUUUUCUUGUAAUUCUGUUACUUCUAAGCCAAAUUCUACUUCAUAUUAGCUUCUUGAUUCGGGUGCAACAUACCAUAUGAUUUGUUCACCACUUUUAUACCAUUCUACACCUAGACCAAUUAAUGCAUCCAUCAAUCUUCCUAAUGGUACUACAGUUCCAGCCACACACAUUGGUACUGUAUGUCUCUCAAAUUCCUUAUUUUUACAUAAUUUCUUGUGUGUUCCUCAUUUUUCAUUCAAUCUAUUAUCUGUUUCCAAACUCACUAAACAAUCUAAUCUUUCUCUUACCUUUACUGCUUCUCAUUGCCUUUUACAAGACCAGUCAAUGGAGAAGAUGAUUGGGAUUGCUCUUGAAAAAGAUGGACUUUACCAUUUGAUUCUAGCUUCAUCACAAGCUAAAACCUGCAAUUCAUUUCAGUUUAAUUAUGCUCCUCUUGCUUUGUCCUCUAUUCACAAACACUUAGAUAUAUGGCAUUGUAGAUUAGGACAUGUAUCCAGUUCAAGAUUCCAUUCCCUCAAACAAAUUGACUCUGCUAUCACUCUUGAUCAUACAAAUGUUUGUGACAUAUGUCCUUCAGCAAAGCAAAGAAGGCUUCCUCUUUCUGUAUCACAGAGUAAUUCUAAUAAAAGUUUUGAUUUGAUCCAUUGUGAUAUAUUGGGUCCUUUUGGCACUACUUCUUAUUUUGGUUUUCGAUAUUUUUUAACUAUAGUAGAUGACUUCACAAGGUGUACUUGGGUAUACAUGAUUAAAGCUAAAUCAGAAGUGCCAUCUUUAAUCAAAACUUUCUAUAAAAUGGUAGCAAACCAAUUUUCUUCUUUUUUCAAAGCUAUAAGGUCUGAUAAUGGACUAGAAUUCUUACUCACAAAAUUCUAUCAUAAAUAUGGUAUUUUGCAUCAGAGAAGUUGUGUCGAAACUCCUCAACAAAAUGGUGUUGUGGAGAGAAAAUAUCAACAUCUACUAAGUACUGCUAGAGCCUUAAUGUUUCAAGCAAAUCUACCAUUAAUUUUUUGGAGUGACUGUGUGUUUACUGCUGCCCACAUAAUCAAUAGAAUUCCCACUCCUCUACUUCAAAAUAAAACCCCUUUUGAAAUGCUUUUUAACAAAACACCUAACCUUUCUCAUUUAAGAGUUUUUGGCUGCCUUUGUUUUGCAUCCACUUUAACUAGUCACAGACAAAAAUUUGAUUCACGAGCCACAAAGUGCAUCUUCCUAGGAUAUCCUUCUGAUAUUAAGGGUUAUAAACUCAUGGAUCUAAACACUAAUAAGAUCCUUGUUUCUCGGAAUGUCAUAUUCCAUGAAACAAUUUUUCAUUUCCAAGUGUUGCCCCAACAUCCUGAAACUCAUUCCUUUAUGUUUCCUCUUUCAUAAUCCUUUUCAGAUUCACCUUCUACUAUCUCCUUCUUCAAUUCCUAUCACAAUGUGGGAUCUGCACCACCACCUAAUAAUUCUCCUUUUUUCUCUGAACCUCCUACCCUUCUUGAAUCCAACUCACCUACAUUUCCUUCUCCAUCCCAUCUGGAUUCAACUUCUGAUUCAACUGACCUUGAAGUCCUAUAGCUUAGAAAAUCAACCAGAACUAAACGAAAACGUUCAUAUCUGCAGGACUAUUAUUAUGGUAAUGUCUCUUCUUCUCAAAAUGCAACUCAGGCAUCUACUUCAACUGACUGUUCUCCCACUAAAGGUAAUUUCUAUUCUCUUCACCUUUUUCUUUCUACUAGUAGACUGUCUACAUCCCAUAAAGCUUUUCUCACCUCUAUCACAAACUCUCCAGAACCCAAAUCAUACACCCAAGCUUCUCGCCUCCUUGAAUGGCAAGUUGCCAUGCAACAUGAACUUACUACUUUGGAUUUAAAUAAAACUUGGGACCUUGUUACUCUUCCUAAAAAUAAAAGGACUAUCGGUUUUAAAUAGGUAUUCAAAGUGAAAUAUAAAGCUGAUGGAACUAUAGAAAGACAUAAAGCUAGAUUCGUGGCAAAAGGGUAUACUCAGCAAGAAGACCUCAAUUUCUUUGAUAAUUUCUCUCCUGUGGCCAAGAUUACACCCAUUCGCUUACUACUUGCUGUGGCUGCCGUCAAACAAUGGCAUCUUCAUCAACUAGAUGUCAAUAAUGCAUUUUUGCAUGGUGAUUUACAUGAAGAGGUAUACAUGGAAUUGCCUCCUAGGUUGGCUGUCCAAGGUGAACAGAAAGUUUGUCGUCUUUUAAAGAGCCUCUAUGGCUUGAAGCAAGCUUCCAGGCAAUGGUAUGCCAAACUAUCUCAGACUCUUCUUUCCUAUGGAUUUGUUCAAGGUAAUUCUAACUGUUCUCUGUUCAUUAAGAAAUUUGAAAGUUCUUUUAUGGCCUUAUUAGUCUAUGUGGAUGAUGUGCUAUUGGCAAGUGAUAGCAUUCUGGAAAUUGAAAAGUUGAAGACCUUUUUAGAUGCCAAGUUCACUAUUAAAGACUUAGGCCCAUUGAAAUACUUUCUUGGCUUGGAAGUUGCAAGGUCCAAGACUGGUAUCUCUUUAUGCCAAUGAAAGUAUAUACUUGACAUACUUGAAGACACUGGUUUAACUAGAUCCAAACCUGUUGUCUUCCCUAUGGAAUCUACCCUCAAGUUAUCAGCAAAUGAUACCAAUUUUUAUGAAGAUCCAUCAGGUUAUCGAAGACUCAUUGGCAGAUUACUUUACUUAACUCUUACUAGGCCUGACUUAGCCUAUUUUGUACAAGUACUCAGCCAAUUUUUAGCAAAACCUGCUGUCAGUCACCAUCAAGCAGCCAUUCGAGUACUGAGGUAUCUAAAGGCCAGACCAGGGCAAGGUCUUUUUUUUCCUUCUUCCUCAGAGUUUCAAUUAAAGGGUUUUUUUGAUAGUGAUUGGGUAGGAUGUGUCGAUACUAGAAGGAGUGUCACUGGUUUUGCAAUUUUUCUUGGCAACUCAUUGAUUUCAUGGAAAUCAAAUAAACAAGUUACAGUUAGUUGAUCCUCUGCAGAGGUAGACCGAGCCCUUGCAACUACCACCUGUGAAAUUCAAUGGCUUUUGUAUGCCUUACAAGACUUGGAUAUCAAACAUUCAUAGUCAGCUUUGCUAUAUAUUGAUAGUAAAUCAACAAUGUCCAUCACCACAAAUCUAGUUCAGCAUGAGAGAACAAAGCAUAUCCAAAUUGAUUGCCAUCUUAUUCGCGAAAAAUUACAGCAGCAUGUUAUUAAGCUCUUCCAUAUUCCAUCGUGAUUACAGCUCGCAGAUAUCUUUACAAAGCCUCUCGAUUCUCUACCUUUUCAUCAUACUCUUCGCAAGAUGAACAUCAUUAACAUCCAUGUUCAUCUUGAGGGGGGGUGUUGGAGUGUUACAUCUCAUAUUGAAAGCAUGAAAUUAAAAAGGAAAGAAGAAAGACUUAUAAUAGAAAGCAAGUUAGAUGAGAAGAGUUAGUCAGAAGAGUUGUUAUUUCAAUUUAUUCUUUACUCUGUUAUUGUGUCAUUGAUGUAUUAUAAAUAGGACUCAAGUCUGAUGUAGUUUUUUCAAUUUUUCAGUUUCUGCAAUUCAUUUUCUUUUGCAUCCUUUAUUUCUUGGUGUUUUUCAUUAAUUUCAGAUUCUUCUGAUUCUCAACAAAGGACGUACCAUGCAAAUCGAUCAAGGCAAAAAGAGUAUAUAAUUUUGGCAUUCCAUACAAAAUUGGAAAAGGGCUUAAAUGGCAAAAGUCAAAUAGUGAAGAAAAUGAAGCUAAGAAUAAAGGUAAUUGAAAGUUAAAGCCAACAAGGUGAGCACAAUCCAUGGAGUAUUGAAGAAAAUGAAGGUAAGAAUAAAGGUAAACGAAAGUUAAAGCCAACAAGGUAAGCACAAUCCAUGGAGUUUUGAAGAAAAUGAAGUUAAGAAUAAAGGUAAUUGAAAAUCAAAUCAUAACAUCUUUUAUUGACUUAGAGAUUUACUUGACCAAAGCAAAAGCCAUUAGAUACUUGUCUUGUAAUGCAAUCUUGCUCUUUGUUCAAUUCACAGCCUUAAAUGAUUCACUGUCAUCCAAUUGAUGGAAAUGGUGAUCUUAAUCAGUUUUUUUUUUUUUUUUUUUAAAUAAGACUGAACUUUAAAUUUUGUUUGAAUUUUAAAAUUUUGAAAAAUUAAAAAUUUAGAAAUUUAAAAAUAAAAAAUGUAAAAUCAGAAAGAAUUGAAAGUAUAUCAUAUAUUUGUGCGUCGGUAUAGAAGAUUGGGAAUUUGGGAUUGGAUUAAAGUAGAAAAUUCAAAAUGAAAUUACAAUAAGAAUACGGUAAAGGGAUAACGUUGGGACACUACUACUGAUGUACUCUUCCAAGGCUGGAUGUAAAAGUAGGGCGUGCCAUGUCAUGCCACCUGGAACAAAAUAGGGGUUCUAUAGAUUCUCUCACCGGAAUCAUUUGAAAUAUAGGAGGGAUGCAUGGAAGGAAAGGAGAGUCCUCCUCCUCUAAAGCUUGUGUAAACUUGUGUUUGUGUGUAGGUGAGAGAUUGGGAUUUUCCGAUCAAUAAGGAACUCGGCGCAGAUUCGAACAUGGCAGACAUGGAAGGGCAAAUGCUAGCACGCAUGUCAAUCUCCGCAGAUGUGGAAAUGGCUAGAAAAAAUCAGACGAUCAAUCAAACAAACAGAAGUGCUCCUUCCACACAUGGACUCCACGCCCCUGCUCAGGAGACGCUAGAAAACUUUAUACACCUCGCAUUCUUAGUAUAUAGGAAAACUGAAGAAAACGAGAAGAUGCUUCAUCAAGGAAGUGGAAGUGCUCCUCCCACACAAGGAGUCGACGCUCCCGCUGAUGAAGAUGAAGAUGUGGAGGAGGGAUUAAUGGACAGCCGAGUGUACAUGCAGGCGACCCAAGGACAUGUUGGUGACUUUAUUCGAAUUUUACACUCGGUAUCCUCCGAAAAGGAACUUCAAUCAAUAAUCCUCUGCCAAGUUAGUCACCGGAACAAUACAUGCCUCCACAUAGCAGUAAGCUUUGGACACCAUGAGGUUGCCAAGCACAUCGUGGGACUGUGUCCAGACCUUAUCAAAAAGACAAACUCCAAAGGCGACACUGCACUUCAUAUUGCUGCUAGAAAAAAAGAUUUAUCUUUCGUUAAGUUUGCCAUGGAUUCAUGUCCUUCUGGAAGUGGCGCAUCCCGAGAUGUAGAGCAGGCUGAGCAUUCAUUGCUGAGAAUUGUUAACAAAGAAGGAAAUACAGUGUUGCACGAGGCACUGAUAAACCGUUGCAAACAAGAAGAGGUGGUGGAGAUCCUUAUUAAGGCAGAUCCCCAAGUGGCUUAUUAUCCGAAUAAGGAGGGAAAGUCGCCAUUGUAUCUAGCUGCAGAAGCACACUACUUCCAUGUCGUCGAGGCUAUAGUAAAAUUUAAAGUUGAGGAGCACAUGAACAUUAACAGAGACCGCGAAGCCAAGCCGGCAGUCCAUGGUGCCAUUCUGGGAAAGAAUAAAGGUAUGACCUGCCCCUUUCUCAAUCUCCAUUUAAUUCUCCUGCUCUUCUUCUUCUUCUUCUUCAAACUUAAAAAACACCAUUACAAUGAUCUAGAGAAGGAAAUGAUUCAAGCUCGCCACUUCAUGGCACUUUAAUAAUCUGUUGUUUAAUUACUAACCUCAUCUUUUCCUAUUAGACAAUAAAGGGAAAAAAAAAAACAAGAAGCUACCCACUGACUCAGCUCUACGGUAUCAAUCCGAGGUGGCACAGAAUUGUACACUGUCAUGUGCUAAAAAAAUUUCUCAAAAUUUUAUAUUGCUUGAAUAUUUAAAUAUAUAUAUAUAUAUAUAUAUAUCAGAUGAGUGCAAGUGAUAUAUUAAUAAUAUUAAUUACAUAAAAAUAAAAAAUUAAAGGAUGGGCAUCACAUGUGGUACAACCCCAUGCUUUUAAAAGCCUCCAAUUAUAAAUUCCCUCUUUGGAUUUUAAAAAGGGAGAAUUGUCUUUUGGGCCCAGCUGCGCCCAAAAAUUAACAUUUGGUCCAUAUAACUUUCAUAAUUGAUGGAAAGGAUAUGAAAUGUUAAAAGACCAAGAUAUCCUUCAAAUUUCUAUACAUUACCUUUUAAGGACAUAAAAUAGUGGUGGACUAAAAUACCCAAUGACCUUUCACAUAAACUUUUUUUUUUGUCUUUAUUACACCAUUAUUCAUGCAACCAUAAUAAUUCUAUUUUAACAAUUUGGAUUUUUCAUUAUUUUAAUUUUUUUUAUAAAUAAUUGAAUAUCAACAUUAUUUUCUAUUUUAAAUUAUAAAUAAAGAAAAAUUAUGUUCGGAAGCUAUUUUAAAAAAUACUUUCUAAAAAAUAGUAAUAUGAUUUAUAUUUUUUAUAUUUUCUUUUUGAAAAAACAUUUAUUUAAAAAAUGAAAACUAUUUUAAAAAAUAAAAAUUGAAAACCUUGUUUAGUACUAUUUUUUAUAUGAAAAUAAUAAAAAGAACUAAAUUUCAUUCAUUGAUUAUCCAUUUUUAUUUUUUUUCAUUAGUUAUUUUAAUAAAAAAAAAUAUAGUAUGUUUACAAUUAAACAAAGAAAUUGAUCAAUUAUGUGUUUUUUGUGGGACUAUCUUUUACAUGAAAAAUAAUUAAAUAACUAAAUUAUAUAUAUUUAUUACUCUUUUUAAUUUUAUUUUCUUUAUUUAUUUUUAAUCGAAAAUUUUAAUAUAUCCAUAAUUAACAAAGUAAUAAAUCAAUUGUGCACAUUUUAAUCAAUUAAAAUAAAUUAAUUUCUAAUUUAAUAAAUAAAAUGAAAUAAGUAAAUAAAUUUGGGGUUAUUUCUAUUUUUUAAUAUAUCUUAUAUCAAUAUUUUUUAUGAUUAAAUAAAAUUUUUAUUUUUUAUUUCUUUAAUUCCAAAAAUAAAAUGAAAUAAAUAAAUAAAUUUAGAAUUUUCCAACUGAUCUUAUAUUCAUAUUUCUUAUGGUUAAAUAAAUUUUUUAUUCUUUUUUCUUUAUUUCCAAAAAUAAAAGGAAAUAAAUAAAUAAAUUUGGCUUAAAUAAUAGUUUUUAAGUAAUUUCUUUGUCUUAUUUUUAAUUACAUUUUGCAUUGAAAAUAAAAUAAAAUAACGUUUUUUUUUAGUCAUUGUACAAGGUAUUUACACUAAGUGUACAUGACAAAUAUACUAACUAUACAAGGGUGUACAAGACUAUUAUUUGUGAAGGAUUUUAAGUGAUUCUAAAAAACUUGUUUGUUUAUUUCCCUUAACCAAUGAUAAAUGACAUUCCUUACACACAUUGGUUAAGCAUACAUUCAUCUCAUGUAUUUUAUCUAACUUGUAUAUGGUCAUUUUAAUAGGUACCUCACUUAUGAUGAUUGUAAAACAAAAUUAUAUAACAAUUUUUUUUCCUUUUUAAAACCAAACCGAUGCAAACAUGGUUAACCGACCUAUUGUUAGAUAUUCAUAAAAUGAUGUAUGAAAUUUGAGUUAUUGUACAAGGGUAUUACACUAACUGUACAAGACAAACUUAUUAAUUGUACAAGGGUGUACAAUACUACUUUUUGUUAAGGAUUUAAAGUGAUUUCGAAAAACUUUCCCAUUUUUUUCCACUCAAAUAUUUUUUCCCCACUCAAAUUCUCUCACUCAAGAAUUGUUUCGAAUUUUAUUUUUAAAUUUCAUCAUCAAAUUUUUGUAAUUGCAUAUUUUGUUUUUGUAGUUUUAGCAAUGUUCUUUCUUUCCACUAUUUUUUUUUUUUUUUUGUGAAAUUUUAUCCACAUGAAUCUAUAUUUAAAAUUAUAAUCAUAUUUAUCAAAUUUUUUUACUAAGAUUAUCUUUAAUUUUUUUUAAUAUAUUUAUACUCAUUUUUUUUAAAAAUGAAAAACUAAUUUUUUUUGUAAACAUGUUCUAUUACCUUUCAAGUAAAAAAUUAGAUAAAUUUCAAAGUCAAUAAAUAAAAAAAUUAAAUACCACUUUCAAUAAUUUUUAGAUAAAAUUUUAUAUAAUAUAUUUUAUUUGAAACUUAAUUUUUAAAGUUUAACUAAAAAAUUGUAUUGACAAUUUUCUUGUUGUGGGUCAAAAUACUUUGCAUUAGUCUAUCUAGAUAAGAAAAAUUAUUAAUAUAAUAUUAGAACUUCAUAUCUUAGUUAUUUUUUUUCAACCAAUUUAUCUUUUUAAAAAUUUUAAAAUAAAAACAUUAAAAAUUAAAAAGCUAAAAAGAUAUAUAUAUAUAUAUAAUAAAGUGAAGUGAUAGUUAAUUUUAAAAUUUUUUAAAAUAUGGUUAAUGUAGAAAAUAUAAAAAAUAAGAGAAAAAUAUAGAUGAAAGGGUAAUAUAAAUUUAAAAUAAAAAAUGAAAAUUAAACUAAAAGAUAAAUACAUAAAGAUAAAAAAUAUUUGGAUGAAAAAUCCCAAAAUUUUUAUCAUUGCUUUUAAUAAGAGCAAAAAGAUUCAAUAUCUUUAAAAAUGAAAAAUAAAAAAAUAUUAUUGUUUUUUAUUUGACAUAAAAUAGAAAUAUAUAUUGGAAUAAAAAGGAAAAAAAAAGUUAGAAAUGAGUAAUAUUUAAUAGGGAAUAGAAAAGGAAAAAAAAACACAAAAAAAAUUAAAAUUCACACUCAGGCAUAUAAGGGAUAAGGGUAUUCUAGGAAUUAAUGAAAGACAAUAUCCUUCAUCUUAAUUUUCAUACUUUGUUUGGGUCUUGGGCUUAAAUAUGGGUGGUUGAAGGACCAAAUGUUAAUUUUUGGGCCCACCUGGGCCCAAAACACAAUUCUCCCUUUUAAAAAUUCUAUAAAUUUUGUUAAUUUAUUAUUGCCCUUAUCAUUCUCUUAAUAAUAUUGCAGCAGUUAAAUUGAUGAAUAAUAGAAAAUCAUGACAUAAUUAAUAAUUUUUUAAAGAAGAAGAAGAAGGAGCCCUAACUAUAUCCUAAAGCUCAAAAUAAAAUCUUAAAACUGAUUCUCAUAAUUGAAAAAAAAAAUUAUUAAGGAAAAUGAUUUUCUAAUAUGUUGUUUUAUCAUAAAAAAUAUGAAAGAAAAUGAAAUAUAAUUAAAAUUAAUAAGAAAUUUAUAUAAUUUAAAAUUAUUUAAUUUUUAUAUAGAAUAAUUAAAUAAGUGAAAUAAAUUUAAAGUAAUAUAUAAAAAUGACUUAUUGAUUUAAACUAUCCAAACAAUUCUUCUUUCUUUGCUCUUUUUCUUAUGGCCCUUUUUGCCCCCCUCUAUUUAAACCAGCCAAUAUGCAGACAACAAAGCCACAACAGCAAAUUUUCUUUAGUUAAUUUUAAAAUUUUGUGAUUUAGAAAAGAAAAUUAAGAAUUAGGAGUGGGGUUUUGAAGAAGAAUAAGAAGAUGACAAACUAGGAUUAGGAUUUUGAAAACAAAGAUGAAGAAUAUUUACAGGGACGGAUUUGGGCCGGGAAGAGGAGUUAUAAACAUUAUUGAUCUCCCAUAAAUUAAUAAAAAUUUUAAGUUUUUAGGAACAGGGAAUAUUGAAGCAAAAGCUGAAAAAAAAAAAAAAAAAGCCAAUAGACUUUUUCUAUAAUUAGUUCAACAGAAAAACAUAAAUGUGUUCUCAUUUUAAUUUCUUUUAUAUAUGAUGAAAAAAUGCCAGAGAUGUUGGGAAAAAUACUAGCCCUGAAGAUCGUCCACCAAAGAGAUGAACAUGGAAGGACUCCACUUCAUUAUGCGGCAUCGAUUGGAUAUCUUGAAGGAGUUCAAACGCUGUUAGCUAGAGACCAAUCUAACUUUGAUCGAUAUCAUAGGGACGACGAAGGCUUCUUACCCAUCCAUGUUGCAUCAAUGAGAGGCUAUGUAGACAUCGUCAAAGAGUUGCUCCAGGUCUCCUCUGACUCAAUAGAAUUGCUUAGCAAACACGGUGAGAACAUUCUUCAUGUGGCAGCCAAGUAUGGUAAAGAUAAUGUAGUCGAUUUUGUGCUGAAAAAAAAAGGGGUUGAGAACCUUAUAAAUGAGAAGGACAAAGGUGGAAACACGCCACUGCAUUUGGCUACCAGGCAUGCACAUCCUAAGGUCGUAAACUAUUUAACAUGGGAUGAAAGAGUUGAUGUGAAUCUUGCGAAUAAUGAACAGUGGAGCAUCCAACUUCAUUUCACCAGGUAUAUAUGACGAUUUUCAUCUUGUUUUCUGAAUUAAGGGUACUACUAUUGGUUUCACCUUGAACUGCAUGCAUUGUUAAUGCUAUGGCAUUUUCCUUCUUAGAUGCAUGCAUGUGAAUUGUUAAAAGGAUCAAUCAGGACAACAUAGUUUGUAUUUCUUUCCUAGAAGGACCGACUGAUAUUAAUAAGACCUAGUUCAACUAAAAGAAGAUCAAUUUGAUCCCAUGAUAUCCUAAAAGUCAAGAAAAUUAUGGAGCCUAACUCAAUCACCAUCACCCUCGCCCAGAUUAGAGCGACUCAACCAAAGUUAGGCUAGGUUUCUCCAGCAACUGCAUAUACUCUUGAUGUCGGCAAAGACUCAUGGGAAUAAUUUUUUGCAUCAUACUAAAAAGUUUUCAGUGUAGAGAACUGCUAUAUCAUGUGCACUUGUGGUUGUUCUGUUGCUGCUUCACGUUGCUUAAUUUCGUACUUCUUGUGGGUGUUCAUUGAAUUUACAGGGAAAAGAGAAUGGCUUCCCAACAAAAUAUUUCGAAACCCAACUCAUGGAAUUAUAGUCUACUUAUACUUUCUAUAGUUAUUAUUACGACGCAUACAUUUGAUUUUCUUUCUUUCUCACGAUUACAUUAACAGAAACAUUUUUAUCUCUACCACGCAGACACUAAUUUGGACAGCACUCAAGUCUACUGGUGCACGACCAGCCGGAAAUUCAAAGGUCCCACCAAAACCGCCUAAAUCACCUAAUACGGACCAGUACAAGGACAGGGUAAACACUCUCUUGUUGGUUUCGACCCUUGUUGCCACCGUGACAUUUGCUGCUGGUUUUACCAUGCCAGGAGGCUACAACAGCUCUGAUCCAAGUGCCGGCAUGGCUAUCUUUCUAAUGAGAAAUUUGUUCCAUAUGUUCGUUAUCUGCAAUACCAUUGCUAUGUAUACCUCCAUCCUCGCGGCAAUCAUCUUCAUCUGGGCACAGUUAGGUGAUCUCAAUUUGAUGGAUACUGCCUUCAGAUUUGCAUUGCCAUUAUUGGGGCUGGCCCUUUAUGCAAUGUCCUUCGGCUUCAUGGCAGGUGUUUCCUUGGUGGUCAGUAAUCUUCAUUGGCUUGCAAUUGUUGUCUUCAUUAUUGGAAUCAUCUGCCUUUUCAGUCUCUCAGUACCCUUUCUUUUACUCUUCCUCCCAACUAAGUCUACUAAUCGUAUCCUUAGGCACAUCUCCUAUUAUCCGUUCCUUAUACUGGUAUGGGCAUCUGAAAGCCCCGAAAUCAAACAGGAAGAUUAGCUUGCCCUGUUGAUGAUGUAUGCUAGCUCCAUCUUCUCCUAUUUUUGUUGCUUCUUUCAGCAUUAUCUCAAUGACUUGGUAGACAAAGCAUGUUAUGAAUAAAUGCUUAGUGUGAUCAGAACUUCAAUAUAUUGGUGGUGUUGUACAUGGUCAUUUGUCAUAUAAAUCUGUAGUCUCUGGAGCUGUAAUAUGUGAAAUACUCUAUAUAUAUUUCAAUAAAUACUCCAUUCAUCCAUACCGAUCAAUGCAUAUUUGUCUUUGCUUUUUUAGAAAAGAAAAAAAGAAAAAAUAAAUCUUGGAAAUCCCAAAAUGAUUAAUUUGAGAAAUAUCAUUAUUUAACAAAUAAAAAACACAUAUGAAUAUAUGAACCCCAGUACAUCAUUUUCUUUGAAGUACCCUGUUGCGGUAGGGAAAAUUGAAAAGUUGUCCAAGUCAUAGUGUAUGAAGUGCUUUCCAAAGGAAUUUGAUGAGAGAAAAAGGUUAUCAAAUGAUGAUGCCUUAGUGACAAACUUCUAAACUCAUAUAUAAAAUAUAACAUUAGACUAUGUUUGAUUAUGAAGAGUUUGAAGGGAAAUGCAAAAAAAUUAAAUUAAAUUAAAUUAAAAAAAUAAAAAAUAAAAUAAAAGGAAAGAAAAAAUAAAUUUAAAAUGAAUAAAUUAUUUUUAUAUAUUACUUCAAACUUUUUUCACUUAUUUAACUUUCUAUAUAAAAAUAAAAUAAUUUAAAAACUCAAGAUUACUAAAAAAUCAUCUUGGGAUAGCAAAAAGUUUAUGAUCUUGUUUCUAUGUGGAACAAGUGAUAAUUGAGGACCAUCUAUUCAAUCCCUCUAAUUAGUUACAAUUAUCUUAUUUAAUUUAUGAUUUAUGUAUUUCAUAGAUAAGUUGACAAUUUUAUUCCAUACAUUUUAAACUAAAACUCUAUAUAUUUUCUUGUAACCAACCGAAGUCUAGGGAUGGCAAUAGGGUGGAUUUUUUUAGGUACCUACCCCGCCCCACCCUGCCCCUAAUGGGAUAGAUUUGAAUUUUAACUAAAUGGGUUUAGGACGGAUUUGAUAAUUUUUUUUAAAAGUCAGGGCGUGUUUGGGUACUGUCUUGUCCUGCCCCGAUUAUAUAUAAACUUAAUUUUUAAAAUUAAAUUAAUUUCAUUUUUAUUUUAUCAUUUUAAUAUAUAGAUAAUAAUGAAAUAUUUUUUAAUAAAAUAAGUUAUAAAAAAAUAUAAUAAUUUAAUUAUUUAUAAAAAUAUAUUUAUUUUAAUGUAAUUAAAAAAUUUAAAAAUAAUUUUGGACGGGGUGGAGUCGGUAUGAGAAUUUCUCAUACCCAUCCCUACUCGUUCAAUUUUUUAAAUGGAAUGGGGAUAAUAAUUAUUUUAAAUAAAUUGGAUGAGGUUGGGAUGGGGGCGACCCAUCCCAAACUCAUCCCAUUGCCAUCCUUAUUGGAAUCUGGACUCGUAAAAACUCAAGAUUACUCAAAAUUCAUCUAAGAAUAGUCAAAGUUGAUGAUCUUGUUUCUAUGCAAGGCAAGUGAUGAUUGAGGACCAUCUACCUAGUCUUUCUAAUUAGUUAUGUGAUGCAAGGUUAAAAACCUUAUUUUAUUUCAUAACAUGAUUAUAUUUUAUAGACCGUAAAAUCAACUCUUUGUUUGGUAACUCAUAUGGUAGUAAAUCUUAAGAACCUAAAUUCCCCACGUGUUUGACAUAGAUUGGAAAUUUUGAACCUAAUCUUAAGUUGAGUUUGAUGCUAGUCGAGCGUAGUGAUGACGGAUUUGACGGAGAUUACGUUCAAACCCGCUCAAAGACUCAAACUCACGUAACUUUGAAUUGGUUAAAAUAAUUUUAUAAAGUGAAACUAUUAAACUUCUUAUUUUAUGGGAUUGGUGUUUGUGCUUCCAAAUAGUUUUCUAGAUGUUCCCAGUGAGUUUGGAGAAGAGAGUGUUAGGAUUUCCUAUAAUUAUGUAGAAUAAUUAUAAGUCUAAUUCUUGCAAACAAUCAUAACCCUAGUUUUAGAACUUUGUGAUUUUCACAAAGUAAAUAAAUAAUAAUAAAAAUCAUUAAAUUCAUGUGGAGAAAAAUAAAAUUUAAGCCAAAAGUUUUAAUAUUGUCAAAAUCUCAUCAUAACUAUCAUUCAUCGUCUGAACAGAGGGUACCUGAAAAAUUGUUAAUGAAGGGAAAUGAGCUUAAAACCCAACAAGAAAUAUUAAUACAAUUUCACAGAUAAAACAUUUUUAAUAAAGAUUAUAAAAAGAAGAUAUAAUGUAUAAUAAUUUUCAUAAAAACUUUUUAGUUCAAACAUGCUAAUACAUUCAAAUUUUUCAACAAAACAUUUUUAUAUUAAUGUCAAAACAAUUUUAUAUUAAAUUUAAAUAAAAUAUAUAUUCAAAAUAUUUUUACUCUGAUUAUCAAAUUUCAAAUGAUGCUCAAUUAUGUGAGACUUUACAAAUUAGUGGUUAGUCUCAAAUUUGUUUCUUUUAAGAUGAAACCAAACAUUACUAAUACUAGUAAUAUAUAACCAAACCUCUAAAGGUUAGGGUUCAAAUUAAUUAUAUUCUUCACCACAAAAUGUAAAUAUCAACUAUCUCGCUGAUAGAGGUUAAAAAGUCAACUAUUAUAUCCAGUUGAUAAGAGCCAAAAAGUCAAACAUCCCGUUACCUAUAGUCUAACAAACUAAAGCCAAUCACUUCGUUUUAUUUAUUCAAACUUAUAAAAACAUACUAUUUUCACAUGUUUUUGUUAUAAACAAAAGAAAAGGUUUUAAUAUAUUUUUCAUGCAAAAUAUAUUUGAUUUAUGCAUAAAAACAAAAAUAACAUUUUACACAUUUCAAAAUAACUUGUUAGAAGAAAAUCAUUUUUUUUUACAAAAUCUGCAUUAAUUUCCUUUACCUCAAAAACACUUAGAAUCCUUGAAGAAUUUAAUUCUAUAUAAACAAUUUUUCAUCUAAUAAUAUAAGAAAAAACAAUUAUUACUAUUAACUAUUUGUCUAAAAUUAUAAGUUUGAUAAUCCUAAACAUUUAUAUAUCAAUAUUAAUAUUUCUAAAUAUCAAUGAUAAUUUAAUUAAUUUAUUCCUUAUUUAAGUAAAAUUAAUAAAUUUCCAAUUUAUAUAAAACUUUUUUCUCAAAUUUAAUUCUAAAAAAUAAAAAUACAUUACUAAUUUAAUUAAACUACAAUUUUUAUUUCAUUAAUUAAAUUUUAUUUAUUUAUUAACUUAACAUCUAUACUCAUUAGCAUUAUUAUACCAUCAACUAACCUUGUAAUUCACCCAACUCUCAACACCUAAUUAAUACUAUACAAAUUUUCCUCAUUCUCCCAACAAAGGUAGGACUCGCGUACUUAUCUUUUUCUUAUUUUAUUUCUUUUCUUUCUUGCACAAAGCACACUCAUGGCUACAUUCCUUUUUUUUUUUUUUUCCUACACACACUUCCAAAAAUCACACUGUACACACUCUCCAAGGAGCCAAAAGCUAAUUUUUUUUUAAACACCCAAAUUCCUUUUUUUUUUCUUUUAUGUUGUCACAUAGGUACCAUCCCAAAUCCAUAAAUCCUUUUUUUCUUUUUCUCAAUACCCUAAACCCUCACACAACAAAAUAUAUAUGUAUAUUUAUUGAAGAUUUAAGAUAUAUUAUUUAUUUUAUUUAUUUAUUAUAUUUUUAAAUCUACUAAAAAAAUAUUCAAAAUUUCUUAUUUCUAUCAAUAAAUUAACAUUUAUUCAUAAAUUUUCACUCUUUUUUAUUUAGAAUUUAAAUAAACAAAUUAUAUUAUAGAUUGAGGUUUUUUAAAGAAUAUUUAAGUGUUUAAAACUAAUUAACGAAUCUAAAAUACUAAUUUAAAGGUUAAAAUUCUACCUAAAAAACUAAUUUUCAAACCCUAUACUUCAAAUCUUCAAUCAUAUAUUGUCUUAUGUCCUUUGAUCUUUCUCUAAUCUUCGUAUGAAAGGGUUCCGUAUAGAGAAGUUAAAAAAAUCUAAUUUAUAUUUAAAGCUUUUAAUGCAAAAAGACAUUUCUAACCUUAUUAAAUUUAUUAUUAUUUUUUUCCCUUUACUCUAAUUUAUGGUUUUACCCUUGACAAUAAAAUGGGGGGUGUUACAUAAGGAGCCUAACAAUUUUUUAAAAUAAUUUGAAACUAAAAAAUCGUGCUAGAACCAAAAUUGAAAAUGACUACAUCAAUUUCUCGCCUAUGCACAAUUAUACUUUUUAAAAUUUUCUUAUUAUGUAAAUGAGUUUCAAAUAAAAUGAUAUUUAAUGCAUUAUAGAUUGGUUAGCAAGUCUAAUGAUUUAAAAAAAAUUAAUUUAGAACUUAAAAAUCGACUCAAUUAAUUUCAAAUUUUCAACCAAAAUAGUUUAAAAUAUCCCAAAUGUAAGUGUAUUAAAAAAAACUAAAUUAUUUAUAUAACUAGAAAGAGAAAAUUCAUAAUUUAUAAAUAUUAUAUGUGUAUUAUUUAUUUAUUUCGUAUUGAUCACCUAGAAUUUAUAUAAUAUUGAUAUUCAUUUUAAAAUAAAUUAUGGUUUAUGUGGCUAUUUUUAAAAUACUAUAAGUCAUUAUUAGAAAGUUUAAUAUAUUAUUAGUUAUUUUUUAUAGAAAAUUUGCUAUUAAUAUGUAAGAAAAUCUUUAAUAAAUAAAUAAAUAACCAUUUAGCAAGAGGAGUUUGUGUAGCGGGUGAGAAAAAUGAAAUAAAAGCCAUGACGCUAGGAGAUCUCUUUCAUAACAAUGAAUCUAUUAUAUGAAGGGAAACUGUGAGUGAACCAUUUGCCAUGUUAAUUUUUUUGAAAUAGUGUAAGGAAAUAUAUUUUGGUUGUUACAUGUUUUCCAUAAGAAAAGUAUGUUUAGAAACUUAAAUUUUUUCAACCUAUUUUUUUUUUAAAUAAUUUUUAUUUAUAGUAUUUUAUUUUUUAUUAUUUUUCAUAUUUACAUAAUUAUUUUAAAAAUAAAAAUAAAAAUAAUUAAAAUAUAUUUUUAAAAAACACUAUUUUUUAAAUAAGUUCUCAAAAAUAAUAUUUUAUAUUAAAAAUUAUCAAAUAUGUUUUCUAACCGGCAAGACAAUUCCAAACAUAUUCAUAAUUUUCCUAGUAAGAAAUGUGGUUCAAGAUUGAUUGGUAGUUAGUCACUAUCCAUUGAAUUCAUAGAAGUAAACGUUUAUACACCUCAUCUACAAACAAUGGUUCUAUCCUCAUCAUGUCAUGUGCAUAGCAUUUAGUUCACAUUUUAAAAUUCUGAAAUAGAACAAUGAAAUGAAAAUUAAUAUAAUUUUGAUUUAUUAAUAUACUUGGAUUAAUUGUUUUAUAGAAUGAGAAUAUAAAUAAAAAUUUUAUUAGUAUAAAAAUCAAAUUCCACUCUCAUGAGGAUUUUGAUUCCUUUGUUCUAUUUCAUAGUGAUUUACCUUAUAUUUGGUGGGUUGAAUAGUAUAUAAUAUGUAUAUUUUAAAAUAUCAUAUCCUCUCCUUAUCUAACCUAUUUACAAAAUUUGUAUUUUUCAUUCAAAAGUCAUCUUUUAACGAGACAAUUAAUACAAAGCUAUUGUAUAGUUAUAUAUUUGUCAUAGUUUUUUUUUUUUAGUGAAUUUAAUUUUUUACCAUUGUAUCUUAUUUUUAUAUAAUUAUAUUACAUUUAUUUUAUUUUUUAUAUUAAUUUUUAAAUGUGACUCAUAAUUGGUUGGAGGGUUAGAGACUUUGUAUCAUUAGAAAAACAAGUUGCAUCCUCAUCUAGCUAACAUUGUAACAACAUGUAAAUCUUUUUAUCUAUCACUCAAAAACCAUAUUUUAGUGAGGCAACCUAUACAAAGUCAUUGUAUAGUUAUAUAUUUGUCUCAAUUUUCUUUAAGUUGACAAUGAACUUAAUUUUUUGCACUAAUAUCUUAUUUUUAUAUAACCUUGCUAUAUUUAUUCUUUUAUAUUAAUUUUCAAAUUUCACCCAUAAUUGGUUGGUGGUUUAGUUAUUAUCAAUGGUUUAGAUUGAUCCAAUUAUCAACUAGUGACUUUUCCAAUCCAAUUCACACCUUUAAGUUGUUUUAUCAUUGAAUUCAUAUUCCUCAAAAACAAGUUGCAUUCUCAUCUAGCUAACAUGCUAACAGCAUUUCAAGCUUUUCAUCUACCACUCAAAACCUAGAUUUCAAUAGGAGAGCCAAUACAAAGCCAUUUUAUUGUCAUAUAUUCCUCUCAAAUUUUAUUUUUAAUGUUGAUAAUGAAUUUAAGCUUUUUUGGCCCUUUUAUCUUUUAUAUAUAUAUAUAUACAUAUAUAUAUAUAUAUAUAUUCCAUUUCUUUCUUUCAUAAUAAUUUCCGAAUGUGACCCUUAAUUGGUUGGUGGGUUAUCAUUGUCUAUUAAAUUCAUAUCACCCUCCAAGUUUAGUUGCAUCCUUAUCAGGCGCCUAACGUGUCAAAAACAUGCUGACAACAUUUAAAAUUUUUCAGUAAGAUAAUCAAUACAAAGUCAACAUGUGUCAUACAUCAGUCUCAAUUUUUUUACAUGUUUUUUCUGCACUCAUAUCUUAUUUUUAUAUUAUUAUAUUUUGUUUCUCUCUUUUGUAUUAAUUCUUAACCGUGACUUAUAAUUGGUUGAUGGACAGGGUUCAAAGUAUCGGCCGAGUCGUAUCACACCUGCCACGACGAGACCGAUACUAGAUACGGUAUAAUGCACGAACUCGAUUGGGAAUCGAUUAGACUCGGCUAACUGGUUUGAGUUUCCGAGUUAACUCGGUUGACUCGGUUAGGUUACAGAGAAUUUUCAAAAUUUUCAUAAAAUUAAAAAAAAAAAUUAAUAAGAGAUUGCCCUUCCAAAAGCAAACACUUAUUUUGAAAUUUUAAACCAUCAAUGAGAAUAUCAAAGAAGAUGAAGAAGAAAAAACCUUAAUCGUGACCCGUUCAGAAAUAAGCGGAGAAACCACCGAAGAAUGAGGGCAUGAUUUAGGAUUUACUUAUCUGAUUUUCCUCAAAAUCGAGCAUUACCCGAGGGUGGAGCUUUGGUGUCGGCGGUGGUGACUCGUCAAGUGGACUGAAUAUUUCAUCGGCAACGUCGACAAGACAACCCCUCACUGUCAGAUUGCUCCCCCUCCCAUGUUAGGAACGGUUACAAAUUUGCGAUUGCAGGUGGUGUCGUCUGUUAUGGGUCUUGACAGCAUGGUGGCGAGGACGGGAGAUUGGGGGCACAAAUUAGUAAAGUAAAAAAAGUGUCUUUUAUACGGAUUUACACGAAGAAUUAAGGCCAAUUUACAUGGAAAAUACCUUUCAUGUAAACACUUUAAUAUGAUUUAAUAAUAACUAAUUAGGAAAAUUGAGUACCCGAUUUGCUAAAGUAAAAUGAUAUGAAAGGUAUAUAUGAGGUUUAAUGAUAAAUUAAAAUAUUUAUAUGGCAAAGUGAGAAUUAAAUCCUCAAUUUUUAAUAUUAUCAUAAAUAAUUUUGAGCUAAAUGUGAAAAAAAAAAUUGUUUUAUUUUCAGCUUAUUUAAUUAUAUAUAUUUUAUUUUAUUAUUUAUAUAAUAUUUUUAUAACUUUUUGAAAAUUUUAAUUAUCUUAUUUUACGUAUCGUCCAAUAUCGAAUCGAGACACCGAUACUGAUAUGCCUCGUGACCCUCCGAGUCAAUGACCGAUGCUGCAACUUUGAACCAUGUUGGUGGGUUAGUUGUUGUUCAUCGAAUUUAUAUCACUCGUAGAGCCAAGUUGCAUCCUUAUGCAUCUAACAUGCUAACGACAUUUAAAACUUUUUAUUUGUUACUCAAAAGUAAGGGUCUCCAAAAAGCCCGCGGCCCGCGGCCCGCUUUAGGCCCGGCCCGGCCCGAGCCCUUUUAUGGCGCGGGCUGGGCCGCGGGCCUAAAUUUAGGCCCGGCCCGUAGUCCCACCCUUAGGCCCGGCCCGUAGGCCCGGCCCGCCUUUAAUUUUUUUUUAAAAAAAAUAUACUUUAUUUUUAUAUAUAUAUAACUAACUCAUUUAAUAAGCACAAAAGGAAUGUAGCUUAGUUGGUUAGAGCCUUGAAAUUUAUGCUUGAGGGGAGGGGUUCGAAUCCCCCCCUCUCCUUUCCUUUAUUUAAAAGCCAUUUUGGCUUAUUUAAAAAAGCCCGGCCCGGCCCGGCCCGCCCGCUAGCCCGCGGGCCUAGCAUUUUAGCUCAGCCCGGCCCGGCCCGGCCCGCCCGUUGGAGACCCUUACUCAAAAGUCACUUUUCUGUAAGUCAACCAAUACGAAGCACGGCCACACAAUUUCAAUCCGCCCUCGACCGCACGUUCUGAUUGCAAGACCCACUGGCCACCAAAGUCCCAUCUCUACUACCAGUAUCGUCAUCGCCUUCUCCCCUGGCCAAGCACAAGCGCUCAUCCUCGAUCGACACACCGCCACCGUUAUCAGGAUUCAGGACCAACAGCCCCUACAGGUUUGUUUCCUUAUUUAUUUGUUUAUUAUUUUUAAUUGAUGCCAUUGGUUGGCUAGGCCUCAAGCCAGUAGUUGCAUGGUGGAGCUGGCUUAGCUUCAAGUAAGAGGCGGCAACGAAGGUUUUAUUGGUGGACCAAAAAGUGGGGUAAAUAAAUUUUGAAAAAAAAAAAAAUCCCAUUUAAGUAACAUCUCGCUUCUACACACGUGACAAUAUUGUAUGGAAAGGAAGCAUUUUCCUUUACUAGAAUAUUUGCGAUAGCUCUAGAGGGUUCAAAAUCUCGGCCGAGGCGGAUAGUCGUAUCCGCCUCGGCCAAGGCCGUUACAGGACCGAUCCCCGAGUCAAAAUCGGUGGAGAAAAUAAGCCGAUUUUCAUCUUCAUCCUUCAAACCUAAGCUUUUGCAUCCUCGUAUAAGUAUUUUUCACCGAUUUAAUGCCUUCAAACCUCAAGAUGAUGUGAGAAGCUGUCGUAGAGAGGUGAAAAGAGUAGUUUUUAGAGAAAUGAGUAUUGUGCAAAAAUGUUGUGAGAAGUUGUCUAAGAGUUGAACGGGUAUUGUGGAUAGAAGAUGAAAUGGCCAUUUCGUAAAAAUGGGUCUGUUGGCUGUUGCAGAGAAAUGUGAUAUGAAGGAGUUAUUUGGGUGUGUUGCAGAGAAACCAGAGAGAGAGAGAGGGUUUUUGAUAGAAAUGGGAGAAAGAGAGAGGAGGUUUUUGACCGGAGUUUGGGAUUAUCUAAAAUUUUGGAAUUAUAAAAAAUGAUUAUAAAUAUUUAAAUUUAUAUGAAAUAAAUAGAAUAUAAAUAUUAAUAUAAAAAUUCUAAAUUAAUGUAUAAAAGUAUUAAAACAUAGAUUUAUUUUUAAAACUUAUUUAUUUAAAAGAAAAUAAAAUUAAUAAAAAAAAUCGGUUUUAUUUAGAAUAUAUUUGAUAAGAAAAUUGAUAUUUAUAUUUUUAAAGGUGAUUUAUGGUCAUUUAAAAAAAAAAAAUCAAAAUAUUGAAUUUAAAUAAAUAUAUUAUAAAAAUGAUUUUUUUUACUAGUUUUAUCUAAUAUUUAAUAUGAGGUGAAAAAUAAAAAAGUUUUAAAUAUAUUUUAGUAUGCUUGUUUCAAUGUAUGAAUAAUGUUGUUUUUUAUAUAUUUAUUAAUUUUUUUAGUUUAUGUGAUUAUAUUUAUUUUUAUGAUAAUUUUAAUAAUUUAUUUACAAAUUUUGGAGUUCUUAGUACAUAUUUUACGUAUCGUUUGAUACUUAGACUGAUAUGCCUUGGGACCUUCUAAGUCGAUGAUCAAUACCAUGACUUUAAACCAUGCUAAAAGGUACGGUUGACCUCUAUGACCGUUUCUCAAAUACCAAUUAAGCUCUAAAAAGCAUUGGGAAUGUGUGAAAGAGUAAUGACAAUACCAACAAUAACAUUAUUUAUACUAAGCACAUUCUAUUAUACUUGUCUAAAUGGCCAAAUAUUUAAAUUCAUGAUCCCAAGUCUUUAAUGGCUAGUAUAAACCCAAAGAAAUACAUGGAGUAAAUCUAGUAAUAUGUGGAACAAAAUUAUCAACCUAAACUAGUUAAUUUAAUACACUAACAAUUUUACCCUUUGACAAUUUUAUGAUAAAAUAUUGAAUAACUAAAUCCUCCAAUACUCUCAAAAGGAGUUCUCAAAUCACAUAAUAUCUUGUCUUAACCAAACAUUCUAAGUCAUAUAAUCUUCAAUUAGCUUCUUACAAAAAUCCUAGAAAUUUUUGACAAUUUGUGACCUACACAUGCUCAAACAAUACUCAUUAAAAGUAAUGUGUGGGAAGAAUAUAUGACUAUACCUUGAUGAAAGAAAUGAAGGAAAGUCACUAUACGAAUCUUAUAUAGACCCCAGAAAAUAAAUGGAUUACUAUCACAAAAAGACUAUAUAUAUAAAGAAAGAGAGAGCUAGAGAGAGAACAACAUAACAUUUAUAGCAUAUAAAUACAUGACAUGUGCAAAAUAUACUAAAAUUAAGGGGUUCUACAUAUUCUCUCACCGGAAUCAUUUGAAAUAUAGGAUGGAUGCAUGCUUGGAAGGAAAGGAGAGUCCUCCUCCUCUAAAGCUUGUGUAAACUUGUGUUUGUGUGUAGGUGAGAGGUUGGGAUUCUCCGAUCAAUAAGGAACUCAGGCGCAGAUUCGAACAUGGCUCGCAAGCCAAUCUCAAAUGCGAGAAUGAAGGCUGCAAAAGAUCGGACUAUUGGUCAAACAAGUGCUCCUUCCACAAAUGGACUCGAAGCCCCUGAUCAGGAGGAGCUGGAAUCCUUUUUGCGCACCGCAUUCUAUAUAUGUAGUCAAAUUGAAGAAUUCGGGAAGAUGCGUCAUCAGGGAAGUGGAAGUGCUCCUCACACACAAGGAGUCGACGCUCCCGCUGAUGAAGAUGAAGAUGUGGAGCAGGAGAGAUUAAUGGACAGCCGCAUGUACAUGCAGGCGACUCGAGGACGUGUUGAUGAAUUUAUUCGAAUUUUACCCUCAAUAUCCUCUGAAAAGAAACUUCAACUCUCAGAAAUCCUCUCCCAAGUUAGCCCCCAGAACAACACAUGCCUGCACAUAGCAGUAAGCUUUGGACACCAUGAGCUUGCCGAGUACAUCGUGGGACUGUGUCCAGACCUUAUCAAAAUGACAAACUCCAAAGGCGACACUGCACUUCAUAUUGCUGCUAGAAAAAAGGAUUUAUCUUUCGUUAAGUUUGGCAUGGAUUCAUGUCUUUCUGGAAGUGGCGCAUCCCGAGAUGUAGAGCAGGCUGAGCACUCAUUGCUGAGAAUUGUUAACAAAGAAGGAAAUACAGUGUUGCAUGAGGCACUGAUAAACCGUUGCAAACAAGAAGAGGUGGUGGAGAUCCUUAUUAAGGCAGAUCCACAAGUGGCUUAUGAUCCGAAUAAGGAGGGAAAGUCGCCAUUGUAUCUAGCUGCAGAAGCACACUACUUCCAUGUCGUCGAGGCUAUUGGAAAAUCUAAAGUUGAGGAGCACAUGAACAUUAACAGAGACCGCGAAGCCAAGCCGGCAGUCCAUGGUGCCAUUCUGGGAAAGAGUAAAGGUAUGACCCGCCCCUUUCUCAAUCUCCAUUUAAUUCUCCUGCUCUUCUUCUUCUUCUUCAAACUUAAAAAAACACCAUUUCCAAUGAUCUUGAGAAGGAAAUGAUUCAAGCUCACCACUUCAUGGCACUUUAAUAAUCUGUUGUUUAAUUACUAACCUCAUCUUUUCCUAUUAGACAACAAAAGGAAAAAAAAAAAAAAAAAAGAAGCUACCCACUGACUCAGCUCUACGGUAUCAAUCCGAGGUGGCACAGAAUUGUAUAUUGUCAUCUGCUAAAAAAAUUUCUCAAAAUUUUAUAUUGCUUGAAUAUUUUAAGAUAUAUAUAUGGAUGUCUAAAAUCAGAUGAGUGAAAGUGAUAUAUUAAUAAUAAUAAUUACAUAAAAAAAAAAAAAAAAAAAAUUAAAGGAUGGCCGUGAUACAACCCCAUGCUUUCAAAAGCCUCCUUUAAUUAUAAAUUCCCUCUUUGGUUUUUAAACAUUCUGUAAAUUUUGUUAAUUUGUUAUUGCCCUUAUCAUCCUCUUAAUAAUAUUGCAGUUAUAUUUGAUUCUCAUAGUUUAAAAAAAAAAGGAAUUAUUAAGGAAAAUGAUUUUCUAAUGUGUUGUUUUAUCAUGAAAAAUAUGAAAGAAAGUGAAAUAUAAUUAAAAUUAAUAAAAAACUUAUAAUUUAAAAUUAUUUAAUUUUUAUAUAGAAUAAUUAAAUAAGUAAAACGAAUUUAAAGUAAUAUAUAAAAAUAACUUAUUUAUUUAAAAUCUAUUAUUUAUUUAUUUUUUAUUUUUCUCCUUUAUUUUCUUAUUUAUUUUCUUUUCUUCGCAUAUUCCCUCAAACUUUCCCACCAAACAUAACCUAAGGUUAUGUUUGGUUCCUGGAAAAUAAUAAGGAAAGAAAAAAAAUGUAAAGAAAAAUGAUUUUUUCAUGUUUGGUUGUCCUAUGAAAAAUAAAUAAGAAAAUCAAAUAUAAUUAAAACUAAUUAAAAACCUAUGUAUUUUAAAAUUAUUUAAUCUUUAUAUUAAUGAGUUAAAAUAAAUAAAAUGAGUUUGAAGUAAAAAAUAAAAAUAACUUAUCAACUUUUAAUCCAUUUUUUAUUUUCCUUCACUUUUUCUUUCCCUUGCAUUUUCCCUCAAAUUUUACUAAGAACCAAACAUAGCCUAAAUGAUCACUUGAAGUCAAUCCCAAACUAUCCAAACAAUUUUUCUUUCUUUGCUCUUUUUCUUGUAGCUCUUUUUGCCCCCCUUUAUUUAAACCAGCCAAUAUGCACACAAUAAAGCCACAACAGCAAAUUUUCUUUAGUUAAUUUUAAAAUUUUGUGAUUUAGAAAAGAAAAUUAAGAAUUAGGAGUGGGUUUUUGAAGAAGAAUAAGAAGUUGGCAAACUAGGAUUAGGGUUUUGAAAACAAAGAUGAAGAAUAUUUACAAGGACGGGUUUGGGCCGGAUAGAGGAGUUAUAAACAUUAUUGAUCUCCCAUAAAUUAAUAAAAAUUUUAAUUUUUUAGGAACAGGGAAUAUUGAAGCAAAAGCUGAAAAAAAAAAAAAAAAAAAGCCAAUGGACGUUUUCUAUAAUUAUUUCAACAGAAAAACAUAAAUGUGUUCUCAUUUUAAUCUCUUUUAUAUAUGAUGAAAAAAUGCCAGAGAUGUUGGAAAAAAUACUAGCCCUGAAGCUCGUCCACCAAAAAGAUGAACAGGGAAGGACUCCACUUCAUUAUGCAGCAUCGAUUGGAUAUCUUGAAGGAGUUCAAAUGUUGUUAGACCAAUCUAACUUUGAUCGAUAUCAAAGGGACGACGAAGGCUUCUUACCCAUCCAUAUUGCAUCAAUGAGAGGCUAUGUAGACAUCGUCAAAGAGUUGCUCCAGAUCUCCUCUGACUCAAUAGAAUUGCUUAGCAAACACGGUGAGAACAUUCUUCAUGUGGCAGCCAAGUAUGGUAAAGAUAAUGUAGUCGAUUUUGUGCUGAAAAAAAAAGGGGUUGAGAACCUUAUAAAUGAGAAGGACAAAGGUGGAAACACGCCACUGCAUUUGGCUACCAGGCAUGCACAUCCUAAGGUCGUAAACUAUUUAACAUGGGAUAAAAGAGUUGAUGUGAAUCUUGUGAAUAAUGAAGGCCAGACUGCUUUCGACAUUGCUGUAUCAGUGGAGCAUCCAACUUCAUUUCACCAGGUAUAUAUGACGAUUUGCAUCUUGUUUUCUGAAUUAAGGGUACUACUAUUGGUUCCACCUUGAACUGCAUGCAUUGUUAAUGCUAUGGCAUUUUCCUUCUUAGAUGCAUGCAUGUGAAUUAUUGAAAGGAUCAAUCAGGACAACAUAGUUUGUAUUUCUUUCCUAGAAGGACCGACUGAUAUUAAUAAGACCUAGUUCAACUAAAAGAAGAUCAAUUUGAUCCCAUGAUAUCCUAAAAGUCAAGAAAAUUAUGGAGCCUAACUCAAUCACCAUCACCCUCGCCCAGAUUAGGGCGACUCAACCAAGGUUAGGCUAGGUUUCUCCAGCAAGUGCAUAUACUCUUGAUGCCCGGAAAGACUUAUGGGAAUAAUUUUUUGCAUCAUACUAAAAAGUUUUCAGUGUAGAGAACUGCUAUAUCAUGUGCGCUUGUGGUUGCUCUCUUGCUGCUUCACGUUGCUUAAUUUCGUACUUCUUGUGGGUGUUCAUUGAAUUUAUAGGGAAAAGAGAAUGGCUUCCCAACAAAAUAUUUCGAAACCCAACUCAUGGAAUUAUAGUCUACUUAUACUUUCUAUAGUUAUUGUUACGACGCAUACAUUUGAUUUUCUUUCUUUCUCACGAUUGCAUUAACAGCAACAUUUUUAUCUCUACCACGCAGAGACUAGUUUGGACAGCACUCAAGUCUUAUGGUGCACGACCAGCCGGAAAUUCAAAGGUCCCACCAAAACCGUCUAAAUCACCUAAUACGGACGAGUACAAGGACAGGGUAAACACUCUUUUGUUGGUUUCGACCCUUGUUGCCACCGUGACAUUUGCUGCUGGUUUUACCAUUCCGGGAGGCUACAACAGCUCUGAUCCAGGUGCCGGCUUGGCUAUCUUUCUGAUGAGAAAUAUGUUCCAUAUGUUCGUCAUCUGCAAUACCAUUGCUAUGUAUACCGCCAUCCUCGCGGCAAUCAUCCUCAUCUGGGCACAGUUAGGUGAUCUCAAUUUGAUGGAUACUGCCUUCACAUGGGCAUUGCCAUUCUUGGGGCUGGCCCUUUAUGCAAUGUCCUUGGGCUUCAUGGCAGGUGUUUCCUUGGUGAUCAGUAAUCUUCAUUGGCUUGCAAUUGUUGUCUUCAUUAUUGGAACCAUCUGCCUUGUCAGUCUCCCAGUACCCUUUCUUUUACUCUUCCUCCCAAGUGAGUCUACUAAUCAUAUCCUUAGGUACAUCUCCUAUUAUCCGUUCCUUAUACUGGUAUGGGCAUCUGAAAGCUCCGAAAUCAAACAGGAAGAUUAGCUUGCCCUGUUGAUGAUGUAUAUUUUAUAGACCGUAAAAGCAACUCUUUUUUUGGUAACUCAUAUUUUAGUAAACCUUAAGAACCUAAAUUCCCCACGUGUUUGACAUAGAUAGGAAAUUUUGAACCUAAUCUUAACUUGAGUUUGAUGCUAGUCGCACGUAUUGAUGACGGAUUUGAUGGACAUUACGUUCAAACCCGCUAAAAGACUCAAACCCACGUAACUUUGAAUUGGUUAAAAUAAUUUUAUAAAGUGAAACGAUUAAACUUCUUACUUUAUGGGAUUGGUGUUUGUGCCUCCAAAUAGUUUCCAAGAUGUUCCAAGCGAGUUUGGAGAAGAGUGUUAGGAUUUCCUAUAAUUAUGCAUAAUAAUUAUAAGUCUAAUUCUUACAGAACAAUCAUAACCCUAGUCUUAGAACUUUGUGAUUUUCACAAAGUAAAUAAAUAAUUAAAAAAAAGAGUUAUUAAAUUCUAACUUUUGAACAAUAUCUAAAAAAAUAAAGUUUAAACCAAAAGCCCUAAUAAUAUCAAAAUCUUAUCCUAAUUAUCAUUCUUUGCCUGAACAAAAGAUACCCGAAAAAUUGUUAAUAAAGGGAAAUGAGCUUAAAACCUAAUAAGAAAUAUUAAUACAGUUUCAUGGAUAAAAUAUUUUUAAUAAAGAUUAUAAAUAGAAUAUAUAAUGUAUAAUCAUUUUUAUAAAUAAAAAAAUUUUAGUUCAAACAUGUAAUACAUUCAAACUUUUCAACAAAACAAUUUUAUAUCAAUGUCAAAACAAUUUUAUAUUAAAUUCAAAUAAAAUAUAUUCACAAUAUUUUUACUCUGGCUAUCAUUUUAUCAAAUAGUGCUCAAUUAUGUAAGACUUUACAAAUGAGUGGCUAGUCUUAAAUUUGUUUCUUUUAAGACGAAGCCAAAUACUACUAAUAUUAGUAAUCUCUAACCAAACGUAUAAAGAUUGGAGUUCAAAUCAAUUACAUUCUUUAUCAUAAAAUAUAAAUGUCAACUAUUAUAUUUCAUUGAUAGGGGUUAAAAAGUCAACUAUCGUAUCCAAUUGAUAAGGGCUAAAAAGUCGACUAUUAUAUCAUGUUGCCUAUGGCCAAACAAAGCAAAGUCAAACACUUUGUUUUAUUUAUUCAAACUUAUAAAAAUAUAAUAUUUUCACGUGUUUAUGUUAUAAACAAAAGAAAAGGUCUUAAUAUAUUUUUCAUACAAAAUAUAUUUGAUUAAUGCAUAAAAACAAAAAUAACAUUUUACACAUUUUAAAAUAACAUAUUAAAAUAAAAUCAUUUUUUUUUUACAAAAUCUAUAUUAAUUUCCCUGACCUUAAAAAACACUUAAAAUCCUUGAAGAAUUUAAUUCUGUAUAAACAACUUCUCAUCUAAUAACAUAAGAAAAACAAUAUUUAUUACUAUUAACUAUUUGAGUAAAAUUAUAAGUUUGAUAAUCCUAAAAAUUUAUAAAUUAAUAUUAAUAUUUAUAAGUAUCAAUGAUAAUUUUAUUAAUAUAUUCUUUAUUUAAGUAAAAUUAAUAAAUUUCUAAUUUAUAAAAAAAAUUUUCUCAAAUUUAAUUCUAAAAAAUAAAAAUACAUUACUAAUUUAAUUAAACUACAAUUUUUAUUUCAUUAAUUAAAUUUUAUUUAUUUAUUAACUUAACAUCCAUCCUCAUUAGCACUAUUAUACCAUUAACUAACCUUGUAGUUCACCCAACGACUCUCAACACCUAAUUAAUAUUAUAUGUGUUUUCCUCGUUCUCCCAAUAAAGGUAGGACUCGCUCACUUAUCUUUUUCUUAUUUUAUUUCUUUUCUUUCUUGCACAAACCACACUCAUGGCUACAUUCCUUUUUUUUUUUUUCCUACACACUUCCAAAAAUCACACCGUACACACUCGCCAAGAACCAAAAGCUAAUUUUUUUUUAAACACCCAAAUUCUUUUUCUUUUUUUUUCUCUUUUAUGUUGUCAUACCAAAUAAGAAAAAUUAUUUGGUAACAUACCAAAUCCAUUUUUUCUUUUUCUCAAUACCCUAAGCAUUUAAUAUAUAUAUAUAUAUAUAUAUAUAUAUAUAUAUAUAUAUAUAUAUAUAUAUAUAUAUAUAUAUAUAUAUAUAUAUAUAAAUAAAAACAAAAACUAUAAAAUAAUGAAAUGGUUAAAAAUUUUGAAAUUAAAAAAAAUAAAUAAAGACAGAGAAAGAGAAUAAAAAAAANNNNNNNNNNNNNNNNNNNNNNNNNNNNNNNNNNNNNNNNNNNNNNNNNNNNNNNNNNNNNNNNNNNNNNNNNNNNNNNNNNNNNNNNNNNNNNNNNNNNGCUCACAUAUCUCUUUCUCUUUUUUUAUUUUUUUUUUCUCGCACACAACACACACACGGAGACACUCUUUUUUUUUUUUUUCUCACACACACACAAAAAUCACACUCCACACACUCUCCAAGAAACAAAAAAUAUUUUUUUUUUAAACACACACACUCUUUUUCUUUUUUUUUCUCUUUUUUGUUGUCACACCAAAUAAAAAAAAAUAUUUUUUUACAUACCAAAAACAUUUUUUUUUUUUCUCUAUACCCCAAGCAUUUUAUAUAUAUAUAUAUAUAUAUAUAUAUAUAUAUAUAUAUAUAUAUAUAUAUAUAUAUAUAUAUAUAUAUAUAUAUAUAUAUAUAUAUAUUGAAGUUUUAAGAUAUAUUAUUUAUUUAUUAUUGUUUUAGAUCUACUAAAAAAAAUAUUCAGAAUUUCCUAUCUCUAUCAAUAAAUCAACAUUUAUUCAUAAAUUUUCACUCUUUUUUAUUUAGAAUUUAAAUAAACAAAUUAUAUUUUAAAUUGAGAUUUUUUUUAAAAUAUCUAAGUGUUUAAAAUUAAUUAUCAAAUCUAAAAUAUUAAUUUAAGGAUUAAAAUUCUACUUGGAAAACUAAUUUUCAAAUUCUAAACCUUUAAAUUUUCAAUCUAAAAUAAUAUUGUAGCAGUUAAAUGGAUGAAUAAUUGAAAAUCAUGACAUAAUUAAUGAUUUUUUAAAGAAGAAGAAGAAAACCCUAACUGUAUCCUAAAGCUCAAAAUAAAAUCUUAAAGUUAUAUUUGAUUCUCAUAGUUGAAAAAAAAGAAAAAGAAUUAUUAAGGAAAAUGAUUUUCUAAUAUGUUGUUUUAUCAUGAAAUAUAUGAAAGAAAGUGAAAUAUAAUUAAAAUUAAUAAGAAACUUAUAUAAUUUAAAAUUAUUUAAUUUUUAUCUAGAAUAGUUAAAUAAGUGAAAUGCAUUUGAAGUAAAAUAUAAAAACAAGGAAAAAGUGGAAUUUGAUUCANNNNNNNNNNNNNNNNNNNNNNNNNNNNNNNNNNNNNNNNNNNNNNNNNNNNNNNNNNNNNNNNNNNNNNNNNNNNNNNNNNNNNNNNNNNNNNNNNNNNUUCUUUUAGAUAUUUAUUAUUAUUAUUAUUAUUAUUAUUAUUAUUAUUAUUAUUAUUAUUAUUAUUAUUAUUAUUAUUAUUAUUAUUAUUAUUAUUUUAUUAAAAUGAGAAAAUCAUUUUUCUUAACAUUUUUUUCUUUACUUAGUAUUUUCUAUGGAACCAAACAUAACCUUUAUGUAUGAUGAAAAGACGUUGGAAAAACUACUAGCCAUGGAGCUAGUCGACCAAAAAGAUAAACAUGGAAGGACUUCACUUCAUUAUGCAGCAUCGAUUGGAUAUCUUGAAGGAGUUCAAACGCUCUUAGGGCAAUCUAACUUUGAUCAAUAUCAAAGGGACGACGAAGGCUUCUCACCCAUCCAUGUUGCAUCAAUGAGAGGCAAUGUAGACAUCGUCAAAGAGUUGCUCCAGGUCUCCUCUGGCUCAAUAGAAUUGCUUGGAAAACACAGUGAGAACAUUCUUCAUGUGGCAGCCAAGUAUGGUAAAGAUAAUGUUGUCAAUUUUGUGCUGAAAAAAAAGGCUUGAGAACCUUAUAAAUGAGAAGGACAAAGGUGGAAACACGCCACUGCAUUCGGCUACCAUGCAUGCACAUCCUAAGGUCGUAAACUAUUUAACAUGGGAUAAAAGAGUUGAUGUGAAUCUUGUGAAUAAUGAAGGUCAGACUGUUUUCGACAUUGCUGUAUCAGUGGAGCAUCCAACUUCAUUUCACCAGGUAUAUAUAUAUAUGACGAUUUUCAUCUUGUUUUCUGAAUUAAGGGUACUACUAUUGGUUUCACCUUGAACUGCAUGCGUUGUUAAUGCUAUGGCAUUUUCCUUCUUAGAUGCAUGCAUGUGAAUUAUUAAAAGGAUCAAUCAGGACAACAUAGUUUGUAUUUCUUUCCUAGAAGGACUGACUGAUAUUAAUAAGACCUAGUUCAACUAAAAAAAGAUCAAUUUGAUCCCAUGAUAUCCUAAAAGUCAAGAAAAUUAUGGAGCCUAACUCAAUCAUCGUCACCCUCGCCCAGAUUAGAGCGACUCAACCAAGGUUAGGCUAGGUUUCUCCAGCAAGUGCAUAUACUCUUGAUGUCGACAAAGACUUAUGGGAAUAAUUUUUUGCAUCAUACUAAAAAGUUUUCAGUGUAGAGAACUGCUAUAUCAUGUGCGCUUGUGGUUGCUCUCUUGCUGCUUCACGUUGCUUAAUUUCAUACUUCUAGUGAGUGUUCAUUGAAUUUAUAGGGAAAAGAUAAUGGCUUCCCAACAAAAUAUUUCGAAACCCAACUCAUGGAAUUAUAGUCUACUUAUACUUUCUAAAGUUAUUAUUACUGUUGGGAUUUAUUUGUUUCUGUUAAGGUUUGGCUUUGUCAAAGUUCUGUAAAUAAAUUCCUAUUAGUUAGGAACCAGUAGAUAGGUUUUGACUUUUUUAGUAACUAAUACCAUGUCUAUAGGUAUAAGACGUGGGCUCAGUAAGUGUUCAAUAAAACUGGGGGAUGUUAUUCCAGAUUUGUGAGUUCAUAGCUUUAUAGUUCUUGCUUUCAACAAUUACGAUGCAUACAUUUGAUUUUCUUUCUUUCUCACGAUUACAUUAACAGCAACAUUUUUAUCUCUACCUCGCAGAGACUAAUUUGGACAACACUCAAGUCUACUGGUGCACGACCAGCCGGAAAUUCAAAGGUCCCACCAAAACCACCUAAAUCACCUAAUACGGACCAGUACAAGGACAGGGUAAACACUCUCUUGUUGGUUUCGACCCUUGUUGCCACCGUGACAUUUGCUGCUGGUUUUACCAUGCCAGGAGGCUACAACAGCUCUGAUCCAAGUGCCGGCAUGGCUAUCUUUCUGAUGAGAAAUAUGUUCCAUAUGUUCGUCAUCUGCAAUACUAUUGCUAUGUAUACCUCCAUCCUCGUGGAAAAUGUCACGGAGGAUAGACUAAACAAAAUAUCAAAUGGUACUCAAUUAGAUGAGACUUUACAAAUAGAUGGGUAGCCUCAAAUUUAUUCCUUUUAAGAUAGACUAAACCAAACACUACUAAUACUAGUAAUCUCUAAUCAAACCUCUAAAAGUUGGGAUUCAAAUCAAUUACAUUCUUCACCACAAAAUAUAAAUGUCAACUAUUAUAUCUCUUUGAUAGGGGCUAAAAAGUCAAUUAUUAUAUCCGGUUGACAAGGGCCAAAAAGUCAACUAUUAUAUCCUGUUACCUAUGGCCAAAUAAACCAGAGUCAAACACUUUGUUUUAUUUAUUCAAACUUAUAAAAACAUAAUAUUUUCACAUGUUUAUGUUAUAAACAAAAGAAAAGGUUUUAAUAUAUUUUUCAUGCAAAAUAUAUUUGAUUUAUGCACGAAAAAAAAAAACAUUUUACACAUUUCAAAAUAACAUGUCAAAGGAAAAUCAUUUUCUUUUGCAAAAUCUGCAUUAAUUUCACUUACCUAAAAAAAACAUUUAGAAUCCUUGAAGAAUUUAAUUGUGUAUAAACAACUUUUCAUCUAAUAACAUAAGAAAAACAAUUAUUACUAUUAACUAUUUGAGUAAAAUUAUAAGUUUGAUAAUCCUAAAAAUUUACAUAUUAAUAUUAAUAUUUAUAAGUAUCAAUGAUAAUUUAAUUAAUUUAUUCCUUAUUUAAGUAAAAUUAAUAAAUUUCUAAUUUAUAUAAAACUUUUUCUCAAAUUUGAUUCUAAAAAAAUAUAUAUACAUUACUAAUUUAAUUAAACUACAAUUUUUAUUUCAUUAAUUAAAUUUUAUUUAUUUAUUAACUUAACAUCUAUCCUCAUUAGCAUUAUUAUACCAUCAACUAACCUUCUACUUCACCCAACUCUCAACACCUAAUUAAUAUUGUAUAUAUUUUCCUCAUUCUCCCAACAAAGGUUGGACCCGCUUACUUAUCUUUUUCUGAUUUUAUUUCUUUUCUUUCUUGCACAAACCAAGCUCAUGGCUACACUUCCAAAAAUCACACUGUACACACUCGCCAAGGAACCAAAAGCUAAUUUUUUUUAAACACCCAAAUUCUUUUUUUUUUUUUCCUUUUAUGUUGUCACAUAGGUACCAUCCCAAAUCCAUAAAUCCUUUUUUUCUUUUUCUCAAUACCCUAAGCAUAAUAUAAAUUGAAGAUUUAAGAUAUAUUAUUUAUUUAUUAUUGUUUUAGAUCUACUAAAAAAAUAUUCAGAAUUUCUUACCUUUAUCAAUAAAUCAACAUUUAUUCAUAAAUUUUCACUUUUUUUUAUUUAGAAUUUAAAUAAACAAAUUAUAUCCUAGAUUGAUAUUUUUUAAAGAAUAUUUAAGUGUUUAAAAUUAAUUAACAAAUCUAAAAUACUAAUUUAAGGGUUAAAAUUCUACUUGAAAAAUUAAUUUUCAAACCCUAAACCUCAAAAUCUUCAAUUUUAUAUUGUCUUGUGUUUUUUGAUCUUUUUCUAAUCUCGGUGUAAAAGGGUUUUUGUAUAGAGAAGUAAAAAAAAAAUCUAAUUUAUAUUUAAAGUUUUUAAUGUAAAAAGACCUUUCUAACCUUAUUAAAUUUUUUUUUUCUUUUACUCUAAUUUAUGGUUUUACGCCUAAAAUAAAAUGGGGGGGUGUUACAUAAGGAGCCUAAUAAUUUUUUAAAAUAAAUUGGAACAAAAAAAUCGUGCUAGAACCAAAAUUGUUUGAAAAUGACGACAUCAAUUUCUCGCCUACGCACAAUUAUACUUUUUAAAAUUUUCUUAUUAUGUAAAUGAGUUUCAAAUAAAAUCAUAUUUAAUGCACUAGAUUGGUUAGUAAGUCUAAUGAUUUUUUUAAAAAUAAUUUAGAACUUAAAAAUUGACUCUAUUAAUUUCAAAUUUGCAACCAAAAUAGUUUAAAAUAUCUCAAAUGUAUGUGUAUUAAAAAAAAAAAACUAAAUUAUUUAUAUAACUAGAAAGAGUAAAUUCAUAAUUUAUUUUAAAAAUAUAAUAUUAACUAUUAACAUUUUCUAAAAUAUUAUUAUUCAUUUUAAAAAUAUAUAUAUGGCUUGACAUUAUUAAAAUAUCAGUAUUUGUAUUUUAUAAUAUCCACUAUAUCAUUCUAUUUUUUAAAAAAAAAAUAUAUAUGAUUUUUAUUUUUAUUAUAAUGUUAGUUUCAUAUUUUAUGAAUAUUAUCUGUGUAUUAUUUAUUUAUUUCGUAUUGAUCACUUAGAAUUUAUAUAAUAUUGACAUUCAUUUUAAAAUAAAUUAAGGUUUGUGUGGCUAUUAUUAAAAUACUAUAAUUCAUUAUUAGAAAGUUUAAUAGAUUAUUAGUUAUUUUUUAUAGAAAAAUUGCUAUUAAAAUGUAAGAAAAAAAAAAAAAAAAGGUUUAAUAAAUAAAUAAAUAAAUAAAUAACCAUUUAGCAAGAGGAGUUUGUAUAGUGGGUGAGAAAAAUGAAAUAAAAGCCAUGACGCUAGGAGAUCUCUUUCAUAGCAAUGAAUCUAUUAUAUAAAGGAAAAAUGUGAAUGAACCAUUUGUUGUUAGAUGUUUUCCAUAAGAAAAGUAUGUUUGGAAACUUAAAUGAGUUGAACCUAUUUUUUUUUUUUUUAAAUAACUUUUAUUUACAAUAUUUUAUUUUUUAUUAUUUUUCAUAUUUACAUAAUUAUUAAAAAAAUAAUUAAAAUAUGUUCUUAAAAAACUCUAUGUUCUCAAAAAUAAUAUUUUAUAUUAAAAAUUAUCAAAUUUGUUUUCUAACGGGCAAGACAAUUCCAAACGUAUUCAUAAUUUUCAUAGUAAGAAAUGUGGUUCAAGAUUGGUUGGUGGUUAGUCACUAUCCAUUGAAUUCAUAGAAGUGAACGUUUAUACACCUCAUCUAGCAACAACGGUUCUAUCCUCAUCGUGUCAUGUGCAUAGCAUUUAAUUCACAUUUUAAAAUUCUGAAAUAGAAAAAUGAAAUGAAAAUUAAUAUAAUUUUGAUUUAUUAAUAUAUUUGGAUUAAUUGUUUUAUAGAAUGAGAAUAUGAAUAAAAAUUUUAUUAGUAUAGAAAUCAAAUUCCACUCUCAUGAGGAUUUUGAUUCCUUUGUUCUAUAUUAUAUUGAUUUACCUUAUAUUUGGUGGGUUGAAUAGUAUAUAAUAUGUAUAUCUUAGAAUAUCGUAUCCUCAUCCAUCUAACAUGCUAACGACAUUUAAAACUUUUUAUUUGUUACUCAAAAGUCACUUUUCUGUAAGACAACCAUUACGAAGCACGGCCACACAAUUUCAAUCCGCCCUCGACCGCACGUUCUGAUUGCAAGACCCACUGGCCGCCAAAGUCCCAUCUCUACUACCAGUAUCGUCAUCGCCUUCCCCCCUGGCCAAGCACAAGCGCUCAUCCUCGAUCGACACACCGCCACCGUUAUCAGGAUUCAGGACGAACAGCCACUACAGGUUUGUUCCCUUAUUUACUUGCUUAUUAUUUUUAAUUGAUGGCAUUGGUUGGCUUGGCCUCAAGCUAGAAGUUGCAUGGUCGAGCUGGCUUAGCUUCAAGUAAGAGGUGGCAACGAAGGUUUUAUUGGUGGAGAAAAAAGUGGGGAAAAUAAAUAUCGAAAAAAAAAAUCCCAUUUAAGUAACAUCUCACUUCUACACACUUAACAAUAUUGUAAUGGAAAGGAAACAUUUUCCUUUACUAGAAUAUUUGCGAUAGCUCUAGAGGGUUCAAAAUCUCGGCCGAGGCGGAUAUCCCAUUUAAGUAACAUCUCACUUCUACACACUUAAUAUUGUAAUGGAAAGGAAACAUUUUCCUUUACUAGAAUAUUUGCGAUAGCUCUAGAGGGUUCAAAAUCUCGGCCGAGGCGGACUGUUACCGGACCGAUACCCGAGUCAAAAUCGGUGGAGAAAAUAAGCCAAUUUUCAUCUUCAUCCUUCAAACCUAAGCUUUUGCAUCCUCGUAUAAGUAUUUUUUUUCACCGAUUUAAUGCCUUCAAACCUCAAGAUGAUGUGAGAAGCUGUCGUAGAGAGGUGAAAAGAGUAGUGUUUAGAGAAUGGGUAUUGUGAAAAAAUGUUGUGAGAAGGUGUCUAAGAGUUGAACGGGUAUUGUGGAUAGAAGAUGAAAUGGGCAUUUCGUAAAAAUUGGUCUGUUGGCUGUUGCAGAGAAAUGAGAUUGAGUUAUUUUGAGUGUGUUGCAGAGAGAGAGAGAGAGAGAGAGAGAGAGAGAGAGAGAGAGAGAGAGAGAGAGAGGUUUUUGAUAGAAAUGGGAGAAAGAGAGGAGGUUUUUGACCGGAGUUUGGGAUUAUCUAAAAUUUUGGAAUUAUAAAAAAUGAUUAUAAAUAUUUAAAUCUAUAUGAAAUAAAUAGAAUAUAAAUAUUGAUAUAAAAAUUCUAAAUUAAUGUAUAAAAGUAUAUAUAUUUAUUUUUAAAACUUAUUCAUUUAAAAGAAAAUAAAAUUAAUAAAAAAAUCGGUUUUAUUUGGAAUAUAUUCGAUAAGAAAUUGAUAUUUAUAUUCUUAAAGGCGAUUUAUGGUCAAUUUUUUUAAAUUUUCAAAAUGUUGAAUUUAAAUAAAUAUGAGAUAAAAAUAAUUCUUUUUACUAGUUUUAUCUAAUAUUUAUUAUGAGGCAAUAAAUAAAAAAGUUUUAAAUAUAAUUUAGUAUGCUUGUAUCAGCGUAUGAAUAAUGUUGUCUUUAUAUAUUUAUUAAUUUUUUUAGUUUAUGUUAUUAUAUUUAUUUUUAUGAUAAUUUUAAUAAUUUAUUUACAAAUUUUGGAAUUCUUAACAUAACAUAUUUUACGUAUCAUUCGAUAUUUAGACUAAUAUGCCUUGAGACUUUCUAAGUUGAUGAUCGAUACCGUGACUUUAAACCAUGCUAAAAGGUACGGUUGACCUCUAGGACCGUUUCUCAAAUACCAAUUAAGCUCUAAAAAGCAUUAGGAAUGUGUGAAAGAGUAAUGACAAUACCAACAAUAACAUUAUUUAUACUAAGUACAUUCUAUUAUUCUUGUCUAAAUGGCCAAAUGUUUAAAUUCAUGAUCCCAAGUCUUUAAUGGUUAGUAUAAACCCAAAGAAAUACAUGGAGUAAAUCUAGUAAUAUGUGGAACAAAAUUAUCAACCUAAUAAUUUAAUUCACUAACAAUUUUGCCCUUUGACAAUUUUAUGAUAAAAUAUUGAAUAAAUAAAUCCUCCAAUACUCUCAAAAGGAGUCCUCAAAUCACAUAAUAUCUUGUCUUAACCAAACAUUCUAAGUCAUAUAAUCUUCAAUUAGCUUCUUACAAAUCCUAGAAAUUUUUGACAAUUUGUGACCUACACAUGCUCAAACAAUACUCAUUAAAAGUAAUGUGUGGGAAGAAUAUAUGAUUAUACCUUGAUGAAAGAAAUGAAGGAAAGUCACAAUAUACGAAUCAUAUAUAGACCCAUAAAAUAAAUAGAUUACUAUCACGAAAAAGACUAUAUAUAUAUAUAAAGAAAGAGAGAGCUAGAGAGAGAACAACAUAACAUUUAUAGCAAAUAAAUACAUGACAUGUGCAAAACAUACUAAAAUUAAGAUCCAAAAUACAUUAACUAGAAAUACAUCAAAAUAAAAUAGCAAUAAAGUCCUAGCUAAUCUAGCUCAAGUUGCCGAGUGAAAGGAAUAAUCUAAAGCUUGGACUGUGCAAGGGCAUAUGUCUCGUCAAAAUAAGCUUCCAUGCACAUAAAGCCAACGAUCAUCUUCUCGUUAAACUUGUCAUUGACCUCUUCAAUAGCUGAAGAUUGGUAGCUCCACUAGCCUCUAGUAGUAAAGGUGUCAAAUGGGUCGGCUCACCUAGUUUGGCCUAUGGCUUGACAUGCCAAAGGACUGGGCCGACCCAAUUACUAUAAUUGGUCAUGUUGACAUGACUUGCUCCUUCGGGUUGUGCAAGGCUUAAAGGCACUACUUAUUGUGUUGGCUCAUUGUGUUAGCCCAUCAUGCGCGUCAAUGCCAGCCUACUUAGUUCGUCCAAAUACUACUUUUGCUUAUUUCCUUUUUGCGGGUUAUGCUAGGGUACCGAAAAGUGCUUUUUCGGUACCAUACCCACUUUUUUGGGCUCAUAAGAUGAAGACACAUGGCAUGGAAAAAUAAUAAAAAACUAUACAAAACCAAUUCUUCAGGUCACCAACCGGUUGCCAUGGGAAUUAAUCCCAUGCAACACACAUUUUUACAUCCAUUACAAUAACCAAUUAUAAAUUCCUGUUUAAUGUAAUUAUUUUGUUUGGGGAAUUUUUUUUGUGCAACAGAAAAAUAAAGAGAAAUUUGAAAAAAUAAAUAGCAGUUUUUUUUUGUAAUAUAAAGUGAUUAAACCCAAGAUAAAAAUUAAAUUUUAAAUAAACAAAAAAAAAAUUCAAACUAUUUUGGUGAUAAAAUUUAUAAAUUAAGGAAAAGUAAAUAUAAUUUAUUUUAACAUCAAAUAAUUUGUUGACAAAAUUUGAGAAAUAUUUGAAGUGUGAAAAGCAAUAUAAUUUGUUUAUGAAGUGAAAAAAAAAAGAAAAAAUAUAAAUAAAUUAUAUAAAAUAUAAAUAUUAAAUUUAUAUUAAAUUAAUUGUGUACUAAUUAUUAAUUGAUAAUAUAUGACCAAAUUAUUUCUUAGCGUUUAAAUAGAAUUACACAAAAAAUUAGUUGAAAUAUUGAAAAUACGAAAAAUGUAUAAUUACUAACCAUAUGGAAAUCAAAACGCCUCACAAUAUUUUUUCGUACAUUUUCAUUUUGAAUUUUGAAGAAUCCAUUUCACACCCUCAUACAAGCGGAGAAUGGUGAGGGUUUCUCACAGUCUUCGUACCCUGUCCAAUUUUAUAAUAUUUUUGGAUUUGGAUUUUUCCGAGACUCAUUCAAAUAGCGCCUAAGUGGAAUCAACCUAUUUAAACAAUAUCCAGGCCAUAUGAAGUCCAAAAAAAAUUUUAAAACUUCAAAGAAGUGGAGAUUUGGGAGAGUAUGAAGAAUGUGAGCAUUCCUCACAUUCUGCGUACCUUGUCUAAUUUUUCAAUAAUUUUGGCUUCGAAUUUUUCCGGUACUCAUUCGAACACCAUCUAAGUGGAAUCAACCUAUUUAGACAAUAUCCAAGGAAUAUGAAGUCCAACAAAAUUUUUAAAACUUCAAAUAAGUGGAGAUUUGCGAGGGUACGAAGAAUGUGAGGAUUCCUCACAUUCUUCGUACCCUUGUGAAUUUUUUAGUAUUUUUGGAUUUCGAUUUUUCCGGAUAUCAUUUGACCACCUUCUAAGUGUAACGGACCUAUUUAAACAACAUCCAAGCCAUAAGAUGCCCCAAAAAAUUUUAAAAAGUCCAAAGAAGUGGAGAUUUGGGAGGGUACGAAGAAUGUGAGGAAUCCUCACAUUCUUCGUACCCUUGUGAAUUUUUUAGUAUUUUUCGAUUCCGAUUUUUCCGGAUAUCAUUUGAACACAUUCUAAGUGUAACAGACUUAUUUAAACAACAUCCAAGCCAUAUGAUGCCCCAAAAAAUUUUCAAAAGUCCAAAGAAGUGGAGAUUUGGGAGGGUACGAAGAAUGUGAGGAUUCCUCACAUUCUUCGUACCCUUGUGAAUUUUUUAGUAUUUUUGGAUUUCAAUUUUUCCGGAUAUCAUUUGACCACCUUCUAAGUGUAACGGACCUAUUUAAACAACAUCCAAGCCAUAUCAUGCCCCAAAAAAUUUUAAAAAGUCCAAAGAAGUGGAGAUUUGGGAGGGUACGAAGAAUGUGAGGAUUCCUCACAUUCUUCGUACCCUUGUGAAUUUUUUAGUAUUUUUCGAUUCCAAUUUUUCAGGAUAUCAUUUGACCACCUUCUAAGUGUAACGGAACUAUUUAAACAACAUCCAAGCCAUAUGAUGCCCCCAAAAAUUUUAAAAAGUCCAAAUAAGUGGAGAUUUGGGAAGGUACGAAGAAUGUGAGGAUUCCUCACAUUCUUCGUACCCUUGUGAAUUUUUUAGUAUUUUUUGAUUCCGAUUUUUCCGGAUAUCAUUUGACCACCUUCUAAGUGUAACGGACCUAUUUAAACAACAUCCAAGCCAUAUCAUGCCCCAAAAAAUUUUAAAAAGUCCAAAGAAGUGGAGUUUUGGGAGGGUACNNNNNNNNNNNNNNNNNNNNNNNNNNNNNNNNNNNNNNNNNNNNNNNNNNNNNNNNNNNNNNNNNNNNNNNNNNNNNNNNNNNNNNNNNNNNNNNNNNNNNNNNNNNNNNNNNNNNNNNNNNNNNNNNNNNNNNNNNNNNNNNNNNNNNNNNNNNNNNNNNNNNNNNNNNNNNNNNNNNNNNNNNNNNNNNNNNNNNNNNNNNNNNNNNNNNNNNNNNNNNNNNNNNNNNNNNNNNNNNNNNNNNNNNNNNNNNNNNNNNNNNNNNNNNNNNNNNNNNNNNNNNNNNNNNNNNNNNNNNNNNNNNNNNNNNNNNNNNNNNNNNNNNNNNNNNNNNNNNNNNNNNNNNNNNNNNNNNNNNNNNNNNNNNNNNNNNNNNNNNNNNNNNNNNNNNNNNNNNNNNNNNNNNNNNNNNNNNNNNNNNNNNNNNNNNNNNNNNNNNNNNNNNNNNNNNNNNNNNNNNNNNNNNNNNNNNNNNNNNNNNNNNNNNNNNNNNNNNNNNUUUUAAAAAUGUCCAAAGAAGUGGAGAUUUGGGAUGUGAGGAUUCUUCAUAUUCUUCGUUCCCUUGUGAAUUUUUUAGUAUUUUUCGAUUCCGAUUUUUUCGGAUAUCAUUUGAACACCUUCUAAGUGUGACGGACCUAUUUAAACAACAUCCAAGCCAUAUCAUGCCCCAAAAAAUUUUAAAAAGUCCACAUAAGUGGAGAUUUGGGAGGGUACGAAGAAUGUGAGGAUUCCUCACAAUUUUCGUACCCUUGUGAAUUUUUAAGUAUUUUUGGAUUUCGAUUUAUCCGGAUAUCAUUUGAACACCUUCUAAGUGUAACGGACCUAUUUAAACAACAUCCAAGUCAUAUCAUGCGCCAAAAAAUUUUAAAAUGUCAAAAUAAGUGGAGUUUUGGGAAGGUACGAAGAAUGUGAGGAUUCCUCACAAUUUUCGUACCCUUGUGAAUUUUUAAGUAUUUUUGGAUUUCGAUUUUGCCGGAUAUCAUUUGACCACCUUCUAAGUGUAACGGACCUAUUUAAACAACAUCCAAGCCAUAUGAUGCCCCAAAAAAUUUUAAAAAGUCCAAAGAAGUGGAGAUUUGGGAGGGUACGCAGAAUGUGAGGAUUCCUCACAUUCUUCGUACCCUUGUGAAUUUUUUAGUAUUUUUCUGUUCCGAUUUUUCCGGAUAUCAUUUGACCACCUUCUAAGUGGACCGGACCUAUUGAAACAACAUCCAAGCCAUAUGAUGGCCCAAAAAAUUUUCAAAACUCCAAACAAGUUGAGAAUUUGGAGGGUACAAAUAAUGUUAGGAUUCGAAAUCCAAUUUAAUAGUUUUAUAAUAUUUAUAGUUUAAAUUAUUUAUAUUCAAUUCGACCUUUAUUAUUAACGCACCUUCACAUAAAAUAUAUAACCGCUUGCACGCAACUAAAUGUUGCUUUAUAUGGAUGUUCGUUUACCACAAUGAUGUCCCUUCAAAGAAAGAGCAAUUACAUGUAGCAAAAUACCAAAUGGCCUAUCAAUACAUGAAUCUAUGGAAGAAUCGAAACAAAUUACAACUUAUACAAGGAAAUGUGAACCGGUCGACCGGUUAUCUUCUACCGGUUUCCUACUUAUCUCAACCGGUAGCCACUGCCCAUUUGAGAAUCAAGCAACCAAAAGGGCCAGUGGCUACCGGUUGAGAAAAGUACGCAACCGGUAGCCACUAACCGGUCGACCGGUUAAUAUCAUUCACUUCUUUGGCCUUUUUUAAAUUUUGUGGGGCAUCAUAUGGCUUGGAUGUUGUUUAAAUAGGUCUGUUAUACUUAGAAUGUGGUCAAAUGAUAUCCGGAAAAAUCGAAAUCNNNNNNNNNNNNNNNNNNNNNNNNNNNNNNNNNNNNNNNNNNNNNNNNNNNNNNNNNNNNNNNNNNNNNNNNNNNNNNNNNNNNNNNNNNNNNNNNNNNNAUCCUUGGGAAUUUUUUAGUAUUUUUGGAUUCCGAUUUUUUCGGAUAUCAUUUGACCACCUUCUAAGUGUAACGGACCUAUUUAAACAACAUUCAAGCCAUAUGAUGCCCCCAAAAAUUUUAAAAAGUCCAAAGAAGUGGAGAUUUGGGAGGGUACGAAGAAUGUGAGGAUUCCUCACAUUCUUCGUACCCUUGUGAAUUUUUUAGUAUUUUUGGAUUUGGAUUUUUUCGGAAAUCAUUUCACCACCUCCUAAGUGUAAUGAACUUAUUUAAAUAAUAUCCAAGUGACAUGAAGUCCCAAAAAUUUUUAAAAACUUCAAACAAGUGGAGAAUUGGGAGAGUACGUAAAAUGUAAGGAUUCCUCACAUUCUUCGUACCCUUCCUAAUUUUUUAGUAUUUUUGAAGUAUGAUUUUUUCGGGCAUCAUUUUAACACCCCUUUAGUGUAAUGAGCCUAUUUAAAUAAUAUUCAAGUCAUAUAAAGUCCCAAAAAAUUUUAAAAGUAUCAAAGAAGUGGAGAAAUGAGAAUGUACGAAGAAUGUGAGGAUUCCUCACAUUCUUCGUACCCUUCCUAAUUUUUUAGUAUUUUCGGAUUUUGAUUUUUUCCGGCAUCAUUUGAACACCUCCUAAGUGUAAUGAACCUAUUUAAACAAUAUCCAAGUCAUAUGAGGUCCCAAAAAAUUUUAAAAGUAUCAAAGAAGUGGAGAAAUUAGAGGGUACGAAGAAUGUGAGGAUCCUCACAUUCUUCGUACCCUUCCUAAUUUUUUAGUAUUUUAGGAUUAUGAUUUUUUACAGCAUCAUUUGAACACAUCCUAAGUGUAAUGAAACUACUUAAACGAUAUCAAAGUCAUAUAAAGUCCCAAAAANNNNNNNNNNNNNNNNNNNNNNNNNNNNNNNNNNNNNNNNNNNNNNNNNNNNNNNNNNNNNNNNNNNNNNNNNNNNNNNNNNNNNNNNNNNNNNNNNNNNNNNNNNNNNNNNNNNNNNNNNNNNNNNNNNNNNNNNNNNNNNNGUACGAAGAAUGUGAGGAUUCCUCACAUUCUUCGUACCCUUCCUAAUUUUUUAGUAUUUUCGGAUUUUGAUUUUUUUCGGCAUCAUUUGAACACCUCCUAAGUGUAAUGAACCUAUUUAAACAAUAUCCAAGUCAUAUGAGGUCCCAAAAAAUUUUAAAAGUAUCAAAGAAGUGGAGAAAUUAGAGGGUACGAAGAAUGUGAGGAUUCCUCACAUUCUUCGUACCCUUCCUAAUUUUUUAGUAUUUUUGAAGUAUGAUUUUUCCGGGCAUCAUUUGAACACCCCUUGAGUGUAAUGAAUGUAUUUAAACAAUAUCAAAGUCAUAUGAAUUCCCAAAAAAGUUUAAAAGUAUCAAAGAAGUGAAAACAUGAGAGGGUACGAAGAAUGUGAGUACCCUUCCUAAUUUUUUAGUAUUUUUGAAGUAUGAUUUUUCCGGGCAUCAUUUGAAGACCCCUUGAGUGUAAUGGACUCAUUGAAACAAUAUCCAAGCCAAAAGAGGUGUUACCUAAUCACAUGGCCAAAAAAACUACUUUCUAAUAAGUGGAGAACAAUCUAUGCAUGAAUCCAACACUUUAACAUCUUAUUUCAUUAUCUAUGAAGCGGUCGACCGGUUAAAUGCUACCGGUUGACCUAUUUUCUCAACCGGUUGACACUGCUAUUUCUUAUGAUGAAGCACCAAAAUGGCCAGCGUCUACCGGUUCCAAAAAAAUUGCAACCACUUCGUAUGGUGGUCGACCGGUACACGAAUAUCCUUUAGAUGUCAUUUAGGUUUUUGAUCCGGUGAUUCGUACACUCAAAUGGUAUUACCCAGUUAUGACAUAGAUUGCAUAAUUUAAUGUUAAAAUUUAAGGUAAAUAAGCUAAAUUAAAUAAUCUUUUCUAGAUGGUGUAAGGGGAAAAGAGAUUUGUUUCUACUCCUGCAUUAGACAUACACGUUUGAUAAGAUCACUUCCAUCUUGUAUACAUCCAAUUAAUUUAGGGUAUGUGGGAAUGAGAAUGAUAAAUCAAUUUCAUUUCUUAUUUAUUAUUAAAUUUGGAUUAUAAUUAAAAGUGAAAAAUUCAUUCUUAUAGAAAUCAAGAGUCUAUUUGAUUGUGUGAUAUAAAAUUGUUCCUAUAACAAUUGUUUCCCAAAAUUUAUAAUACUGAUUUGAGAUUAAUUUUUUAGAAACAGUUUUAAAAAACAAAGUGAAUAGAGAGUGAUUUUUAUAAAAUUAAUUUAAAAUAAUAUAUAGAAAUAAUUUAUUGAUUUUAAAUUUUUUUUGUUAUCCUACUUCGCUUUCCUUUGACUUUUCUUUUUUACUUUCUUUUUCUCACAUUUUUCUCAAAUUUUUCAAAAACCAAAGACAAUCUUAAAGGCUAUAUUUGAUUCUCAAAAAAUACUAGGAAAAAAAUAUAUUAAAAAAAUACUUUCCUCAUAUUUGAUUUCACUAUAAAAAAUUAUAAAAGAAAAUCAAAUAUAAUUAAAAUUAAUUAAAUUUUUAUAUAUUUUUAAAUUAUUUAAUCUUACUAUAGUAAAAAAAAAAAAAAUAAGUACAAUGAGCUUAAAUAUAUAAAAAUAAUUUAUUAAAUUUAAAUUUAUUUUUUAUUUUCCUUUAUUUUUUCUUUCCAUUCUACUUUUCCUUUCUAUUUUCUUUCAUUCCCAUUUUCCCUCGAAUUUUCCGAAACCAAACAUAACCAAAAGUUCAAAUCUAUAUAUAUCAUAAAAGCCUUUCUUAUCAUUUGGCAUUCUACUCUGCUUCUACAAACCAUACAAUCAAAAACUGUUUUUUCUCAUACCUUACUUCCACUUGGAAGAUUAUUGAAAGGCUGACAAAUUUUAUCUUGAAAGAUAUUGUCAAUUGAUUGAUCCUUGUGUCCAAAGUUUUCUAGUCAUCCAUUUUUCUUUCUUCCAUCCAACAUAAUGGACUCAUUUUUCCUAUUAUUUGAGAUUCGUCCCAGUAGUUAUUACACUGCUGAUCCAUAUUUGCCACCAAGCUAGUAGCACAGAUCUGAAGUUCCUAGAAGUCGACACAUUUAAUAGAAAUGUUCCCUCAACUUUUGAGGAUACAAUAACAGACAGCUUAAUGUUUAUUGGCACCUUACAGAUCAUGAGAUUCAACAAGCAUUGAAUUGAUCUGAGAUGAAGUCUUUAUUCCUUCUUAGCAUCUGCCUCAGGUAGAAGGCUUUGAUCCUUCCAAGUCCAUCUUCGAGAGAAGGUCGAUCAAUGGCAAAAGUUACUCGAGGCCAGUUCUUCAUUCCCACAGCUACACCUGCAACAAAUACCCCAAAAUGAUUAGACCCACUUCGUUUUUGUAAUCCACUAUACAAGCAACUAAAACUAAAGUAGGGUUGCAACUCCGAUGGGUUCAGUCCGGUUGAUAGCUAACGCAAACCUAACCUGAAUUAAAAAACAAUUAAUCUAAGUCCAACCCAACUCGCCCUUUAAUAUAAGGUUCUCAACCUUAUUUUUCUAAGCUCAAAAUGAGUUUUGAGUUAUAUAGACUAACAUGCAUUAUAAAUAUUAUAAAAAUAUCAAAUCGGUCUAGAGUUAGGCUUUGGUUAUUGGAUCAUUGACCCAUGUCUAACCCAAAGUGAGUUAGGUUGAAAAAAUUUGACUCAAGUCUGUCCAAACAUCGAGUUGGGUCGGAGCAUCCUAAGCUAACCAAGGUUGCUUGCUUCUUACCUGUAAGGACAAUCACUGAUUCCUCUUUAGACAGCUUCAUACACAACUCUACAUCAUCAUCAAUGUCUUCCAAUAGAGACAGGUUCAGCUUGACCUGCAAAGAAACCAUAAUUGACAAUAAUCAUCUCAAUAUUCUGAAGUGCAAAAUAUAUCAUGUUUUCUUUCUCCCUUUACCAUUACAAACAUGGAUCCUUCCGGCUUUUGCGGGCAAGUAAUGCAGGGGAUAUCCUUGAUUCUCUCAUGAAUUAUGUCUGCACAUUCUCCAAGUAUGAUGAUAGUGUUUGAGAAGAAAUCCUCUUUUGUUUUCUCCAGGAUCUCUGGAAAUGCACCCUGAUAAAUGAACCAAAUCAUUUAGCAGAGUGUUCGAUCUCUUUAAGAAAUGAAGAACGGAAAAAAAAAUAAAUGGCAUGCUCCCUUACAAACCUGAAUAAAAGUUGUGGGAUCAGAAGAAAUAUUGAGACAAUUUAUAAUGCUCUCAAUAACCUGAAAUGAAAAGCAACAAAGAUGUAGUAAAAUUGAACCGGUCGACAGGUAAUUGGCAGCCGGUUGACCUGUGAACUCGACCGGUAGGCACUGGUCAUUUCUUCAUGCACCACCCAAACUGAUCAGUGGCUACCGGUACCAAAACAACUUGGUACCGGUUGAUGCAUUUUGUCGACCGGUUGGUAACUAUCAGAGAAUCAAAAAAUGCGGUAAUUUAUAUUUAUUUAAUAUACUUCAUGUCAUUUAAUUGUGAGCAUUUCAAUUUAUCAUGAUGCCGUAAUUGGUAGUUUAACAUGGUAUUAGAGUUUUGGUUAAACAGUCUAUCCAACAACUCAUACCGUUUGAAUCGUCUAAGAAUGCCAAUGGAUAUUCUCAGAUGGAUUAAACCCAAAUUUGAUCAUAGGGAUGAAAUAACUUUGUUAAUUUAACAUGUAUUUGUUUUUUUUUUUUUAAAAAAAAAAGAAAACUUAGUACCAUUUUUUUUUAUUCUUCGAUAUCUGAACUUUAUUAAACCUUAAAUUUGAUAAAGUAAAUUAAGUACUGAAAUGUCUUAAGUUUUACGAAAGACCCGUUAGUAUUAAUAUAUUAGUUUUGCGAAAUAGGGGCACCCUUCGGCUAACAAUCUCCCCCUAUUUGAUGAUGACAAACCUUCCUUAUCUAGGAGAGAAGAAAUCUCCCCCUCAAUCCAAACAUGGAUCAAUUAAAGCGAAAAUUAUAAAUGACAUGCAAAAUUUGAAUAGGAGACAAUGUGAAUUCUGAAAAUAUCAUAUCAUAUAUAAUAAUAUCGCAUAUACACAACACAAGACUAAUGAUAUGGAAAUGUCAUGCAUGUGUGUGCCCCCUAGACCCUUUGGCAACAUAAAAAAGAAACGAAGGGGAGGGGGGGGGUCUCGAACAUAUCAAGGCGGAGGUGGAGGAAACACUGAGCGAAGGUAGGCCAUCAUCUCCUCAUGCUGGUGAUCCAUACGCUCCUCAAGACGGCCAAGUCUCUGAUCUAGAUGCUCAAACUGAGAGGUCAUCUCCUCAUGCUGGUGAUCCAUACGCUCCUCAAGACGCCCAAGUCUCUGAUCGAGAUUCUCAAACUGAGAGGUGAAGCCGGUCUGAUACUCAUCUAUGCGAUCCUCCAUAGAGUGGCAACGAGUAUCAUUGACGACUGCAAGCUCCUCCAUACGAGUCCUGAGAGAACUGAUCUGAGCGGAUAAAUCCAUCCAAGGCGCAUGAUCGGGUGCGUGAGGUGCCUGAAAUGGUAUCUCUAUGUGAGAAGGCUCAGAUGGUCCAGCUGUGUAUGUCGGCUUAGAUAUCAUCGGCUCAGGAGGAGGAAUGUCACACUCAGGCAUGCUCUGCUCAAAGUCCCUCUGAGGGUCUAGCCCACCCUCCAUCUCUCCAAUCUCGGCCUCCUCCUCAUCUUCAGGAUGCAGCUGUCCCCGCCCCUGGUCCUGUGGCGGUGGUCGCUCAGCUCUCCUGAUCCAAGAGCCAUCAGGGGCCUUUUCAAACUUCAUCCGGGCAAGAGACUGCUCGUCAUAUGUGUCAUACGUGGUUGGGGCCUCGAAAUCUGUCUCGCGGCUCAAAUCAACCCCGGCAUCCUUGAAUACUCUCGUGAGGAAGCGACCAUAGGGGAGGACGCGGGUCUUGCUCUCACAGCAAGAUAUCAUAUGCAUCAUCAUUAGGUACCCGACAUGAAUCCGUCUCCCUGUCAAAAUGGAAUCCACUAUGAAAGCCUCGAGGUAGGCUACCUCGUCUAGAUGUCCGCCCCGUGGCAACAGAAUGGUGCACACCAUGUGAUGAAGGAUACGGCUAAUCACUGUCAGACUAUGUGCAGAGGGUUUGCCCAUCCCCUGGGCAUCGGCAAGUCCACACAGCCUCUGAAUAGCCUCUCUGGGCUCAAAUCCCGGCACCGUGGGCCACACCUUGGACUCAUACACCCUGAGUCCAACUGAUGGUAUAUCGAAAAUCCGGCAAAUGCUCUCCGGACUCAAGGUGAUCUCAACUCCUCUGACAGUCGACGUGAUCGGUCCUCCAAUCCCGUAGGUCACCCGUGAGUAGAAAGUGCGAAUCAGAGUCGGGAAGAUAGGCUCCGAAAUAGUCACCACUGGCAGCCAUCUCAUCCGUCCAAAAAUCUCCUCAAAUCCAAAGUACUUAAGCUGGGAGAAAUUGAUGCUUCUCCCUGGAACAACUUUCCUCUGGGCAAAUUUUUGUUUAUAUCUCUGGUAGUCUUCGACAGAGGCGAAAAGAGCGGUGUCGUACCUCGCCUUUCGGCGAGCCUCGGACUGAUCUGGCUGAGAUGGCUCAGCAGGGCGCUUGCCCUGAGCCCUGGAAGCGGCUGACUCUCUCCUAGGUGCCAUCCGAAAGGCUGAGAUGAAGGAGACGAGGCUGAAGAGAGGGAUGCACACACACCUGAAAGGCCUCAAGAGCAGGAAUACACUGACGCAGGCUCUGAAACGCCAACUGAGGAGGAAAUCGCCCAAAUGCGCAGCCCUGAGUCCCAAAAUCCAAAACCCUAGACUCCACAAUCCAAUCCGUACGUCUCAGAAGGCUGUAAUGGCAUAUAAAAUCCCUUGAGGGGAGCUGGAACGGCACAAGGCUUGAAGCACCAGAAGAAAUGAAUGAGAAACUGAGGCGCGGGAGGCGCUUUAAAUUCUCACCCCGACGAACCGGUCGACCGGCACCGGCACGGUCACCGCGGUCAACACAUCGAUUUUUGUCCUUUUCCUUGUCUCAAUUUUAAAUUAUCACCAAUUUACACUUAACAUGUUUUUUUUUUUUUUUCAUAUCUUAGUUAUUUUUAAAAUUUUCAUAGAACCAGUAUGUUAUUUUAAAUCUCAUUUAUUUAAUAUUCAUAAAUAAUUUUUUCUUUUUACCUUUUUAUAUAAAUUUUAGCUUCCAUAAUUUCUGAAUUGAUAUAUUGUUUUUGUUGAUUUUCUUAUAGAUUCUAACUUUAAUAUUGAAAAUUUAUUAUUAAACAUAAAAAAAUGACAUACAAUUGUGUUUAAGUACUAAUAUAAUAUAAGAUUAUUACAAACAUAUAUAUUCAAGCUUGUUUAGUUUAAAGUUAUAGACCUUAUGAAAAAAUCAACACAAAUUCUUGAAAAGCAAAAAAAAAAAAAAUUAUUUAUUAAAAAAAUCACAAAAGACAAAUUAAUAUAUGAAAAGAACUAAAAUUAUUAUUAUUAUUAUUAUUAUUAUUAUUAUUAUUAUUAUUAUUGAAUUAAAAAAGUGUUAACUGCCUCAAGAUGUACUUUAUAGUGUGAGUGCAAAAAUUGACUUACUAUGCUGACUGCAAAUGCAAUAUCUGGUCGGGUGUGAGAUAAAUAAAUCAGUUUUCCCACCAACUUCUGGUACCGAGUUGUAUUCACAAGAUUUCCAUGAUGGGUUGGAAACGGGCACAUUCAUGACUAAAUGAGGAAAGUGAAGAAUUGGAGUUUCCAUGCCCUCAAUGUGGUAAUAUUAACUAUCUACAGAAUAAUAUGUUCGGAAAUUGUAUGCUUAAUUGAUUUGAUCGACUGCAAUAUGGCAUGCACACAUUUACUUACCAUCAAUCUGAACUGGUUGUUCUGUUGCAUUAUUUAUUAGUUGUAUUACUGCAAGAAGUUGCUAUCAUGUAUUGAUGACUGUUACUUGCAUGAUUUAGAUAAUCUCAUGAAAAAUUUUUUUAAGUAAUGAUAUAGACAAAGUGUAAGGUUCAUUCAAUGGAUUCUUAUGAAUUGUGAAUAUUUGGUCCUAAGAUGUUUUGCUGCUUGAUUUUUUUGUUUGUAAUAUAGUUUAACUAAUUCAUUUACAAACAUCAGGUGCUGAAUAUGCUGGAUUCCUGUGCAACCCUAACACUGUCCACCUACAAUGUCAUGCAUGUGGAGGAAUGAUGCCUUCCAGAAAUGAUAUUGGUGUACCACAACACUGUAAAUACUUACCAACACUAUUGUUAUUUUGUUGGUUUUGUUGUCUUGAUGGCUAUUUGUGAGUUUGCUUUCCAUAUUACAAUUUCUAUCUUGAAAUCAGGCAAGGAUUCUGCUUGUAUCUAGGGUACUAUCUAUUAUUAUGUAAAUAUUGACCAACAGUUUGGGUAGUUUGAAUCGAGGUUUUGGACUUUAAACUUUGGUUUAAAUUGUAAUCUUUGUAAAAGUGGAAUAAACAAGUUUAUAUUUGAAGUCAAUAUAGUAUUUAAGGGUAUCCUUUGUUCUAAACUCAAAAUAUUUUCAUAUUCUUUUGAAGUAGAAUUAAUUGCUUGAGGAAUGAAAUGAUGAUCAUAGAUACUUUGAGAUAUGUUGAGGUGCUUAUUGGCAUACACAAAGAUUUGGUGGAAGUGACUCUCAUUUUUUGGUGCUCCUGGUUUGCUCACGUCGCCGUUUAAAUGACCAAGCUUGCCUCUGCUAUCUAUUGCUAGCAAGAAUGAAAAUAGUUGGGAAAAGCUUCUAGUAAGUCUUAACCGGUCGACCAGUUAAAUGCAACCGGUAGACACUGGCCAUUUCUUGAUGCACGUCCCAAAAUGGCCAGUGGCAACCGGUUGCAAACCAAUUUGAUACCGGUUGAGGGUGUUCCUCGACCGGUUGACACUGCCAAAUUUUUCCCCCAAAACCCAAAUGGGCACAUGCUACCGGUAGCAAAACAAACUACUACCGGUUGAUGCAUAGCAAAACAAAUAAUGAUGAAGUAGCUUGGAAAUGUAAAGAAAGAAAUGAAAGUAGGCUACUUAAUUAGAAUCAUCCACAAGGAAAAAAAAGUGAUAAGGUCUAGGUUAUAAAAAUUCCACUACAUCAUACUGACGUAUGCAUAAAUUGAUGAGAUUCAGGCUAAGAGGUGGAUGAAUUCAUAGCAGUUCCAUAAGGGACAAGAAACAAAGAAGCCAUAUUUCAUGGACUUGUAGAUAGCUUUUAAUAAAGAGCCAUAUUUCAUGGACUUCAAUGGCCCCAUAUGUCUGUAACACAAAAGUAGGGUCAUAACUCAAUUCAAGGAAUAGAUAGUGGUUAGAGAAUACCUUACACAUUGUUUUUUCAUCAUAAAAUCCCACUUUACCAAUAAAGCGGCCUUUGUGUAAACAUAGCUGCAAAAAACAUUGUUCUCUUCCAUGGGAAUAUCUGGCACUCCAAACAAUAAUUUUAAGAAGGCUCUCAUUUACAUCGAUUUGACUUUUACAUUUUAGAUCAUGCACCAACUUCUUGUGUAUCAAAUCCAGGCGUUCACAGUCCAAACAUUCCCCCAAAAGCAAGUAUCUCCUUCACUUAUUAUUUUUUAUUCGCUUUUGUUUUUUCUUCCAGUGGAAGGGUUUAAAAGUAUAGAAAAUAGAGUAUAGUUGAGGGGAAUUAAGUUGAGAAUUUCAAGUUCCUUUAGAUGUGAUUUGAAAACAAAGAUGAGAUCUUUGAGUAGUGUAGGACUUGGUCUCAGCAUAGUUUUUGGGUGCCUUCUGUUAGCUCUAGUUGCUGAGCUUUACUACUUGCUCUGGUGGAAGAAGAGGCUCACCAGCACAGAGAUGGAGGAUGAUUACAGCAGCCCAGCAAGGGAGCUCCUGUACAUGUACUGUUGGAAGAAGCCAUCUUCUUUGAGCUCCAGAGCUCUCAAUCCCCAAGAACUAUGCUCUUCAGACAGAGUAACUGACACCCAUGUGCUUGAACCACAUCAGGCUCAUCAUCAGCUUCAUAUGCAUGGAAAAGAGGACUAUUUGCUCAAGCCCUUUGGAGAAGAAACCAUGGAGACUGAACUCAUGAGAUUGCAUGAUCUCUCUGGCCCUCCAAGAUUUCUCUUCACCAUCAAGGAAGAAACAAAGGAGGAUUUAGAAUCUGAAGAUGGGAAGUCUAGAGGUGAUAAGAGUGCAAAGGGGUCAAGAAGUAGGAGCCUGAGUGAUCUUCUUCUAACAGUGGAGACUCCAUUUUUGACACCUCUUGCUUCUCCACCAUUUUUCACUCCUCCUCUUACUCCUAUGGACUCCUCUUAUAACCACCAAGGAGUCAACCCGCUCUUUGAAUCAGCGGCAGAUGCUGAUCAGUUUAGCAAAAUAAGUUCAUCACCACCUCCCAAGUUCAAGUUCUUGAAGGAUGCUGAGGAGAAACUCCACAGAAAAGUAAUGGAAGAAGCCAAAAAGGAGCAGUUGCAGUUUGAAGUGUCUGCAGAUUUUGCAGUUAAUCCUCCUUCCUCUUCAAAGCUUCACAAGGAUGAAGAAGAUGGAUCGUUUAUCACCAUUGUUGUUGCUAAGAACAAAGAGAAAGACCUCACUCAUCAUUCAAGCUCUUCACAGAUACUUCCUCUGGUUUCUUCCCCUUCAACAUUCGACCCACCAGCUAGCAAGAAACCCAUCUUGCACCACAGCUUCACAAAUUAAAUAUUUCCUUAGUUUCAUUUUAUGACUGAAUUUACUGAUUCUUUUUUUUUCUAGAGAUUUUGGGUUUUCUCUUACUACAUUUUAUGAUUGUCCUUGGCAUGCAAAAUAAAGACACAAAAUAGAUAGAACAACUAAAUAAAGGGUUUUGAAUUAGAGUGAGCCUUUCUCCUUUAAAGAUAUAUUGUAUUUUUCUUAUAUCUAGUCUUUUGUGGAACCUGUCUUUCACUCCAUUUGAAGCCACCAUAGAUUUAAAAGGGGUACUAAGAGGAAGACCUAAGUAAGUAGACAGAAGACCACCCGCCUUAUAACCAAUCUCUAAAGGCCACUCUUCUAAGUUCUCCAUCAUUUCCAUUGGAAUUAAUUUGCUCUAAUCUAGAUUAAUUUACAACCUUAAUAUAGCCUCAAACCACAUAAAAUCGACUCAAAUAAGUCAUUUGGUUCAAAGAAGACUUACAGGAAAAAAUAGGAUCAACAACAAACAAAUUGUUGGACAGAAGUAAACACUACAGCUGCAGAUGGAUGUGUAAUGGAAAUUUAAAGGCUCACAACAAUGGAAAUCAAUGGCUCACAAGUGAGGAUUAAAAAUUAAAAGUUAAAACAGUGCCCUUAAUGGGGAAGUCAAAAGUGAUCCAAUGCCAUCGGCCUGUUAGAAGCAAUCUCAUUUUCAUGUAUAGCACCAUUCUAGAAUUGAUAUUUGAACUUCAAGUCUAUGCAAAACACAAUGGAGAUAUUUGUUUUCAUAAGACAUCCAAAUGCACCUCAAAUAAGAAUGUAUUUAAAAUAGUAAAUAAAGAAUGGGUUUAAUAAGGAAACGAGAGGGCCAAAAGUCAGUACGAUAAUUCAUGCAAGCAGGCAAGCAUAGCUCACCCUAUUGUAGUAAGUUGUAACCGGUCGACCGGUUUAAUACGACCGGUUGACCAGGUAACUCGACCGGUAGACACCGGUCAUUUUUUGGUGGGAUUCCCAAAAUGGUCAGUGGCUACCGGUUGCAAACCAACAUGCGACCGGAUGAUGCUAUUUAUCGACCGGUUGACACUGCCAUUUUUUUUCCCCCAAAACCAAAAGCGGGACUUGGUACCGGUUGAUGCAUUGCCUCAUCCGGUUGAAAAUACCCAAGUUUUAUUAAAAAAAAUAUAGUAGGCUGACCAUAUUCGUAGAGAUUAUAGUAGAUUAGACAAAGGGAGGAGAAUACAUACGUUUUACGAUGAACCAAUACUGAGUAUAACCUUCCUAACGUAUGAUUCUUCUAUGGUUUUGAUGGAAAUAGUCAUAACCUUCCUUUUGCCAUCCGAAACCAGGGAUUUCAGACUCAGUAUUUAAAAUACAAAAAUUUUCAUGGCACCCAAAUGGGAACCUACAUUAUGUGAUGUCUACCAACAAUUUAAAAUAUAUAGAAGAAGGUUUCAAGAGAUGAAAAUAACCUAUAUAUCAAGAGCUAUAAACAAAAUAAGAUAGGUAAUAUAUAUACAUGUAGAGGAAAAUACAUCAUCCAUAUACCAUCAUUUGCAUUGAGCGAAUACAUUUACGCCAUUUAUGUGAAUGGCCGAUGACAACAUCCAUAAGUAAUACGAGAAGUCAUAAUAACAAAAGGGCAUUUAUAUUAGCCAAAUGUCAAAAAACAGAAUGAAAGUUUAAUAACUAUAAAACUAGUACAAAAUGUAGAAGGGGUCAUUAAUGGUCUGGUCCAUGAAGCGGGAAGUGGGAUCGGAAGAAGACCAUCAUCUCAUCAUGCUGGCGUCGUAUAACUUGCAUACCCUCUUUCACUUCCUCGUGUAAACCAUCAAUGCGAUUCUCCAGAGAUGUCAACCGUUGGUCAUUGGCUAAUACAAUCUCCUCCAAGCGGGUACCAAGGGACUUAAUCUGGGCAUUGAGGUUAUCUGAUGCCUCAGAGUCGUCCGGUCCAAUUAGUGAAGGAUGAUUUGUUAACGCCCUAGCUCUUACACCACCUGUUGACGGUAUUUGUGUGACAUUUGCUUUUGCAUGAGUUCUUCCCUGUACAUCCUGAUCUUCAUAUUCUUCAUCGUCGGAGGGCCCAUUGUCUGAAGAGACGUCAACCUCUGAGGGGGGAACGGAAGACUUCCUUGCCCAUGAACCAUCUUUCUUCCGUACAAAAUGCAUGCGCCGAAGUGAAGCCCGAUCAUAUGUAUCAAAUGAUUUGAGUUUUUUCCCGUCUGUCUCAUUGCGCAAAUUGACAUCGAAGUACUUGACAAUCUUUGUGAUAAACAUGCCAUAGGGGAGAACUGAAUCUUCGCUGAUUGAACAUGCUUUCAUAUGUUGGAAAAUUAUGUAACCAAUAUUAACCUUUCUUUCUGUGAGAAUGCUGUCAACCAAAAAAGCCUCCAAGAAAGAUACAUCAUCGCGGUGCCCUCCUUUAGGGAUGAAAAUGUACGAUAUCAUGUGAUGUAGGAUACGACUCAACACAGUCAACAAAUGGGAAGUUGGUCUAUCAGCUCUCGGGUAACCACAUAGCCUCUGUAAAGCUUCUGCAGGUUUGAAACCUUCCACCCUUGGCCACUUCUUAGCUUCAUACAAACAAACCCCUUCGUUUUGGAAUCUCUAAAAUCCGAUAAAGUGCAGCAACAUCAAAAACGAUCUGUACACCGUUAAUUGUGGUAGUAAUGGGUCCUUCGUCUUCGAAUGUCAUAUUGGAGUAGAAACAUUUCACAACCUUGGGAUAAACGAACUCAUUGACGGAGACAAUCGGAAGCCAACCCAUUCUGGCGAAAAGCACAUCAAAAUGGAAAUAACUGAGCUUUGCAAAAGCAAUGUUCCUACCCUGGAUUACGGUCCGAUUCGCAAAGUGAAGAUGAAAUCGUUGGGCUAGGUCAGGGGUUGCGAACAUAGAUCGAUCAAAGGUGGCCUUCUUACGAACCUCCGGACUUGCUUCCACGGCCGGAUGUUUACCAUUGUUGGGGGUGCGUUUUGCUCCAUGGGAGGUGUUGUGGGUGCUUUCGCUUGGUUGUUGUCGGUCGGAGGUCUUUUUGUUGGUCCCGCGCAUCCUUGAUACCGCCGGCCUCUUCCCUUUCCGACCGGGUGAGGAUGCUUCGACCGGUGCUCGUUUUGGGGGCAUGAGUAUUCAGAUGGGCUUCAGCUAUUGCGUGAGGAUGAAGAAGACUGAAGUGGAAGACGGACGGGUUCAGGUCUCGCGCGAGGAUGAAGAAGAAUGGAGUAGAAGACAAAGGGGUUGAGGGGUAGAACUGGUUUGAACAUCGGUCGACCUUCGUGGAAAGACAUCCAGUUUAUGAACUAAUUAAAUUUUAAUUAACUUGAUGUCUUACAUUAUAUUUGCUACACUUUUAAUGUAAAAGUUUCCAUAUGAACUGAUUAAACCUAUAAUGGAUUAAAUGAAUAAAUAUUUUGAUGUACCUUAAAGAAAUUAAUUGAAGUUAAUUUCACAAAAUUUAUAUUAAGAAAAAUAAAAUAUGACAACUUAAGUUAAUUAAAUCAUAUAAAUUAACUAAUCUUUUUUAUAGGUACGGUAUAGUCUAAUGAACUCACUAAGAUAUAGUCACACCUAAUAGAUUAAAAUUGUAAUUAACUAACAUAUACUACCAUAGAGGCAUCAAAAUUAAUUAUGGUUCUAUGACAAAAUGUUCGAACAAGUACGAUAUACCAUCGUGAGUGAAAUAAAUUAAUGAAUCUGAAUUUAUUUAAAAUUUCCAUAAGUAGAAUAUCAUAACUUAUCUCAUUUUACGUAAUUAAGUGUAAUUAACCUACCUUUCUCAUGUCAAUGAUAUAUUAUGAAGCAUUAAUUAAAAAUAAAUUACGUUAAUUCAUGGAAAAAUAUAGUGUAAUGAACUCACUAAGAUAUACUCAGACCUAUUAGAUUAAAAUUGUAAUUAACUAACAUAUACUAUGAUAGGGGCAUUAAAAUUAAUUAUGGUUGUAUGAAAAAAUGUUCGAAUAAGAACGAUAUACCAUGGUGAGUGACAUAAAUUAAUGAAUCUGAAUUUAUUUAAAAUUUCCAUAAGUAGAAUAUCAUAACAUAUCUCAUUUUACGUAAUUAAGUCUACUUAACUAACCUUUCUCAUAUAUAGGAUAUAUUAGGAAGCAUGAUUUUUAAAAUAAAAUACCGUUAAUUGAUGAAAAAAUAUAGUAAGUAGGAAACGGUAUCAAAACAUAGUUACAAUAAAUUGGCUAAACAACAGUAACAAAUGUCAAUAUUAUCAAUUAAGUCCAUAUCUCCCCUUUAUAUUUUCUUAAGUUAUACAAUUAUCCAUUUGCAAUGGGUGUAAAAAAUAACCACAUUAGGCUGACUUUCCCAACUGAUAUAAAUGUUAUAUUUAAUGGCACAUAAAAAACUGAUGCAAAUAUCCAAACUAUCAACCACUAAGUGUACCAUUGUGGUGGUAGGUUUUCAACAUGUGGCAGCCUAUUAAAAAAUGUAAUAACUCCAGCAACCAAUCACAUUCAUAUCUUAGUAUAUAUUUGGGGGAGUUUUAGUAUUGUAAGAACCUUAGCAUCUGAACGAGGGCUGCUAUUUGUUGGAGAACAGGUCACAAAAAACAUCCAGAAGACAAAUCUUCAGGUCAAGCUGCAUCACACUUGGACCUUCCAUUUUAACGGUAUGAUCUUUAGCUCAAUAAAGAAUAGGUAAACAAAUCCAUAAUACAUUUUUUAAGCUUAAUGCCUUCAUCUUUGAAAUGGAUGGGGGAAUAUUUCGAAAACCUAAUAGUGAUUUUUAAAUGGUAUGUAUUGAUGUUAAAGAGUUUGGAUUUUGAUUGUCUAAAGCACAUUGUUAGUAAUAUGCAUCAGUGAUCUGUUGAACAGUUGAGAUUAAUUUAGUUAAUAUAAGUGAGUCAUGUUGGCUGUAAAAAUCACAACAUCAUCAAAAUUAUAGGGUAAUACAUAUUCAAAUGACUUAAAAAGAGAGAAUGAACCUUAAGAAAUGUGUAUUAUUGACUCCCAAUAUGGGGUAAGUUUGGAAUAAGUUUGGCGGUGUACCCAAAAGCUUUCGUGCUUUUAGAUAGAAUUAUAUAAAAGUCAUUUUCCAUGUUUUAACAUAUGUGACUGGCAACAUUAACCAUAAAGCAAUUAGCCUAAAUAGGGCAACCUCCUUAGGCUAAUUGUUUCCGUGUUAUUUUAGCCUAAACCGAUCCAUGUUUCCGUGUUAUUUUAAAGAAAGUGGAUGUGAGGUAUUAAUUAUUGUGACUGGCAAAUUCCUUGAAGAUGGCAACUAAGAUUAAUGUUGGAAAUUUUGUUAACAUAGUAUGCCUAAAUAAGGCAACAUUAUAAUGUUCUGAUAAGGAAUGAAGGCCUUAAUGAAAUCAACAACGAAAAGAAACAAUUAGCUAAUCGGUUUAAAUAUUAAAACAGUGAAUACCGGAUGAGGAAUUUCUCAACCGGUUGAGAAAAUUCCUCAACCGGUAGAAACUGGUUAACAAAAUACUCACCCGGUUGAGAAAUUUCCUCAACCGGUUGAGCCAUUUCCUCAACCGGUUGAGCAACUGGUAUCAACCGGUUGAUGUUUUUUUGACCAGUGCCUACCGGUUGAGGAAUUUCCUCAACCGGUUGACGAAAUUCCUCAUCCGGUAGCUACUGGUUUAAAAAGUCCACAUCCGGUCGACCGGCUUACAUCGACCGGUCGAUAGAUCUUCUGAACCGGUAGAGACUGCCAAAUUUUGUGAACACCACCAAAAUGCAUCCGGUGAAUUUGUAGGUCAACCACAUUAUAAUAGCUUAGAGCAAGGGAAGAGAGUAGAUUCGGGUUACGAGGAAACAAACAAUUGUAAUGAUUUUAAAAAGUUUUGCUUAGGAUUGUGUAUAGCAGAGUAGUAUCAAUUUUGCAACAUAUGACCUUUUAAAUGGAAAAUCAUGGGGAAAUUAUCACGUCUGCAGUAUACACCGGUUCUAUAAUUUAUCAAAUUCUUAAUUUUUUUUCCCAAAAAAUGAGAAUCGAUGACGUUGUCAAAUUCGGUUUGUCUUCAAGUAUGCAAUCAAUUGAUACAAAAGUGAUACGAUAAUUUGUGAAAGUAUUAUUGGGGAAUUUUUUUACCUUAUUUAUGUAAUGUAGAUGAUGCAAUCGGUGAAGGAGAAAACAAUCAAGAGGGAGUUUGAAGUGAAGGAGGAGGACGUCGUCAAUGAGGAUGCAUUUAUCGGUGCCACAUACGACCUGGGUGGAAACGGUUUGAAACAGAAGGUGUUGAAGGGUAUUUCAGAUGAAGAAGUCUACAAAUUGCAAUUCGAUCGCAUAGAUGAGGCUGAAACAUUUUACAACAUGUUAGCUAGAGUAGCUGGAUUUAGUAUUCGAAAGGAUGAUUUGAAGCGAGACAAGAAUGGAGAUAUAAUAUCUCGAAAGUGGGUGUGUUCUAGAGAAGGGCAGCGAGCGACAAAGUUUAUUGAAAAUGACAAGCGACAGCGUGAGCCACGAUCAUUGACUAGGGUUGGAUGUGAAGCUGCAUUUCGUGUAGGCUUGAAUAGGAAAGAUGGAAAGUGGAUUGUAAAGGAAUUUAUAGGAAAUCAUAAUCAUAAUUUGGUCGAUGCUAUCAACACACAAUUCCUUCGGUCUCAUCGAACAAUAAGUAAUCCCGAUAAGGCACAAGUUGAUGUUUUGCGUAAAGUAGGUGUUAAAGCCACACAAAUUAUGGACUAUAUGGUAAAACAAUCAGGGGGACAUGAGCACGUCGGUUUCACACAAAAAGAUAUAUACAAUCACGUUGAUGCAAUGCGUAGAAGUGAAAUUAAAGACGGUGAUGCAGAAGCGGCAUUGGCUUAUUUGUGUGGAAAGGCAGAAAUGGAUUCCUCAUUUUUUUAUAAAUUCAACAUUGAUGAAGAAAGUUGACUAGCAAAUUUGUUUUGGGCUGAUUCAACUGCUCGAAUGGAUUAUGCGUGUUUUGGAGAUGUCCUAGCAUUUGACACAACCUAUAGGACAAAUGCCUAUAAAAAGCCUCUAGUAGUGUUGGUCGGUGUUAAUCAUCACCAUCAAACUGUUGUAUUUGGUUGUGCGUUAUUGAUAGAUGAAAGUGUUGGGACAUAUGAAUGGGUGUUGGAGACAUUUAUUGAAGCAAUGAUGAAUAAGAGACCCAUAUCUGUUGUAACCGAUGGGGAUAAAGCUAUGCGUAAGGCAAUUAAAAAAGUAUUACCUGAUACGUGUCAUCGAUUGUGUUCAUGGCAUUUGCAACGAAAUGCAUUCACGAAUGUGCAUAUUAAGGACUUCUCAAGCAUAUUUGCAAGGUGCAUGUUCAUGCGUGGGAAUGAAGAAGAAUUCGAAAAGGUUUGGCAUGAAAUGGUUGCAAAUUUGGGACUUAAUGAGAAUCGUUGGGUGGCCGAGAUAUAUGGGAAACGUAAAAGAUGGGCAGAGGCGUAUUUACGUGGAAAUUUCUUUGGAGGGAUGAGAACCACACAAAGGUGUGAGAGUAUGAAUGCAUAUCUAAAUAGAUUCUUAAAAAUUCGCUUGCGACUGUAUGAGUUUGUACAACAAUUUCAUAGAGCCAUACUGAGAAUACGGCAAAACGAGGCAAAGGCAGAGUUCGAGUCGAACAAUUUUUCACCCGUGCUUUCAACCAAACUAGCCAUACUUGAAAAUCAUGCUGCGACGGUAUACACAAAAGAAUCUUUCCUUAAAUUUCGUGAGAAGAUGAAAAAUGCUGAGUUAUUCUUUGUGGUUGGUGUUGUAAGUGAUCAUUCAAUGCGGGCAUACACAUUAUCUAAGUUUAGACACCCGAACUUAAAUUGGGAAGUACAAUUUUGCCCGGAUAUUGUAACAUUAAAAUGCUCAUGCUUGAUGUUUGAGUCAAUUGGCAUCCCAUGUUGCCACAUGGUGGUGGUUAUGAAAGUGGAGCAUUUGGAAGAGAUUCCUCAGUCAUGUAUUAUGAAGAGGUGGACAAAGUUAGCAAAGGUGUAUACAAGAUCAGUACCAGUGAAUGAGACGGAUAACAACAUGGAUCGGUUUGUACGAUAUGGUUCAUUGAGUUCGAUGUGCAACAAGCUCUCCUACUUUGCGUCAGAUACGUCAUCUUCAUUUAUAGAGGCCAAAAAUGAAAUACAAAAUUUGACGGCGAGAAUGGAGGAACUCUAUAACUAUAAUUUGAAAGGGAAGAAAAUAGCAUCAGAUGGAGCGACAGGUACUAACCAAGUUCGUGAUCCAAAUAUUGUGAAGACUAAAGGGAAUCCAGGCAAAGUGGCAAUGAAUGUUCAAAAGGGAAGACGAUGCAGUCGUUGUAAAAGAGUGGGUCACACAAUUCGAAAGUGUCCAGAAGCUACAAUCCCUCAAAAUGCUCAGCCGGGUUAUAUGGUAUGUCAUAUUCAAUAAAAAUUGCCCCUAAGAUUAAUUUUUGUAGGUGUACUAACAUAAAUGACUAACAUAAUUGUUUUGAUGGCAUUAUGAGUACGUAGGAGGAAACUAAUUUGUCUUCCCAAUGUGACAUUCAAAGGGAAAUGAUGCCUUCAACAAAUUCAUCAGUUGACAUUUUUGCAACCUUACAUGUAUGUACAAUAGGCUUGUUAUAUAAUUUCCAAACAUUGAUAACAUAUAAUUCAAUAAUAAUUGACAACACUUAAUUAUUGAAACAUGCAGGGAAUGUUAGGGGAGCAGUUGCCGAAUGACCCAUCUGACAUGUACAUAGAUUGGGGUGAACUUAAUAAUGUAAGAUCGCGAAUGAAGAAACACUUUUGACAUGAAUUUCAAAUAUGCAUUAUUUAAUGAUUAGGUUUAAUUAAUUGGAAUGGAAUUGGGUAGCUGAAAAAAACAAUGAAAUGUGCAUGUGCAGAUAGCAGGAUUUCAGCAACAUGAACAAAGUAUGUCAACACCAUGUGAAGGUGGGGAUCCAAACAAAUAUCCAAAUGAAAAGGAUAUGCAACCUUUUUUUUAUUCCUUAGCGGAGUAAGGGAUGGUAGGUAUUAAAUCAGUAUUUAUAUUAGUUGACGUUAUCACUUCCACUAAUGUGUACUUUUAACUUAACUAUUUAAUGAAAAGUUUGAAUUUUGAUCAAGAGUCAAGUUGAUUGAUAGAAUGCAAUAUCCUCUACAUUUAUAAUUUAAUUGAUAACAAGGGAUAAAAUGAUUGGUAAAUGGAGAAACCGAUUCAUUUAUAUCAUGUCGAAAAAAACGGUUAAUUAUGCGGAUUUAAUUAAAUUCAAUUGUGGUUAAAGUUUGACAAUUAGGUGGUUAUGAGUUAACUAUAGGAAAGUAAUCAAUAUGAUGUAAUUCACAUGAAAUAUGUAAAUUUAGUGAUUUUACUCAAAAUGGGUAAAUCGUAGUUAGGUCAAUUGUAAUGCCAGUUUCCAUCAAUUUAAAACCUUGUAAUUGAACUUAAUGUUACAUUGUCGAAUGUUUCCAUAGUGAAAAGUUAUUGGUACAACUCAUAGCAUACCUUUUUUGUGCACAAUAGCAUUGCAGGAGGAAACCGGUUGAGGAAAUUCCUCAACCGGUUGAGGCAUUUUUGACCAGUGGCUACCGGAUGAGGAAUUUCCUCGACCGGUUGAGAAACUUCCUCAACCGGUAGCUACUGGUUAAACAAAUCCUCAGCCGGUUGAGCAAAUGGCCAUCAACCGGUUGAGGAUUUUUGUGACCAGUGGCUACCGGUUGAGAAAAUUUUCUCAACCGGUCGAGGAAAUUCCUCAUCCGGUAGCCACUGGGAAAAAAGGCCUCAACCGGGUGCUCAACCGGUUGUGCCAAGCCGGUCGACCGGUUAUAGCCGUCCUCGACCGGUUGAAGUUGGCUAACAAUAUACUCAACCGGUUGAACAACUUCCUCAACCGGUUGAUUCCCAUCUUCACCCGGUUGCCACUGGUUAAAAAAACAUGAACCGAUUGAGCAAAUUCCUCAACCAAUUUGCUAUAUUUGUCAAACAGUUCCCACUGGUCAAAUCAUUCGUCAACCGGUUGAGACAACUUCUUCAUUGAUCAACCACUUUCCACAACUGAAAAUAUGAGGAAUGUUCUCAACCGGUAUGAAUAAUGCGUAUGCCUAUGAAAAGUGGACAUAGAUAAAUCGUUGGACUGGUUCUUACCGGCUGAACGGCAUUCGUCAACCAGUGUAGUAAUGUACUAACUAUAUAUUGUUAGUAUAGAUAAAUGAAUAAUUACAGAUCUGAUUAGGUUAAAGAUCGUACAAAAUCACACAUGUCGAACAUGAAUGAUACCAAUAUAUUACAAUUUCAUUUUGACGACCAUAUUGAAAGAAGAGUAUUUGGAUAUUGAAAUAAAAUAGACUUAAUCAUUAAUAAUGUAUGGUCAUCGAAGCUCACAACUUCCCAAUAAACAUGACGAUAUGUGGAUAUGGAAAUGAUAAAUAUUUGAAAAAUAAAAAAUUUCAUAAUAAUAAUUUUUUCAUUGCUCGUGUCGACGUCUUUGUACAAACAAUAGCCACAAUGGUUUGUUUUUCUCUAUUUCCCUCGUGUAAAACUAAAUCACAUGCUAUUUCUCGACGUAUUUUCAUAGAAUUACAAAAGUCGGAGCUCGUCAUCGGAUCACCAUUUUUGAAUCUCUGCAUAUGUCUAAUGACAUGCACUCCACAGUCCCACCUAAGAAAGAGAAAAGAAAAGCAAAACAACUUAUUCAAUGGUUGUCUAAUUAUACCUCAGGAAAAGAAUAGUAAUGCGAGUUAUGUAUUCAUACUAACCCAUUCUCUUGGGUCGGAAUCGAAGGAGCCCAAUCAAUGGAGAAUUGGAAGACAUCUUUCCCUAUGUCAGAUAGUUUGAAGAACAUUUGACAAAAUUCAACCUAAUUUAUUAUGAAAGUGUUAAUAAAUAUGGAAGAGGAAAAAAUAGAAUAGAAGAAAAAUAUAAACAUGAAAGCAUACCACUGUUUUGACACUCUGAAACCGGAACUUGUCUCGAUUCUUCGAUCGUAAUGAGUCCAAAAUUUGGGUAUGAGAGUUUUUGAAGUCAAUGACGCACAGGUACCAAUGACCAGGGCAUUCGUCAUGCAUUGGAAUAAAUAGCUGUAAAGUUAGAAAAACAAUAUAUAUGAGUUGGGGCAAAAAAAAUCUACUAUAUUAUAGGUGAAAACAAUAUCUAUUCUAAAUUUCAUAUAUGCAAUUAAACAUUAGAAAUAAUUACUAACCUUCUCGCAAUCAUCCAAUUCACUAAUGUACUUACUAACGAUGGAUGUUUUUCUAUCGAAAAAAGGAUGAGGACUCCCGCACAAAAUCAUUUUCUAAUAAGAAAACAUAAUACGAACAUUACUAUAUUGUACUUAAUAUGUAAGUAAACAACAAGAGAAAUAUGAGCUUACUGAAAAUGUCGUGGGAAGAUAGCAUCUUAUACUUCGUAUGCCUAUGAAUUGUCUUUCAAAAUAAUUUAGCUUUGAGGCUUCUAAAUUUAUUACCUGUUGUUGAACAAUAACUUCAAUAAAUUUAUUUAACUAAUAUAGGAUGCAUUUGAUAUAAAUGAAGUAGGUACUUACAACAUCCAUCAAAUUUUUUCUAGGACGUAAGCAUGCAAAAUCUCCACGAACUCCAUGUUCAUGACCAAAGUCAACAAGAAGCUCACUAAAAUAAUAAUAUGUUCAAACAAACUUCAGUAAAUUGGAAGCAUAUGAAGGCAAAAAUUGUAACAACACAUCUAUGAAUGUUCUAGACACGACAAACCUUUUUGACAACGCUUUAUUGAAAACAUAAUCAGCGACAAGAGAUUGAAGUACAUUGAAUGAUUGAGUAUCCACCACGUCUUCACGAAUGGACAUGGGGAUUGACUAAUUCGAAAACAAGACAUAAUUAUUAACUACAUAUGUUAAGUAUCAAAAAAUAAGAACAAUGAUAUUAAACUAUUUGUAUUAUACCUCUGAUGCUUCACGUUUUACCAUCUUCCUUGAUUUCUGUACAAACGGGGAGACCUUGAAUUUACUUGGUUUCCUCUCCCUUGAUGAACGUGUUUUCAUGACAUGAUUAGGAUAACCACAUAGUGCUCGUAAUGGUUCCUAAUAUGGAAAAUGUCAGUAAUAUACAUCUAUUUACUAUGUAAUGGUUAAGUAGUUGUAAAGAAAAUAAUUUUUUCUUUUAUAUAAUACAUACCUUUCCAUAAUCUCUUCUAAGUGGUAAGAUAUUUUCAUUUUCGUCUGGAAUGAUAUGCACUUCAAUUGAUGUAGCACAUGCAUCUUCAUUCUUUUCAUUCAAGUCCUCGGUGCAUAACUUCUCAUUUGACAAAGUGUGAAGAUAAUGUUCAUUCACAUUCAUAUUGUUCGUAUCUUCCAAACUUCUCUCGCAUGAGAGCAUGUCAUUCUUCGUUCCUUCCUCGUGCAUUCUCAAAGGUUUUCCGCUUGACCUAAGGAAGAGACCUUUCACUUGAGUAUAAUUCUCCUCAAAUUUAGCCAAAAUUUUAUCACAACUACUACUACUUGCACCAUAAGCCAUAUCAAGUAGAUGUGUCUUUAAUUGUUGAAAGGUUUUAUCCAUCUCCAUUAACUUCCCACCAUCAACCUAGUGAUAUAUACGAACGUGAUUAAUAACAUCAUAAUACAAAGGUUCAAUGCUAAUAUAGAUAGUCACGAUGAAUAUUGUAAAACACUUACUCGUUUAAUAACAUCUUUGUUUAGAUUGGAUACAAAUAUCUCAUCGUCCUCAUUCUCACUCGCCAUUGUCGUUGCAUUUCCAUCAACGCAAUCCCUUAUCUCAUUUUCUAUCACCCAUAUUUUGAGCUACAAUAUAUUCAUCAAAAUAUAAUACAUAUCAGAUUUUAAAUCACUAAAAACUUAAAUCAAUAGUAAACGACUUUCAAAACUAUAACUUACAUCCUCAUUUGCAUAUCCACCAAGUUUUUUCAAUCUUCGUUUCCUGUCCAAUACUUCAUCAUCUCCCCAAGCAGUAAUCCGAGGAGAAGGUCGAGUAUAUAGCGGUAGGAAUUUCUCUUCAAAGGAUAUAUGCUCGUGGUAGAAUAACUACGAGUAUAUUUGACAUAGAUAUAUAGUUAGUUCAUAAAUUAUAUUAAAACAAAAUCGUAUUUCACUAUGAUGUAAAUUAAUUACCAUUAAAAACAAUAAGCAACCGCAAACCCCACUUUGUUGUUUCUUCUUAAACUCUUCAAUCCCGUGCACAAGAUAGGACAACACAAAUUCUGCCCAAUUCAUCUUCUUUAUUGAAUCGAUGUCUUCCACAAGAUGUAAGAAAGAGCGAUUCACAAAAAGCUUCAUUGUAGGGCACAAUAAUGCACCCAACACAAAUAAUACAAAACGAACUUUAAAAUCGUUUCCUCCCUCUUUAUCCUCCCUAAUUUGAUUUUCUAACAUCACUAAUGGCAAUCGCCCUUUUUUAUCACAAUAUUUUUUACAUAAAUCAUUCUUAUGACCAACAUCUUUGUUCAUGCCAAUCUUGAACCCUCUUGCCCUCAAUCCCAUAAUAAAUUCAACAUCAAUGGGGGAUAAUUUGAUACAAGUAUUAUACAACUGUAACAUAUAAGUGUUCGGAUUAAAACUAUUUAUCAACCAAAGACAUAACCCAUGAUCAAUUUUCCUACAUCGAAGUUGCAAGAGGCUACCAAAUCCUAUUUCUUCUAUGGCUGCCUUUUGCUUUGGUUCUAAAUUUUCAAUCACUCUAAUAACUCGCUCGGGGGAGCAUCGAGUUUGAAGAUAUAACUGAAAAGAUACACAAACAUCAAACAUGUUUACAUUAAUAUAAUUUCCAACAAAUACAAAAGUAAAGAAAUUAAAUAUUCAUUACAAAAAAAAAUUACCUUUGGAACCACACCCUUUUGAAGUGAAUAUUGUUUUGAACUUUCUUUGGACUUUGCCAUGAAAUUUUCUUUUUCUACUUUUGAAAGUGCAUUCCACUUCUUGCCCAAUUUUUUCCUCAACUACAUUAAUUGCUCACAUAAUUUAAAUUCUUAUUUUAAAAUGUAAUUAUAUUAGACGUAGCAAAAUUACUCCUUACAUCAUCAUUUAUCUUGACUCCUUUAUCCUUCUCUUUCAUCAUGGCUAAUUGAUCAUUACUACAAAACAAUUUCAAACAAAUUUAACAAUAACAACCACAAAAAAUACAUUAAAAAACAUAUUAUUUUACAUAUUUCUAUUUUGCCUUACUAGUAAUGUAUCCAAGCGCCGAUAGGCCUCUUUGGAUUUCUAACAACUGCAAGUCCAUCGCGUUCACUCCUAAAAAUUAAAUCAAAGCAUUUAAGUCAAUGUUUAUAAUAUGAUUUCAAAUAUAAUAAAUCAAACAUACUUUCACCACCACUACAAAAUCCUCCCUAAAUCUAUGUACAUUUUAAAUGGUCACAAAAUUAGCAUAUCAAUCUUUUUCAAUCUCCAAUUAUGGAUCUAACCACAUUAUUUUCAUUAAUGUCAUCAAUCCAUAAAUCUCACAAAAACCAUGAAAUAUAAUCGCUACAAUAUUGUAAAACACAUUAUCAAUACUCACAUUUUUUUCUUCUUCUUCUUCCAGCUAUGUCUUCAAUUCGGGUCUUCAAACCACGAAAUUUAAAAGCCGAAAACACCCCUUAAACAAAAUAUAAAAUAUGAACAAAAUACAAGGGUUAUGGAUAGGAGGGAGGGAGCGCGAAUAUCGUACUCUUUACUUCAAAACCCAAAAAAAACCCAAAUAUGAUUUCCUUUUUUUUUUCUGGAGUAGAUUGAGAGAGGGUUGUGAAUGUGGAGACGGGCUGGUGAUAAAUUUGGCACUAGACACUCCUUGAAUGAAGAGAGGAAAAAAAAGGAAACUAGACCCGGCUGUCGAGGAUGAGUGGAGAUCAGAGCACGGGGACACAACCGACUAUGGAGGAGUGUGGAGAUGAGAGCACGAGACACAGCCAACCAACCUAUGGAGAAGCUUGGAGAUGAGAGAGAGCACGAGACACAGCUGGAGGAGAACGAGACACAGCUGGGGGAGAUGAGAGCACGACACACAGCUGGAGAUGAGAGCACGAGACACAACUGGAGGAGAAGAUGCUCGGCUAUGGAGGAGAAGAGAGGGGUUGAAGACGGCUAUGGAGGAGAAGAGAGGGGCUGAGAGGGGGAGAGAACAGGUAGAAAAUGAGGGAAGAGAGGGAACAAACGGGAAAUGGGCUGAGACCGGGAGACAACAGGCCACAGGUAGCCAGUUUUUCCUUUUUUUCAUUUUUUUUUUAUUUUCAAUGGUUGAGAUUAAAACUUUUGCAUCCAACGGCUACAAAAAAUCUGAGGUAUGGUACCUCCCUCAGCACCAUAGAAGUUUCCCCUUUUUGCAUGCCAAAUGUCAUAAACACCCUUCCUAAUACUAUAAUAACUACUUUCAGGGUAAAUAAGUAAAUCAAUCAUUAUUUUUAUUUCUCAUGCCAAAUGUCUAAAUUACCCAUUCCAACAUUCAUAUAAAGGUCACUUUUAGGGAUAGAUAAGUAAAUCAGUCACUAAUGUUAUUUUCAAGUCAAAUGUCUAAACUACCCCUUCCAACAACUAUAUAACAACUACUUUUAAGGGUAAAUAUAUAAAUGAUUCGCCAAUGAUUUGCUAUAAAUACUUCCUCAUUUUAGUUUUUUUUUCACACAAUUCUAUAUUCUCUCUCUCUUUACAUUGCUUACAAUUUUAUCUAAUAUUUCUUUCUACAAUUCUAUAAUUAUAAAUUCUCUACUAGUUCUCCAAUUCAGGACUUUAAGCUAUCUACUCUCAAGUAUUCGUUAUUUAUAAAUUCUUUUGUGUUAAAGAUAUCCACUAACUGUAUAAGUAUUCAUUAUCACAAUGUUGAGGUGUAUAUAUUUAAUUAUUUUAUUUACUUUUAAAUUUUUUAAUUUUUAUUUAAUUAUCUCUUCCUUUUACAUUUCUUUAAUUAUUUUUGUGCUAAAAUUGAAAAUGGAUCCUCAUUACCAAAAACAAUGAGAACCUUGCGUAUAAUGUUAAUGAAUUUAAUGAAUUCAAGCCUUUUGAGAAGAACCCCAUUGCCACUAGUGUCCCUUCCUCUAAACCUUUCUCUAACCUUUCCCUACCAAAUUCUAGAGGAAAAAAGACCCAAGGCUAGUAGAUCCACACCUGUAGUAUGAAAUCACUUUAUUAUAGCAAAUAGGCAAAAUACAAGUGGAGAGGUAGAAAAUCUAGCAUAAUGUAAAUAUUGUAAGUGUGUGUGUAUGUAUAUAUAUAUAUAUAUAUAUAUAUAUAGGCGGAGAGGUAGAAAAUCUAGCACAAUGUAACCAUUAAGGUUUAGACCCUCUACUGUUUAGGCAAUUGGAUCGACUAAUUAAGGCUCUGCCUCAACCAUUUACACACAUGCUAUUGGAAGAGAGAUAAGGUUAAAAUGCAUCUUCUACCUUUCCAAUGGCUAAUGAACUAGUUGAAUUGAUUGCUCAAUCGAUCAAGACCUAGUUGUUUCUUUUAGGGUUCUCAAGCUAAGAAUCUAUAAAUUGAAGAGUUUUAGAGCAUUUAUUUCUAAGAGAACAACUAUAUUGCAUUGAUAAACAUUUUUUUCUUCUCAUUUUGAGCUCUUUUACAAGUGCAUUGAAUUCCUAACUUGCUAAUCUUUUUAUGCACCUUUGAAUCUCUCCUAAUUUUUUCUUAUAUUGAGAGCUUGACUUGUUACUAGGUUUGAAAACCUUAAAUUCUUGCUUACCUACUCCUUAUGAGAGAAUCAAUUCAAGUGGGUUGAAUACUUGACGAGAUUGUAAAGGUCCAUUGGAACCUUGGAAUCCCAAUGUAAAGAGUUCAAAGACUUUGAUUAUAAAAGUCUUGAAGAUAAUGAAACUCUUACUUAAUUAGAAGCUUGAGGAAAGUCAAAAUAUGUAGCUUGUUGAUUGCAAAUCUCUAUUGUAAAUAAAAUAUGAAAGCCUAAAUACGUGACAAUUCUGGAAAAAAAAAAAUAGAGAUAGAGUUACCAUAGUUUUAUAGUAUUCUGAGUUGUCAUCCUCUACGAUCAGCUUUAGUGUGUUUAUUUGUUUUUAAAUUAAAAGGAUUAAUUAUUUACUAAAUUUAAUGAAAACCUAAUUUUAAUAAAUAAAGAUAAAAUAAGAACAAAGAUUUUCUAAGAUAUUUAAUGAAAUAAAAUCAAAUAAAAUAACUAAUGUUUCAGAAAGUUUCACAUUCCAGUGUCAAAUCCUUAGAGAGAAAGAGCAUUAUAAAAUCUAGGAUAUAAGAUUUAAGUGAAUCUGUGACAAAAUUGAAUCUUAAGACAAUAUUGCAUUCGACACUUAGAUUUUUCUUUUUCAAAAUAGAUUUCUUUUCUUUUUCAAAAUAGAUUCUUAAAACCAUUAAGUGAAUGAGAUUAAUUAAUGGUUAAAGGUUUGACCUUUUAACCUUUUCUCCUCCUUGUAACUUUAUUUUGGGAGAGAUAAUGAUAAGGAAGAUUAUGAUAAUUAAUGAUUAAGAUUUACCAAUAAUCACUAAUAUCGGGUAAUAAUCUACUAUCUUGAUAAGAAUUCUCUGUAACUUAUUUAAGGUGACCUCAUAUAGAGAAUUUAUUUGUAUCAAUUAGAUCUUGAAAACAUUAAAAAAAAAAAAAAAAAGCCUAGUAUAACUUUACAAUGGUCUUGCUACUCUUCUUUGGAUUUUUCACCUUCAUGUUAGCAUCUCCGAAUCAAUCAAGUUAGCUAAACAUGGUGGAGGAUUUCUCCUCACAACCUAUGUUUGGUUGGCAAGAAAGUCAAAUAGAAAGAUAGAAAAAGAAGAAGAAAAGAAAAAAAGGGGUAAAACUUUAUUAAAGAAUUUCAAGAUGAGAGAUCAAUGGAGAGAUCAAUCUCCCUCUCUCUGUUCUUUUUCAAAUCAAGAACUCCCUAGAAAACCUAAAAAUUGAGUUUUUAUAGUUUCUACAAAACCCAACACGUGGCAUGUUCCUAUUAGCCACUUAUUUUACAAAUAAUUACCUAAAAAUGAUUAAAAAUAAAAAAAUAAAAUCAUGAUUUCCAAUCGUGUGGGGCUCACGUAAGGCGGAUGAAGUACCGAAAAUGCAAUUCUCAAGAUAGAGUAGGUGAAAUAUCAAAGUAGUAGUGUGUAAUUUCAAAAUUAGGGUUAUUUCGAACUGGUUUCAAAAUCAUAAGUUGAAUUUUGAAAUCAUUUUGAAAUGGUCCUUUAACUCUAUGUAGUUGUUUGUAGAUGACCAUAACUUCUUCAUUUUAGCUCCAAUUUAUACACCAUUUGAAGCGUUAGACUUCUGACUUCUUAAGCUUCAAAACCAUAUGUGGUUUACCCUAAAAAGAUUACGAGAAUUACUUUAAAAAUCGUGUGAAAGUCAUGAUAUGUAUUAUGUAUACCAAAUCUGAGUUCCAAAUUCCAUUUUAAGCUUCAUUGCAUUUGCUUCCAACCCCUUUCGUUAUGGUUGCUUGCCAUUUAUCUCAUUCUAUAACAUUCAUUACUAGUAUUUCAUGCCCAUGACUCACUCUUCAAAAUUUCUUAGACUUUUUAUGGUUCACAAGUCUGGAAUAUCUCAUUUAUGCAUAUUUAACCCUUUAUACUAUCUUGGUUGAGAAGGACUUUUGCAUUUAAUGUUCAAAAUAGAAGUUAAAUCCAUAAUUAGGGUCUUAGCAUCACUUCGAGUUAAGUUGAAUGAUUUGAGCUUUUUAUAUUGCACAAAUCAAAUCAUAUAUGUGCUAUUAGAGUGUAUAUUUUGGUUCCAAUCACUUGAUGAACCACUAUAAAAGAGUUUGCAUUUCUCUUCUCUCAACUUAUUUAUAUUACUCUUGCUUUGGUCCUCAUUUCUCAUAUUAUUCGGUUUUAGUUGUCAAUUUUGAAAAAAAGUUUUAACACCCAAUUCACCCUCUCUCCCCUAGGUGAUAUCUUAAUCGAAUUAGUUUUUUUUUCGCAUUUCAUUUAUUCCAAAUUUAUUAAAUGUGAGCCAUUUUUAUACGUUGAGUGAUGCAUAUGACCAAUAGUUAGGAGGAUGCCCACUUAGUUGGGAUGUACAUAAACUACAACGAUGUAAUUCUCACCUCUUUUCCCUAUUUUUUUUUCCAUGUAAUUUGUUAAAAUAUUUAAUGAAAAUAUUAUCUUUUAUAUUAUUUGAUAUUCCAACAUAUUAACUUUAUUGUUAUUAUGAUAAAAAAAACAAAUUCAAAUAUAAUUUUUUUCUAUUUUUUAAAAUUUCUACAAAUUUUACAACUACAAACUUGAUAAAUAUAUAAAAGAUAUGUAAUUAUUUAAGAUGUUUGACGUAAUAUUAAGCAAUUCUACUUAAUAAUAAAAAAUUCUAAGACUCUAAAAAAGGACUUGAAAAAAUAAAUUAAAUAUUUACGACGUAGGAUAGCCCACCAAAUCGGUCCACCGAAAUGGGCCAUCAACACGACUAACUGGUAUAGCACAAAAUGACAAGAUUGGCUCUCGGGCUCAUAGGUCUUAUUGGGAGUCCAUUUGGCUUACAUAGGCCAACAUGACAUGAUACGACACGAUUUUCAAUUAGGCCGUGUCCGCUCAACAUGACCCCUUCAACAUCUCUAUCAGGUAUAGUGGCAACAAGGUUAGAACAACUACCUUAACCUCACCUGCCACGACCCCUGGUAUGUAGUCCCCCAUGCUUGGCCUCAAUUUAAUUUGUAGACAUGGAAAGAACCCCUAACUUGGUAAAGAUGCAAACGAGACAUGGAGCACUAAAGAGACUCACGGAAAUCUAAUGGAGCUUACAAGUAGUCAAGGAAGAGACCCUGGGGUCAAAAGUCAAUGGGUUUCUCAAAUAGAGAACAGAGGUGCAAGGCACCAAUAAUAGACUAAGUAGUCACGAGGAUAGUCAUCCCAUACAUUGUGACUCAAAAAGGAAACUCCAUGAGCUAGGGCAUGGAUGUUCACGUGGAACAUACUCACCCUACUAUUGCCAGCAAGUGGCUCCCAUAGACGCUCCCAAAAGAUCUGGGCAAUGUUAGUAUCGUGAAACUCCAUUAAAGAAAGCUCUCGCUUAAGAUCGACAUGACGAUUGACGUAUCAGGAUUAGUAGAUUUCCCUGCACUCCUUAGAGAAGAAGUAAUAAAUUAGAAGAUAAUUUAAAGAAGCAAGACUAUGGACCGAAGUAGCUGUCCCAGAUCUACACACCGGAGAUGAAAGCGGUGAUGGAGAAACUCUCCAAUGUAUGCCUAGAUGACAUCUCAGUGGAAAACGGAAAGGAUGAAAUACAAAGAGAUGUAGACACAUAUAUACCUAAAGAACUGCACAGUAAAAGUGGCCAAGAAAUUGAUUAAAACAAUCCUAUGAUGUCAGAAGCGCAAAUUAUUGGUUAAAAAAUAUCCUUAAGAAGUCAAACAAGGAAAAAUACAUCUAAAGACCAGGGAGAGUGUUGGAGUGGAAGAAAAUGUCUAGAAAGGUUCGGCUUUAAAUGGGUGAGUAAUUUGCAUGAAAUUAUUAUUUUCAUACUAAUAGAAGCCUUAAUGCAAACAAAGUUAAAAAAACACAGAGAUAAAAUAAUUACACAAAGGUACGCAAGGUUUUAAAUAGUUCGACCAACAUUAUCUACAUCCAUGGAUGAAAAAGAAUCAUUAUGCUAUACCAUAAAGAAUAUUACAGAAGAUAAAAUCAGAUAAAAUUAUUAAAUUUUUAAAACAUCUCGUAUUUUCCCAUUCCUUAUGUCUACACUUUGAACGUCUUCACUCCAAAGGGUGUUUCUCAUGUUUUCUUAUAUCUUCAUCCAUUUCGUAUAAAUUUUACAAGCUCGUUUUGAUCUUACAAUUUUUUCUCCUUAUGAUGUAAAAUAUUUAUAAAGAUAUUUUUAAUAUUUUUUCUUAUUGUAUAAAGAAAUAUAAUAUUAUAAUAAUAUAUCCCUUUAGCAAUAUCAUUCACAAUAUUCUUACAAAAAAAAAUAUAUACUAAUUAAGAAUUUAAGAUACUUUCCCACACAUAAGAAUAAAACUACUAGGUAAUUUAACUAUUCAUUAGUCUUUUCAGUAGUUUUCAGUAAAUUAUACUUGAUUGGUCAAUGUCCUUAUUUAGUGGCUAGUUUCAACUCAAGGAAGUACGUAGAGUGAGUCCCUUAACAUUUGGAAUAAAAUUACUAUCAUAAGCUAGUUAAUCUAUCAUAUGGAUAAGGUCAUGCAUGAAAGAAAAUGGAUUUUAACUUUUACAUCACGUAUGAUGAUGAUAUAAUUUGUUAUCUAAAACCAAAAUACUUUUAAGAAAUAUUUUUUAAAACAACAUAUAAUGUGUUUUUUAAAAAACAUUUCUUAUUUUACUAUAAUUAUUUAAAAAAAAAAAAAAUCAUAGUAUGGUCCCCGCAUUUCGGCUCAUGCGUUCCCCACUCGAUGGUGAGCUCUAUUUUUAUUUUGAAAAAUGAUUUAAUCGGUUAAAAAAAUGACUUGGAGUCGUCACUUAUUUUUGUUUUAUUUUUAAAAGGGUAAACAAAAUAAGAAAGAAAACCCUAAGUGUGACUCCUUAUUUGGAAAAAGUGAUCUGCGAAAAACCGGAUCGGGUUCGGGGGUCAGGUUACUUAUCGGGAAGGUACGGUAAAGACCGUAGCACCCCUCUAAGCCCCUAAAAUGGGUUUCUACUAAUAAAAUGAAACUGACAUGGCAAUUGAUGAGGAAAUCAAUGAAUAUCAAUAUGAUCACACACCGAGAAUCAAAGUAUGCAUGAGGAAUGGACAAAGUAAAAGAGAAUGCGUACCUUAGCAGUGAACGACAAUGCACUAUCAUGGAAUGGGGUUAGUGAACAAAGACAGGUUGAUUAUAUACAUAUCAUGGAACAUAGCAAAUCAAUCACGCAUGACAAAUAAAUCAAUUAAUCAAUCAAUUAGUCAUGAAUUCACAUAUGUGAGGCCCCCACCAAAGCCCAUUUUAUCUUGCCUGAAUCAAUUCCGAUAACUCCAUUGUUCGGAAUUACGGAAUUUGAUUCCUUGCUUAUUUCAAAACAUUUUGAAAAUAGAGGAAGUAUGAAAAUUGCUUACUAGAAAUAAAAGUGGCAGCAAAGCUUUAUUAAAAAUGUGAUUUUUGAACCUAAAGAAACUCUAAGGAUAAAGUAUGAGGCAAUUGGGACUAUUUGAAUACCAGGAUUUAAAAGAAUUUACAAAAUGGGAUUCCGGAUGUGAGAUAUCCGAAGAAGAGGGAACGUCGACCGGACAGAAUUCCGGAUGUGAGAUAUCCGGAGAAGGUGGAGCGUCGGCCGGAUAGAAUUCCGGAUGCGAUAUGUCCGAGUGGAAUGUCGGCGGGGAGGAAUUCCGGAUGUGAGAUGUCCGGGUGGAAUGUCGACGAGGAGGAAUUCCGGAUGCGAUAUGUCCGGGUGGAAUGUCGGCGGGGGAGGAAUUCCGGAUGUGAGAUGUCCGGGUGGAAUGUCGGCGGGGAGGAAUUCCAGAUGCGAUAUAUCCAGGUGGAAUGUCGGCGGAGGAGAAUUCCGGAUGUGAGAUACCCGGAUGGAAUGUCGGGGGAGGAGAAUUCCGGAUGUAAGAUGUCCGGAUGGAAUGUCGGGAGAGGAGAAUUCUGGAUGUGAGACAUCCGGAUAAGGUAGAACGUGGUUAUGAGUAGCAUGAAGGGUAGGUAUGGGUUGUAUGGAUAUGGAGGCUUGGGCGAGUGGUUUUAAUGGGUACGUGAAGGAGUGAAGGAUGACAUGCACCCGUGAGACUCCAUGUAAGCGAGGGAGUGGGAUGGAGAAUGAAUGAGAGGAAGAUGGGUGUGGUGGAGGAUGCUUGAUUCCUGCAAGCUUGAGUGAGGAAAUGGGUAUGACGACCUAGAGAAAGAGGUGGAUAGAUGAACGAUGGGUAAGGUAUGCACUCAAGGAGGAAAAGAAAACGAGGAGAUAACAGGAUAGCAACAAAAAGAAGAACAUGAAGACUUUAACCAGCAUAUCGGACUCAUUUCAUCAUUUCAUCCAUGGGUCCAACAUCCAGUGAGUUAAGAUGGAAAAUACGCGUCAGAAUAGGGCAUAAAACACAGCAAGCUCUCCCAACAUUUAAUCAGUAAUCACCAAAACAGAACAACCCAACAGGCAAAAAUGCAAAAUCACUGAGAAUCAGCCCUGGACAGUAUUAAAAAAAAAAUGGAAAAUAUAAAUAAAUAAAAAACGAAUGGUCAUACUUGGAAAUCUCCCUUCUCAGCUCCGUGUCCUGGACUCUUCCCAACAACUUUACGCUCCUCCUUUCUUCGCUCCUUACCCCAGUUCCACCAAUACUCUUUUUUUUCUCAAAACUCCCAGAAAAACUCCUCUCUUCCUCCGCAAUGCUGCCCUCUCCCCUUUCGUUUUUUUCGUCUCUUUUUCUUUCGUCCAUUUUUUCCUUCCUCUCAUUUCCUUCCUUCUCCUCCUCUCUUCUUUUUUCUGGAUUUGCCUUUUUUCUGGAUUUUCCCUUUCCAACGAUCUUUGCUGCAGCCACCUUUUUCUGCCCCACUCCUUCUGCAGCCACCUUUUCUUCUCUCUCAUCCGUGCCCCCUGACGGCCUGCAGGACCCCCUCCAGAAAGUUCCUCCACGUGUCAAAGUCCUACUACAACUUCAAAAAGCGAGGUUGAUUCCUUAUGGCCACUAAAGAUGUGACACGUGGCCCGCUAGGAUAGUGACACCUGGCUAAAAAUGUGAUCUACAAAAACAAAUAGAGAAAAAGUGACCCAUGCCUAAAUGGGGGUCUACACAUAGUUAUGUAAUAAGAAUAAUUAUAUUUUUUUUAAUUUUUUCUAAUUUUAAAUUGAUAAAUCAUGUUUUAUUGUGAUUCGAGGAAAAUAGCACAUUUAAUUUUUCAUUUGUGUUAUCUAAAAGAAUAAAAAAAUAAUGGAGAAUAUUUAAUUGUUUUUAAUUUUUUAUGGUAAAAUCAUUUUAAAAAUAAUAUAUAUAUAUAUAUAUAUAUAUAUAUUGUAUAGUGUUUUUUUGCUUAUUUUUUUAUAUAAUUUUUUUUUAUAAAAGCAUUAAAAAAAAGCAUCAAGUGAACGAUGUCAAUUAAUAGGUAUGAUGUGUUAGAUGUUAGUGAGAUAUAAAAAAGUAUCUCUAAUACUAUUACUUUUAUUAUAAAAUAUAAGUAUGAGAAAAAUAUAUUAUAAUAAAAAUAUAUUAUAAUCACAAUAUAAAUAUAUUUAUAUUAUAAUGCAUUACAAUAAAACAUAAUUGGAAACCCAUUUUAUUACAUUAUAAUUACAAUAAAUGUUCAAAUACAUACACACAUAAAAUUUGUGACAUAAUGCAAUAAUAUAUGAAUUUUGAAAACACAUUAAUAUUAAAUGGUAGUGUAUUUAGUUUGAAUAUUUUGAAGGAUAAAAAAGAAAUGAUGAUAUUUAAAUAAGUAUUUUUUAUUUAAAAAUAUAAAUAAUUUUUUUUAUGAAUUUAUAUUUAUCUUUUAUUUAAUUAGUAAAUAAAAUAUAUAAUAAGAUAAUUAAGAUUAACUUAUUUAUAAUAAUUCUAUUUUAAUUCACUUAUAAUAUAAUAUAUAUUUAUAAUUUAUCAAUUAUGUCUUCCCUAAACAAAAACUUGGUCCAUUGAUAUAGGUCAGUUCUUGAUUUGUUCGAGGAUCUAGGUUUAUUUUCUAUUCUUGUGGGCUAGUGAAAUGUUUUUUGUAAGUGUAAGUGUUACAAUAAUCCCACAUGAAGUUGGUAAUAAAAAAACACCCCCUAACGUACCGGACAAAUGAUCAAGGCAAAAAAGAGUAUAUAAUUUUGGCAUUAAAUACAAAAUUGAAAAAGGGCUCACGUGGCAAAAGUCGAGUAGUGAAGAAAAUGAAACUAAGAAUAAAGAUACAGGAAAGUUAAAGCCAACAAGGUAAGCACAAUCCAUGAAGUAAUGAAGAAAAUGAAGUUAGGAGUAAGAGUAAUUGAAAGUCAAAUCAUAACAUCUUUUAUUGACUUAGAGAUUUACUCGACCAAAGCAAAAGCUAUUAGAUGCUUGUCUUGUAAUGCAAUCUUGCCCUUUGUUCAAUUCACAGCCUUAAAUGAUUCACUGUCAUCCAAUAGAUGGAAAUGGUGAUCUUAAUCGGUUUUUAAAAAUAAAAAAAUAAAACAAAUUUUUUUAGUAUAAUUAAAAAUUAAUUAAGGAUUAAAGAUUAAAAAAUAAGACUAAAGUUUAAAUUUUAAAAUGUUGAAAAAUUAAAAUUUUAAAAAUUUAAAAAUAAAAAAUGUAAAAUAAGAAAUAAUUGAAGUUAGGAUCUAUAUAUGUAUCAUAUAUUUGUGCGUCGGUAUAGAAGAUUGGGAAAUUGGGAUUGGAUUAAAGUACAAAAUUCAAAAUGAAAUUACAAUAAGAAUACGGCAAAGGGAUAACGUUGGGACACCACUACUGAUGUACACUUCUAAGGCUAGACGUAAAAGUAGGUUGUGCCAUGUCAUGCCACCUGCAACAAAAUAAGGGGUUCUACAGAUUCUCUUAUCAGAAUCAUUUGAGAUAUAGGAUGGAUGCAUAAUGCAAUCUUGCCCUUUGUUCAAUUCACAGCAUUAAAUGAUUCACUAUCAUCCAAUAGAUGGAAAUGGUGAUCUUAAUCGGUUUUUAAAAAUAAAAAAAUAAAACAAAUUGUUUUCGUAUAAUUAAAAAUUAAUUAAGGAUUAAAGAUUAAAAAAUAAGACUAAAGUUUAAAUUUUAAAAUGUUGAAAAAUUUAAAAUUUAAAAAUUUAAAAAUAAAAAAUGUAAAAUCAGAAAGAAUUGAAGUUAGGAUAUGUGUAUCAUAUAUUUGUGCGUCGGUAUAGAAGAUUGGGAAAUUGGGAUUGGAUUAAAGUACAAAAUUCAAAAUGAAAUUACAAUAAGAAUACGACAAAAGGAUAACAUUGGGACACCACUACUGAUGUACACUUCUAAGGCUGGACAUAAAAGUAGGUCGUGCCAUGUCAUGCCACCUGGAAAAAAAUAAGGGGUUCUACAGAUUCUCUUAUCGGAAUCAUUUGAGAAAUAGAAUGGAUGCAUAAUGCAAUUUUGCCCUUUGUUCAAUUCAUAGCCUUAAAUGAUUCACUAUCAUCCAAUAGAUGGAAAUGGUGAUCUUAAUCGGUUUUUAAAAAUAAAAAUAUAAAACAAAUUAUUUUCGUAUAAUUAAAAAAUAAUUAGGGAUUAAAGAUUAAAAAAUAAUACUAAAGUUUAAAUUUUAAAAUGUUGAAAAAUUUAAAAUUUAAAAAUUUAAAAAUAAAAAAUGUAAAAUUAGAAAGAAUUGAAGUUAGGAUCUAUAUAUCAUAUAUUUGUGUGUCGGUAUAGAAGAUUGGGAAAUUGGGAUUGGAUUAAAGUACAAAAUUCAAAAUAAAAUUACAAUAAGAAUACGACAAAGGGAUAACAUUGGGACACCACUACUGAUGUACACUUCUAAGGCUGGACGUAAAAGUAGGUUGUGCCAUGUCAUGCCACCUGGAACAAAAUAAGGGGUUCUACAGAUUUUCUUAUCGGAAUCAUUUGAGAUAUAGGAUGGAUGCAUAAUGCAAUCUUGCCCUUUGUUCAAUUCACAACCUUAAAUGAUUCACUAUCAUCCAAUAGAUGGAAAUGGUGAUCUUAAUCGGUUUUUUAAAAUAAAAAAGAUAAAACAAAUUGUUUUAGUAUAAUUAAAAAUUAAUUAAGGAUUAAAGAUUAAAAAAUAAGACUAAAGUUUAAAUUUUGUUUGAAUUUUAAAAUGAUGAAAAUUUAAAAAAUUAAAAAUUUAAAAAUAAAAAAUGUAAAAUCAGAAAGAAUUGAAGUUAGGAUCUGUAUAUCAUAUAUUUGUGCGUCGGUAUAGAAGACUGGGAAAUUGGGAUUGGAUUAAAGUACAAAAUUCAAAAUGAAAUUACAAUAAGAAUACGGCAAAGGGAUAACAUUGGGACACCACUACUGAUGUACACUUCUAAGGCUGGACGUAAAAGUAGGUUGUGCCAUGUCAUGCCACCUGGAACAAAAAAUAAGGGGUUCUACAGAUUCUCUUAUCGGAAUCAUUUGAGAUAUAGGAUGGAUGCAUAAUGCAAUCUUGCCCUUUGUUCAAUUCAUAGCCUUAAAUGAUUCACUAUCAUCCAAUAGAUGGAAAUGGUGAUCUUAAUCGGUUUUUAAAAAUAAAAAAGAUAAAACAAAUUGUUUUAGUAUAAUUAAAAAUUAAUUAAGGAUUAAAGAUUAAAAAAUAAGACUAAAGUUUAAAUUUUGUUUGAAUUUUAAAAUGUUGAAAAAUUAAAAAAUUAAAAAUUUAAAAAUAAAAAAUGUAAAAUCAGAAAGAAUUGAAGUUAGGAUCUGUAUAUCAUAUAUUUGUGCAUCGGUAUAGAAGAUUGGGAAAUUGGGAUUGGAUUAAAGUACAAAAUUCAAAAUGAAAUUACAAUAAGAAUACAGCAAAGGGAUAACAUUGGGACACCACUACUGAUGUACACUUCUAAGGCUGGACGUAAAAGUAGGUCGUGCCAUGUCAUGCCACCUGGAACAAAAUAAGGGGUUCUACAGAUUUUCUUAUCGGAAUCAUUUGAGAUAUAGGAUGGAUGCAUACAAGGAAAGGAGACUCCUCCUCCUCCUCCUCUAAAACUUAUAUUUGUGUGUAGGUGAGAAGUUGGGAUUCCCCGAUCAAUUAAAAGGGAAAUUUGAUAAAAGUAAGAUUAUGAUAUAAGCUUUUAGAAAAAUAAUUGAUAGGAAGCUUUACAUCCAUAAGUUAUGAGAUAUUUUCAUGCUAUGUCAUUUUCUAGUAGGAUAGGUGGUAGGGGAUGACUUAUCCGAUGGCUUUAUUUCCAAAAUAGCCGGUAGCUGUGAAAUGAUUUAUACCUUUUAAAUUAAAGAAAAAAGUAAAAAAAAAAAAAAUUGAAAAAUGAAAAGGGAAAAGAAGUAUAAAACACAAAAUUUUUAAAAAAAAAAAUCCUUAUAAACUAAUUUUCCUUCAUUCCUUUUUCUUCCUUUCUUUCAUCAGGGCCAUGAUCCCCAAUUUUCAAACAUGGCAGAUAGAAAGAAUGUAAGGAAAAAGGAAGCCAUAAAUGUGGAAUAUGACAGUGAAAUAUCUUUCUGCAGUGUUACCAUGAGUCCAUGAGAGUGUAAAUGAUGAGACUUUUUACAUGAUGGAGAAUAGAAAUAAUAAGUCAUUGAUUUGGGUAUCCAAGAUGUGGUCCAAUUUUGAGAUGGAUAAGGCACGAGGACUAGACAAUUGGGGGGCCAUUUCACCCAAUCAUGCAUGACUUUAGAGCCCACGAGAGUGUAAAUGAUGAGACUUUUUACAUGAUGGAGAAUAGAAAUAAUAAGUCACUGAUUUGGGUAUCCAAGAUGUGGUCCAAUUUUGAGAUGGAUAAGGCACGAGGACUAGACAAUUGGGGGGCCAUUUCACCCAAUCAUGCAUGACUUUAGAGCCCACAUUAUGUGGUUUGUGUUUUUGACAUAUCAUAGUGUAGGGUGAGGGGGUGAGGCCCCACUUGGCUCCACUUGGUCUACCCUCUUUCAUUGGUAUAAAUAUUUUAAUCUUCCAAUAUGUUGGUGAAGUACCAAUCAAAGUCGUUGAAACCCACUUUCAUGAAUCAUCCCAACUUGGCCUCUUUGGAUUAGCAGUGAAAAUGGGAAUGCAUUAUUUUAUUUUAUUUUUAUUUUUAUUUUUUUAGAGGUUAUUUAUUCCUCUAACCCACGGGCUACCCUAUUGAAAAGACAAAGGAUGGAACCCAGCAUUAGAUUUUUUGGGUCCUCAAAGUAGGCUUUUUUUUUUUGACCUUUUUAUUUAUCCUCUUAAGCAUAUAAGGCUUCAAAUAUUAACCAUAUUCUCUUUUAUUUGGAUUAAAAUUGAUUAUUACUUUGCCUAUAUUUUUGGUUUUAGGUAUACAGUUUUAUGUAUUUCUAUUCAAUUUAGAGAAGCCUAUUACAUAUACAAUAUUAAAAAAAAAAAAAAUUAAUCCCAAAAAAUAAACACUUUUUUCCUUUUAACCAUACAAGACAUUUAUAAUUAAUCAAAUUUUAUUCUUUUUGAUCAAGAUUAUUGGACAUACAAUUCAAAAAUAUAUUUACCCAAUUAAGAAGAGACCGCUAUAUAUAUAUAAUACUAGAAAAAAAUUUCUAACAAAUAUGAGAUAUUAUAAUCAUCAUCAUAUAGGGUUUACUUCUUUUUAUGUAAAUAUUUUUCAUUGUAUAUCCAAUGUCUUCAUAAAUAUAUAUAUAUAUAUAAAAGAAGUUUACUAUAGAAGGAAGUAUACUUUGUUAUUUCAUUUUUUACUCAAUUUCGUUACAUUUGAAAAUCACAGCAUACUUUUUUGUUCGAUAAAAUCUUAAAAUAAGAUUGCAUUUUUUUUUUCAACAAUACCAUGAUUAACGGUGAGGCCAAUAAACUAAGUUGACAUGGAUUAUUACUCACACCAAUAGAUUUUUUAAGUUAUAAAUAUUUAUUUAAAAUAUUUUUAUUAUCACCUAAUAUUUUAGGUUGCUUAUUGUAUUUUUGGAUUAUAUUACAAAACCUACAAAUGGUGUAAUGUGUACUUGCAUUUUUCAUAAAUAUAAAAUCCAAUUUUUAUCCAAAUAUAAUAAAUCAAAUGAAAUUGAUGUUAAAAUGGGUUGGUUUGGUUUAAUAACUAAAUUCAUUCUUCCACCAACUUGAUUCAAUUAUCAAAUUAAUUAAUAACCAACCUAAACCCGACCUUAACCACCCUUAAUUUUCCCUUUGAAUGUAUACCGAUCACACUUAAAAUAUCCACUUCAUUGUUUAACAUUCGCUUUUAAUUCCAAAAUUCCCAAAUUCCCAAAUUAUCCUUGAUCUUAUGAAUGCUUAUGUAGAUUGAAGAUGCUAAAAUUCUUCAAAGAAAAUAUUGGAGAUUUCAUUCCACCAUUUUCUAAGUACAGAGAUACAUUUUCUAUAUUUUUUUUGUAACUUUUUUUCAAGGCCGAGCCUUUGAGGAAAAAGAAACCUCUUUUUUACAAUCACUUUUCAUUGUAAAAGAGUAACUUUUGUAAUAUGUUAGAAGAUUUUUUGUAACAUGUUGACAUACUUUAUUAGUUUUUGAGCACAUGAGGACAAUAGUAGUUGGACUCGUCUUCCUAAGUGCAUGUCAGUCGAUCAAAUCAUCCUGUAAGUUCAGAAGGUUGUCUUCUUUUAUGAUCUUGAUUUUAGGAUGAGGUGAUUUUAUACGUUUUUAAAUAUUUCGUUUGAGAGGUGAUGUAUUAAAGAUAUGUUGGUUUUUUGGUACCUCUAUAUAUGUUUAAACCAAAUUAAACAUUAUAAUUUUGUCAUUCCUUGUUAAGACAUGAAAGUUGACCGAUAAUACUUCCUAAGAAUCAACUUAUUCACUUUUUUUUAAAUUUUAUUGCAAAUAUAAUCAUAAAAUCAUUGUUAAAAUGAUCAAACUUUUUAAAAGAAUUAAAAACUAAUAGACAAAAUGGGGCGGAAGAUUCCAAAAUUAGGCAAACAUUGGUAAUUCUGCACGAGAAAAUCAUUUUACCAAAGUCAAUGUUUUUACCCUGUCCUUGCCUUGUCAAUAUCACUUUCCCUUCCCCUUAUCACGUGGCGCAAUAAAUACAAGAUUAAGGGCAGAAAGAUCCCCACGAAAUUACCAAAACGGCCCUCAUGCCCUCAAUACAAAGACCGACACGUACGGUUGGGUGGAAUUAACGCCUUAACCGUCGGUGGGCCCCGGAAGGACAGUGGCACUCUCGUGAAUGAAACAAACAAUCAGGGGGUAACAUGGUCAUGAAAAUUAUUUUAUAGCUCCCGCCAGACUAUAUAUUGAGGCCUUCGAGACCUGAGCCCAACAAGCAGGGGGUAACAAAUUAAAUUCAUUGUCAACAUCAAAAAUAAAAAAUAGAAUAAAAAAUUUGAAAUGAAUAUGUGACUACACGAUAGCUUCAUAUUGGUUGUCUUUUGAAAAGUGACUUUUGAAUAACAAAUAAAAAGUUUUAAAUGUCGUUAGCAUGUUAGAUGGACGAGAAUGCAACUUACCUCUUUGAGUGACAUAAAUUCAAUGAACAACAACAAACCCACCAAUCAAUUAUGGGUCACAUUUAAGAAUUAAUACAAAAGAAAGCAAUGAAAUAUAAUAAUAUAAAAAUAAGAUAUGAGUGCAAAAAAACAUGUAAAAAAAUUGAGACUGAUACCUAACACAUGUUGACUUUGUAUUGAUUGUCUGAAAAAUUUUAAAUAUUGUCAGCAUGUUUUUGAUACGUUAGGAGCCUCAUAAGGAUGCAACUAAACUUUGUGGGUGAUAUGAAUUUAAUAGAUAAUGACUAACGUACCCAUCAACCAAUUAUAUGAAUUUAAUAGACAAUGACUAACGUACCCAUCAACCAAUUAAGGGUCACAUUCGGAAAUUAAUAUGAAAGAAAGAAAUGGAAUAUAUAUAUAAAAUAUAAAAGGGCCAAAAAAGCUUAAAUUCAUUAUCAACAUAAAUAACUUUUAUAUUUUAUGUUGAUAAUGAAUUUAAUUUUUAUAUUUUAUAUUCUAUUUUUUAUUUUUGAUGUUGACAAUGAAUUUAAUUUGUUACAUUUAUAUAUUAUUUUUACAUAAUAAUAUUUCAUUUCCUUCUUAUAUAUUCAUUUUCAAUGGUGACCCAUAAUUGGUUGGUAGAUUAGUCAUUAUUCAUUUAAUUUAUAUAACUAAAAAAUAACUUGAAUCAUCAUCUAAUUGAUAUGUUAAUCGCAUUUAUUAUUUACAUUUUUCAAUCAACUUAAUCUGUUGAUAAUAACAACGGUCCAAAUUCAUAAGACAACAUGCUAAAAAAAUUUUAUUAGUAACGAAAAUUCUCAUCGAUAAACUUUUACCAAUACACUUUUCCCCGACUACCAUGUAUCGGAAUUAUUCGUUGAUAAAUGUUUAUUCUAAUAGUGUAUAUUAGUCAAGAAAAGUAAAAUUUGUUGUAAUGUGUUAACCAUGAGUUUAAUUUUUUGCACUAAUUAAUAUUUAAUUUUUAUAUAGUUAUAUUUCAUUUCUUUUUUAUAUUAAUUUUCAAAUGUGAUAAUUUGUUGGUGGAUUAGUCAUUGUUCAUUAAAUUACAUUGGUUCCAACAUGGUAGAAGCCAACUAUAACAAAAGUUGUAUUAUCAAAUGAAGUUCAUUUAAACCAGAUUUUUCUCAAUUCAAUUAAUCAUUAAGCCAGUCUAUUUUUGGGGUUUUGUUUUGUGUUGCACCAUAAUGCAAUUAAGUUAUUUGAUGAGAAGUCUAGCCAAAUUUGAUAUCGGUUGACCCACGCUAGUUGUUUGAUGAAAACCCAUCUAUUUGUACCAUGGAAAAAAAAAUACAUGGCAUUAUUAAAUUUCAGACUAUAAUUUCUUACAUCUUUUCAAUAUUCUAUUUGUAAUGCCAUGAUUAAAAGGGUCGAAAAUACGAAAAUAAUUAAACUCAAUAAGUUAAAAUGAUAGCAAAAUUUUAACCACAUUAAUGUGGUCUUCUUGAGCAGUAAAACAAUUAUAGUAAUUAUUAAUCUUCAUCUAAUUAAUCAGCUAAAAUAAUUAUUAUUAAUUAUAAUGAUUCAUUUUCGAUCGUGGAUAUUAUCUACUUCACUAUAAAUGUGCACCUAAUGCCUUUUGUCUUAUUGAUGAGGUAGGUAAUGUUUGCUUACCCAUUUUCCCUGCUCUCCUGUCACGUCAAGAGGAAAUUGUUCCCACAUGCAUGUCAGCCCUUUGCAGCGCCUGCCUCCGUGCUUUUAAUGCUCCGUCCGUAUUUCAGGUUGGUUAAAAAAUGCAAAAGGUUAAAAAUCAGAAAGAAUAGAAAUUAACAUCUGUAUGUCAUAUAUUUGUGCGCGAAUAUAGAAGAUUGGGAAUUUGAGAAUGGAUCGAAGUAAAAAAUUCAAAAUGAAAUUACGAUGAGAGUACGGUAAAGGGAUAACGUUGGGACACCAGUACGGAUGUACACUUCAAGGAAGUCGGAAUCGUUUGAGAUAUAGGAUGGGUGCAUAGAAGGGAAGGAGACUCCUCUAAAACUAAUUUUUGUGUGGAGGUGAGAAGUUGGGAUUCCCCGAUCAAUUAAACAUGGCUGAGGAGAGGGAUCCAGUAGAGUUGGGCAUGGCACUCGGCGCAGAUUCGAACAUGAAAGAAGACAGCGUAACAGCUAAGAAGAGGGCAAAACGGUGGGCAAUCACCGCAGAUGCGAGCAUGGAAAGAGAGAAGGGGACGCUUGAUCAAGACGAAGAUGAAGAUGAAGAUGAAGAUGAAGAUGAUUUGUGUGUAGGUGAGAGGUUGGGAUUCUCCGAUCAAUCAAACGGGUCUAAGGAGAGGGAUCUAGUAGAUCAGUUGGGCGCAGAUUCAAACAUGAAAGAAGACAAGGUAACAAGUGAGAAGUGGAGGGCAGAUUCAACACUGAGCAGCUCAGAUUCGAUAAUGGAAGAAUGCCUUGUACCGCCUGAGGGGUGGCCCACGGCAAUGGUACCGGCAGUGAAACUGUCAAUGGCACCGGCAAUGGCAGAUGUGAACAUGGCAGGAGAAUGGGCAACUCAUGUUGAAAGAAAUAUAAGUGCUCCUUCCACACACGGACUCCUCGCCUCCCCUGAUGAAGAUGAAGAUGCGGAGCAUAAGAAAUUAAUGGACCGCCGCAUGCACGCGCAAGCGACCAAAGGAAAUCUUGAUGACUUUAAAAAAAUUUUAGGCUCGAUAUCCUCCGAACAGGACCUUCAACACUCAGAAAUUCUCUGCCAAGUUAGUCCCCGGAAAAACACAUGCCUCCACAUAGCAGCAAGCUUUGGACACCAUGAUCUUGCCAAGUACAUCGUGAAAGAGUGUCCAGAUCUUAUCAAAAAUAAAAACUCCAAAGGCGACACGGCACUUCAUAUUGCUGCUAGAAAAAGGAAUUUAUCUUUCGUUAAGAUUGUCAUGGAUUCAUGCCCUUCUGGAAGUGGCGCAUCCCAAGAUGUAGAGAAGGCUGAGCCUUCAUUGCUGGGAAUUGUCAACAAAGAAGGAAAUACAGUGUUGCAUGAGGCACUGAUAAACCGUUGCAAACAAGAAGAGGUGGUGGAGAUCCUUAUUAAGACAGAUCCCCAAGUGGCUUAUUAUCCGAAUAAGGAGGGAAAGUCACCAUUGUAUCUAGCUGCAGAAUCACACUACUUCCAUGUCGUAGAGGCUAUAGGAAACUCUGAAGUUGAGGAGCGCAUGAAGAACAGAGACCGCAAAGCCAAGCCGGCAGUCCAUGGUGCCAUUAUGGGAAAGAAUAAGGGUAUUUCCCGCCUCCUUCUCUCUCUCUAUUAAAUUUUCUUCUUCCUCUUCAAACUUAAAAAGCAUUGUUUGCAAUGAUGUUGGGGCUUAAAUAAUCUGUUGCUUCUAACCAUAGAAGAAGUCUACUGGGCUUUUCUCAGCUUUUGCUUCAAUAUUCCUUGUUCCUAAAAAUUCAAAUUUUUUUAUUAAUUUAUGGGAGAUCCAUAAUAUUUACAACUCUUCUUUCCCAACCCAAACCCCGUCGUAAAUAUUCUUCAUCUUUGUUUUCAAAAUCCUAAUCCUAUUUUGUUGUCUUCUUAUUCUUCUUCAAAACUCCAGUCCUAAUUAAUUCUUAAUUUUAUUUUCUAAAUCACAAAAAUUUAAAAUUAACUAUAAAAAAAUAAAAAUAAAAAAUAAAAAUUGCAGUUAUAUAUGGCUUCGUUGUGUGCAUAUGGGAUGGUUUAAUUAAAUAGAGGGAGUAAAAAGGGCCGUAAGAGGGAAGAACAAUUGUCUGUAUAGUUUGGGGUUGACUUCAAGUGAUCAUUUAAGAUUUGAUUUCGAGCUUAAGGUUAGAGUUAGGAUUUUUCUUUUCCCUUUUUUUUCUUUAUGUUUUAUGUUUCUGAUGAAGUAGAAUGUAUCCUACACAUUUGAAAGAAACACAAAUUAUAAAUGAUGUGAUGAUUUUCUAUUAUUCCCCAUUUAACUAUUGCAAUAUCAUUAAGAGUAUGGAUAGGAAUAAGAUAGGUGUUUACAGAAAUCAUCCCGUUGAGUUUGAAAUUUAAAUAAAUGGGGUUUGAAAUGAGUUUGAGAUUUUUUCAAAGAAUUAAACGGAGCCAAAUGGGGUGGGACAUGUAUGAAGACGUUUAAAUUUUUUUUAAUGGGACGGGACUGAAAAAUAUUUUGAAUAAAUGAGAUGGGGCUUGGGAUAGAAGUGACCAUCCCGAACCCACCCCAUUUCAAUCCCUAAUUAAGAAGAAGAUAAGGUAAAUAACAAAAUUUGCAGAAAUUUUAAAAUCCAAGGAGGGAACUUAUAAUUAAAGGAAGCUUUCAAAAGCAUGGGCACCCCAUGUGGUACAACCUCGCACCAAAUUAAUACUGUUUUGUUGAAUUACAGAUAAUAAAAUAAUCAAUUAAAAAAAAUCUCUUUUCUAUUUUUAUAUUAAUUUUUCCUUCCUUAUUUUAAUUAUCUAAUAAUUGAACCCUUUCCAAAAAGAAAAGCAAUCUUAAUUUUAUUUUUUAUAUGUUCAUUUUUUUUUUUAUGUAAUUUUAGUUAUUAAUGACUUGCACUCAUAUAAUAAUAUCUUUAUUAGAAAAAGGUUGUUUGAAACAUUCAUAUAAAUUUUUCUUUUAUAUAUGAUGAAAAAAUGCCAGAGAUGUUGGAAAAAAUACUGGCCAUGAAGCUCGUCCACCAAAAAGACGAAGAUGGAAGGACUCCACUUCAUUGUGCAGCAUCCAUUGGAUAUCUCGAAGGAGUUCAAAUGCUGUUAGACCAAUCUAACUUGGAUCCAUAUCAAAUGGACUCUGAUGGCUUCUGUCCCAUCCAUGUUGCAUCAAUGAGAGGCAAUGUGGACAUUGUCAAAAAGUUGCUCCAGGUCUCCUCUGACUCAAUAGAGUUACUAAGCAAACGCGGUCAGAACAUUCUUCAUGUGGCAGCCAAGUAUGGUAAAGACAAUGUAGUCAAUUUUGUGCUCAAAGAAGAAAGGCUUGAGAACUUUAUAAAUGAGAAGGACAAAGGUGGAAACACGCCACUGCAUUUGGCAACCAUGCAUAGACAUCCCAAGGUCGUAAGCUCUUUAACAUGGGAUAAAAGAGUUGAUGUGAAUCUUGUGAAUGAUAGAGGCCAGACUGCUUUGAACAUUGUAUUACCAGUGAAGCAUCCACCUACAUUUCACCAGGUAUAUCUAUAUGAUGAUUUGCAUCUUGUUUUCUAAAUGAUGGGUACUACUAGUUGUUUCACCCUUCAACUGCAUGCCAUGAGUAAGAAAUUAGAAUGCCUCAUCCAUGCAUUGUUACAGUGCUAUGGCAUUUUCCUUCUUAGAUGCAUGCAUGCAAUUAAAUUAUUAAAAGGAUCGAUCAGGACAACAUGGUUUGUUUUCCUUUCCUAGAAGGACCGACUAAUAUUAAUAAGAACUAGAUCAACACUUCAACUCAAGCCACUGACCCCUGAUUGAAGGUCAAUUUGAGCCCAAGAUAUCCUAAAAGUCAAGAAAAUUAUGGAGCCUAACUCAAUCACCAUCACCCUCGCCCAGAUUAGAGCGACUCAACCAAGGUUAGGCUAGGUUUCUCCAGCAAGUGCAUAUACUCUUGAUGUCGGCAAAGACUUAUGGGAAUAAUUUUUUGCAUCAUACUAAAAAGUUUUCAGUGUAGAGAACUGCUAUAUCAUGUGCGCUUGUGGUUCCUCUCUUGCUGCUUCACAUUGCUUAAUUUCAUACUUCUAGUGGGUGUUCAUUGAAUUUACAGGGAAAAGAGAAUAGCUUCCCAACAAAAUAUUACGAAACCCAACUCAUGGAAUUAUAGUCUACUUUUAGUUAUUAUUACGACACAUACAUUUUAUGUUCUCUCUUUCUCACGAUUACAUUAACAGCAACAUUUUUUUCUCUAUUACGCAGGCACUAAUUUGGACAGCACUCAAAUCUGCUGGUGCACGACCAGCGGGAAAUUCAAAGUUCCCACCCAAUAGACGUUGUAAACAGUACUCUGAAUCACCUAAAAUGGACAAGUACAAGGACAGGGUAAACACUCUUUUGUUGGUUUCGACCCUUGUUGCCACAGUGACAUUUGCUGCUGGUUUUACCAUGCCAGGUGGCUACAACAGCUCCGACCCAAAUGUCGGCAUGGCUGCCUUGCUGAUGAGAAAUAUGUUCCAAAUGUUCGUCAUCUGCAAUACCACUGCUAUGUAUACCUCCAUCCUCGCGGCAAUCAUCCUCAUCUGGGCACAGUUAGGUGAUCUCAAUUUGAUGGAUACUGCCCUCAGAUUUGCAUUGCCAUUCUUGGGGUUGGCCCUUACUGCGAUGUCCUUAGGCUUCAUGGCAGGUGUUUACCUGGUGGUCAGUAAUCUUCAUUGGCUUGCAAUUGUUGUCGUCAUUAUUGGAAUCAUCUUCCUUGUCGGUCUCCUAGUACCCUUUUUUUUACUUUUCCUCCCAAGUAAGUCUACUAAUCGUAUCCUUAGGCACAUCUCCUAUUAUCCGUUUCUUAUAUUGGUAUGGGCAUCUAAAAGCCCCGAAAUGAAACGGGAAGAUUAGCUCGCCCUGUUGAUGAUGUCUGCUAGCUCCAUCUUCCCCUAUGUUUGUUGCUUCUUUCAGCAUUAUCUUAAUGAGAAAGUAUGUUAUGUAUAAAUGCUUAGUGUGAUCAGAACUUCAAUAUAUUGACGGUGUUGUACAUGACCAUUUCUUAUAUAAAUCUAUGGUUUUUGGAUCUAUAAUUAGGUAGUUCUAUAUAUAUUUCAAUAAAUACUCCAUUCAUACAUAAAUAACGUGAAUUCGUUAUUAAUAGGUUCAGUUUAAUUUAUUGAUUGAAAUUUGAAUUUGCAAUUGCAAUUUUUACACUUUUUUAAUUAUUAUUAUGAGAAUUUUGAUUUUCAAAUCCAGGUUACAUCUUCUACAUUACAAUUCAUUGGGAAGGGGAAUAGGUUUUAAUUUUGGAAAAAAAAAAUUUAUUGCCUUUUGAGUUCCAAAGAAUUUUUCAAAAUUAAGGAGUUUAAUCAUUUUUAAAAAAUAAUUUGAAAAUAAAAUAUUGAGGGAGUUAACACUAGAACCAAGAAUUGGUUGAAAAGGACUAUAUUAAUCUCUAGUUUAUGCACAAUUAUAUUUUUCAUUAUAUUUUAUUAUAUUAUUAAUAUUCAUAUUUUAUUAAAAUUUAUUUAUUUUGAAUUUAUUUAUAAUUAAAAAAUUAUUUUUAUUUUUAAUAAGACACAAAUUAAAUUUAACUUAUAUUAUAUAAAUUAAAUUUAUAAUUUUGUGAUUUUUACAAAAUAAAAAUAAAAUUUAUUUUUAGAAACAACUAAUUUAAUUCUUAUAAUCAUUUAAGUUAUCUAAAUAUAAAAAUAAAUGAGAAAAUAAUGGAGAUCUUCAUUUCCAUUCCUGUUUUACCGCGUGGCAAACAGCCCCUCAUCUUAAUUAAUAACAUAACAUGAUUUAUAUAUUUGAUGGACGGUAAAAUCAACCCUUUGUUUGGUAACUCAUAUUGUAGUAAACCCUAAGUUGAGUUUGAUGAUAGUCGGACGUAUUGACGACGGAUUUGACGGACAUAACGUUCAAACCCGCUCAAAGACUCAAUCAAACCCACAGAACUUCACAACUGAUUAAAAUAAUUUUAUAAACCAAAAUGAUCAAACUUUGUAGUUUCUGGGAUUCGUGUUGAUGCUUCCAAAUAGGUUCCAAGAUGUUCCCAGUGAGUUUGGAAAAGAGAGAAGUGGAUUCCUUGAGCUUCUCAAACAUUUUCUUAGAAAAUGUCAAACGCUUGGUCUCAAAAUCUAACCUGUAUGAUUCAAACACACCCAUGAGUUUGAGUUGCCGUGCUUCAUAUCCAUUCCGUGUCUGCUGGAAGUCCUAUGUGAUGUAAGUUGGACUAUCAAAUGAAUUGCUUUUGAGUAUCAAAUUUUUUAUUCAACUUAUCAUAUGUAUGUAAUGCAUAGGUUCUUCUCUCACAUAUUGACUUGGCCCUUACUUCCAUCCCAAGCAAGAGAGUGCAGGUAUCUCAUGGCCGGCAGUGGACUAAUGAUAUAUGAACUCAUUUUAAAUUGGGUCUGACUAACUUGGCCACUGGGGUUGUUACCUUGAAAGGACUUGAGUGGGGUUCAUGUUUAAGUCUUUCCUUUUUAAUCUAGGUAUGUACUGUGUGUGCUCUCUUCUUGUUUUAGUUGAAUUCAAAGAAUAGUUGUUUCUUCCUAGUCUGGGUAAGUGGUUGCUUAAGGGUAUCAUAUUAAGAUUUUUAUUAUUUUUAUUUUCUGUUUUUGACUUGGUGCCUUUUCAAGAUUUUGAAUUGUCAAAAAAGCUAGUUAUAUUGUAUAAACAAUCAUCAUAGGAUUAGAAUUAGUAUAUAUAAUUUGGUAUUGAUGUGCAUGUUCUCUUCCUCUGUAUGACCUAUCCUUUGCGAUGAAGUAUUGGACUGGUUUCUUUGUUGCCAUUAUUUCUUUUUUCUUUUAAACUUCUUAAACCAACAUAAAUACAAGCACAGCUAACGGAUUUGAUUAGGCAAGUCAACUACAAUAGGAGAUAUUAUGAGACAAAACGAUUUAAUGAUGAAUUUUGAGAGGCUAAGAAAGCAGGGGAGGGGAGAAAGAUGGAAGACAGGGAAACAAAGGCAAAAACAACCCAAGAAGCAAGCCAUCUUGGCAAUCUCUGAGCAUAAGGAUGCCAAAUUGUUGGAGGACUAUGUGACAGCUAGUUCCAUGGAUCCUGAUUUGUACAGAGCUACGAUACAAGGAGACAUUCUUGAAUUCAUAAAAGCCGUGGAACAAGGACCAGACAAUAGACACGCUGGUGUACCUGCUGCAUCUUGUAUCCAAGUGACCCCUCAGAAGAACACAGUUCUUCACCUAGCAACGAUCUUUGGACAUGACGAGAUUGUAAAACUCAUUUGUAAGGACUUGCCCUUUCUUGUCAUGGAAAGAAAUUGCAGAGGUGACACUGCACUUCACAUUGCAGCCAGAGCUGGCAAUUCACUGCUAGUGAAUUUGUUGAUUAAUUCAACAGAGGGGGUUUUGGGUGUGAAGAAUGAGACGGGUAAUACCGCAUUGCAUGAGGCAUUGCAACAUCGUCAUGAAGAGGUGGCCUGGAAUAUAAUUAACAAAGACAGAAAUAUGUCUUGUUCUGUCAAUAAGGAAGGAAAAUCUUUGUUGUAUUUGGCCGCAGAAGCAGGAUAUGCAAAUCUUGUUAGGUUUAUAAUGGAAAAUCCUGCAGGAAACUACAGCAUUGAAGGAAAGCUCGAGAACAAACCAUCUGUGAAAGCUGCCAUUCUUGGGAAGAACAUAGGUAAAUGAAAUUCUCUUCUCUAAUCUCCCUUUUUUUUUCCCUUUAUUGGUAUGCUUGUCUUCCAAUUUCAGACUUCCAAGAGCCUGCACUUGGAUUGGAAAUUUUUAAGUGACUGCACUUUCACACCUCUUAGUUUUUUCCUACAAAAAGCCCUGCAACUACUACAAACCACCCAAUUCUCUGCACCAGUGAAUCAGAAAACUUUACCCAAACUAUAUUGCAUCCAAUUGUCACCAUUAAAAGGUAAUGAUAUCAUGGCACAUAAGAGCAUUCUCAUUUUUCUGGAAGUUGGAAGACCUCAAUUAUUUCUUGCUUAAUUAAAUCAUUUUAUGCUGAUGGUAGUAUGGUACUUGACUUUCAAUGAACAAUGGUUAACUUUUGGUGAGAUGUAUUUUCUGGUGUAUAACCUGAUAUUUUUAGUUUGAAUAUUCUGAGGGAUAAAAAAGAAAUAAUGAUAUUUAAAUAAGUAUUUUUUAUUUAACAAUAUUAAUAAUUUUAUUUAUGAAUUUAUAUUUAUCUUUUAUUUAAUUAGUAAAUAAAAUAUAUAAUAAGAUAAUUAAGAUUAACUUAUUUAUAGUAAUUCUAUUUUAAUUCAUUUAUAAUAUAAUAUAUAUUUAUAAUUUAUCAAUUAUGUCUUCCCUAAACAAAAACUUUGUCCAUUGAUAUAGGUCAGUUCUUAAUUUGUUCGAGAAUCAAGGUUUAUUUUCUAUUCUUGUGGGCUAGUGAAUUGUUUUUUUAAAGUGUUAAGUGUUACAAUAAUCCCACAUCAGAAGUUGGAGAGAAAAAACACCCCCUUACGCAGCGUGCAAAUCGAUCAAGAUCAAGGCAAAAAGAGUAUAGAUGGAAAUGGUGAUCUUAAUCGGUUUUUAAAAAUAAAUAAUUGUUUUUAUAUAAUUAAAAAUUAAUUAGAAUUAAAGAUUAAAAAAUAAGACUAAAGUUUAAAUUUUGUUUGAAUUUUAAAAUUUUGAAAUAUUAAAAAUUUAGAAAUUUAAAAAUAAAAAAAAUGUAAAAUCAGAAAGGAUUGAAAUUAGGAUCUGUAUAUGAUAUAUUUGUGCGUCGGUAUAGAAGAUUGGGAUUUUGGGAUUGGAUUGAAGUAGAAAAUUCAAAAUGAAAUUACAAUAAGAAUACGGUAAAGGGAUAACGUUGGGACACCACUACUGGUGUACACUUCCAAGGCUGGAGGUAAAAGAAGGCCAUGCCAUGUCAUGCCACCUGGAACAAAAUAAGAGGUUCUACAGAUUCUCUUAUCGGAAUCAUUUGAAAUAUAGGAUGGAUGCAUGGAAGAAAAGGAGACUCCUCUAAAACUUGUGUAAACUUGUGUUUGUGUGUAGGUGAGAGGUUGGGACUCUCCGAUCAAUAAGGAACUCGGAGCAGAUUCGAACAAGGAAGAAGGCGGGGAAGGGCAGAUGGCACCACGCAUGACAUUCUCCGCAGAUGUGGACAUGGAUAGAGAUAGAAGUGCUCCUUACAGCUAUAAACACAUUGUCCCUGCAAUCUCCGCAGAUAGAAGUGCUCCUUCCACACGUGGGCAUGGCUAGAGAUAGAAGUGCUCCUUCCACACAUGUGGGCAUGGCUAGAGAUAGAAGUGCUCCUUCCACACAUGUGGGCAUGGCUAGAGAUAGAAGUGCUCCUUCCACACAUGAACUCUACGCCCCUGCUCCGGAGGAGAGGCUAGCAUCCUUUAUACGCUUCGCAUUCUUAGUAUAUAGGGAAAUUGAAGAAAAUGAGAAGAUGCUUCAUCAAGGAAGUGGAAGUGCUCCUCCCACACAAGGAGUCGUCGCUCCCGCCGAUGAAGAUGAAGAUGUGGAGCAGGAUAGAUUAAUGGACAGCCGCACGUACAUGCAGGCGACCCGAGGACGUGUUGAUGAAUUUAUUCAAAUUUUAGAAUCGAUAUCCUCUGAACAGGACCUUCAACACUCAGAAAUUCUCUGCCAAGUUAGGCCCCGGAAAAACACAUGCCUCCACAUAGCAGCAAGCUUUGGACACCAUGAUCUUGCCAAGUACAUCGUGAGAGAGUGUCCAGAUCUUAUCAAAAAUAAAAACUCCAAAGGCGACACGGCACUUCAUAUUGCUGCUAGAAAAAGGAAUUUAUCUUUCGUUAAGAUUGUCAUGGAUUCAUGCCCUUCUGGAAGUGGCGCAUCCCAAGAUGUAGAGAAGGCUGAGCCUUUAUUGUUGGGAAUUGUUAACAAAGAAGGAAAUACAGUGUUGCAUGAGGCACUGAUAAACCGUUGCAAACAAGAAGAGGUGGUGGAGAUCCUUAUUAAGGCAGAUCCCCAAGUGGCUCAUUAUCCGAAUAAGGAGGGAAAGUCGCCAUUGUUUCUAGCUGCAGAAGCACACUACUUCCAUGUCGUCGAGGCUAUAGGAAAACCUAAAGUUGAGAAGCACAUGAGCAUUAACAGAGACCGCGAAGCCAAGUCGGCAGUCCAUGGUGCCAUUCUGGGAAAGAAUAAAGGUAUGACCCGCCCCAUUCUCAAUCUCCAUUUAAUUCUCCUGCUCUUCUUCUUCUUCUUCAAACCUAAAAAACACCAUUUCCAAUAAAAUCUUAAACCUGUAUUUGAUUCUCAUAGUUGAAAAAAAAUUAUUAAGGAAAGUGAUUUUCUAAUAUGCUGUUUUACCAUGGAAAACAUGAAAGAAAGUAAUUAAAAUUAAUAAGAAAUUUAUAUCAUUUAAAAUUAUUUAAUUUUUAUAUAGAAUAGUUAAAUAAGUAAAAUAAAUUUAAAGUAAUAUAUAAAAAUAAUUUAUCGACUUAAAUUUUAUUUUAUUUUUUAAUUUUUCUUCUUUAUUUUCUGUGUUCACAUAUUCCCUCAAACUUUCAGACCAAACAUAACCUAAAUGAUCACUUGAAGUCAAUCCCAAACUAUCCAAACAAUUCUUCUUUCUUAUAGCCCUUUUUGCCUCCCCUCUAUUUAAACCAGCCAAUAUGCACGCAACAAAGCCACAACAGCAAAUUUUCUUUAGUUAAUUUUAAAAUUUUGUGAUUUAGAAAGGAAAAUUAAGAAUUAGGAGCUAGUGGGGUUUUGAAGAAGAAUAAGAAGAUGGCAAACUAGGAUUAGGAUUUUGAAAACAAAGAUGAAGAAUAUUAUUUACAAGAACGGGUUUGGGCCGGGAAGAGUAGUUAUAAACAUUAUUGAUCUCCCAUAAAUUAAUAAAAAUUUUAAUCUUUUAGGAACGGGGAAUAUUGAAGCAAAAGCUGAAAAAAAAAAAAAAAAGCCAAUUUACUUUUUCUAUAAUUAGUUCAACAGAAAAACAUAAAUGUGUUCUCAUUUUAAUUUCUUUUAUAUAUGAUGAAAAAAUGCCAGAGAUGUUGGAAAAAAUACUAGCCCUGAAGAUCGUCCACCAAAGAGAUGAACAUGGAAUGACUCCACUUCAUUAUGCGGCAUCGAUUGGAUAUCUUGAAGGAGUUCAAACGCUGUUAGCUAAAGACCAAUCUAACUUCGAUCGAUAUCAUAGGGACGACGAAGGCUUCUUACCCAUCCAUGUUGCAUCAAUGAGAGGCUAUGUAGACAUCGUCAAAGAGUUGCUCCAGGUCUCCUCUGACUCGAUAGAAUUGCUUAGCAAACACGGUGAGAACAUUCUUCAUGUGGCAGCCAAGUAUGGUAAAGAUAAUGUAGUCGAUUUUCUAAUGAAAAAAAAAGGGCUCGAGAACCUUAUAAAUGAGAAGGACAAAGAAGGAAACACGCCACUGCAUUUGGCUACCACGUAUGCACAUCCUAAGGUCGUAAACUAUUUAACAUGGGAUAAAAGAGUUGAUGUGAAUCUUGUGAAUAAUGAAGGCCAGACUGCUUUCGACAUUGCUGUAUCAGUGGAGCAUCCAACGUCAUUGCACCAGGUAUAUAUGACGAUUUGCAUCUUGUUUUCUGAAUGAAGGGUACUACUAUUGGUUUCACCUUGAACUGCAUGCAUUGUUAAUGCUAUGGCAUUUUCCUUCUUAGAUGCAAGCAUGUGAAUUAUUAAAAGGAUCAAUCAGGACAACAUAGUUUGUAUUUCUUUCCUAGAAGGACCGACUGAUAUUAAUAAAACCUAGUUCAACUAAAAGAAGAUCAAUUUGAUCCCAUGAUAUCCUAAAAGUCAAGAAAAUUAUGGAGCCUAACUCAAUCACCAUCACCCUCGCCCAGAUUAGAGCGGCUCAACCAAGGUUAGGCUAGGUUUCUCCAGCAAGUGCAUAUACUCUUGAUGCCGGCAAAGACUUAUUGGAAUAAUUUUUUGCAUCAUACUAAAAGGUUUUCAGUGUAGAGAACUGCUAUAUCAUGUGCGCUUGUGGUUGCUCUCUUGCUGCUUCACGUUGCUUAAUUUCAUACUUCUUGUGGGUGUUCAUUGAAUUUAUAGGGAAAAGAGAAUGGCUUCCCAACAAAAUAUUUCGAAACCCAACUCGUGGAAUUAUAGUCUACUUAUACUUUCUAUAGUUAUUAUUACGACGCAUACAUUUGAUUUUUUUUCUUUCUCACGAUUACAUUAACAGCAACAUUUUUAUCUCUACCACGCAGAGACUAAUUUGGACAGCACUCAAGUCUACUGGUACACGACCAGCCGGAAAUUCAAAGGUCCCACCAAAACUGCCUAAAUCACCUAAUACGGACCAGUACAAGGACAGAGUAAACACUCUCUUGUUGGUUUCGACCCUUGUUGCCACCGUGACAUUUGCUGCUGGUUUUACCAUGCCAGGAGGCUACAACAGCUCUAAUCCAAGUGCCGGCAUUGUAGGGACCCCUCCCCUUGGGAAACACGUGGCACGCAGCUCAUAGUGACGCAUGGCACGUGUUAUCAGCCGGACCUUCAUCAUCCGGAUUCCCCUGAGGAUAUGCAUGGUGCAGUUAUCCUAUCCGGACCGCCUCAAGGAAAGGCAAACGACGUUUCAGCUUCUCCUAUCCAAGGAAGAGCAAACGACGCUGGCAGAGCGUAGACAUCCGGAUAGUCUCCACAACACAUCCGGAUAAUCAGCAUGAGCCAUCCGGAUAUAAAUCGUCUGGAUGGUCAAUUAAAGUAAAGCGAGUCUUACACGCAAUCACAACAAGCAGCCAUGGCCCACAUCUUGUCACCUGCAGAGUGAGAAGACAAGAGGAAGUGACAGCAAGUCACUUCCCACGAUCAUUCUACAUAACCACUUCCCACGAUCUCUGACAACCGCAUCACCUACCAUGGUCUCUGACAGCCAUUCGUAGGAUGAUAAUGCUCCUACUGGCACCUAUUAUCAUCAUUACAACAUAAAAUAUCUCCUCACCAUUAAUGAAAGGAGCAGUACCCCUGAAGUUGUAUAUAUAUGCCUUCACACGCAGAAGAAGGGGAUCCCCUGGUAACCUUUUGAUACCUAGUGAAAGGCCAACUGAUUUAUAUAUCUCUCUCUCUUAUCAUGGCUAACAAAACCAUCGGAGGGUGUGUCCGGACACCCUGUCCGGAUGCCUUUUGCAGGUACAAACCGCUGAAUCAAGAACCCCUUGUGUGUUGAGAAUCGCGUGUCCAUCCAUCUAGCAGCAACGUGGACCACUGGAUACGCGAGGCGACAACAUUGGCGCCGUCUGUGGGAAGCUUUACUUUUUAUUUUGAUUCAGUCACUAGCAAAGAUGGCCACACCUUCCCAAAGUCGAUCAUCUGGUAGAGGGGAGGAAGAUAAUCUCGAAUGGCGUCAGGCCAUCGAAAAAAGACAGUUGGCGAGCGAAAAACAGCUAAGAGCUCUCCUCCAGGAGACGGAGAGGUUAAGGGAAGAAAACGCUGUGUUACGCGUUCAAGCCUCAACGUCAGGUCCUCCUCGUCGUCAGCAUUCAAGAGGCCAGGUGGCAAACUCAAGGCCAGAGCCAGAAUCAAUAUAUCCUGGGUCAACAGGAGCUGUCCCAGGAGCAUACAACGCAAGGCCCCAUGAGCCACGUACACCUAUGCCUUGAGCUCCCCGUGAGGAAAGCUCAGAUUCCACUCAUUUUUCAGCAAAAAGACAACAUGAUAGAAAAUCACAGUUGUCAAGUUCUAUGCGCGCAAGACUAGGCCCACAAGAGCCUGGGAGAUCAAGGCCACCAGUAGCCACAACCCAGGCGCCACGCCCCGAUCCUAUGAUCGCUCCCAUGGUGCAGAACGUACCUCCGCAUCGUGACCCCAUGGUCACCCCAGCGAUGCGGAACGUUCACUCACACCUAGCGGAACGACCAGCUGGGAGAAACCUCCCAAACGAGCCACCCAUUGGCUCCAUCAGCAAAAGGCUGGAUGACAUGCUCUCCAUGCCCUUUUGCUCUCAUAUCACCCAUUACGAGCCCCCAAGGGGAUUCCUCGUACCAAAGUUUUCCACAUACGAUGGGACCAACGAUCCCUUCGAUCACAUCAUGCACUAUCGACAACUUAUGACGCUCGAUAUUGGCAACGAUGCAUUGCUAUGCAAAGUAUUCCCCGCCAGCCUUCAAGGGCAGGCCCUCUCAUGGUUUCAUCGCCUACCUCCUAACUCUGUUAACAAUUUCACGGACCUCUCUGAAGCUUUCGUGGGACAGUACUUGUGCUCUGCUCGACACAAGCAGAAUAUCAGCACCCUCCAGAACAUAAAAAUGAGAGACAACGAAUCCUUGAGGGAAUUUGUGAAACGAUUUGGCCAAGCCGUACUUCAAAUAGAGGCUUGCAGCAUGGAUGUUGUCCUACAGAUCUUCAAGAGAAGCAUCUGUCCAGGCACUCCAUUUUUCGAAUCACUGGCCAAAAAGCCUCCUACAACGAUGGACGAUUUGUUCAGACGUGCUAACAAAUAUUCAAUGCUCAAAGAUGACGUACGUGCAGCCACUCAGCAAGUUUUGGUUGCCGGACGGGCUUCUAGAAAUGACGCGGACAGAUAUGCCAAACCUCCGGACCGGCCAAAACCAGUUGACCGGAGGCAGGACGGGCCGAGUCGUCCGGAUAGGCCACCCAUCACACCCCUAUCCGUGUCAUACGAAAAACUUCUCCCAAUGAUCCAAGGGUUGUCCGACUUCAGGUGGCCUAGACCCCUCGAAACGGACCCAUCCAUGAGAGACCGCAGCAAGAAAUGCGCCUUCCACAAAGACCAUGGUCAUACAACAGAGACAUGUCGGUCCCUCCAGUACCUAGUUGAAAGGCUCAUCAAAGCAGGACAUUUAAAACAGUACCUCCGCUCAGAAGCUGGAGGAAGGGACGCAUCUCAACAUCAUAACUCUGGGGCCCCGAGGGCCCCAAUCGCCCCCAAGGCUGUCAUAAACUAUAUCAACGGGGGCCCAUCUGACGAGGAAUACGAUUCCAGGAGGAAAAGGCAGAAAUUGCUGCGAGCCGCGUCAGUACGCGAACGCAUUAAUUCCAUCCGACCGGGUCUCACUGGAGAGGGCCCUCGCCCCAUAGAUGGAACAAUCAUUUUCCCACCAGUAGAUCCCACCCGGACGCUACAGCCACAUCGCGAUGCCCUCAUCCUCUCCCUAGAAAUAGGAGAUUUCGAUGUAAGACGUAUCUUGGUCGACCCAGGCAGUUCAGCCGAUCUGGUGCAAGCAUCAGUCGUUGGCCAUAUGGGACAUAGUCUCGCGGGUCUCGAAAACCCCGGACGAAUCUUAUUCGGAUUCAACGGGUCAUCAACCACAUCCUUAGGAGACAUCAUACUGCCGGUCCAAGCUGGCCCAGUCACUCUGACGGAGCCUCACGCUCAUCAGGCUCUGGAGUUGGGCUCAUACUACAGUCCCCAACUGGGGAACAUCUGGAGCAAGCCAUCCGGCUGGGAUUCUCCGCGUCUAACAAUGAAGCAGAAUACGAGGCCAUCCUGUUCGGGUUGGACCUCGCCCUUGCUCUAUCCGUCUCCAAACUCCGAAUCUACAGCGACUCGCAACUAGUGGUAAGGCAUGUCCAGAAAGAAUAUGAGGCUAAGGACGCACGCAUGGCGCGAUACUUGGCCAAAGUAAGAAGCACCUUACAGCAAUUCACCGAGUGGACAAUCGAAAAAAUUAAGCGAGCUGACAACGGGCGCACUGACGCCUUGGCCGGUAUAGCUGCUUCCCUCCCCAUCAGAGAAGCCAUUCUAUUGCCUAUCCAUGUACAAGCCAAUCCCUCUGUCGCAGAAAAUUCCACUUGCAACACCGUUGAGGCAAACCAAGCGAAUGAUCAAGAAUGGACGCAUGAUAUUGCAGAAUAUCUCCGGACAGGCACUUUACCCGAAGAUCCUAAACAAGCGCACAAAAUCCCGGUGCAAGCUGCCCGUUUCACCCUGAUUGGGGGGCACCUGUACAAGCGAUCCUUCACAGGGCCUUAUCUUCGCUGUCUUGGGCAUUCAGAGGCCCAGUAUGUGCUAGCUGAAUUACAUGAGGGAAUAUGCGGAAAUCAUAUGGGAGGACGAUCCCUGGCACAUAGAGCUCAUUCACAAGGAUACUAUUGGCCAACAAUGAAGAAAGACGCGGCAGCAUAUGUCCAAAAAUGUGAUAAAUGUCAAAAAUACGCUCCCAUUCCACAUAUGCCAUCGGCAGUAUUGAAAUCAGUCUCAGGCCCAUGGCCUUUCGCGCAGUGGGGCAUGGACAUAGUGGGACCCCUCCCAGCAGCACCUGCCCAGAAGAAAUUCCUCCUUGUCGCCACUGAUUACUUCAGUAAAUGGGUAGAAGCUGAAGCAUAUGCAAGCAUCAAAGAUAAAGAUGUCACCAAAUUCGUAUGGAAGAACAUUGUUUGCCGCUUUGGAAUUCCCCAAACCAUCAUAGCUGACAAUGGUCCACAAUUUGACAGCAUUGCAUUCAGGAAUUUCUGUUCGGAACUGAAUAUUCGGAAUUCAUACUCCACGCCGCGUUAUCCUCAAAGCAAUGGGCAGGCGGAAGCCACAAACAAAACUCUAAUCAAUGCCUUAAAGAAAAGGCUUGAGCAAGCCAAAGGGAAGUGGGUGGAGGAGCUACCCGGCGUCCUGUGGGCCUAUCGAACCACACCCGGACGACCGACAGGAAACACUCCUUUCGCCCUCACAUAUGGAAUGGAUGCAGUCAUUCCCAUUGAAAUAGGUCUUCCUACUAUCCGGACCGAUGCAGCAAAACAAGAAGAUGCCAACACGGAACUAGGAAGAAAUUUGGACUGGGCAAACGAAGUCAAAGAAAGCGCGGCCAUCCGGAUGGCAGAUUAUCAACAAAGGGCAUCAGCGCAUUACAAUCGAAAAGUCAGGCCCAGAAACUUCAAAAAUGGUACGCUAGUACUUAGAAAAGUUUUUGAAAAUACUGCUGAAAUAGGCGCAGGAAAGUUCCAAGCCAAUUGGGAAGGACCCUACAUAGUGUCUAAGGCAAACGAAAAUGGAGCCUAUCAUUUACAAAAGCUAGAUGGCACUCCGUUACUCAGACCAUGGAAUGUGUCCAAUUUAAAGCAGUACUAUCAAUAAAAAGUAUACACAAGUGCAAAUGAGAAAGAAGUAUGUUUUUAUUGAUAUGAAUAAAUGUAAUUACAAAGAGACCUCCGGACCACAAAAAUACAGAAAGAAAAAUUACAGCAGAAAAAUUGCAAAAAGAGAUAAACUAUCAGGGAGCGGGCUUCUCAUGGAGCUUUUUUUCUUCACCUGGAGGAAUUGAAGGGGUAUCUCGCUUGAUGCCGUUCUUCUUCAUGCAGCAGCGAUACCCAAAGAUAAACGUAUCAUCCACUUGUUGCUGGUAAUCCGCUGCAAGUUCCUCCCUUUCCACAGCAAACUCCCGUUCGAGUUCUUCUUUUUGCACAUCCAGGCGCAGCUGCAAGUCUUCCUUCUGUUUCUUUUCAUUCGAAACUUCUGUCCGGAGUUGAUUCACUUCAUCCCUCAGCCGGGCUGCCUCACCUUCCGCCUCAUGUAGGCGGCCCAUAGUCGAUUCUUCUCGACUCUUCGCCUCAGCCAACUCCACUCGGAGGGCUUCAUUUUCCUCUCGCAUGGUGGAUAGACUGGCCUCAGCCUCCUCCAUUCUCAGACGCAGCUGAUUUUCAAUCUCUCGGCGUCGAGAGGAGAAGGUCUUCAUAUAGUCUGCAGUCUGCAGCAGCUGAGUAAAAAGAUCGUGUUGUUGAGCCAUGCCGCGGAGGCCCCUCACCAGCUGACACACAAACAAGAAAAGCAAAGACAUAAAUCGUACUACAACAAACACAUCAGUGCAACAAAGAGUCAAAAAGCAAAAGCACAAGACAACGGUAUACCGUUUCUAUCAUAUCAAACAUCUUAGCAGAGGGCUUGAUGGCUUUCCAGUCGGGUGUAAUCUGUUUUAGCUUAACUUCCAACUCCGCGUAGCUGAAAGGGCUAGCAGGAGCUGCAUCGUCAGCAGGUUCCUCCUCAGAUGAGGAAACAGAAGGUGACUCUUGUCCCGGAUUCGGGACCUCCACAUCUUCGUCCGGACGCAUCUGUCCGGAUACAUCUUCAGCCGGAAUUAUUACCGGGGCGGCCGAAGUCUCAGUUGCCAUCUCCACCUCGCCUCCAUCCGGAUGAGCGUCAUGGGCAGAAGCGCAGCUAACUUCAAUCUCUUGCUGCCGCUCUUGAAGCCGCCAAGGAGUCCGGACCGUAGAUCGCGCGUCGAACGCGGCUUCUUUGAAGGAGGCCCUUUCACCGGGAUUAUGGCUAAGCGAUCCGGGUCGUCGGAAGGCUGACUUUGGCUUUCUGCCCCCGCUUCCUCCAACGGGGUCGUUUCAGCUGCAUCAGCAUCCGGAUUAAGGUUGCCCGGACGGUUGAUAGACGCAGCUUCCUCAGCCACGUUAGCCAGACGCGCAACCGCGGCCAAGGAAGUGCCCGAAUGGUUCAACCCCGAGAUGCGUCCGGGGCCGCUUGAGAUAGAGUGCGGAGCAGCGUUUACUGGCUCCUCUAUCAUUACUUCCCCCUCAUAGGUAAUUUGCGGAGGAGGAAACUCCCUGGGAGGAGUGGGUUCCUUCACAUCCUUCCCAUUCUUCUUCACCAGCUUCCUCCUUUUUGCUGGAGUUUUCUUUGGAGGAGAGUCCGAACCCCGCUUCUGUCCGGGAGCCUUCCGGAUAGUGCCUUCAUUUUUUUUCUGAUCUCGAUCCUCCAGGAGCUUUCGCCGUCUUUCACCAUCAGCCUCUUUAGCUUCCUGAUACAGGGGGAGCUCCUUCAGAGUAUAAUGCUCCCCAGGUACUAUCUCAUCCUUUGCUAGUUUCCUGGGGAGAAUAUUGAUAACAUAUUCCUGGGACUCCCGGACGACCGCCAUCAAAUUCCACGCGGAAAGCAAUGUCUUGUAGGCCCUCUCCUUGGGAUUUAUCUCGAAUAAUUUGCAGACACAGGCGAAGGACGCAUUUUCCACCCAAUCCACAAGGUGGCCCCUCAAUUCCAGACCUGCAUUGACAGCAACAAAAUGUGAGAAUUCCGUCCAAAAAAAAAAAAAAAAAAAAUCAGCAAAGUAAAAUCCGGACAAAGAAUCGCAAAACAAGAAUACCCGGAAUUUUUAAGGUAUAAUUUGGAGAAAAGGGCCUCGACGCACGCUCCAAUAGCCCCGCCCAUCCACCCCGGACCGCCACCAGCCCCUUCGCCCCUCCAUUUGUCGAAUCUGGCAGCUCUGUCACCACUUGAAGGGAGGGCAGGUGCGCGGACACAUUGAAAAUAUCAUUUUUUGCUUUCUUCAGGGAAUAGACAAAGAACACUUCCAGUAGCGUAAGGUCGAGGCUGUACAGCAUGUUGAUGAUGCUGCAUCCCAUCAGCACCCGGACAAGGUUGGGAUGAAUGAAGAUGGGUGGAACCUGAGAGAAGUGGAGGAAUUCCUUGAACAACGCCGGCAGAGGGAACCGGAGCCCCGCGUUGAAUUGUUCAUUUGUGAAGAGGAUAACGUUUUCUUCACCUUUCUCAGUAGGCAUAGCCGCCUCCUCGUUCACCAAGUCUAUAGAUACGUCAUUUGGAAUGCAGAACCGCUCCCGGAACUCCUUCACAUUUAAUUUGUCUAUCGCCUUUUCGCCAGCCUCGCUAACCCGGGCAGAUGAAACAGUCUUUUUUGGAGCCAUUUCUUACCACAAAGCCAAACCAAAAUCUACAUACAAAAGCAAUGCAACUGUUCAAACCAAGCAGUCAGAAAAUACACAAACCCUAACCCAAAGCAGUCAGAAAAACCCCUCAAAAACCCCCCCCCGAACACCAACAAAGUACCAACAUUCAACAACAAUUGCAAGCGACUUGCCCAAAACAAUGCCCAAGCAAGCCAGAAACCAAGUUUAAAGAACCAGCAAACGCAACCAAAGGAAUGACAGUAGCAAAGAGGUACGUACCAAAUAAAGCUCUGAAGAAGAAGAACGGUUACUGUCUCGGUACAAAAUCACCAGCAGCAAACAAACGAAGUCGCGAUACAAAAACACCGGUACAAAAGAGCUUUCGAAGUUUUUUCUCAGAGAAGCAAAGGGCGCAGGAAAAAGCAAGAAGAAGAAAGGCUCUCAAGAGAAUGCAGUAGAAAAAAAUGCAAAAAGAGGUACAGUGCCCUAUUUAUAGCAGGACAGCCAUGUUAUCAUUGAAACGACAUAUUGCCUGGGGAUACACAGGGUCGGCGGCUUGUCAUAAAUGCCUUUUUGGCUUCCGCACCCCCACUCGCCACGUGGCCCAGUCAGACGAAGGGACCUCUUCAAUUUUCAAAAGCCAGUUAUUUUUAACCCGCCCAUUUUUUCGGGCAAAAUAGGAAGUUAAAAAGGGGGGCAAUGUAGGGACCCCUCCCCUUGGGAAACACGUGGCACGCAGCUCAUAGUGACGCAUGGCAUGUGUUAUCAGCCGGACCUUCAUCAUCCGGAUUCCCCUGAGGAUAUGCAUGGUGCAGUUAUCCUAUCCGGACCGCCUCAAGGAAAGGCAAACGACAUUUCAGCUUCUCCUAUCCAAGGAAGAGCAAACGACGCUGGCAGAGCGUAGACAUCCGGAUAGUCUCCACAACACAUCCGGAUAAUCAGCAUGAGCCAUCCGGAUAUAAAUCGUCUGGAUGGUCAAUUAAAGUAAAGCGAGUCUUACACGCAAUCACAACAAGCAGCCAUGACCCACAUCUUGUCACCUGCAGAGUGAGAAGACAAGAGGAAGUGACAGCAAGUCACUUCCCACGAUCAUUCUACAUAACCAUUUCCCACGAUCUCUGACAGCCGCAUCACCUACCAUGGUCUCUGACAGCCAUUCGUAAGAUGAUAAUGCUCCUACUGGCACCUAUUAUCAUCAUUACAACAUAAAAUAUCUCCUCACCAUUAAUGAAAGGAGCAGUACCCCUGAAGUUGUAUAUAUAUGCCUUCACACGCAGAAGAAGGGGAUCCCCUGGUAACCUUUUGAUACCUAGUGAAAGGCCAACUGAUUUAUAUCUCUCUCUCUCUUAUCAUGGCUAACAAAACCAUCGGAGGGUGUGUCCGGACACCCUGUCCGGAUGCCUUUUGCAGGUACAAACCGCUGAAUCAAGAACCCCUUGUGUGUUGAGAAUCGCGUGUCCAUCCAUCUAGCAGCAACGUGGACCACCGGAUACGCGAGGCGACAACAGGCAUGGCUAUCUUUCUGAUGAGAAAUAUGUUCCAUAUGUUCGUCAUCUGCAAUACCAUUGCUAUGUAUACCUCCAUCCUCGCGGCAAUCAUCUUCAUCUGGGCACAGUUAGGUGAUCUCAAUUUGAUGGAUACUGCCUUCAGAUUUGCAUUGCCAUUAUUGGGGCUGGCCCUUUAUGCAAUGUCCUUCGGCUUCAUGGCAGGUGUUUCCUUGGUGGUCAGUAAUCUUCAUUGGCUUGCAAUUGUUGUCUUCAUUAUUGGAAUCAUCUGCCUUUUCAGUCUCUCAGUACCCUUUCUUUUACUCUUCCUCCCAAGUAAGUCUACUAAUCGUAUCCUUAGGUACAUCUCCUAUUAUCCGUUCCUUAUACUGGUAUGGGCAUCUGAAAGCCCCGAAAUCAAACAGGAAGAUUAGCUUGCCCUGUUGAUGAUGUAUGCUAGCUCCAUCUUCUCCUAUGUUUGUUGCUUCUUUCAGCAUUAUCUCAAUGACUUGGUAGACAAAGCAUGUUAUGAAUAAAUGCUUAGUGUGAUCAGAACUUCAAUAUAUUGGUGGUGUUGUACAUGAUCAUUUGUCAUAUAAAUCUGUAGUUUCUGGAGCUGUAAUAUGUGAAAUACUCUAUAUAUAUUUCAAUAAAUACUCCAUUCAUCCAUACUGAUCAAUGCAUAUUUGUCUUUGCUUUAAAAUUUUUUAGAAAAGAAAAAAAGAAAAAAAAAUCUUGGAAAUCCCAAAAUGAUUAAUUUGAGAAAUAUCAUUAUUUAACAAAUAAAAAAACACAUGAAUAUAUAAACCCCACUAUGUCAUUUUCUUUGAAGUACCCUGUUGCGGAUUUGAUGAGAAAAAGGUAGUAAUCAAAUGGCAUAGCAUAAAAUUUAAAUUAGAGUUUUCUCAUCAAAAUGUGCAGAAUUAAAACCUUUACUAAAACAAUUGAUUUUUAGGAACCAAAUUUUGGUGAAAAAAAAAAAUCAUAAUUCAUCUAUAAAACUAAUUAUUGACAAUAAACUUUUACAUUUCCUACAAACUAUUUAAUGAUGAUACCUUAGUGAUUAACUUCUAAACUCAUUUAUAAAAUGUAACAUUAGACUUUGUUUGAUUUUGAAGAGUUUGAAAGGAAAUGCAAAAGAAAGAAAGAAAAGAGGAGAAAAAUAAAAGGAAAGAAAAAAUAAAUUUAAAGUGAAUAAAUUAUUUUGAUAUAUUAUUUUAAAUUUUUUCAUUUAUUUAACUUUUUAUAUAAAAAUAAAAUAAUUUAAAAUCUCAAGAUUACUAAAAAAUAUCUUGGGAUAGCAAAAAGUUUAUGAUCUUUUUCCUACGUGGAACAAGUGAUAAUUGAGCACCACCUAUUCAAUCCCUCUAAUUAGUUAUGAUUAUCUUAUUUAAUUAAUGAUUUAUGUAUUUCAUAGAUAAGUUGACAAUUUUAUUCUAUACAUUUUAAACUAAACCUCUAUAUACUUUCUUGUAACUAAUUGGAGUCUACGGAUGGUAAUGGGGUGGAUUUUUUUGAGUACUUGCCCGUCCCAUCCUUAAUGGAAUGGAUUUGAAUUUUAACUAAAUGGGUUUAGGAUGGGUUUGGAAAUUUUUUUAAAACUUGGGGUGAAUUUGGGUGUUGUCUUGUCUCAUCCCACCAUAUUAUAUAUAAAAUUAAUUUUUAAAAUUAAAUUAAAUUAAUUUUUAUUUUACUAUUUUUACUAUGUAGAUAAUAAUGAAAUAUUUUUUUUUAAUAAAAUAAGUUAUAAAAAAUAUAAUAAUUUAAUUAUUUAUAAAAUAUAUUUAUUUUAAUAUAAUUAAAAAAAUUUAAAUUAAAAAAAAAAAGUUAAACUGGGUGGGAUGGGGUGGGGCGAGUAUGAAAAUUUCUCAUACCCAUCCCUCCCUGUUUAAUUUUUUAAAUGGGGCAAAGAUGAAAAUUAAUUUUAAUAAAUGGGACGAGGUUGGAAUGGGGGUGACCCGUCCCAUUGCCAUCCUUGCUAGAGUCUAGAAUCGUAAAAACUCAAGAUUACUCACAAUUCGUCUAGGAAUAGCCAAAGUUAAUUAUCUUGUUUCUACGUAGAGCAAGUGAUGAUUGAGGACCAUAUAUCUAGUCUGUCUAAUUAGUUAUGUGAUGCAAGGUUAAAAACCUUAUCUUAUUUCAUAACAUGAUUAUAUUUUAUAGAUCAUAAAAUCAAAUCUUUGUUUGGUAACUCAUAUUUAGUAAACCUUAAGAACCUAAAUUCCCCACGUGUUUGACAUAGAUUCGAAAUUUUGAACCCAAUUUUAAGUUGAGUUUGAUGAUAGUCGGACGUAUUGAUGACAGAUUUGACGGUCAUUACGUUCAAACCCGCUUUAAAAGACUCAAACCCACGUAACUUUGAAUUGGUUAAAAUAAUUUUAUAAAGUGAAACGAUUAAACUUCUUACUUUUUGGGAUUGGUGUUUGUACUUCCAAAUGAUGUUCCUAGUGAGUUUGGGGAAGAGAGUGAUAGGAUUUCAGAAUAAUUAUAAGCCUAAUUCUUGCAAAACAAUCAUCACAUUGGUCUUAAAACUUUGUGAUUUUCACAAAGUAAAUAAAUAAUCAAGAAAACAAUCAUUAAAUUCUAACUUUUAAACCAUGUCUAGAAAAAUAAAGUUUAAACCAAAAAUCCUAAAAAUAUCAAAAUCUCAUCCUAAUUAUCAUUCAUCACCUGAUCAGAUGGUACUUAAAAAAUUGUUAAUGAAGGGAAAUGAACUUAAAACCUAAUAAGAAAUAUUAAUACAAUUUCACAAAUAAAAUAUUUUUAAUAAAGAUUAUAAAAAGAAGAUAUGAUGUAUAAUCAUUUUCAUAAAAACUUUUUAGUUCAAACAUUCUAAUACAUUCAAACUUUUCAACAAAACAUUUUUAUAUUCAUGUCAAACAAUUUUAUAUUAAAUUCAAAUAAAUUGUAUUUAAAAUAUUUUACUCUGAUUAUCAAAUAUCAAAUGGUACUCAAUUAUGUGAGACUUUACAAAUGGGCGGCUACUCUCAAAUUUGUUCCUUUUAAGACAAAACUAAACACUACUAAUACUAGUAAUCUCUAACCAAACCUUUAGAUGUUGGGGUUCAAAUCAAUUGCAUUCUUCAUCAUAAAAUGUAAAUGUUAACUAUUAUAUCGUGUUAAUAUGGACUAAAAAGUCAAUUAUUAUAUCCAAUUGAUAAAGACCAAAAAGUCGAUUAUUAUAUUCCGCUACCUAUGACCAAACAAACCAAAGUCAAACACUUUGUUUUAUUUAUUCAAACUUAUAAAAACAUAAUAUUUUCACAUAUUUAUGUUAUAAACAAAAGAAAAGGUUUUAAUAUAUUUUUCAUGAAAAAUAUAUUUGCUUUAUGCAUAAAAACAAAAAUAACAUUUUACACAUUUAAUUUCAAAAUAACAUGUCAAAAGAAAAUCAUUUUUUUUUAUAAAAUCCUCAUUAAUUUCCCUUACCUCGAAAAACAUUCAUAAUCCUUGAAGAAUUUAAUUCUAUAUAAACAACUUUUCAUCUAAUAACAUAAGAAAAACAAUUAUUACUAUUAAUUAUUUGUCUAAAAUUAUAAGUUUAAUAAUCCUAAAAUUUUAUAUAUUAAUAUUAAUAUUAAUAAGUAUCAAUGAUAAUUUAAUUAAUUUAUUCCUUAUUAAAGUAAAAUUAAUAAAUUGCUAAUUUAUAUAAAACUUUUUUCUUAAAUUUGAUUCUAAAAAACAAAAAUACAUUACUAAUUUAAUUAAACUACAAUUUUUAUUUCAUUAAUUAAAUUUUAUUUAUUUAUUAACUUAACAUCUAUCCUCAUUAGCAUUAUUAUACCAUCAACUAACCCAACUCUCAACACCUACUUAAUAUUAUAUAUAAAGGUAGGACUCGCUUGCUUAUCUUUUUCUUAUUUUAUUUCUUUUCUUUCUUGCACAAACCACACUCAUGGCUACAUUCCAUUUUUUUUUUUUUUUAAUACACGCUUACAAAAAUCACACUGUACACACUCGCCAAGGAACCAACACUAUAAGAAAAAAGGGCAAUAAUGACGCUUUUUAGGCGUCAAUAAAUGUAUAAGAUGACGCUUCUUGAAAGCGUCCUUGUCGCCCCUGUCAAGGAAUGGGUGUAAGCAACCUUGUCGCUUCUAAUUCAAGGAAUGGGUGUAAGUAACAUUUCAAGGUGAAAUCAACCAUUUUGGUUAGAAUAUUUGCUUCUAAUUCAAACCCCAAGCUUUGAUUCCCUUAACAAUAAUAGAUGAGUGAAUACAUAUUUCUUAGAAGCUUUAAUCAUAACAGUCAGUCAGGAUAGAAUAGCAAAGACUAUGUGACCAUAUUUAUUUCUGGUUAUACUUCCACUACCAAAUUGUCGUGUGUUCCCAAUGGUUCAGCAAUCAAAGAAAGCAUCAAAUGCCCGAUAUGGGCAAACAUCAAAAUCUUAGGGACAGUGGGAUUAAGAGUUUAAGGUAGUGAAUGGUUUUUUUUUUUUUUUUUUUUUUAACCACUAUAACUUUAGAUACAGUAUGGCUCUAUACAGGAGCAGGUGGUAGACUGGUGGUGUAAGUAUAUCUAGGUUAAUCUUUGUUAAGUUUGGAUUUCAGAUCAUUUGCAGCUUGUGAUGGUUCUAAUUUUAUCUUUUUCAUUUUGUAUAAGAGAUAAGAAAUCCCAACUACGUGUGUGUACUUAACUCUUAUGCCAUUUAUUUAUCUUCAUGAUGUAUACUUAGUUCUUAUGCCAUUUAUUUAUUUAUAUUUUGAUUGGCAUAUCCCUUUUCCAUUUAUAGGAAUCUUUAAGAUAACCUCUUACUUAGGAGAAACUUUUUGUAUUUGAUUGAUUUAUACAUUGAUUUGUUCUUGCAACUUGUUAAACUGCCUCGAGUUCCAAUUGUUGACAAAAUAUUGAAGAAGUAUCUUGAUUACAGAAUAAAGAGGGAUGGCAUGUAAGUAUAUUUGCCAUGGCUCCUGACAUUUUGAACUCCCUUCCAACUUCUAAAGGUGAUCAAACAAAGUUGCAAUGAUACUGCCUGAGGUUUGAUGGCAGUUAUUUUUAUUGUUUGGUUUGGUGUGUUAUUGAUGUAGUAAUAUCAGGAUAAUUUGUGUCGGAAUGUUUACUAUAGUAAGAGGUAGUUCUUGUAAUUUUCACACUAAUAUGGUUUGAAUAGACAAGCAUGCUUACCUGUUCAGUGAUCAGUCUCAACUAUGUACUUAUUGCAUAAAUGAUUGUUAUGGCAAUACAAGCAGUCUCUCUAUAUAGAUGAGUAGUUCACAUGUGAAAUUUUUGAAAGCCAGUAUCUUAAGAUAUGUAGUUAUCAAAGACAAGUUCAAGAAUAUUGUAACUUCUGAAUCCAAAAAAAAAAAAAAAAAAACCACACACAAUCUUGACAAGAACAAAAAUAGUCAAUGAGAUGGGAAACAAGACAUCUAUUCAAAACCAGUAAUAGACUUACAUUCUCAAGUCCCAAUGAGCCACAUAUAUAAGCAACACCCCAUACAAAUAAAACAAUUGCUUCCUUUUCCACCAAAAGUGCACUGUGUGCCUGACAGAACCAACAACAACAAAGUCAAAUAAGCUGCAAUGUGGAAUACAUAAAAUAAAAUACCACAAUUAAAAUUGCAAAAAAUGAAGUUAACUAAAAUCAACAUAUAAAUAAUAAAAUAAAAAAUAAAUAAAGGAUGUUAAUUUACUUAAUCCUUUAAAACUUUGAUAAUCAGAUGAGUAACAGAGCAGAGGCAGUGUUUGUGACAAAAAAAAAACUGCUAAAUCACAUCCCCUGUAUGCUGUUAUGAUGUGUUUGAAUUUUGGGUUCUCAUCAUCUUGUUCCUUCUCAAUCAUGUACUUUUGUUUCUUCUUUGUAAACUCAGACUGGUUGGAUAUAUACUAGGAUCUCCGCACAUUUUUUACAACAUUCAAGUGAAUUUUGGUUAAUUUUAUGUGAUAAUUAAACUCAUUUAUGUUUUUUUUUAGAUUUAUUUUUUUAUUUUUCUUUUGUUUGUAUGAAACACUUGGAAAUGUUUGAAAAAAAAAUUCUAAAGUUUGUGGGCCUACUUUUCAAGAGUAGUUAAAUAGAUAUGACAUAUCAAAAUAUCUGGAAGAAAUUAAAAAACUCAUCAUUUUAUUUGACAAAAUAUAAGUAAUGAAGAAAAUUAGAAUGAUAAAUGAUUCAAACCAUGAAUGGAUUUUUGAAGGAAAAAGCGUUCAAUAGACACAAUGAUAUAUUUUAGGUAUUUUUAUAUAUCUAUAUAUCUAUAUAUAUAUUAAUCAAAAUUGAUUGAGAAACUUUUGUGGUCUUGAUUAACACUUGUGUAAAACCAAAAAAAAAAAAAAAAAAAUUCAUCUCUGUAAAUAAGGGAUUCACUCACAAAAAGACCACUUUUCCAUGGACCUAAACAAAAUCACAACAAAAUUAGUUUAAUGAUUUGAUGUAUAUAAUAAUAACAACAAGAUCACUUUCAUUUCACACAUGCUAGUAACUUGAAAAUUAAUCAAUUCACUUAAGACCCAUGUGUAGGAAAUCAAAAUAAUAUAAAUUAUACCUAGAUAGAGCACUAAAAAAAUUGAUUUUUUUUAAUAUUUGUAUUUUUUUUUCAUUGGUUUCUCAUUUGUGCUUGCUUUUCUAAUUUUUAUUUUUUACAUUCUGUGGUGGAUGUAAGGAAAUACGCAAAACUGACAAAUUAACCAGAUAAUGAUGGCUGUAUAAAUGUUAUUUAAUUUUCUUGUGUAAGAGGAUUAUUCAGAACAAUAAGAAUAUGGGUGGUGGGUAGUGGGAUGUGGGAGGACAACUAAUCUCUUUGCGUUUAUGUGAAAACAAUAUGUUAAAAGCACAUGCAACCUUAGUUUGUUCUAGUCCAAAACACCCUUGUUCAUUCGUUUUUCCUCUUUUGUUUUUAUUUUUGUUUGCCUCUUCCCCGUGUAGUUGUUUAAUCUACUAAAAACAUUGAGUUUUAACACACAUAGUCAAUAAGAAACACAAUCAUCCCAAAAAUCAUAAGAACACAAAAAAGCCCUAAAAUAAAAUAUGAAAACAGAACACAUUGAGAGAAGAGGACUUACCACUCAUAGAUAUGGGAAUGCAACGGUAUACAUCAAUGACACUGGUUCAUAGUGGAAAUUUUCCAGUGGUGACCACUUGUGAAAUUAUUGAAGUCAGGUAAGGCUACUCCAAAGGGUUAGGGCAUUUCAGUGGUGGGAUUUGUAAAUGAGGAAUGGGUUAUGGCUUCUUAGUGCUGGAUUUCACCCUUGCAAAAAGGGUUUCAUAGUACGGAAAGGGUUUCUCCCAACUUGCGACAUCGACAAUUGACAUGUAGGGACUAGAUUCUCUAGAACGAUAUGCUAUGAGUCUUUGGAAGCUUCUUGUUCAAUCGUCAUUGUUCCUUUAGGUAUGAGAUUCAAGCUUCAUUUUUCGGGUUUUUCGAGAUAUGAAAUAGAGGGAAUGUUUGGCGGUAACAUAUUGCAGAGAGAAAAAAUUCCAAAGAUAGCCAUAUAUUUAUAGGUAAAAUUCAAUGGCACUUAUAAAAGUGCCGAGGAAAAAUAAUACUAGUUAACAAAACGAUGAUACUUCCAAUAAGCGUCAUUGCAUACAAAGUAAAAGAGAAAAUAGUAUAUCAAACAAUGAUGCUUCCAAUAAGUGUCAUUGUGUACCAUGCUACAGGGAUAAUAGUAUGUCAAACAAUGACACUUUUAAUAAGUGCCAUAAAAUAAAGCAUAUUAUAUCAAAUAAUGACGUUUUUUUAAAGUAUCAAGAAAUAAAACGUCAUUAUUUUAAAAUUUUGUAGUAGUGUGCAAAAGCUAAUUUUUUUUAAACACCCAAAUUCUUUUCUUUUUUUUCUUUUAUGUUGUCACAUAGGUACCCAUCCCGAAUCCAUAAAUCCUUUUUUUCUUUUUCUCAAUACCCUAAGUGAGUGUAUAUAUAUAUAUAUAUAUAUAUAUAUAUAAGAUAUAUUAUUUAUUUAUUAUUGUUUUAGAUUUACUAAAAAAAUAUUGAGAAUUUCCAAUCUCUAUCAAUAAAUCAACAUUUAUUCAUAAAUUUUCACUAUUUUUUAUUUAGAAUUUAAAUAAACAAAUUAUAUUCAAGAUUGAGAUUUUUUAAAGAAUAUUUAAGUGUUUAAAACUAAUUAACAAAUCUAAAAUACUAAUUUAAGGGUUAAAAUUCUACUUGAAAAACUAAUUUUCAAAUCCUAAACCUCCAAAUCUUCAAUCCUAUAUUGUCUUAUGUUUUUUUUAUCUUUUUCUAAUCUCAAUGUAAAAGGGUUUCUAUAUAAAGAAAUCAAAAAAAUCUAAUUUAUAUUUAAGGUUUUUAAUGCAAAAAGACCUUUCUAACCUUAUUAAAUUUAUUUAUUUUUUUCUUUUACUCUAAUUUAUGGUUUUACCCUUAACAAUAAAACGGGGGGUGUUACAUAAAAAGCUUGUUAGAAAAAUUAGGCUAAUCCAACCUAUGAUAAUCACCCUAAAGAGGGGGUGAAUAGGGUGAUAGUCUCUUUUUGCAAAUUUAAACUAUGUGAAAGUAAGAGACAAUUAUAUGUAAGUAUAUAAUAAACAAUAUAAAGACGUACAAUUGCAUAUAAAUUAAAAGAGUAGGGAAGAGAGAAUGCAAACACAAGAUUUUAUAGUGGUUCAGCGCAACCCGGCCUACAUCCACUCUCCUCUAGCUUCAAUCCAAAGCUUGAGGUUCCACUAAUUCAAGGCUUCCAAACCAAGCCUUCAAGCAAUAUAAUUGGACUAUGGUUCCAAUUCACCCUCUUGGACUUUUGGCUCCAAGCACCCUUUACACUUCUCAAGAAAUAUCCCACUCUUAAACAACCCCUAGAGUGAUACCACACACUUGAGAAACUUCCUCUCAAAGAUUUACAAAUAAAUGAUCUCAUAAAAUCUUAGUACAAAAACUUUAAACUCAAAUGAUACAAGAAAACUAGAAUUGAAUGGUGCACUAAAGAUAUGCAAAUUUUAGAACAAUGGUGCACUCAAAAAUACUCUUCCAAUGCUCAAAUAUAUUCAAGAAAGGUUUGGGAAGGUUAAGUUUCUUAAACAAUAAAGAUUGGAGCCUUUUUAUAGAAGAAAAAAGUCAAACUAGUCGUUGGGGGUUCGAUCGAUUAACUAGCCAUUAGCAUUUAAUGUUGGCAGGUGACUGUUGGACCUCGACCAGACCUCAAUCGGUUGAGGUUCAACCUUGACCGGUUGAACAACCGUUUUAGAAGAAAGAGAAAAUUUUUUGCACCAUCGACCGGUUGAGCUGGGGGUCAACCAGUUAUUGUUCAUACCCUUGACCGGUUGAAUUAGGGGUUGACCAAUUACUAUUCAUGCCCUUGAUCGGUUGAGAUAGGGGUCGACCGGUUACUGUUCAUCCGGUUUAACUGGUUGAGCCGUUUUUGGUUCAACAAUCAACUUUUUCAACUUAAAACCUUUUAAACAAGUUUGAAACAACAUUUGACACAAGGUUUUAGUUGAAAAUAUGAAAUCAUCCAAUUUUAAAAAUAUUUUAAGCACAUUAAUGUGGUCUUCUUGAGCAGUAAAGCAAUUAUAGUAAUUAUUAAUCUUCAUCUAAUUAAUCAAGUAAAAUAAUUAUCAUUAAUUAUAAUAAUUCAUUUUUUUAUUGUGUAGAUAUUAUCUACUUUACUACAAUGCGCAUCUACGACUUUUUGUCUUAUUGAUGAGUUAGGUAAUGUUUGCUCACCCAUUUCAGCCCUUUGCAGUGCCUGUGUCCAUGCCUUUAAUGCUACGUCCGUAUUUCCAUUUAUCAGCUUAGGUUAGAUAAAAUAUGCAGAAGGUAAAAUCAGACAUAAUAGAAAUUAGGGUCUGUAUGUCAUAUAUUUGUGCGCGAAUUUGGGAUCGGGUUGAAGUAAAAAAGUCAAAAUGAAAUUACAAUAAGAGUACGGUAAAGGGAUAACGUUGGGACAGCAGUACUGAUGUACACUUCAAGGAAGUAGGCCAUGGCAUGUCAUGCCACCUGGAACAAAAUAAGGGGUUCUACAGAUUCUCUUAUCGGAAUCAUUUGAGAUAUAGGAUGGAUGCAUAGAAGGGAAGGAGACGACUCCUCUAAAACUUGUGUUUGUGUGUAGGUGAGAAGUUGGGAUUCCCUGAUCAAUUAAAGAUGGCUGAGGAGAGGGAUCCAGUAGAGUUGGGCAUGGCACUCGGCGCAGAUUCGAACAUGAAAGAAGACAGCGUAACAGCUAAGAAGAGGGCAAAACGGUGGGCAAUCACCGCAGAAGCGAGCAUGGAAAGAGAGAAGGGGAUGCUUGAUCAAGAUGAAGAUGACUUGUGUGUAGGUGAGAAGUUGGGAUUCUCCGAUCAAUCAAACAGGGCUAAGGAGAGGGAUCUAGUAGAGUUGGGCAUGGCACUCGACGCAGAUUCAAACAUGAAAGAAGAUAAGGAAACAAGUAAGAAGUGGAGGGCAGAUUCGACACUGAUCAGCUCAGAUUCGACGAUGGAAGAAAACCCUGCACCGCCUGAGAUGUGGGUGCCAGAAACCUCGCCAAUCUUCGCAGAUACUAAGAUGGCAAUAGACAUCAGCUCAUAUUUCACAAUGAAAGAAUGCCGUGCAUCGCCGUGGGCGCGAGAAUCCAUCAUGUUAGGCAUGCCAAUCACCGCAGAAGCGAGCAUGGAAAGAGAGAAGGGGACGCUUGAUGAAGAUGAAGAUGAAGAUGAAGAUGAAGAUGAUUUGUUUGUAGGCAUGCCAAUCUCCGCAGAUGCGAACAUGGAAACAGAAAGGACAAUGCUUCUUGUAAGAAAUAUAAGUGCUCCUUCCACACACGGACCCCACGCCCCCGCUGAUGAAGAUGAAGAUGCGGAGCAUAAGAAAUUAAUGGACCGCCGCAUGCACGCGCUAGCGACCCAAGGAAAUGUUGAUGGCUUUAUUAAAAUUUUAGGCUCGAUAUCCUCCGAACAGAACCCACUUCUCUGCCAAGUUAGUCCCCGGAAAAACACAUGCCUCCACAUAGCAGCAAGCUUUGGACACCAUGAUCUUGCCAAGUACAUCGUGAAAGAGUGUCCAGAUCUUAUAAAAAAUAAAAACUCCAAAGGCGACACGGCACUUCAUAUUGCUGCUAGAAAAAGGAAUUUAUCUUUCGUUAAGAUUGUCAUGGAUUCAUGCCCUUCUGGAGGUGGCGCAUCCCAAGAUGUAGAGAAGGCUGAGCCUUCAUUGCUGGGAAUUGGUAACAAAGAAGGAAAUACAGUGUUGCAUGAGGCACUGAUAAACCGUUGCAAACAAGAAGAGGUGGUGGAGAUCCUUAUUAAGGCAGAUCCCCAAGUGGCUUAUUAUCCGAAUAAGGAGGGAAAGUCACCAUUGUAUCUAGCUGCAGAAUCACACUACUUCCACGUCGUAGAGGCUAUAGGAAACUCUGAAGUUGAGGAGCGCAUGAAGAACAGAGACCGCAAAGCAGUCCAUGGUGCCAUUAUGGGAAAGAAUAAGGGUAUUUCCCGCCUCCUUCUCUCUCUCUAUUAAAUUUUCUUCUUCCUCUUCAAACUUAAAAAGCAUUGUUUGCAAUGACGAUGGGGCUUAAAUAAUCUGUUGCUUCUAACCAUAGAAGAAGUCUACUGGGCUUGUCUCAGCUUUUGCUUCAAUAUUCCUUGUUCCUAAAAAUUCAAAUUUUUUUAUUAAUUUAUGGGAGAUCCAUAAUAUUUACAACUCUUCUUUCCCAACCCAAACCCCGUCGUAAAUAUUCUUCAUCUUUGUUUUCAAAAUCCUAAUCCUAUUUUGUCAUCUUCUAAUUAUUCUUCUUCAAAACUCCAGUCCUAAUUAAUUCUUUAUUUUAUUUUCUAAAUCACAAAAAUUUAAAAUUAACUAUAAAAAAAAAAAAAAAAAAUUGCAGUUACAUAUGGCUUCGUUGUGUGCAUAUGGGAUGGUUUAAUUAAAUAGAGGGGGUAAAAAGGGCCGUAAGAGGGAAGAACAAUUGUCUGUAUAGUUUGGGGUUGACUUCAAGUGAUCAUUUAAGAUUUGAUUUCGAGAUUAAGGUUAGAGUUAGGAUUUUUCUUUUCCCUUUUUUUUUCUUUAUGUUAUAUGUUUCUUAUAGAUGCGAUGAAGUAGAAUGGAUCCUACACAUUUGAAAGAAACACAAAUUAUAAAUGAUGUGAUGAUUUUCUAUUAUUCCCCAUUUAACUAUUGCAAUAUUAUUAAGAGUAUGGAUGGGAAUAAGAUAGGUGUUUACAGAAAUCAUCCCGUUGAGUUUGAAAUUUAAAUAAAUGAGGUUUGAAAUGAGUUUGAGAUUUUUUCAAAGAAUUAAACAGAGCCAAAUGGGGUGGGACAUGUAUGAGGACGUUUAAUUUUUUUUUAUUGGGAUGGGACUUAGAAAUAUUUUGAAUAAAUGAGAUGGGGGUUGGGAUAGAAGUGACCAUCCCGAAUCCACCCCAUUUCAAUCCCUAAUUAAGAAGAAGAUAAUGUAAAUAACAAAAUUUACAGAAUUUUUAAAAUCCAAGGAGGGAACUUAUAAUUAAAGGAAGCUUUUAAAAGGAUGGGCACCCCAUGUGGUACAACCUCACACCAAAUUGAUACUGUUUUGUUGAAUUACAGAUAAUAAAAUAAUCAAUUAAAAAAAAUCUCUUUUCUAUUUUUAUAUUAAUUUUCCUUCCUUAUUUUAAUUAUCUAAUAAUUGAACCCUUUCCAAACAAAAAAAAAAGCAAUCUUAAUUUUAUUUUUUAUAUGUGAAUUUUUUUUUAUGUAAUUUUAGUUAUUAAUGACUUGCACUCAUAUAAUAAUAUAUUUAUUAGAAAAAGGUUGUUUGAAACAUUCAUAUAAAUUUUUCUUUUAUAUAUGAUGAAAAAAUGCCAGAGAUGUUGGAAAAAAUACUGGCCAUGAGGCUCGUCCACCAAAAAGACGAAGAUGGAAGGACUCCACUUCAUUGUGCAGCAUCCAUUGGAUAUCUCGAAGGAGUUCAAAUGCUGUUAGACCAAUCUAACUUGGAUCCAUAUCGAACGGACUCUCAUGGCUUCUGUCCCAUCCAUGUUGCAUCAAUGAGAGGCAAUGUGGACAUUGUCAAAAAGUUGCUCCAGGUCUCCUCUGACUCAGUAGAGUUGCUAAGCAAACUCGGUGAGAACAUUCUUCAUGUGGCAGCCAGGUAUGGUAAAGACAAUGUAGUCAAUUUUGUGCUCAAAGAAGAAAGGCUUGAGAACUUUAUAAAUGAGAAGGACAAGGCUGGAUACACGCCACUGCAUUUGGCAACCAUGCAUAGACAUCCCAAGGUCGUAAGCUCUUUAACAUGGGAUAAAAGAGUUGAUGUGAAUCUUGUGAAUGAUUUAGGCCAGACUGCUUUGGACAUUGUAUUAUCAGUGGAGCCUCCAACUACAUUUGACCAGGUAUAUCUAUAUGAUGAUUUGCAUCUUGUUUUCUAAAUGAUGGGUACUACUAGUAGUUUCACCCUUCAACUGCAUGCCAUGAGUAGGAAAUUAGAAUGCCUCAUCCAUGCAUUGUUACAGUGCUAUGGCAUUUUCCUUCUUAGAUGCAUGCAUGCAAUUAAAUUAUUAAAAGGAUCGAUCAGGACAACAUGGUUUGUUUUCCUUUCCUAGAAGGACCGACUAAUAUUAAUAAGAACUAGAUCAACACUUCAACUCAAGCCACUAACCCUUGAUUGAAGGUCAAUUUGAGCCCAAGAUAUCCUAAAAGUCAAGAAAAUUAUGGAGCCUAACUCAAUCACCAUCACCCUCGCCCAGAUUAGAGCGACUCAACCAAGGUUAGGCUAGGUUUCUCCAGCAAGUGCAUAUACUCUUGAUGUCGGCAAAGACUUAUGGGAAUAAUUUUUUGCAUCAUACUAAAAAGUUUUCAGUGUAGAGAACUGCUAUAUCAUGUGCGCUUGUGGUUGCUCUCUUGCUGCUUCACAUUGCUUAAUUUCAUACUUCUAGUGGGUGUUCAUUGAAUUUACAGGGAAAAGAGAAUAGCUUCCCAACAAAAUAUUACGAAACCCAACUCAUGGAAUUAUAGUCUACUUUUAGUUAUUAUUACGACACAUACAUUUUAUGUUCUCUCUUUCUCACGAUUACAUUAACAGCAACAUUUUUUUCUCUACUACGCAGGCACUAAUUUGGACAGCACUCAAAUCUGCUGGUGCACGACCAGCGGGAAAUUCAAAGUUCCCACCCAAUAGACGUUGUAAACAGUACUCUGAAUCACCUAAAAUGGACAAGUACAAGGACAGGGUAAACACUCUUUUGUUGGUUUCGACCCUUGUUGCCACAGUGACAUUUGCUGCUGGUUUUACCAUGCCAGGUGGCUACAACAGCUCCGACCCAAAUGUCGGCAUGGCUGCCUUGCUGAUGAGAAAUAUGUUCCAAAUGUUCGUCAUCUGCAAUACCACUGCUAUGUAUACCUCCAUCCUCGCGGCAAUCAUCCUCAUCUGGGCACAGUUAGGUGAUCUCAAUUUGAUGGAUACUGCCCUCAGAUUUGCAUUGCCAUUCUUGGGGUUGGCCCUUACUGCGAUGUCCUUAGGCUUCAUGGCAGGUGUUUACCUGGUGGUCAGUAAUCUUCAUUGGCUUGCAAUUGUUGUCGUCAUUAUUGGAAUCAUCUGCCUUGUCGGUCUCCUAGUACCCUUUUUUUUACUUUUCCUCCCAAGUAAGUCUACUAAUCGUAUCCUUAGGCACAUCUCCUAUUAUCCGUUUCUUAUAUUGGUAUGGGCAUCUAAAAGCCCCGAAAUGAAACGGGAAGAUUAGCUAGCCCUGUUGAUGAUGUCUGCUAGCUCCAUCUUCCCCUAUGUUUGUUGCUUCUUUCAGCAUUAUCUCAAUGACUUGGUAGACAAAGUAUGUUAUGUAUAAAUGCUUAGUGUGAUAUAUUGAUGGUGUUGUACAUGACCAUUUCUUAUAUAAAUCUAUGGUUUUUGGAUCUAUAAUUAGGUAGUUCUAUAUAUAUUUCAAUAAAUACUCCAUUCAUACAUAAAUAACCUGAAUUCGUUAUUAAUAGGUUCAGUUUAAUUUAUUGAUUGAAAUUUGAAUUUGCAAUUGCAAUUUUUACACUUUUUUAAUUAUUAUUAUGAGAAUUUUGAUUUUCAAAUCGGUUGCAUCUUCUACAUUACAAUUCAUUGGGAAGGGGAAAAGGUUUUAAUUUUGGAAAAAAAAAAUUUAUUGGCUUUUGAGUUCCAAAGAAUUUUUCAAAAUUAAGGAGUUUAAUAAUUUUUUAAAAAUAAUUUGAAAAUAAAAUAUCGAGGGAGUUAACACUAGAACUAAGAAUUAGUUGAAAAUGACUAUAUUAAUCUCUAGUUUAUGCACAAUUAUAUUUUUCAUUAUAUUUUAUUAUAUUAUUAAUAUUCAUAUUUUAUUAAAAAUUAUUUAUUUUGAAUUUAUUUAUAAUUAAAAAAUUAUUUUUAUUUUUAAUAAGACACAAAUUAAAUUUAACUUAUAUUAUAUAAAUUAAAUUUAUAAUUUUGUGAUUUUUACAAAAUAAAAAUAAAAUUUAUUUUUAGAAACAACUAAUUUAAUUCUUAUAAUCAUUUAAGUUAUCUAAAUAUAGAAAUAAAUGAGAAAAUAAUGGAGAUCUUCAUUUCCAUUCCUGUUUUACCGCGUGGCAAACAGUCCCUCAUCUUAAUUAAUAACAUAACAUGAUUUAUAUAUUUGAUGGACGGUAAAAUCAACCCUUUGUUUGGUAACUCAUAUUGUAGUAAACCCUAAGUUGAGUUUGAUGAUAGUCGGACGUAUUGAUGACGGAUUUGACGGACAUAACGUUCAAACCCGCUCAAAGACUCAAUCAAACCCACAGAACUUCACAACUGAUUAAAAUAAUUUUAUAAACCAAAAUGAUCAAACUUUGUAGUUUCUGGGAUUCGUGUUGAUGCUUCCAAAUAGGUUCCAAGAUGUUCCCAGUGAGUUUGGAAAAGAGAGAAGUGGAUUCCUUGAGCUUCUCAAACAUUUUCUAAGAAAUUGUCAAACACUUGGUCUCUUCAUCUAACCCGUAUGAUUCAAACACACCCAUGAAGACUUUUCUUCAUAGGACGUCACAUUUCAAACUCCAGCAAACGAGUAAGAUAUUUGAGUUGCCGUGCUUCAUAUCCAUUCCGUGUCUGUUGGAAGUCCUAUGUGAUGUAAGUUGGACUAUCAAAUGAAUUUCUUUUAGUAUCAUAUUUUUUAUUCAACUUAUCAUAUGUAUGUAAUGCAUAGGUUCUUCUCUCACAGAUUGACUUGGCCCUUACUUCCAUCCCAAGCAAGAAAGUGCAGGUAUCUCAUGGCCGGCAGUGGACUAAUGAUAUAUGAACUCAUUUUAAAUUGGGUCUGACUAACUUGGCCACUGGGGUUGUUACCUCGAAAGGACUUGAGUGGGGUUCAUGUUUAAGUCUUUCUUUUUUAAUCUAGGUAUGUACUGUGUGUGCUCUCUUCUUAUUUUAGUCGAAUUCAAAGAAUAGUUGUUUCUUCCUAGUCUUGGUAAGUGGUUGCUCAAGGAUAUCAUAUUAAGAUUUUUAUUAUUUUUAUUUUCUGUUUUUGACUUAGUGCCUUCUCAAGAUUUUGAAUUGUCAAAAAAGCUGGUUAUAUUGUAUAAACAAUCAUCAUAGUAUUAGAAUUAGCAUAUAUAAUUUGGUAUUGAUGUGCAUGUUCUCUUCCUCUGUAUGACCUAUCCUUUGCGAUGAAGUAUCGGACUGGUUUCUUUGUUGCCAUUAUUUCUUUUUUCUUUUAAACUUCUUAAACCAACAUAAAUACAAGCACAGCUAACGGAUUUGAUUAGGCAAGUCAACUACAAUAGGAGAUAUUAUGAGACAAGACGAUUUAAUGAUGAAUUUUGAGAGGCUAAGAAAGCAGGGGAGGGGAGAAAGAUGGAAGACAGGGAAACAAAGGCAAAAACAACCCAAGAAGCAAGCCAUCUUGGCAAUCUCUGAGCUUAAGGAUGCCAAAUUAUUGGAGGACUAUGUGACAGCUAGUUCCAUGGAUCCUGAUUUGUACAGAGCUACGAUACAAGGAGACAUUCUUGAAUUCAUAAAAGCCGUGGAACAAGGACCAGACAAUAGACACGCUGGUGUACCUGCUGCAUCUUGUAUCCAAGUGACCCCUCAGAAGAACACAGUUCUUCACCUAGCAACGAUCUUUGGACAUGACGAGAUUGUAAAACUCAUUUCUAAGGACUUGCCCUUUCUUGUCAUGGAAAGAAAUUGCAGAGGUGACACUGCACUUCACAUUGCAGCCAGAGCUGGCAAUUCACUGCUAGUGAAUUUGUUGAUUAAUUCAACAGAAGGGGUUUUGGGUGUGAAGAAUGAGACGGGUAAUACCGCAUUGCAUGAGGCAUUGCAACAUCGUCAUGAAGAGGUGGCCUGGAAUAUAAUUAACAAGGACAGAAAUAUGUAUUGUUCUGUCAAUAAGGAAGGAAAAUCUUUGUUGUAUUUGGCCGCAGAAGCAGGAUAUGCAAAUCUUGUUAGGUUUAUAAUGGAAAAUCCUGCAGGAAACUACAGCAUUGAAGGAAAGCUCGAGAACAAACCAUCUGUGAAAGCUGCCAUUCUUGGGAAGAAUACAGGUAAAUGAAAUUCUCUCCUCUAAUCUCCCUUUUUUUUCCCUUUAUUGGUAUGCUUGUCUUUCAAUUUCAGACUUCCAAGAGUCUGCACUUGGAUUGGAAAUUUUUAAGUGACUGCACUUUCACACUUCUUAGUUUUUUCCUACAAAAAGCCCUGCAACUACUAUAAACCACCCAAUUCUCUGCACCUGUGAAUCAGAAAACUUUACCCAAACUAUAUUGCAUCCAAUUGUCACCAUUAAAAGGUAAUGAUAUCAUGGCACAUAAGAGCAUUCUCAUUUUUCUGGAAGUUGGAAGACCUCAAUUAUUUCUUGCUUAAUUAAUUGGUGAUAUUCCUGUGCUUCCAUGUUUGAACUAGUGUGUCCAUUGUAAUCUCCUUCCAUGGAUUUCCUUAGGUGUGGCUGCCCAUCAAGAAGAGAUCAGGAAUAGUCCAGAAAUAUUACUGUCUUAUUCUAAUCACAUGAGUAUCUAGCAGUAAAGAAAUAUAUCUGUAGUAGCUGAUUUUUUUAGAUAGGUCCUCUAGUAGCCAAUCGACCUUUUUUCUUUACAAGAAGGCUUCUAUUGUGACUUGUGAAGACAGUGAUAAAUUGACAAUAUUUCUGAUUAUCAUUUGGAUUUAGGAGCAUAUUUUACCAUAUAUUUUGUUCUCACACAUGGCAAGAUUUUCAUUUAAUGUGUUAUCAUCAGUCCUGUGAUCACCAAAAAAUUCGCUUAAAUAUGGUUCACACUUCUUUGUUUGUUUGUUUUCAUUUUUUUGUUUUGGGCGACAUUAGAUGUUCUCAAGAUAAUGUGGGAAAGAGAUCAAUCAUCCUUCAAUUUAAGAUGUGAAGAAGGGAGGAACCCUCUUCACUAUGCAGCAUCUAUUGGUUUUGUUGAAGGAAUCAAUUACUUUUUAGACAAAUACUGUAUCGCUGCUUACCAAGGGGACAAAGAUGGCCUCUCUCCUAUUCAUAUAGCAGCCAUCAAAGGUCAUUUCCACAUAAUUCAAGAGAUGCUCCAGCAUCGCCCAGAUUUGAUGGAGCUGCUCACUUGCAAAGGCCAGAAUACCCUUCAUGUCGCAUGGUACUUGACUUUCAAUUAUUUUAUGCUGAUGGUGGUAUGGUACUUGACUUUCAAUGAACAAUGGUUAACUUUUGGUGAGAUGUAUUUGCUGGUGUAUAACCUGAUAUUUUUAGUUUGAAUAUUCUGAGGGAUAAAAAAGAAAUAAUGAUAUUUAAAUAAGUAUUUUUUAUUUAACAAUAUUAAUAAUUUUAUUUAUGAAUUUAUAUUUAUCUUUUAUUUAAUUAGUAAAUAAAAUAUAUAAUAAGAUAAUUAAGAUUAACUUAUUUAUAAUAAUUCUAUUUUAAUUCAUUAAUAAUAUAAUAUAUAUUUAUAAUUUAUCAAUUAUGUCUUCCCUAAACAAAAACUUUGUCCAUUGAUAUAGGUCAUUUCUUAAUUUGUUCGAGAAUCUAGGUUUAUUUUCUACUCUUGUGGGCUAGUGAAUUUUUUUUUUUUUUUUUUGAAGUGUAAGUGUUACAAUAACCCCACAUCAGAAAUAAAAAAACACCCCCUAACCCUAACGUACCGUACAAAUGAUCUUUUAUUAACUUAGACAUUUACUUGACCAAAGCAAAAGCCAUUAGAUGCUUGUCUUGUAAUGCAAUCUUGCCCUUUGUUCAAUUCACAGCCUUAAAUGAUUCACUGUCAUCCAAUAGAUGGAAAUGGUGAUCUUAAUCGGUUUUUAAAAAUAAAUAAUUGUUUUUGUAUAAUUAAAAAUUAAUUAGGAUUAAAGAUUAAAAAACAAGACUAAAGUUUAAAUUUUGUUUGAAUUUUAAAAUUUAGAAAUUUAAAAAUAAAAAAAUGUAAAAUCAGAAAGGAUUGAAAUUAGGAUCUGUAUAUGAUAUAUUUGUGCGUCGGUAUAGAAGAUUGGGAUUGGAUUGAAGUAGAAAAUUCAAAAUGAAAUUACAAUAAGAAUACGGUAAAGGGAUAACGUUGGGACACCACUACUGGUGUACACUUCCAAGGCUGGAUGUAAAAGAAGGCCAUGCCAUGUCAUGCCACCUGGAACAAAAUAAGGGGUUCUACAGAUUCUCUUAUCGGAAUCAUUUGAGAUAUGGAUGCAUAGAAGGAAAGGAGACUCCUCUAAAACUUGUGUAAACUUGUGUUUGUGUGUAGGUGAGAGGUUGGGACUCUCCGAUCAAUAAGGAACUCGGAGCAGAUUCGAACAAGGAAGAAGGCGGGGAAGGGCAGAUGGCACCACACAUGCCAUUCUCCGCAGAUGUGGACAUGGAUAGAGAUAGAAGUGCUCCUUACAGGUAUAAACACAUCGUCCCUGCAAUCUCCGCAGAUAGAAGUGCUCCUUCCACACAUGUGGGCAUGGCUAGAGAUAGAAGUGGUCCUUCCACACAUGUGGGCAUGGCUAGAGAUAGAAGUGCUCCUUCCACACAUGUGGGCAUGGCUAGAGAUAGAAGUGCUCCUUCCACAUAAGGAGUCGUCGCUCCCGCCGAUGAAGAUGAAGAUGUGGAGCAGGAUAGAUUAAUGGACAGCCGCAUGUACAUGCAGGCGACCCGAGGACGUGUUGAUGAAUUUAUUCAAAUUUUAGAAUCGAUAUCCUCUGAAAAGGAACUUUAAAGCUCAGAAAUCCUCUCCCAAGUUAGCCCCCGGAACAACACAUGCCUCCACAUAGCAGUAAGAUUUGGACACCAUGAGCUUGCCGAGUACAUCGUGAAAGAGUGUCCAGACCUUAUCAAAAAGACAAACUCCACAGGCGACACUGCACUUCAUAUUGCUGCUAGAAAAAAGGAUUUAUCUUUCGUUAAGUUUGCCAUGGAUUCAUGUCCUUCUGGAAGUGGCGCAUCCCGAGAUGUAGAGAAGGCUGAGCAUCCAUUGCUGAUCAUUGUUAACAAAGAAGGAAAUACAGUGUUGCAUGAGGCACUGAUAAACCGUUGCAAACAAGAAGAGGUGGUGGAGAUCCUUAUUAAGGCAGAUCCCCAAGUGGCUCAUUAUCCGAAUAAGGAGGGAAAGUCGCUAUUGUUUCUAGCUGCAGAAGCACACUACUUCCAUGUCGUCGAGGCUAUAGGAAAACCUAAAGUCGAGAAGCACAUGAACAUUAACAGAGACCGCGAAGCCAAGCCGGCAGUCCAUGGUGCCAUUCUGGGAAAGAAUAAAGGUAUGACCCGUCCCAUUCUCAAUCUCCAUUUAAUUCUCCUGCUCUUCUUCUUCUUCUUCAAACCUAAAAAACACCAUUUCCAAUAAAAUCUUAAACCUAUAUUCGAUUCUCAUAGUUGAAAAAAAAAUUAUUAAGGAAAGUGAUUUUCUAAUAUGCUGUUUUACCAUGAAAACAUGAAAGAAAGUGAAAUAUAAUUAAAAUUAAUAAGAAAUUUAUAUCAUUUAAAAUUAUUUAAUUUUUAUAUAGAAUAGUUAAAUAAGUAAAAUGAAUUUAAAGUAAUAUAUAAAAAUAAUUUAUCAAUUUAAAUUUUUUAUUUUUCCUUUUUUAAUUUUUCUUCUUUAUUUUCUAUUUUCACAUAUUCCCUCAAACUUUGGGACCAAACAUAACCUAAAUGAUCACUUGAAGUCAAUCCCAAACUAUCCAAACAAUUCUUCUUUCUUAUAGCCCUUUUUGCCUCCCCUCUAUUUAAACCAGCCAAUAUGCACGCAACAAAGCCACAACAGCAAAUUUUCUUUAGUUAAUUUUAAAAUUUUGUGAUUUAGAAAAGAAAAUUAAGAAUUAGGAGCUAGUGGGGUUUUGAAGAAGAAUAAGAAGAUGACAAACUAGGAUUAGGAUUUUGAAAACAAAGAUGAAGAAUAUUAUUUACAAGGACGGGUUUGGGCCGGGAAGAGGAGUUAUAAACAUUAUUGAUCUCCCAUAAAUUAAUAAAAAUUUUAAUUUUUUAGGAACGGGGAAUAUUGAAGCAAAAGAUGAAAAAAAAAAAAAAAGCCAAUUUACUUUUUCUAUAAUUAGUUCAACAGAAAAACAUAAAUGUGUUCUCAUUUUAAUUUCUUUUAUAUAUGAUGAAAAAAUGCCAGAGAUGUUGGAAAAAAUACUAGCCCUGAAGAUCGUCCACCAAAGAGAUGAACAUGGAAGGACUCCACUUCAUUAUGCGGCAUCGAUUGGAUAUCUUGAAGGAGUUCAAACGCUGUUAGCUAAAGACCAAUCUAACUUCGAUCGAUAUCAUAGGGACGACGAAGGCUUCUUACCCAUCCAUGUUGCAUCAAUGAGAGGCUAUGUAGACAUCGUCAAAGAGUUGCUCCAGGUCUCCUCUGACUCAAUAGAAUUGCUUAGCAAACACGGUGAGAACAUUCUUCAUGUGGCAGCCAAGUAUGGUAAAGAUAAUGUAGUCGAUUUUCUGCUGAAAAAAAAAGGGGUUGAGUACCACGUAUGCACAUCCUAAGGUCGUAAACUAUUUAACAUGGGAUAAAAGAGUUGAUGUGAAUCUUGUGAAUAAUGAAGGCCAGACUGCUUUCGACAUUGCUGUAUCAGUGGAGCAUCCAACUUCAUUGCACCAGGUAUAUAUGACGAUUUGCAUCUUGUUUUCUGAAUUAAGGGUACUACUAUUGGUUUCACCUUGAACUGCAUGCAUUGUUAAUGCUAUGGCAUUUUCCUUCUUAGAUGCAAGCAUGUGAAUUAUUAAAAGGAUCAAUCAGGAAAACAUAGUUUGUAUUUCUUUCCUAGAAGGACCGACUGAUAUUAAUAAAACCUAGUUCAACUAAAAGAAGAUCAAUUUGAUCCCAUGAUAUCCUAAAAGUCAAGAAAAUUAUGGAGCCUAACUCAAUCACCAUCACCCUCGCCCAGAUUAGAGCGGCUCAACCAAGGUUAGGCUAGGUUUCUCCAGCAAGUGCAUAUACUCUUGAUGCCGGCAAAGACUUAUUGGAAUAAUUUUUUGCAUCAUACUAAAAGGUUUUCAGUGUAGAGAACUGCUAUAUCAUGUGCGCUUGUGGUUGCUCUCUUGCUGCUUCACGUUGCUUAAUUUCAUACUUCUUGUGGGUGCUCAUUGAAUUUAUAGGGAAAAGAGAAUGGCUUCCCAACAAAAUAUUUCGAAACCCAACUCAUGGAAUUAUAGUCUACUUAUACUUUCUAUAGUUAUUAUUACGACGCAUACAUUUGAUUUUCUUUCUUUCUCACGACUACAUUAACAGCAACAUUUUUCUCUCUACCACGCAGAGACUAAUUUGGACAGCACUCAAGUCUACUGGUGCACGACGAGCCGGAAAUUCAAAGGUCCCACCAAAACUGCCUAAAUCACCUAAUACGGACCAGUACAAGGACAGAGUAAACACUCUCUUGUUGGUUUCGACCCUUGUUGCCACCGUGACAUUUGCUGCUGGUUUUACCAUGCCAGGAGGCUACAACAGCUCUGAUCCAAGUGCCGGCAUGGCUAUCUUUCUGAUGAGAAAUAUGUUCCAUAUGUUCGUCAUCUGCAAUACCAUUGCUAUGUAUACCUCCAUCCUCGCGGCAAUCAUCUUCAUCUGGGCACAGUUACGUGAUCUCAAUUUGAUGGAUACUGCCUUCAGAUUUGCAUUGCCAUUAUUGGGGCUGGCCCUUUAUGCAAUGUCCUUCGGCUUCAUGGCAGGUGUUUCCUUGGUGGUCAGUAAUCUUCAUUGGCUUGCAAUUGUUGUCUUCAUUAUUGGAAUCAUCUGCCUUUUCAGUCUCUCAGUACCCUUUCUUUUACUCUUCCUCCCAAGUAAGUCUACUAAUCGUAUCCUUAGGUACAUCUCCUAUUAUCCGUUCCUUAUACUGGUAUGGGCAUCUGAAAGCCCCGAAAUCAAACAGGAAGAUUAGCUUGCCCUGUUGAUGAUGUAUGCUAGCUCCAUCUUCUCCUAUGUUUGUUGCUUCUUUCAGCAUUAUCUCAAUGACUUGGUAGACAAAGCAUGUUAUGAAUAAAUGCUUAGUGUGAUCAGAACUUCAAUAUAUUGGUGGUGUUGUACAUGAUCAUUUGUCAUAUAAAUCUGUAGUUUCUGGAGCUGUAAUAUGUGAAAUACUCUAUAUAUAUUUCAAUAAAUACUCCAUUCAUCCAUACUGAUCAAUGCAUAUUUGUCUUUGCUUUAAAAUUUUUUAGAAAAGAAAAAAAGAAAAAAAAAUCUUGGAAAUCCCAAAAUGAUUAAUUUGAGAAAUAUCAUUAUUUAACAAAUAAAAAAACACAUGAAUAUAUAAACCCCACUACGUCAUUUUCUUUGAAGUACCCUGUUGCGGAUUUGAUGAGAAAAAGGUAAUCAAAUGGCAUAGCAUAAAAUUUAAAUUAGAGUUUUCUCAUCAAAAUGUGCAGAAUUAAAACCUUUACUAAAACAAUUGAUUUUUAGGAACCAAAUUUUGGUGAAAAAAAAAAAUCAUAAUUCAUCUAUAAAACUAAUUAUUGACAAUAAACUUUUACAUUUCUUACAAACUAUUUAAUGAUGAUACCUUAGUGAUUAACUUCUAAACUCAUUUAUAAAAUGUAACAUUAGACUUUGUUUGAUUUUGAAGAGUUUGAAAGGAAAUGCAAAAGAAAGAAAAAAAAAGAGGAGAAAAAUAAAAGGAAAGAAAAAAUAAAUUUAAAGUGAAUAAAUUAUUUUGAUAUAUUAUUUUAAAAUUUUUCAUUUAUUUAAAUUUUUAUAUAAAAAUAAAAUAAUUUAAAAUCUCAAGAUUACUAAAAAAUAUCUUGGGAUAGCAAAAAGUUUAUGAUCUUUUUCCUACGUGGAACAAGUGAUAAUUGAGCACCACCUAUUCAAUCCCUCUAAUUAGUUAUGAUUAUCUUAUUUAAUUAAUGAUUUAUGUAUUUCAUAGAUAAGUUGACAAUUUUAUUCUAUACAUUUUAAACUAAAACUCUAUAUACUUUCUUGUAACCAAUUAGAGUCUACGGAUGGUAAUGGGGUGGAUUUUUUUGAGUACUUGCCCGUCCCAUCCUUAAUGGAAUGGAUUUGAAUUUUAACUAAAUGGGUUUAGGAUGGGUUUGGAAAUUUUUUUAAAACUUGGGGUGAAUUUGGGUGUUGUCUUGUCUCAUCCCACCAUAUUAUAUAUAAAAUUAAUUUUUAAAAUUAAAUUAAAUUAAUUUUUAUUUUACUAUUUUUACUAUGUAGAUAAUAAUGAAAUAUUUUUUUUUAAUAAAAUAAGUUAUAAAAAAUAUAAUAAUUUAAUUAUUUAUAAAAUAUAUUUAUUUUAAUGUAAUUAAAAAAAAUUAAAAUUUAAAAAAAAAAAAAAAAAAGUUAAACUGGGUGGGAUGGGGUGGGGCAAGUAUGAAAAUUUCUCAUACCCAUCCCUUCCUGUUUAAUUUUUUAAAUGGGGCAGAGAUGAAAAUUAUUUUUAAUAAAUGGGACGAGGUUGGGAUGGGGGUGACCCGUCCCAUUGCCAUCCUUGCUAGAGUCUGGAAUCGUAAAAACUCAAGAUUACUCACAAUUCAUCUAGGAAUAGCCAAAGUUAAUGAUCUUGUUUCUACAUAGAGCAAGUGAUGAUUGAGGACCAUAUAUCUAGUCUGUCUAAUUAGUUAUGUGAUGCAAGGUUAAAAACCUUAUCUUAUUUCAUAACAUGAUUAUAUUUUAUAGAUCAUAAAAUCAAAUCUUUGUUUGGUAACUCAUAUUUAGUAAACCUUAAGAACCUAAAUUCCCCACGUGUUUGACAUAGAUUCGAAAUUUUGAACCCAAUUUUAAGUUGAGUUUGAUGAUAGUCGGACGUAUUGAUGACAGAUUUGACGGUCAUUACGUUCAAACCCGCUUUAAAAGACUCAAACCCACGUAACUUUGAAUUGGUUAAAAUAAUUUUAUAAAGUGAAACGAUUAAACUUCUUACUUUUUGGGAUUGGUGUUUGUACUUCCAAAUGAUGUUCCUAGUGAGUUUGGGGAAGAGAGUGAUAGGAUUUCAGAAUAAUUAUAAGCCUAAUUCUUGCAAAACAAUCAUCACAUUGGUCUUAAAACUUUGUGAUUUUCUCAAAGUAAAUAAAUAAUCAAGAAAACAAUCGUUAAAUUCUAACUUUUAAACCAUGUCUAGAAAAAUAAAGUUUAAACCAAAAAUCCUAAUAAUAUCAAAAUCUCAUCCUAAUUAUCAUUCAUCACCUGAUCAGAUGGUACUUAAAAAAUUGUUAAUGAAGGGAAAUGAACUUAAAACCUAAUAAGAAAUAUUAAUACAAUUUCACAAAUAAAAUAUUUUUAAUAAAGAUUAUAAAAAGAAGAUAUGAUGUAUAAUCAUUUUCAUAAAAACUUUUUAGUUCAAACAUCCUAAUACAUUCAAACUUUUCAAUAAAACAUUUUUAUAUUCAUGUCAAACAAUUUUAUAUUAAAUUCAAAUAAAUUGUAUUUAAAAUAUUUUACUCUGAUUAUCAAAUAUCAAAUGGUACUCAACUAUGUGAGACUUUACAAAUGGACGGCUACUCUCAAAUUUGUUCCUUUUAAGACAAAACUAAACACUACUAAUACUAGUAAUCUCUAACCAAACCUUUAGAUGUUGGGGUUCAAAUCAAUUGCAUUCUUCAUCAUAAAAUGUAAAUGUUAACUAUUAUAUCGUGUUAAUAUGGACUAAAAAGUCAAAUAUUAUAUCCAAUUGAUAAAGACCAAAAAGUCGAUUAUUAUAUUCCGUUACCUAUGACCAAACAAACCAAAGUCAAACACUUUGUUUUAUUUAUUCAAACUUAUAAAAACAUAAUAUUUUCACAUAUUUAUGUUAUAAACAAAAGAAAAGGUUUUAAUAUAUUUUUCAUGAAAAAUAUAUUUGCUUUAUGCAUAAAAACAAAAAUAACAUUUUACACAUUUCAAAAUAACAUGUCAAAAGAAAAUCAUUUUUUAUUAUAAAAUCCUCAUUAAUUUCCCUUACCUCGAAAAACAUUCAUAAUCCUUGAAGAAUUUAAUUCCAUAUAAACAAAUUUUCAUCUAAUAACAUAAGAAAAACAAUUAUUACUAUUAAUUAUUUGUCUAAAAUUAUAAGUUUGAUAAUCCUAAAAUUUUAUAUAUUAAUAUUAAUAAGUAUCAAUGAUAAUUUAAUUAAUUUAUUCCUUAUUAAAGUAAAAUUAAUAAAUUGCUAAUUUAUAUAAAACUUUUUUCUUAAAUUUGAUUCUAAAAAACAAAAAUACAUUACUAAUUUAAUUAAACUACAAUUUUUAUUUCAUUAAUUAAAUUUUAUUUAUUUAUUAACUUAACAUCUAUCCUCAUUAGCAUUAUUAUACCAUCAACUAACCCAACUCUCAACACCUACUUAAUAUUAUAUAUAAAGGUAGGACUCGCUUGCUUAUCUUUUUCUUAUUUUAUUUCUUUUCUUUCUUGCACAAACCACACUCAUGGCUACAUUCCAUUUUAUUUUAUUUUUUUAAUACACACUUACAAAAAUCACACUGUACACACUCGCCAAGGAACCAAAAGCUUUUUUUUUUUAAACACCCAAAUUCUUUUCUUUUUUUUCUUUUAUGUUGUCACAUAGGUACCCAUCCCAAAUCCAUAAAUCCUUUUUUUCUUUUUCUCAAUACCCUAAGUAUAUAUAUAUAUAUAUAUAUAUAUAUAUAUAUAUAUAUAUAUAUAAGAUAUAUUAUUUAUUUAUUAUUGUUUUAGAUUUACUAAAAAAAUAUUGAGAAUUUCCAAUCUCUAUCAAUAAAUCAACAUUUAUUCAUAAAUUUUCACUAUUUUUUAUUUAGAAUUUAAAUAAACAAAUUAUAUUCAAGAUUGAGAUUUUUUAAAGAAUAUUUAAGUGUUUAAAACUAAUUAACAAAUCUAAAAUACUAAUUUAAGGGUUAAAAUUCUACUUGAAAAACUAAUUUUCAAAUCCUAAACCUCCAAAUCUUCAAUCCUAUAUUGUCUUAUGUUUUUUUGAUCUUUUUCUAAUCUCAAUGUAAAAGGGUUUCUAUAUAAAGAAAUCAAAAAAAUCUAAUUUAUAUUUAAGGUUUUUAAUGCAAAAAGACCUUUCUAACCUUAUUAAAUUUAUUUAUUUUUUUCUUUUACUCUAAUUUAUGGUUUUACCCUUAACAAUAAAAUGGGGGGUGUUACAUAAGAAGCUUGUUAGAAAAAUUAGACUAAUCCAACCUAUGGUAAUCACCCUAAAGAGGGGGUGAAUAGGGUGAUAGUCUCUUUUUGCAAAUUUAAACUAUGUGAAAGUAAGAGACAAUUAUAUGUAAGUAUAUAAUAAACAAUAUAAAGACAAUUGCAUAUAAAUUAAAAGAGUAGGGAAGAGAGAAUGCAAACACAAGAUUUUAUAGUGGUUCGGCGCAACCCGGCCUACAUCCACUCUCCUCUAGCUUCAAUCCAAAGCUUGAAGUUCCACUAAUUCAAGGCUUCCAAACCAAGCCUUCAAGUAAUAUAAUUGGACUAUGGUUCCAAUUUACCCUCUUGGACUUUUGGCUCCAAGCACCCUUUACACUUCUCAAGAGAUAUCCCACUCUUGAACAACCCCUCAAGUGAUACCACACACUUGAGAAACUUCCUCUCAAAGAUUUACAAAUAAAUGAUCUUAUAAAAUCUUAGUACAAAAACUUUAAACUCAAAUGAUAUAAGAAAACUAGAAUUGAAUGGUGCACUAAAGAUAUACAAAUUUUAGAACAAUGGUGCACUCAAAAAUACUCUUCCAAAGCUCAAAUAUAUUCAAGAAAGGUUUGGGAAGGUUAUGUUUCUUAAACAAUAAAGAUUGGAGCAUUUUUAUAGAAGAAAAAAGUCAAACUAGUCGUUGGGGGUUCGACCGAUUAACUAGCCGUUAGCAUUUAAUGUUGGCAGGUGACUGUUGGACCUCGACCAGACCUCAACCGGUUGAGGUUCAACCUUGACCGGUUGAACAACCGUUCUAGAAGAAAGAGAAAAUUUUUUGCACCAUCGACCGGUUGAGCUGGGGGUCGACCAGUUAUUGUUCAUACCCUUGACCGAUUGAAUUGGGGGUUGACCGAUUACUAUUCAUGCCCUUGAUCGGUUGAGAUAGGGGUCGACUGGUUACUGUUCAUCCGGUUUAACCGGUUGAGCCGUUUUUGGUUCAACAACCAAAUUUUUCAACUUAAAACCUUUUAAACAAGUUUGAAACAACAUUUGACACAAGGUUUUAGUUGAAAAUAUGAAAUCAAAACAAAAUAAUUCUUGGAUGAUUUCGGUGCAUAUGUAAAGAAUGUAAUGCAUGGAAAUCCUAGUGCACCAACAAUCUUAUAAAAAGAUCUUAUGAAACUUGGGUCUUAAAAAACACUUCUCUUUGAGGUGGUCUUCUUCUUCAUGAUUUUUCUUUGGCUUGAUUUGUCUUUAUGAUUGCCACUUUGGAAAUCGUCUUACUUAAUUACACUUGAAAUAUAAUCAUUAGUUCUAAACUUUGUUUUGUUAUCAUCAAAACCGAGAUUGACCGAAUCUUGAUUUCACAAAGCCUAAUAAUAUUUUAAAUAAUUUGAAAGUAAAAAAUCGUGCUAGAACCAAAAAUUGUUUGAAAAUGAGUACAUCAAUUUCUCACCUAUGCACAUUCUUUUUAAAAUUUUCUUAUUAUGUGAAUGAGUUUCAAAUAAAAUGAUAUUUAAUGCACUGGAUUGGUUAGCAAGUCUAAUGAUUUUUUUUUAAUUAAUUUAGAACUUAAAAAUGGGCUCAAUUAAUUUCAAAAUUUCAACCAAAAUAGUUAAAAAUAUCCCAAAUGUAUGUGUAUUAAAAGAAACUAAAUUAUUCAUAUAACUAGAAAGAGUAAAUUCAUAACUUAUUUAAAAAUAAUAUUAACUAUUAACAUUUUCUAAAAAUAUUAUUAUUCAUUUAAAAUAUAUAUAUAUAUACUUGACAUUAUUAAAAUAUCAGCAUUCAUAUUUUAUAAUAUCCACUAUAUAAUUCUAUUUUUUUUUAAAUAUAUAUGAUUUUUAUUUUUAUUAUAAUGUUAGUUUCAUAUUUUAUGAAUAUUAUCUGUGUAUUAUUUAUUUAUUUCAUAUUGAUCACUUAGAAUUUAUAUGAUAUUGAUAUUCAUUUUAAAAUAAAUUUAGGUUUAUGUGGCUAUUUUUAAAAUACUAUAAUUCAUUAUUAGAAAGUUUAAUAUAUUAUUAGUUAUUUUUUUAUAGAAAAUGUGUUUUAAAAAAAUGUUUAAUAAAUAAAUAAAUAAAUAACCAUUUAGCAAGAGGGGUUUGUAUAGUGGGUGAGAAAAAUGAAAUAAAAUCCAUGACGCUAGGAGAUCUUUUUCAUCGCAAUGAAUCUAUUAUAUAAAGGAAAAAUGUGAAUGAACCAUUUGCCAUGUUAAUUUUUUUGAAAUAGUGUAAGGAAACAUAUUUUGGUUGUUACAUGUUUUCCAUAAGAAAAGUAUGUUUGGAAACUUUCAAAUUUUUUUUUAAUAAUAAUAAUAAUUUUUAUUUACAGUACUUUAUUUAUUUAUUUUUAUUUUUCAUAUUUAUAUAAUUAUUUUUUAAAACAAAUAAAAAUAAUUAAAAUAUGUUCUUAAAAAACUCUAUUUUUUAAAUAAGUUCUCAAAAAUAAUAUUUUAUAUUAAAAAUAAUAUUUUCUAACUGACAAGAAAAUUCCAAACUUAUUCGUAAGAAAUGUGGUUCAUGAUUGGUUGGUGGUUAGUCACUAUCCAUUUAAUUCAUAGAAUUAAACGUUUAUACACCUCAUCUACCAACAACGGUUGUAUCCUCAUCGUGUCAUGUGCAUACCAUUUAAAAUUCUCAAAUAGAAAAAUGAAAUGAAAAUUAAUAUAAUUUUGAUUUAUUAAUAUAUUUGGAUUAAUUGUUUUAUAGAAUGAGAAUAUGAAUAAAAAAUUUAUUAGUAUAGAAAUCAAAUUCCACUCUUAUGAGGAUUUUGAUUCAUUUAUACUAUGUCAUAGUGUUUUACCUUACGCUUGGGUUGAAUAGUAUAUAAUAUCCAUAUCUUAGAAUAUCAUAUCCCCUCCUUAUUCAACUUAUUUGCAAGAUUUGUAUUUGUCAUUCAAAAGUCAUCUUUUAACACGACAAUUAAUACAAAGCUAUUAUGUAGUCAUAUAUUUAUCACUUUUUUUUUUAUGUUGAUAGUGAAUUUAACUUUUUACGGUUGUAUCUUAUUUUUAUAUAAUUAUAUUAUAUUUAUUUUAUUUUUUAUAUUAAUUUUUAAAUGUGACUCACAAUUGGUUGGAGGGUUAGAGACUUCAUAAUAUUAGAAAAACAAGUUACAUCCUCAUCCUAUUGACAUGGUAACAACGUGUAAAUCUUUUUGUCUAUCACUCAAAAACCACAUUUUAGUGAGGCAACCUAUACAAAACCAUUGCGUAGUUAUAUAUUUGUCUCAACUUUUCUUUAAGUUGACAAUGAAUUUAAUUUUUUGCACAAAUAUCUUAUUUUUAUAUAAUUGUACUCCAUUUAUUCUUUUAUAUUAAUUUUCAAAUGUGGCUGAUAAUUGGUUGGUGGUUUAGUUAUUAUCAAUGGUUUAAACUAAUCCAAUUAUUGACUAGUGACCUUUUCGAUCCAAUUCACACCUUUAAGUCGUUUUAUCAUUGAAUUUAUAUUACUCAAAAACAAGUUACAUCCUCAUCCAGCUAACAUGCUAAUGACAUUUCAAGCUUUUCAUCAGUAACUCAAAAGCUAGAUUUUAGUAGGAGAGCCAAUAGAAAGCCAUUUUAUUGUCAUAUAUUCGUUUCAAUUUUUAUUUUUUAUAUUGACAAUGAAUUUAAGGUUUUUUUUUUUUGCCCUUUUAAUAUAUAUAUAUAUAUAUUCCAUUUCUCUCUUUCAUAUUAAUUUCCAAAUGUGAUCUGGUUGGUGGGUUAGUCAUUGUCUAUUAAAUUCAUAUCACCCACCAAAUUUAGUUGCAUCCUUAUUAGGCUAACGUGUCAAUAACAUGCUAACAACAUUUAAAAAUUUUCAGUAAGACAAUGAAUACAAAGUCAUCAUGUGUCAUACAUCUGUCUCAAUAUUUUUACAUUUUUUUUUUUUUGCACUUAUAUCUUAUUUUUAUAUUAUUAUAUUUCGUUUCUCUUUUUUGUAUUAAUUCUUAAAUGUGACCGAUAAUUGGUUGGUGGGUUAGUUGUUGUUCAUUGAAUUUAUAUCACCCAAAGAGCUAAGUUGCAUCCUCAUCUAUCUAACAUGCUAAUGACAUUUAAAACUUUUUAUUUGUUACUCAAAAGUCAUUUUUCUGUAAGACAACCAAUACGAAGCUAUCAUGUAAUCAUAUAUUCAUUUCAAAUUUUUUUAAUCUAUUUUUUAUUUUUGGUGUUGACAAUGAAUUUAAUUUGUUACACAUAUAUUAUUUUUAUAUAAUAAUAUUUCAUUUCCUUCUUAUAUAUUCAUUUUCAAUGAUGACCCAUAAUUGGUUGGUAGAUUAUUCAUUAUUCAUAUAAUUAAUAUCACUAAAAAAUAACUUGAAUCAUCAUCUAGUUCAUAUAUUAAACCACAUUUAUUAUUUACAUUUUUCAACCAAUUUAAUUUGUUGAUAAUAACGACGGUCCAAAUUUAUGAGAUAGUCUGUUGUUAAAAAAAUUUUAUUGGUAACGGAAAAUUCUCAUCGAUAGACUUUUGUCAACACAUUUUUCCCUAACUAUCAUGUAUUGAGAUUAUCCAUUGAUAAAUGUUUAUUCAGAUAGUAUAUAUUAAUGAAGAAAAGUAAAAAAUUUUGUAAUGUGUUAACAAUGAGUUUAAUUUUUUGCACUAAUUAAUAUUUUAUUUUUAUAUAGUUAUAUUUCAUUAAUUUUUUUUUAUAUUAAUUUUCAAAUGUGGAUAAUUUUUCGGUGGAUUAGUCAUUGUUCAUUGAAUUACAUCGGUUCCAACAUGGUAGAAGCCAACUAUAACAAAAGUUGUAUCAUCAAAUGAAGUUCAUUUAAACCAGUUUAUCUCAAUUCAAUUUAUCAUUAAGCCAGUCUAUUUUUGGGGUUUUGUUUUGUGUUGCACCAUAAUGCAAUUAAGUUGUUUGAUGAGAAGUCUAGCCAAAUUUGACAUCGGUUGACCCAUGCAAGUUGUAUGAUGAAAACCCAUCUAUUUGUACCAUGCAUGGAAAAAAAAACAUACAUGGCAUUAUUAAAUUUCAGACUAUAAUGUAAUGCCAUGAUCAAAAGGGUCGAAAAUACGAGAAUAAUUAAACUUAGGAAGUUAAAAUGAUAGCAAAAUUUUAAGCACAUUAAUGUGGUCUUCUUGAGCAGUAAAGCAAUUAUAGUAAUUAUUAAUCUUCAUCUAAUUAAUCAAGUAAAAUAAUUAUCAUUAAUUAUAAUAAUUCAUUUUUUUAUUGUGUAGAUAUUAUCUACUUUACUACGAAUGCGCAUCUACGGCUUUUUGUCUUAUUGAUGAGUUAGGUAAUGUUUGCUCACCCAUUUCAGCCCUUUGCAGUGCCUGUGUCCAUGCUUUUAAUGCUACGUCCGUAUUUCCAUUUAUCAGCUUAGGUUAGAUAAAAAAUGCAGAAGGUAAAAUCAGACAUAAUAGAAAUUAGGGGCUGUAUGUCAUAUAUUUGUGCGCGAAUUUGGGAUUGGGUUGAAGUAAAAAAGUCAAAAUGAAAUUACAAUAAGAGUACGGUAAAGGGUUAACGUUGGGACACCAGUACUGAUGUACACUUCAAGGAAGUAGGCCAUGGCAUGUCAUGCCACCUGGAACAAAAUAAGGGGUUCUACAGAUUCUCUUAUCGGAAUCAUUUGAGAUAUAGGAUGGAUGCAUAGAAGGGAAGGAGACGACUCCUCUAAAACUUGUGUUUGUGUGUAGGUGAGAAGUUGGGAUUCCCUGAUCAAUUAAACAUGGCUGAGGAGAGGGAUCCAGUAGAGUUGGGCAUGGCACUCGGCGCAGAUUCGAACAUGAAAGAAGACAGCGUAACAGCUAAGAAGAGGGCAAAACGGUGGGCAAUCACCGCAGAAGCGAGCAUGGAAAGAGAGAAGGGGAUGCUUGAUCAAGAUGAAGAUGACUUGUGUGUAGGUGAGAGGUUGGGAUUCUCCGAUCAAUCAGACAGGGCUAAGGAGAGGGAUCUAGUAGAGUUGGGCAUGGCACUCGGCGCAGAUCCAAACAUGAAAGAAGAUAAGGAAACAAGUAAGAAGUGGAGGGCAGAUUCGACACUGAUCAGCUCAGAUUCGACGAUGGAAGAAAACCCUGCACCGCCUGAGGUGUGGGUGCCAGAAACCUCGCCAAUCUUCGCAGAUACUAAGAUGGCAAUAGACAUCAGCUCAUAUUUCACAAUGAAAGAAUGCCGUGCAUCGCCGUGGGCGCGAGAAUCCAUCAUGUUAGGCAUGCCAAUCACCGCAGAAGCGAGCAUGGAAAGAGAGAAGGGGAUGCUUGAUGAAGAUGAAGAUGAAGAUGAAGAUGAAGAUGAUUUGUGUGUAGGCAUGCCAAUCUCCGCAGAUGCGAACAUGGAAAUAGACAGGGAAACGCAUCUUGUAAGAAAUAUAAGUGCUCCUUCCACACACGGACCCCACGCCCCCGCUGAUGAAGAUGAAGAUGCGGAGCAUAAGAAAUUAAUGGACCGCCGCAUGCACGCGCUAGCGACCCAAGGAAAUGUUGAUGGCUUUAUUAAAAUUUUAGGCUCGAUAUCCUCCGAACAGAACCCACUUCUCUGCCAAGUUAGUCCCCGGAAAAACACAUGCCUCCACAUAGCAGCAAGCUUUGGACACCAUGAUCUUGCCAAGUACAUCGUGAAAGAGUGUCCAGAUCUUAUAAAAAAUAAAAACUCCAAAGACGACACGGCACUUCAUAUUGCUGCUAGAAAAAGGAAUUUAUCUUUCGUUAAGAUUGUCAUGGAUUCAUGCCCUUCUGGAAGUGGCGCAUCCCAAGAUGUAGAGAAGGCUGAGCCUUCAUUGCUGGGAAUUGGUAACAAAGAAGGAAAUACAGUGUUGCAUGAGGCACUGAUAAACCGUUGCAAACAAGAAGAGGUGGUGGAGAUCCUUAUUAAGGCAGAUCCCCAAGUGGCUUAUUAUCCGAAUAAGGAGGGUAAGUCACCAUUGUAUCUAGCUGCAGAAUCACACUACUUCCAUGUCGUAGAGGCUAUAGGAAACUCUGAAGUUGAGGAGCGCAUGAAGAACAGAGACCGCAAAGCAGUCCAUGGUGCCAUUAUGGGAAAGAAUAAGGGUAUUUCCCGCCUCCUUCUCUCUCUCUCUCUAUUAAAUUUUCUUCUUCCUCUUCAAACUUAAAAAGCAUUGUUUGGCUUAAAUAAUAUGUUCCUUCUAACUAUAGAAGAAGUCUACUGGGCUUUUCUCAGCUUUUGCUUCAAUAUUCCUUGUUCCUAAAAAAUCAAUUUUUUUUAUUAAUUUAUGGGAGAUCCACACUCUUCUUUCCCAACCCAAACCCCGUCGUUGCAAAUAUUCUUCAUCUUUGUUUUCUGAAUCCUUUUUUGUCAUCUUCUUAUUCUUCUUCAAAACUCCACUCCUAAUUAAUUCUUUAUUUUCUUUUCUUUUCUAAAUCACAAAAAUUUAAAAUUAACUAUAAAAAAGAAUUGCAGUUGCAUAUGGCUUCAUUGUGUGCAUAUGGGAUGGUUUAAAUAGAGGGGGUAAAAAGGGCUGUAAGAGGGAAGAACAAUUGCCUGUAUAGUUUGGGGUUGACUUUAAGUGACCAUUUAAGAUUUGAUUUCGAGCUUAAGGUUAGAGUUAGGAUUUUUCUUUUCCCUUUUUUUUCUUUAUGUUUUAUGUUUCGUAUAGAUGCGAUGAAGUAGAAUGUAUCCUACACAUUUGAAAGAAACACAAAUUAUAAAUGAUGCAAUGAUGUUCUAUUUUUCCCCUUUUAACUAUUGCAAUAUUAGUAAGAGUAGGGAUGGGAAUGAGACAAGUUUUUACAGAAACCACCCCAUUGAGUUUGAGAUAAAUUUGAGAUUUUUUUUAAAAAAUUAAAUGGAGCCAGAUGGGGUGGGACAUGUAUGAGGACGUUUAAAUUUCUUUUAAUGAGAUGGGACCAAGAAAUAUUUUGAAUAAAUGAGAUCGGGGUUGGGAUAGAGGUAACCGUCCCAAGCCCACCCCAUUUCAAUUCCUAAUUAAGAGGAUGAUAAGGCAAAUAACAAAAUUUACAUAAUUUUUAAGAUCUAAAGAAGAACUUAUAAUUAAAGGAAGCUUUUAAAAGGAUGGGCACCCCAUGUGGUACAACCUCACACCAAAUUGAUACUGUUUUGUUGAAUUAUAGAUAAUAAAAUAAUCAAUUAAAAAAAACUCUCUUUUUUAUUUUUAUAUUAAUUUUUCCUUCCUUGUUUUAAUUAUCUAAUAAUUGAACCCUUUCCAAAAAAAAUAAAAAUAAAUAGCAAUAGUAGCAAUUACUAGUUUACUAUGAAUUUAUCUUAAUUUUAUUUUUUAUAUGUUCAUAUUUUUUAUGUAAUUUUAAUUAUUAAUGACUUGCACUCAUAUAAUAAUAUAUUUAUUAGAAAAAGGUUGUCAUAUAAAAUUUUUCUUAUAUAUGAUGACAAAAUGCCAGAUAUGUUGGAAAAAAUACUGACCAUGAAGCUCGGCCACCAAAAAGACAACCAUGGAAGGACUCCACUUCAUUGUGCAGCAUCCAUUGGAUAUCUCGAAGGAGUUCAAAUGCUGUUAGACCAAUCUAACUUGGAUCCAUAUCAAACGGACUCUGAUGGCUUCUGUCCCAUCCAUGUUGCAUCAAUGAGAGGCAAUGUGGACAUUGUCGACAAGUUGCUCCAGGUCUCCUCUGACUCAAUAGAGUUACUAAGCAAACGCGGUGAGAACAUUCUUCAUGUGGCAGCCAAGUAUGGUAAAGACAAUGUAGUCAAUUUUGUGCUCAAAGAAGAAAGGCUUGAGAACUUUAUAAAUGAGAAGGACAAUGUUGGAAACACGCCACUGCAUUUGGCAACCAAGCAUAGACAUCCCAAGGUCGUAAGCUCUUUAACAUGGGAUAAAAGAGUUGAUGUGAAUCUUGUGAAUGAUUUAGGCCAGACUGCUUUGGACAUUGUAUUAUCAGUGGAGCCUCCAACUACAUUUGACCAGGUAUAUCUAUAUGGUGAUUUGCAUCUUGUUUUCUAAAUGAUGGGUCCUAUUAGUAGUCUCACCCUUCAACUGCAUGCCAUGAGUAAGAAAUUAGAAUGCCUCAUCCAUGCAUUGUUACAGUGCUAUGGCAUUUUCCUUCUCAGAUGCAUGCAUGCAAUUAAAUUAUUAAAAGGAUCGAUCAGGACAACAUAGUUUGUUUUCCUUUCCUAGAAGGACCGACUAAUAUUAAUAAGAACUAGAUCAACACUUCAACUCAAGCCACUGACCCCUGGUUGAAGGUCAAUUUAAUUGAGCCCAUAAUAUCCUAAAAGUCAAGAAAAUUAUGGAGCCUAACUCAAUCACCAUCACCCUCACCAAGAUUAGAGCGACUCAACCAAGGUUAGGCUAGGUUUCUCUAGCAAGUGCAUAUACUCUUGAUGUCGGCAAAGACUUGUGGGAAUAAUUUUUUGCAUCAUACUAAAAAGUUUUCAGUGUAGAGAACUGCUAUAUCAUGUGCGCUUGUGGUUGCUCUCUUUGCUGCUUCACAUUGCUUAAUUUCAUACUUCUAGUGGGUGUUCAUUGAAUUUACAGGGAAAAGAGAAUGGCUUCCUAACAAAAUAUUACGAAAUUAUAGUCUACUUUUAGUUAUUAUUAGGACACAUACAUUUUAUGUUCUUUCUUUCUCACGAUUACAUUAACAGCAACAUCUUUUUCUGUACCACGCAGGCACUAAUUUGGACAACACUCAAAUCUGCUGGUGCACGACCAGCGGGAAAUUCAAAGUUCCCACCCAGUAGAUGUUGUAAACAGUAUUCUGAAUCACCUAAUACGGACAAGUACAAGGACAGGGUAAACACUCUUUUGUUGGUUUCGACCCUUGUUGCCACAGUGACAUUUGCUGCUGGUUUUACCAUGCCAGGUGGCUACAACAGCUCCGACCCAAAUGUCGGCAUGGCUGCCUUGCUGAUGAGAAAUAUGUUCCAUAUGUUCGUCAUCUGCAAUACCACUGCUAUGUAUACCUCCAUCCUCGCGGCAAUCAUCCUCAUCUGGGCACAGUUAGGUGAUCUCAAUUUGAUGGAUACUGCCCUCAGAUUUGCAUUGCCAUUCUUGGGGUUGGCCCUUACUGCGAUGUCCUUAGGCUUCAUGGCAGGUGUUUACCUGGUGGUCAGUAAUCUUCAUUGGCUUGCAAUUGUUGUCGUCAUUAUUGGAAUCAUCUGCCUUGUCGGUCUCCUAGUAUCCUUUUUUUUACUUUUCCUCCCAAGUAAGUCUACUAAUAGUAUCCUUAGGCACAUCUCCUAUUAUCCGUUUCUUAUAUUGGUAUGGGCAUCUAAAAGCCCCGAAAUGAAACGGGAAGAUUAGCUCGUCCUGUUGAUGAUGUCUGCUAGCUCCAUCUUCCCCUGUGUUUGUUGCUUCUUUCAGCAUUAUCUCGAUGACUUGGUAGACAAAGUAUGUUAUGUAUAAAUGCUUAGUGUGAUAUAUUGAUGGUGUUGUACAUGACCAUUUCUUAUAUAAAUCUAUGGUUUUUGGAUCUAUAAUUAGGUAGUUCUAUAUAUAUUUCAAUAAAUACUCCAUUCAUACAUAAAUAACGUGAAUUUGUUAUUAAUAGGUUCAGUUUAAUUUAUUGAUUGAAAUUUGAAUUUUCAAUUGUAUUUUUUAAACUUUCUUAAUUAUUAUUCUUAUGAGAAUUUUGGGUAAAGUUUUGUUUUCAAAUCCGGGUUACAUCUUCUACGCUAGGAUUCAUUGGGAAGGGGAAAAGCUUUUAAUUUUGGAAAAAAAAAAAAAAAAUUGGCUUUUGAGUUCCAAAGUAUUUUUAAAAAUUAAGGAGUUUAAUAAUUUUUUUAAAAUAAUUUAAAAAUAAAAUAUCGAGGGAGUUAACACUAGAACCAAAAAUUGGUUGAAAAAGACUAUAUUAAUCUCUAGUUUAUGCACAAUUAUAUUUUUCAUUAUAUUUUAUUAUAUUAUUAAUAUUCAUAUUUUAUUAAAAAUUAUUUAGUUUGAAUUUAUUUAUAAUUAAAAAAUUCUUUUUAUUUUUAAUAAGACACAAAUUAAAUUUAACUUAUAUUAUAUAAAUUAAAUUUAUAAUUUGUGAUUUUUACAAAAUAAAAAUAAAAAUUAUUUUUAGAAACAACUAAUUUAAUUCUUAUAAUCAUUUAAGUUAUCUAAAUAUAGAAAUAAAUGAGAAAAUAAUGGAGAUCUUCAUUUCCAUUCCUGUUUUCCGCGUAGCAAACAGUCCCUCAUCUUAAUUAAUAACAUAACAUGAAUUAUAUAUUUGAUGGACGGUAAAAUCAACCCUUUGUUUGGUAACUCAUAUUGUAGUAAACCCUAAGUUGAGUUUGAUGAUAGUCGGACGUAUUGACGACGGAUUUGACGGACAUAACGUUCAAACCCGCUCAAAGACUCAAACCCACAGAACUUCACAACUGAUUAAAAUAAUUUUAUAAACCAAAAUGAUCAAACUUUGUAGUUUCUGGGAUUGGUGUUGAUGCUUCCAAAUAGGUUCCAAGAUGUUCCCAGUGAGUUUGGAAAAGAGAGAAGUGGAUUCCUUGAGCUUCUCAAAACAUUUUCUUAGAAAAUGUCAAACGCUUGGUCUCAAAAUCUAACCCGUAUGAUUCAAACACACCCAUGAAGACUUUUCUUUUGAAUAUUUCAAACUCCAGCAAACGAGUAAGAUAUUUGAGUUGCCGUGCUUCAUAUCCAUUCCGUGUCUGCUGGAAGUCCUAUGUGAUGUAAGUUGGACUAUCAAAUGAAUUUCUUUUGAGUAUCAAAUUUUUUAUUCAACUUAUCAUAUGUAUGUAAUGCAUAGGUUCUUCUCUCACAUAUUGACUUGGCCCUUACUUCCAUCCCAAGCAAGAGAGUGCAGGUAUCUCAUGGCCGGCAGUGGACUAAUGAUAUAUGAACUCAUUUUAAAUUGGGUCUGACUAACUUGGCCACAGGGGUUGUUACCUUGAAAGGACUUGAGUGGGGUUCAUGUUUAAGGUGGUGUUUGUUUUUUUGGUUUUUUGCUGAAAGUAAUUUAAUUUUAGAAUUUAAGUCGUUUGUUUUUCUAAUUUUUCAUAACUUAUUAUAAACUUUUUACUAAAUAAAAAAAAUUAAAAUAUGUAGCUUUUUUUAAAUAGAAAAAAUAACAUAUUAGUUUUUUUUACUUUUUAAUACUUGAUAGAAAUAAAAUAUUACAAAAACAAAUAACCUAAUAUUUAACAUUAUUAAGUAUUAAGGUUCUAUUUAGAAUUAAGUAAAAAAACAAACACCACCUGAGUCUUUCUUUUUUAAUCUAGGUAUGUACUGUGUGUGCUCUCUUCUUGUUUUAGUCGAAUUCAAAGAAUAGUUGUUUCUUCCUAGUCUUGGUAAGUGGUUGCUUAAGGGUAGCAUAUUAAGAUUUUUAUUAUUUUUAUUUUCUGUUUUUGACUUAGUGCCUUCUCAAGAUUUUGAAUUGUCAAAAAAGCUGGUUAUAUUGUAUAAACAAUCAUCAUAGUAUUAGAAUUAGCAUAUAUAAUUUGGUAUUGAUGUGCAUGUUCUCUUCCUCUGUAUGACCUAUCCUUUGCGAUGAAGUAUUGGACUGGUUUCUUUGUUGCCAUUAUUUCUUUUUUCUUUUAAACUUCUUAAACCAACAUAAAUACAAGCACAGCUAACGGAUUUGAUUAGGCAAGUCAACUACAAUAGGAGAUAUUAUGAGACAAGACGAUUUAAUGAUGAAUUUUGAGAGGCUAAGAAAGCAGGGGAGGGGAGAAAGAUGGAAGACAGGGAAACAAAGGCAAAAACAACCCAAGAAGCAAGCCAUCUUGGCAAUCUCUGAGCAUAAGGAUGCCAAAUUGUUGGAGGACUAUGUGACAGCUAGUUCCAUGGAUCCUGAUUUGUACAGACCUACGAUACAAGGAGACAUUCUUGAAUUCAUAAAAGCCGUGGAACAAGGACCAGACAAUAGACACGCUGGUGUACCUGCUGCAUCUUGUAUCCAAGUGACCCCUCAGAAGAACACAGUUCUUCACCUAGCAACGAUCUUUGGACAUGACGAGAUUGUGAAACUCAUUUGUAAGGACUUGCCCUUUCUUGUCAUGGAAAGAAAUUGCAGAGGUGACACUGCACUUCACAUUGCAGCCAGAGCUGGCAAUUCACUGCUAGUGAAUUUGUUGAUUAAUUCAACAGAGGGGGUUUUGGGUGUGAAGAAUGAGACGGGUAAUACCGCAUUGCAUAAGGCAUUGCAACAUCGUCAUGAAGAGGUGGCCUGGAAUAUAAUUAACAAAGACAGAAAUAUGUCUUGUUCUGUCAAUAAGGAAGGAAAAUCUUUGUCGUAUUUGGCCGCAGAAGCAGGAUAUGCAAAUCUUGUUAGGUUUAUAAUGGAAAAUCCUGCAGGAAACUACAGCAUUGAAGGAGAGCUCGAGAACAAACCAUCUGUGAAAGCUGCCAUUCUUGGGAAGAACAUAGGUAAAUGAAAUUCUCUCCUCUAAUCUCCCUUUUUUUUCCCUUAAUUGGUAUGCUUGUCUUUCAAUUUCAGACUUCCAAGAGCCUGCACUUGGAUUGGAAAUUUUUAAGUGACUGCACUUUCACACUUAGUUUUUUCCUACAAAAAGCCCUGCAACUACUAUAAACCACCCAAUUCUCUGCACCUGUGAAUCAGAAAACUUUACCCAAACUAUAUUGCAUCCAAUUGUCACCAUUAAAAGGUAAUGAUAUCAUGGCACAUAAGAGCAUUCCCAUUUUUCUGGAAGUUGGAAGACCUCAAUUAUUUCUUGCUUAAUUAAUUGGUGAUAUUCCUGUGCUUCCAUGUUUGAAUUAGUGUGUCCAUUGUAAUCUCCUUCCAUGGAUUUCCUUAGGUGUGGCCACCCAUCAAGAAGAGAUCAGGAAUAGUCCAGAAAUAUUACUGUCUUAUUCUAAUUACAUGAGUAUCUAGCAGUAAAGAAAUAUAUCUGUAGUAGCUGAUUUUUUUAGAUGGGUCCUCUAGUAGCCGAUCGACCUUUUUUCUUUACAAGAAGGCUUCUAUUGUGACUUGUGAAGACAAUGAUAAAUUGACAAUAUUUCUAAUUAUCAUUUGGAUUUAGGAGCAUAUUUUACCAUAUAUUUUGUUCUCACGCGUGGCAAGAUUUUCAUUUAAUGUGUUAUCAUCAGUCCUGUGAGCACCAAAAAAUUCGCUUAAAUAUGGUUCACACUUCUUUGUUUGUUUGUUUCCAUUUUUUUGUUUUGGGCGACGUUAGAUGUUCUCAAGAUAACGUGGGAAAGAGAUCAAUCAUCCUUCAAUUUAAGAUGUGAAGAAGGGAGGAACCCUCUUCACUAUGCAGCAUCUAUUGGUUUUGUUGAAGGAAUCAAUUACUUUGUAGACAAAUACUGUAUCGCUGCUUACCAAGGGGACAAAGAUGACCUCUCUCCUAUUCAUAUAGCAGCCAUCAAAGGUCAUUUCCACAUAAUUCAAGAGAUGCUUCAGCAUUGCCCAGAUUUGAUGGAGCUGCUCACUUGCAAAGGCCAGAAUACCCUUCAUGUCGCAGCAAAGAGUGGAAGAGCUGAAGCAGUUAGUUAUAUGCUUAAAAAAAUGCCGGAGCUUGAGAAGCUUAUAAAUGAGAAAGAUAAGGAUGGAAACACACCUUUACAUUUAGCCACUAUUUUUGAGCAUCCAAAGGUCGUAAGAGCUCUAACAUGGGAUAAGAGAGUUAACCUAAAGGCAGAGAACAAUGGAAGGUUGACAGCACUUGACAUUGCUGAUGAGUACAUGGACACAAUGGUUUCUUUUCGCAAGGUGUGCUUUACAAACUAUUUGUUAGGGGCUAAUCAUCUCAUUUUACUUGUUUAUAUUUAUCAUAUUAUUUGAAAACAACAAACGUUUUUUUAAAGAAUAUAAACUUUUAAAUUAUGUCUUCCCUAAACAAAAACUUGGUCAUUUCUUAAUUUGUUCGAGAAUCAAGGUUUAUUUUCUAUUCUUGUGGGCUAGUGAAUUGUUUUUUUUAAGUGUUAAGUGUUACAAUAAUCCCACAUCAGAAGUUGGAGAGAAAAAAACACCCCCUUACGCAGCGUGCAAAUCGAUCAAGAUCAAGGCAAAAAGAGUAUAUAAUUUUGACAUUAAAUCCAAAAUUGAAAAAGGGCUCACGUGGCAAAAGUUCAAUAGUGAAAAAAAUGAAGCUAAGAAUAAAAGUAAAUAAAAGUUAAAGCUAAUAAGGUAAGCACAAUUCAUAGAGUAUUGAAGAAAAUGAAAGUAAGAAUAAAGGUAAUCGAAAGUUAAAACCAACAAGGUAAGCACAAUCCAUGGAGUAUAGAAGAAAAUGAAGUUAAGAAUAAGGGUAAUUGAAAGUCAAAUCAUAACAUCUUUUAUUAACUUAGACAUUUACUUGACCAAAGCAAAAGCCAUUAGAUGCUUGUCUUGUAAUGCAAUCUUGCCCUUGGUUCAAUUCACAGCCUUAAAUGAUUCACUGUCAUCCAAUAGAUGGAAAUGGUGAUCUUAAUCGGUUUUUAAAAAUAAAUAAUUGUUUUUGUAUAAUUAAAAAUUAAUUAGGAUUAAAGAUUAAAAAAUAAGACUAAAGUUUAAAUUUUGUUUGAAUUUUAAAAUUUAGAAAUAUUAAAAAUUUAGAAAUUUAAAAAUAAAAAAAUGUAAAAUCAGAAAGGAUUGAAAUUAGGAUCUGUAUAUGAUAUAUUUGUGCGUCGGUAUAGAAGAUUGGGAUUUUGGGAUUGGAUUGAAGUAGAAAAUUCAAAAUGAAAUUACAAUAAGAAUACGGUAAAGGGAUAACGUUGGGACACCACUACUGGUGUACACUUCCAAGGCUGGAGGUAAAAGAAGGCCAUGCCAUGUCAUGCCACCUGGAACAAAAUAAGAGGUUCUACAGAUUCUCUUAUCGGAAUCAUUUGAAAUAUAGGAUGGAUGCAUGGAAGAAAAGGAGACUCCUCUAAAACUUGUGUAAACUUGUGUUUGUGUGUAGGUGAGAGGUUGGGACUCUCCGAUCAAUAAGGAACUCGGAGCAGAUUCGAACAAGGAAGAAGGCGGGGAAGGGCAGAUGGCACCACGCAUGACAUUCUCCGCAGAUGUGGACAUGGAUAGAGAUAGAAGUGCUCCUUACAGCUAUAAACACAUUGUCCCUGCAAUCUCCGCAGAUAGAAGUGCUCCUUCCACACAUGUGGGCAUGGCUAGAGAUAGAAGUGCUCCUUCCACACAUGUGGGCAUGGCUAGAGAUAGAAGUGCUCCUUCCACACAUGUGGGCAUGGCUAGAGAUAGAAGUGCUCCUUCCACACAUGAACUCUACGCCCCUGCUCCGGAGGAGAGGCUAGCAUCCUUUAUACGCUUCGCAUUCUUAGUAUAUAGGGAAAUUGAAGAAAAUGAGAAGAUGCUUCAUCAAGGAAGUGGAAGUGCUCCUCCCACACAAGAAGUCGUCGCUCCCGCCGAUGAAGAUGAAGAUGUGGAGCAGGAUAGAUUAAUGGACAGCCGCAUGUACAUGCAGGCGACCCGAGGACGUGUUGAUGAAUUUAUUCAAAUUUUAGAAUCGAUAUCCUCUGAAAAGGAACUUCAAAGCUCAGAAAUCCUCUCCCAAGUUAGCCCCCGGAACAACACAUGCCUCCACAUAGCAGUAAGAUUUGGACACCAUGAGCAUGCCGAGUACAUCGUGAAAGAGUGUCCAGACCUUAUCAAAAAGACAAACUCCACAGGCGACACUGCACUUCAUAUUGCUGCUAGAAAAAAGGAUUUAUCUUUCGUUAAGUUUGCCAUGGAUUCAUGUCCUUCUGGAAGUGGCGCAUCCCGAGAUGUAGAGAAGGCUGAGCAUCCAUUGCUGAUAAUUGUUAACAAAGAAGGAAAUACAGUGUUGCAUGAGGCACUGAUAAACCGUUGCAAACAAGAAGAGGUGGUGGAGAUCCUUAUUAAGGCAGAUCCCCAAGUGGCUUAUUAUCCGAAUAAGGAGGGAAAGUCGCUAUUGUUUCUAGCUGCAGAAGCACACUACUUCCAUGUCGUCGAGGCUAUAGGAAAACCUAAAGUUGAGAAGCACAAGAACAUUAACAGAGACCGCGAAGCCAAGUCGGCAGUCCAUGGUGCCAUUCUGGGAAAGAAUAAAGGUAUGACCCGCCCCAUUCUCAAUCUCCAUUUAAUUCUCCUGCUCUUCUUCUUCUUCUUCAAACCUAAAAAACACCAUUUCCAAUAAAAUCUUAAACCUAUAUUUGAUUCUCAUAGUUGAAAAAAAAAUUAUUAAGGGAAGUGAUUUUCUAAUAUGCUGUUGUACCAUGAAAAACAUGAAAGAAAGUGAAAUAUAAUUAAAAUUAAUAAGAAAUUUAUAUCAUUUAAAAUUAUUUAAUUUUUAUAUAAAAUAGUUAAAUAAGUAAAAUGAAUUUAAAGUAAUAUAUAAAAAUAAUUUAUUAACUUAAAUUUUUUUUCUCUCUUUUUUUAAUUUUUCUUCUUUAUUUUCUGUUUUCACAUAUUCCCUCAAACUUUCGGACCAAACAUAACCUAAAUGAUCACUUGAAGUCAAUCCCAAACUAUCCAAACAAUUCUUCUUUCUUUGCUCUUUUUCUUAUAGCCCUUUUUGCCUCCCCUUUAUUUAAACCAGCCAAUAUGCACGCAACAAAGCCACAACAGCAAAUUUUCUUUAGUUAAUUUUAAAAUUUUGUGAUUUAGAAAAGAAAAUUAAGAAUUAGGAGCUAGUGGGGUUUUGAAGAAGAAUAAGAAGAUGACAAACUAGGAUUAGGAUUUUGAAAACAAAGAUGAAGAAUAUUAUUUACAAGGACGGGUUUGGGCCGGGAAGAGGAGUUAUAAACAUUAUUGAUCUCCCAUAAAUUAAUAAAAAUUUUAAUUUUUUAGGAACGAGGAAUAUCGAAGCAAAAGCUGAAAAAAAAAAAAAAAAAAGCCAAUUUACUUUUUCUAUAAUUAGUUCAACAGAAAAACAUAAAUGUGUUCUCAUUUUAAUUUCUUUUAUAUAUGAUGAAAAAAUGCCAGAGAUGUUGGAAAAAAUACUAGCCCUGAAGAUCGUCCACCAAAGAGAUGAACAUGGAAGGACUCCACUUCAUUAUGCGGCAUCGAUUGGAUACCUUGAAGGAGUUCAAACGCUGUUAGCUAAAGACCAAUCUAACUUCGAUCGAUAUCAUAGGGACGACGAAGGCUUCUUACCCAUCCAUGUUGCAUCAAUGAGAGGCUAUGUAGACAUCGUCAAAGAGUUGCUCCAGGUCUCCUCUGACUCGAUAGAAUUGCUUAGCAAACACGGUGAGAACAUUCUUCAUGUGGCAGCCAAGUAUGGUAAAGAUAAUGUAGUCGAUUUUCUGCUGAAAAAAAAAGGGCACGAGAACCUUAUAAAUGAGAAGGACAAAGAAGGAAACACGCCACUGCAUUUGGCUACCACGUAUGCACAUCCUAAGGUCGUAAACUAUUUAACAUGGGAUAAAAGAGUUGAUGUGAAUCUUGUGAAUAAUGAAGGCCAGACUGCUUUCGACAUUGCUGUAUCAGUGGAGCAUCCAACUUCAUUGCACCAGGUAUAUAUGACGAUUUGCAUCUUGUUUUCUGAAUUAAGGGUACUACUAUUGGUUUCACCUUGAACUGCAUGCAUUGUUAAUGCUAUGGCAUUUUCCUUCUUAGAUGCAAGCAUGUGAAUUAUUAAAAGGAUCAAUCAGGACAACAUAGUUUGUAUUUCUUUCCUAGAAGGACCGACUGAUAUUAAUAAAACCUAGUUCAACUAAAAGAAGAUCAAUUUGAUCCCAUGAUAUCCUAAAAGUCAAGAAAAUUAUGGAGCCUAACUCAAUCACCAUCACCCUCGCCCAGAUUAGAGCGGCUCAACCAAGGUUAGGCUAGGUUUCUCCAGCAAGUGCAUAUACUCUUGAUGCCGGCAAAGACCUAUUGGAAUAAUUUUUUGCAUCAUACUAAAAGGUUUUCAGUGUAGAGAACUGCUAUAUCAUGUGCGCUUGUGGUUGCUCUCUUGCUGCUUCACGUUGCUUAAUUUCAUACUUCUUGUGGGUGUUCAUUGAAUUUAUAGGGAAAAGAGAAUGGCUACCCAACAAAAUAUUUCGAAACCCAACUCAUGGAAUUAUAGUCUACUUAUACUUUCUAUAGUUAUUAUUACGACGCAUACAUUUGAUUUUCUUUCUUUCUCACGAUUACAUUAACAGCAACAUUUUUAUCUCUACCACGCAGAGACUAAUUUGGACAGCACUCAAGUCUACUGGUGCACGACGAGCCGGAAAUUCAAAGGUCCCACCAAAACCGUCUAAAUCACCUAAUACGGACGAGUACAAGGACAGGGUAAACACUCUUUUGUUGGUUUCGACCCUUGUUGCCACCGUGACAUUUGCUGCUGGUUUUACCGUGCCAGGAGGCUACAACAGCUCUGAUCCAAAUGCCGGCGUGGCUAUCUUUCUGAUGAGAAAUAUGUUCCAAAUGUUCGUCAUCUGCAAUACCAUUGCUAUGUAUACCUCCAUCCUCGCGGCAAUCAUCCUCAUCUGGGCACAGUUAGGUGAUCUCAAUUUGAUGGAUCCUGCCUUCAGAUUUGCAUUGCCAUUAUUGGGGCUGGCCCUUUAUGCAAUGUCCUUCGGCUUCAUGGCAGGUGUUUCCUUGGUGGUCAGUAAUCUUCAUUGGCUUGCAAUUGUUGUCUUCAUUAUUGGAAUCAUCUGCCUUGUCAGUCUCUCAGUACCCUUUCUUUUACUCUUCCUCCCAAGUAAGUCUACUAAUCGUAUCCUUAGGUACAUCUCCUAUUAUCCGUUCCUUUUACUGGUAUGGGCAUCUGAAAGCCCCAAAAUCAAACAGGAAGAUUAGCUCGCCCUGUUGAUGAUGUAUGCUAGCUCCAUCUUCUCCUAUGUUUGUUGCUUCUUUCAGCAUUAUCUCAAUGACUUGGUAGACAAAGCAUGUUAUGAAUAAAUGCUUAGUGUGAUCAGGACUUCAAUAUAUUGGUGGUGUUGUACAUGAUCAUUUGUCAUAUAUAUCUGUAGUUUCUGGAGCUGUAAUAUGUGAAAUACUCUAUAAAUACUCCAUUCAUCCAUACUGAUCAAUGCAUAUUUGUCUUUGCUUUUUUAGAAAAGAAAAAAAGAAAAAAUAAAUCUUGGAAAUCCCAAAAUGAUUAAUUUGUGAAAUAUCAUUAUUUAACAAAAUAAAAAAAACACAUGAAUAUAUAAACCCCACUACAUCAUUUUCUUUGAAAUACCCUGUCGCGGUUGGUGAAAUAGAAGGGAGAAUUAUGUUUUGGGUCUGGCCCGAAAAUUGACUAAAAUUUCACAUAUUAUACACAUUUAAACCCAAGACCCAAAUAAAGUGUAAAAAUUAAGUUAAAGGAUAUUCUUAACCCCUACAUAGGCACACAGUGAAUGUAAAUUUCAAUUUUUUUUUUCCCUUUUCUAUUCCCAAUUAAGUAUUACUCACUUUUAACUUUUGUUCUUUUUUUAAAGAUAUUGAAUCUUUUUACUCAAGGAUAAAAAAGUUUCAUAUAAAAUUUAAUUUUUUUUAUUAUUUUCAUAUAAAAAAUAGUAUUAAACAAGGUUUUCAAUUUUUAUUUUUAAAAAUAGUUUUCAUUUUUUAAUUAAAUAUUUUUUCAAAAAUAAAAUAUAAAAAAUAUAAAUCAUAUUACCAUUUUUUUAGAAAGUAUUUUUUUAAAUAGUUUUUGAAAGUAAUUUGUCUUUAUUUAUAAUUUAAAAUAGAAAAUAAUGUUGAUUUUCACUUAUUUAUAAAAGAACGUUUUUAAAAAAAUGAAAAAUCUAAAUUAUUAAAAUAUAAUUAUUAUGGUUGCAUGAAUACUGGUGCAAUAAAGACCAAAAAAGUUUAUGUGAAAGGUCAACCCUAGUUUUAGAGUUUGGACUCGUAAAAACUCAAAAUUACUCAAAAUUCAUCUAGGAAUAGCCAAAGUUGAUGAUCUUGUUUCUAUAUAGAGCAAGUGAUGAUUGAGAACCAUCUACCUAGUCUAUCUAAUUAGUUAUGUGAUGCAAGGUGAAAAACCUUCUUUUAUUUCAUAACAUGAUUCUAUUUUAUAGACCAUAAAAUCAAUUCUUUGUUUGGUAACUCAUAUUGUAGUAAACCUUAAGAACCUAAAUCCCCCAUGUGUUUGACAUAAAUUGGGAAUUUUUGUUGUAAUAUGUGAGUCAUAUUGGGAGAAAGAUAUAUACGGAGAAAAAUAGGCCAAUGUCAAAGUGGAGCGGAGUGGAACGAUAGCAUUUGUCAUUUAAAUUUGUAUUUUUAUUAUUAAGGGUGAAUGAGAAGUUGGGGGGUGUGAGGGGACAACACCUCCUGUGGUAUGGUUUAGGGGUAUUUUUUAAAUUUUAUUACUUAAGAGUUAAUAUAAAUGUUUUUUUAUAUAACCUUAAUUUGACAUAUAGUGAAUUCUUCCCUAUUCUCAUAAACGUAGACAAUCCGUCGUUAAAUUUAUGCGUCUUUUUGUUUUUCUCUAAUUUCUUCAGCAAGAAUCGUUGCACGAAUAUCAACAAUUUUGAACCUAAUCUUAAGUUGAGUUUGAUCCUAGUCGGACGUAUUGAUGAUGGAUUUGACGAAGAUUACUUUCAAACCCGCUCAAAGACUCAAACCGACCUAACUUUGAAUUGGUUAAAAUAAUUUUAUAAAGUGAAAUGAUUAAACUUCUUACUUUUUGGCAUUGGUGUUUGUGCUUCCAAAUAGUUUUCCAGAUGUUCCCAAUGAGUUUGGAGAAGAGUGUUAGGAUUUCCUAUAAUUAUGCAGAAUAAUUAUAAGCCUAAUUCUUGCAAAACAAUCAUAACCCUAGUUUUAGAACUUUGUGAUUUUCAUAAAGUAAAUAAAUAAUAAAAAGAAUAGUCAUUAAAUUCUAACUUUUAAACAAUGUUCAGAAAAAUAAAGUUAACACCAAAAAUCCUAAUAAUAUCAAAAUCUCAUCCUAAUUAUCAUUCAUAGUUUGAACAGAGGGUGUCUAAAAAAUUGUUAAUGAAGGGAAAUGAGCUUAAAACCCAAUAGAAAAUAUUAAUACAGCUUCACAGAUAAUUUUUUUUUUAAUAAAGAUUAUAAAUAGAAAAUAUAAUGUAUAAUCCUUUUUAUAAAAACUUUUUAGUUUAAACAUGUUAAUACAUUCAAACUUUUUAACAAAACAUUUUUAUAUUAAUGUCAAAACAAUUUUAUAUUAAAUUCAAAUAAAAUAUAUUCAAAAUAUUUUUAUUCUGGUUAUCAAAUAUCAAAUGGUGCUCAAUUAUGUGAGACUUUACAAAUGGGUGGUUAGCCUCAAAUUUGUUUCUUUUACGACGAACCAAAUACUACUAAUACUAGUAAUCUCUAACCAAACCUCUAGAGAUUGGGGUUCAAAUAAAUUACAUUCUUCACUAUAAAAUGUAAAUGUCAACUAUUAUAUCUCAUUAAUAUGGGUUAAAAAGUCAACUAUUAUAUUCAGUAGAUAAGGGCCAAAAAGUCCGAAUAUUAAAUCCUGUUACCUAUGGCCGGCUAAAAAAACCAAAGUCAAACACUUUAUUUUAUUUAUUCAAAUUUAUAAAAACAUAAUAUUUUCACAUGUUUAUGUUAUAAACAAAAAAAAAAUUUAAUAUAUUUUUUAUGCAAAAUAUAUUUGAUUUAUGCAUAAAAACAAAAAUAACAUUUUACACAUUUUAAAAUAACAUGUCAAAAGAAAAUUUUUUUUUUUUUUUACAAAAUCUGCAUUAAUUUCCCUUACGUCGAAAAAAAACUUAGAAUCCUUGAAGAAUUUAAUUAUGUAUAAACAACUUUUCAUCUAAUAAUAUAAGAAAAACAAUUAUAUAUUACUAUUAACUAUUUGUCUAAAAUUAAUUAUAAGUUUGAUAAUCGUAAAAAUUUAUAUAUUAAUAUUAAUAUUUAUAAGUAUCAAUGAUAAUUUAAUUAUUUUAUUCCUUGUUUAAGUAAAAUUAAUAAAUUUCUAAUUUAUAUAAAACUUUUUUCUCUAGUUUGAUUCUAAAAAAUAAAAAUACAUUACUAAUUUAAUUAAACUACAAUUUUUAUUUCAUUAAUUAAAUUUUAUUUAUUUAUUAACUUAACAUCUAUCCUCAUUAGCAUUAUUAUACCAUCAACCAACCUUGUAAUUCACCCAACUCUCAACACCUAAUUAAUAUUCAUAUAUAUUUUCCUCAUUCUCCCAAUAAAGGUAGGUAGGACUCGCUUAAUUAUCUUUUUCUUAUUUUAUUUCUUUUCUUUCUUGCACAAACCACACACUCAUGGCUACAUUCUUUUUUUUUUUUUCCUACAAACUUCCAAAAAUCACACUGUACACACUCGCCAAGGAACUAAAAGCUAAUUUUUAUUUUUUUUAAACACCCAAAUUCUUUUUCUUUUUUUCUUUUUUUCUUUUAUAUAUGUUGUCAAUACCACCCCAAAUCCAUAAAUCCUUUUUCUCUUUUUCUAAUACCCUAAGCAUAUAAUAUAUAUAUAUAUAUAUAUAUUGAAGAUUUAAGAUAUAUUAUUUAUUUAUUAUUGUUUUAGAUCUACUAAAAAAAUAUUCAGAAUUUCCUAUCUAUAUCAAUAAAUCAACAUUUAUUCAUAAAUUUUCACUCUUUUUAUUUAGAAUUUAAAUAAACAAAUUAUAUUCUAGAUUGAGAUUUUUAAAGAAUAUUUAAGUGUUUAAAACUAAUUAACAAAUAUAAAAUACUAAUUAAAAUUCUACUUGGAAAACUAAUUUAAAACCCUAAACCUCCAAACCUUCAGUUCUAUAUUGUCUUCAAGGAUUGAAAUAUCGGUUUUUACGGAUAUAUCGGUACUUCAAUUUUACGGAUAUAUCGGAAAUAUCGGAGAAAUAUCGGUGGAUAUUUUUUCAUAAAUAUCGGUGGAGUGAAAAAUAUUUAAAAUUAAUAGGAAUGCUUGAAAAAACUUCAAAAAAUGAUAACAUAAGUAAGAAUACACAUUUUAAAGUUAUCUUGUAAGUGUAAUUGAUAUAUAUAUAAUUAAGAAGAAAAAUAUCAUAAAUAGAGAUAUAUUGGUAGAUUCGAUAUUUGAAUUUUAAAAAUAAUAUAUAUGAAUUUUGAAAGUGUAUAAAGUUAAAAUUGAGUUAAGAAAUAUGAGAUUGCAAUAGUCCUUAUACUAAGAAAGAUAUCGAUGUAGUUUCAAUAUAUUAUUAGAUGAAGGGAGUUCAUCUUGUUGAAGACAGUAUUUAUUUUAAAAAUUUUAAAAUAUUUUUAUUAAAACAUAUUUUAUUAUAUUUUAAAUGAAAAAUUAAAUUAAUUUAUAUAAAAUAUCUUAUUUGAGAUUUAAUUUUUAAAAUUUUAUUAAAAAUAUGUGAUAAUAACUUUUUCUAUUAAUAUUAAUUUAUUUAAUAAUAAAAAUAAAGGUUGAUAAUUAAUAAUUAUUUAUAUAGAGAGUGGAAAAUUGUUCUCAUGAUUUUUUUACAUAUUUUAUUAUAUUUUAAAUGAUAAAUUAAAUUAAUUUAUAUAAAAUAUCUUAUUUGAGAUUUAAUUUUUAAAAUUUAUUAAAAAAUGCGAUAACAACUUUUUUUAUUAAUAUAAAUUUAUUUAAUAAUCCAAAUAAAAGUUGAAAAUUAAUAAUUAUUUAUAGAAAAUUGUUCUCAUGUUUUUUUUAUUUUUUAUUUUUUAUUUUUUUAUCUCCCCUAAAUCUAAAAAUAAAAAAAAAUAAAAAAGGCACCCACUUCUCUCUCGGGCAUCAAGAACCCUUUUCUGAAGGUGUCUUCUAGUGAGAGAAUCCCUAAAAAGCCCUAUUUUCCUCUGCUACUCUCAAAUCUCAAUCCUCGCAGGUACUAAUCUAAUCAUGUUAUUAUUAUUUUUUUUUUUGCAACCCCCGUUUGAUUCCCAAGAAAAUCCAUCCCCAUUCGAUUUCCGGGAAAAUUCAUCCUCGUUUGAUUUCCGAGAAAAUCCAUUCAAAACUCCCAAAGAAAACCAAAAAAAUUGCUUUUCUUUUGCUCCCUGUGUUUUCUGGAUCUGUUUUAGGGGUCUCUUUGCUGUUGUGCCAUUGGAUUUAAAUUUCACGAACCCUAAAUCCACGAUUUUUGAGCCAGGCUGAAAAACACAACUGCGCGGGCUGGACUGGUAGGAAAUAUCGCGAUUUUUCUCCGAUUUUUCGGUGCUUCACCGAUAUUUCGCCGAUAUAUCGGCGAUUUUGUCGAUUUUUGGCCGAUUUUUCCGUCGAUCGAUAAUCGGUGCCGUUUAUCGUUUCCAUGCCGCCCGAUAACCGAUAUUUCGACGAAAUAUCGGCGACAUUUUCCGAUUUUUCAAUCCAUGAUUGUCUUAUGUUCUUUGAUCUUUUUCUAAUCUCAGUGUAAAAGGAUUUCAGUAUAGAGAAGUUAAAAAAAUCUAAUUUAUAUUUAAGGUUUAUAAUACAAAAAGACCUUUCUAACCUUAUUAAAAAAAAUUAUUUUACUCUAAUUUAUGGUUUUACCCCUAACAACAAAAUGGGGGUUGUCACAUAAGGAGCCAAAUAAUUAAAUAAUUUUUAAAAAAUAAUUUAGAACUUAAAAAAAGUGUUUGGUCCGAUAGGACUGAACUACCUUAUAAUCCGCUGUUAGCGUUUAGCUUGGCACUUAGAAAGAAGAGUCUCUAUCACCUAAUUUAUAGGAAUAAGAGAAUUUUUUUAGUGGGCAACUCUUGUUUAGUGAUUACGCAUAGCCCUUUGUCUUUCAAAAUCUGUGAGUUGUGCCAAUAUAGACCUUAUCCCACGAAAGGUGAACCCGGAUGUACAGAAACUUUCUUGUUCACACUUAUCGGCUUUCAAAAGGGGAACGGAGAGACUUGACUGAUAACAAAAGAAAAGAAGAGAAAGGGACGGGACUUUUACGAGCUCUCCAAAACAGGCUAAGAGUCUAGCUUGUCUUUGCCCCUGCCCUACCUUAGCUUUCCUCUUUAGACUUCUUUUAAGAUUCUGGUCUACCUGCCCGCUUUUCGCCUUGGGAAAGACCUAGCGAUUGCCGGGGCAUAUGAAGAAUACUUCGAAACUGCUGGAUGCAGAAGACAGAUUUUAUGUUGGAAAUGCCACUCCUUCUACUGCUAUUCCCACUUCUGGAAGGAAGUGUUUUUCUAUUUUCUUUAGUAAUAUAUAUGUCACACCCUAAGACCCACUCUAAGGGCGUGACGGUCAUUUUACACCUCAAACCCGAAGGCUUAAAGUAUAACCUGACCCAAACAAUCAUAUUGUAAUUGGAAGUAACCAAUUACCAAAAACCUGUUCAGAGUAGCAGAACAAAAUUCUAAAAUCUCCAAACUUAACUUUAGAACUAAGCAUCCAUUAUCCAAAUAGAUUGCAACUCAACAAUUCAAGUACUAACGAAUUUUUAUAAUCUCCAAAUCUCAACUUCAAUCUAUCAUAAAAAAAAAAAAAUUUAAAAGCUCAAUAUCUAAAUAGCUUCCAAAAACUAAAUAAACCAAAUGAACAUAAACUUAUAAGCUAACAAUAUUCAAAAAUAACAUCCUAAGAAAAAUCCUAAUGAUGACCAAUUUUCCCGCCUAGUCAUCACUCCUCGCCCGAACUAAAGGUACUUGAAAAAUUUUCAACAAUUGGGAAUAAGCUCACAACCCAAUAAGGAAUAUUAAUGCAGUUCAUGGAUCAAAUAUUUUCAUUUCAAAUAGAAGAUAUCAUUAUUAUUUUUUUCUCAUCAAAUAUCAGAGUUUCAAAAAUACCAAUAUAUUCAAAUUUCAACCAACCAUUUUCAUAUCAAAUUCAAACACUUUCACAUAAAAUUCAAUCAAAUCUAUUCAAUUUUCAUUACUCUGGUUAUCAAAUAUCAAAUGCCCAUUUAGGUGUGACUUUUCAAAUGGGUGGCUUACUCCUUAUCCCCAUCUUCACCCAGGCUAACGGGGCCCUCCUUAUUCAGGGGGGAGAGUGGAGCCUCGAGAAGCACUGUUGAGAGGAAGAUCCUUGGCCCCUCUUCAUUCUCUACAGGGUUCCAAACCUUUCUUCAACAUAGGUGACAACGAGUGGGGCAGAGAUGGAAGAGAUCGAACACGGGAAUAAGAAGCAAGCUCGCCUUCCUUUUUUAUCAUUUUGAUAGACGGGAAUGGAGAAAGUAGACAAAACAGACCCGCAUUUCCCAAUCGAGGGUUCCUUUUUCGUCUCGCAUUUCUGGAAAAGAAGAAUAUUGAAAACUCUCCUAACCCAACCCCUUCCUUCGUAGAGCCGUGUAUUGUAAGUGAUCUGAACCUGCCCGGAGUGAGCCCCCCAUAGAGGCAAGUGAAGUUGGUGAGCCGUAUGAUGGGCAACUAUCUCCUGCAGUUCGGAGAGGACUCAACUGUUAGUUAGUAACUCCUUGGAUUCGGGGUGGACCCUUUCACUCUAUUUUAUUAUAUACGGUUCGCAAAAAGAAUGUUUUUUGAUACACCUAAGGACAUGGAUUCUAUAUGAACCAAUGGAUCGUGACAAGUCGUUACUACUAGCAAUGACUUCCUCUUUCAUUACUUCAUCCUUUCUAUAUCCCUCUCCCUUGUUCUUAGUUACUCAUCAAAUGGCACUCAGUUCAUAUCUUUAAGUUCGAUCAUUGACAAGGUUCAAAGAAAGGGUGGGCCAUUGAUAAAGAAUCGAUUCCAAACCACAAUGCUAGCAGAUGGCGGAGACUCAAUUAAUUUCAAAUUUUCAACCAAAAUAAUUAAAAAUAUCCCAAAUGUAUGUGUAUUAAAAGAAACUAAAUUAUUCAUUUAACUAGAAAGAGUAAAUUCAUAAUUUAUUUAAAAAAUAAUAUUAACUAUUAACAUUUUCUAAAAUAUUAUUAUUCAUUUAAAAUAUAUAUAUAUAUAUAUAUAAUUUUUAUUUUUAUUAUAAUGUUAGUUUCAUAUUUUAUGAAUAUUAUAUGUGUAUUAUUUAUUUAUUUCGUCUUUAGAAUUUACAUAAUAUUGAUAUUCAUUUUAAAAUAAAUUAAGGUUUAUGCAUGUGGCUAUUUUUAAAAUACUAUAAUUUAUUCUUAGAAAGUUUAAUAUAUUAUUAGUUAUUUUUUAUAGAAAAUUUGCUAUUAAUAUGUAAGAAAAUCUUUUAAAAAAUGUUUAAUAAAUAAAUAAAUAACCAUUUAGCAAGAGGAGUUUGUAUAGUGGGUGAGAAAAAUGAAAUAAAAGCCACGGCGCUAGGAGAUCUCUUUCGUGGCAAUGAAUCUAUUAUAUAAAUGGAAAAUGUGAAUGAACUAUUUGCCAUGUUAAUUUUUUUGAAAUAGUGUAAGGAAACAUAUUUUGGUUGUUAGAUGUUUUCCAUAAGAAAAGUAUGUUUGGAAACUUAAAUGAGUUCAAUAUUUUUUUUUAAAUAAUAAUAAUAAUAUUUUUUAUUUACAACACUUUAUCUUCUUCUUUUUUUCAUAUUUACAUAAUUAUUUUUUAAAAUAAAUAAAAAUAAUUAAUAUAUGUUCUUAAAAAACUCUAUACUUUAAAUAAGUUCUCAAAAAUAAUAUUUUAUAUUAAAAAUUAUCAAAUAUGUUUUCUAACCGACAAGACAAUUCCAAUCUUAUUCAUAAUUUUCCUAAUAAGAAAUGUGGUUCAUGAUUGGUUGGUGGUUAGUCACUAUCCAUUGAAUUCAUAGAAGUAAAUGUUUAUACACCUCAUCUACCAACAAUGGUUCUAUCCUCAUCGAGUCAUGUGCAUACCAUUUAGUUUACAUUUUAAAAUUCUGAAAUAGAAAAAUGAAAUGAAAAUUAAUAAAAAAAAAUAUUUAUUAAUAUAUUUGGAUUAAUUGUUUUAUAGAAUGAGAAUAUGAAUAAAAAUUUUAUUAAUAUAGAAAACAAAUUCUACUUUUAUGAGGAUUUUGAUUCCUUUGUUCUAUGUGAUAGUGAUUUAUCUUACGUUUGGUGGAUUGAAUAAUAUAUAAUAUGUAUAUUUUAAGAUAUCAUAUCCUUUCCUUAUCCAAUUUAUUUAUAAGAUUUGUAUUUAUCAUUCAAAACUUAUCUUUUAAUAAGUCAAUUAAUACAAAGCUAUUAUGUAGUCAUAUAUUCGUCACUUUUUUUUUUAUGUUGAUAGAGAAUUUAACUUUUUGCCAUUGUAUCUUAUUUUUAUAUAAUUAUAUUAUAUUUAUUUUAUUUUUUAUAUUAAGUUUUAAAUGUAACUCAUAAUUGGUUGGAGGGUUAGAGACUUCGUAAUAUUAGAAAAAUAAAUUACAUCCUUAUCCCACAAACAGGGUAACAACAUAUAAAUCUUUUUAUCUAUCACUCAAAAACCACAUUUUAGUGAGGCAAGCUAUACAAAGCCAUUGUAUAGUUAUAUAUUUGUCUCAACUUUUCUUUAAGUUGACAAUGAAUUUAAUUUUUUGCGCUAAUAUCUUAUUUUUAUAUAACUGUACUCCAUUUAUUCUUCUGUAUUAAUUUUUAAAUGUGGCCCAUAAUUGGUUGGUGGUUUAAUUAUUAUCAAUGGUUUAAAUUGAUCCAAUUAUCGACUAAUGACCUUUCUGAUCUAAUUCACACCUUUAAGUCGUUUGAUCAUUGAAUUUAUAUUAUUAAGAAACAAGUUGCAUCUUCAUCCAGCUAACAUACUAAUGAUAUUACAAGCUUUUCAUUGGCAAUUCAAAAGCCAAAUUUUAGUAGGAAAGGCAAUACAAAGCCAUUUUAUUUUCAUAUAUUCAUUUCAAUUUUUAUUUUUUAUGUUGACAAUGAAUUUAAGGGUUUUUUUUUUCUUUUUGCCCUUUUAUCUCUUUAUAUAUAUAUAUAUAUAUUCCAUUUCUUGCUUUCAUAUUAAUUUCCAAAUGUGACCCUUAAUUGGUUGGUGGGUUAGUCAUUGUCUAUUAAGUUUAGUUGCAUCCUUAUCAAGCUAAUGUGUCAAUAACAUGCUAACAACAUUUAAAAUUUUUCACUAAGACAAUCAAUACAAAGUCAUCAUGUGUCAGGACCCCAAAAUUUGUCCCAAUUUUAUUUUUACAUUAAUUUCGAGCUCAAUUUUAUGCUUAGGUUUCAAAUCCCAAUUACAUGUUUUUUUAACACACUCAUCAUUUAAUAGUUUUUAUUAUUUUAUAUAUUAUAUUAUUAUUAUUACUUUUUAUUAUUAUUAUAUUAUAUUAUAUUAUAUUUUUAUUUUUUUAUUUUUAUUUUUAUUUUUAUUUUCUCUCUCCUCUCUCCUCCCUUCCUACUCCCCAACCACUUCUCUCUCCUCCCAUACUCUCACCACCGCCACCAUCCCAUUUACCAUAAUUUUUUUUCAUUUUGCCCCCAUUUUUUCUCCCCAUUUUCGCCCCCACUUUUCUCUUCUUCACACAUGCUGGCCCCCACCACUCCUCUCUCUCCCCCACUUUUUCCCCCCCAAAUUUUCUCCCUUCUUCCGACGUACGGCCCUUGGAUUUUUUUUCUCCCUUCCCCCUCAUUUCUUUCCUUUGGUCCUCCAUUUUCAUGCUUUCCCCCACAAUUCUCGAGGUCAAGCCCCCCAUUCCGCCCCCAUUUUUUUUCCUCCAUUCUCUCCAUCUUCUUCCUCCUCUCCUCACUCCCCCGGCCGGCUCUCUCCCCAUUCUUCUUUUUCCACCUUUUUCUUCUCUCUCCCACACGGCAGUAGCUCCCCCUGAUUCUUUUUUUUUUUUUUUCAUUUUUGUUUUUAAUUUUUUUUUAUUGCUUCCCUUCUCAAAAGACCCACACAGCCGGCCUCCCCAUCCUCUCUUUUCCAUUUUUUUUUCUCUUUUUAUUUUUCCAUCUUCUCAUUUCUCUCAUCCCCUCACUCCCCCAUCACACACGUUUUUUUAUUAUUAUUAUUACUAUUAUUAUUAUUAUUAUUACCUUUUUUAAAUUUUUUCUUAUUUUAAUUUUAAUAGUAAUUGUUAUUAAAAUUGGGUUUGUAUAUUUAUAUUUGUUUAUGGGUCUUAUGUUUGAGUUUUGUUAAUUAAUAUAAAAUUUGAGUUAAUUUAUUAUUGAUUGAUUAAUUUAAAAUUUGUUAAUUUGGUUUUGUGAAUAUAUUACAUUUAGUGAUCAAUGUAGGAUAUUUGGAUUAUAUCAAUUACAUAUUAUUUAUUGGGAUUUGGGCCUAUUGUUAAUUUGUUAUUUGUUUAGGCUUAUUGAAUUAGGCUUGAAAUAUUAUUUCUCUUGACUAAGCAUAUUUUUUAUAUGGGCUUAUUAAUUAAUGUGAAUUUUGGGGCACAGAAUGUGGGUGAGAUUUAUUGGAUUAUUUGAAUAUUUGAUAUGAGUUUGGCAAAUUUGAAUUAUUUAAUUUGGAUGUGGGACAAUUGUGGUGUAUAUUAAAUUAGGCUUAGAUUAUGGAAUAUUAAAUUUAGACCUAAUAGAAUUUAUUUUAAUUUAUCCAAUUUUAGGUUUGGUUGAUUGUAUUUGUAUUUUUUGUUAUUAAUUUAGAUGUUUUGGGUUAAGACCUAUAGUAAUUUGGGCUCAUUUUAAUUGGCAAAAUUUAUGAUACUAAUUUGAAAUUGGAAUUUAGGAUUGAAUAUCUGCUUGAGAUUUUGCAAAUCUUUGGGUAUUUACAUUUGUGCUAUCUUUGUUUUUGCAUGGAUCCAUUAUGCAAUUUUGUUACGUGGAGUUUGUGGCAAGUUUAUUUUGACACAUAUUUUAUUUCCCACUUUUAUUUGGUUUUAUUUUUAUUAAUUCUUGUAAAUAUUUAUUUGUAUAUAUUUAUUGAAUGUGUACAGAAUUGAACAUCGAACAAAUUAGAAAUUUUGUUUAAAUGAGAGGAAGAAUUCAGUAAAUGUAUUUUGAUAAAACAAUAAUUUUAAAAUAUUAUUUUUAAUAAAAGAAAGUUUUUAUUAUUAUUAUUUAUAAAAAUCCAAAAGAAUUGUUUUUAAUAGAAUUUGAAAAAUUGUUUUUAAUAACAUUGUCCAAAAAUUUCUUUGCUUAAUAAAAAUUGUCCAAAAAUUGUUUUGUAAAUAAAGUUGUGCCAAAAAUUAAUUUUUAAUAAAAUUGUCCAAAAAUAUUCUUUUAAAUGAAUUCUUUUUCUUUAAUUAAAAUGGGAUUAAAAGUGUUUUUUUUUUAGAAAUAGAGGAUUUAAUUUUAUUUUUUUAAAAUUUAAUUAAAAUUUCUUUUGCAAAUAAAGUUAUGUUCGCUUUUUUUAAAUGAAAAUAAAUCAAAAUAUUUUUGUAAAUAAAAUUGUAAAAACUCAUUAUUUUCUAGUUAAAAACAAGUAAAAAUAAUCUUUAUACCCAAAUUGGACUUUUGUAAUAAAUUCUUCUCAUACAAUAAGUGUAAAUAACUUUUCUUAAAAAUUAAAUACAAAUGAAAUUGAAUCAAAUCACUUGAAGAAAAUGUUUUGUAAAUACAUAAAUUGAAAUCAUCAAUUCAAGAUCAUUUUUUUUUAUAAAAUCCUUUGAAAUUUCUUGGAAAUUAUUAUUAUUUUUUUUAUUUUUUAUUAUUUAGUUCAAUUAAUCAAUUUUUGCAUAAUUCUUUUAUUAUUUAUUUUGUAUAUUUUUGUAAUAAGAUUUCAUCAUUAUUUUUGUAUAUAUUGAUUUUCACCAUGACUUGUAUAUACUUAUUUGUAUGAUUAUUUUUUGGUAUCCAUAAUUAAUUAAUUAAUUAAUUGUCAUAAUUCCUUCAAUUCGUUUAGUAGAGGCCGUAUGUAUACGGGCUUAGAGGAGUGUUACAGCUCAUCACCGUACCUUCCCAAUAAGUAACCUGACCUCCGAACCCAAUUUUGAUUUUCCACAGACCUGUUUUUUUUUUUCCUUCAAAAGUCACACUUAGGGUCUUUUUUUCUUAUUUUAUUUUUCCCUUUAAAAAAAAUAAAAUAAGUGGCAACUUCAAGCCUUUUUCUAAAAAUCAAUUUUUCAUUAAACAAAUAAUAAAAAAACGAGUCACGCCGUCGAGUGGGAACGCACAUAAAAAUGCGGGGUCCACACACAUUUGUCUCAAUAUUUUUCCUUUUUUUUUUUUUUUUGCACUUAUAUCUUACUUUUAUAUUAUUAUAUUUCGUUUCUUUCUUUUGUAUUAAUUCUCAAAUGUGAUCCAUAAUUGGUUGGUGGGUUAGUUAUUGUUCAUUGAAUUUAUAUCACUCAAAGAGCUAAGUUGCAUCCUCAUCUAACAUGCUAACGACAUUUAAAACUUUUUAUUUGUUACUUAAAAGUCACUUUUCUUUAAGACAACCAAUACGAAGCUAUCGUGUGGUCAUGUAUUCAUUUAAAAAAAAUAUAUUUUAUUUUUCAUUUUUGAUGUUGACAAUGAAUUUAAUUUUUCACACUUAUAUUUUAUUUUUAUAUAAUAAUAUUCCAUUUCCUUCUUAUAUAUUCAUUUUCAAUGGUGACCCAUAAUUGGUCGGUAGAUUAGUCAUUAUUCAUUUAAUUCAUAUCACUAAAAAAUAACUUAAAUCAUCAUCUAGUUGAUAUGUUGAACCAUAUUUAUUAUUUACAUUUCUUAACCAACUUAAUCUUUUGAUAAUAACGACAAUUCAAAUUCAUGAGAUAGUAUGUUUUUAUAAUUUUUUUAUUAGUAACGGAAAAUUCUCAUCGAUAGACUUUUGUCAACACAUUUUUCCCUAACUAUCAUGUAUUGAGAUUAUCCGUUGAUAAAUAUUUAUUCAGAUAAUGUAUAUUAAUGAAGAAAAGUAAAAUUUUUUGUAAUAUGUUAACAAUGAGUUUAAUUUUUUGCACUAAUUAAUAUUUUAUUUUUAUAUAAUUAUAUUUCAUUUCUUUUUUAUAUUAAUUUUCAAAUGUGGAUAAUUUGUAGGUGGAUUAGUCAUUGUUCAUUAAAUUACAUCGGUUCCAACAUGGUAGAAGCCAACUAUAACAAAAGUUGUAUUAUCAAAUGAAGUUCAUUUAAACCAGAUUUUUCUCAAUUCAAUUAAUCAUUAAGCCAGUCUAUUUUUGGGGUUUUGUUUUGUGUUGCACCAUAAUGCAAUUAAGUUGUUUGAUGAGAAGUCUAGCCAAAUUUGAUAUCGGCUGACCCAUGCAAGUUGUUUGAUGAAAACACAUCUAUUUGUACCAUGGAAAAAAAAUACAUGGCAUUAUUAAAUUUCAGACUAUAAUGUAAUGCCAUGAUCAAAAGGGUUGAAAAUAUGAGAAUAAUUAAACUCAGUAAAUUAAAAUGAUAGCAAAAUUUUAACCACAUUGUUGUGGUCUUCUUGAGCAGUAAAGCAAUUAUAGUAAGCGUCUAAUUAAUCAAGUAAAAUAAUUAUUAUUAAUUAUAAUAAUUUAUUUUUAUUGUAUAGAUAUUAUUAAUGCGCAGCUUUUUGUCUUAUUGACGAGGCAGGUAAUGUUUGCUCACCCAUUUUCCUUGCUCUCCUGUGGAAAUUGUUCCUACAUGCAUUUCAGCCCUUGCAGUGCCUGCGUCCACACUUUUAAUGCUACGUCCGUAUUUCCAUUUAUCAGCUUAGGUUAGAUAAAAAAUGCAAAAGGUAAAAUCAGAUAUAAUAGAAAUUAGGCUCUGUAUGUCAUAUAUUUGUGCUGCGAGUAUAGGAGAUUGGGAAUUUGGAAUUGGAUUGAAGUAAAAAAGUCAAAAUGAAAUUACAAUAAGAGUACGGUAAAGAGAUAACGUUGGGACACCAGUACGGAUGUACACUUCAAGGAAGUAGGCCAUGCCAUGUCAUGCCACCUGGAACAAAAUAAGGGGUUCUACAAAUUCUCUUAUCGGAAUCAUUUGAGAUAUAGAAUGGAUGCAUAGAAGGGAAGGAGACUCCUCCUCCUCCUCUAAAACUAAUUUUUGUGUGUAGGUGAGAAGUUGGGAUUCCCCGAUCAAUUAAACAUGGCUGAGGAGAGGGAUCCAGUAGAGUUGGGCAUGGCACUCGGCGCAGAUUCGAACAUGAAGAAGACGGCGUAACAGCUAAGAAGAGGGCAAAACGGUGGGCAAUCACCGCAGAAGCGAGCAUGGAAAGAGAGAAGGGGACGCUUGAUCAAGAUGAAGAUGAUUUGUGUGUAGGUGAGAGGUUGGGAUUCUCCGAUCAAUCAAACAGGUCUAAGGAGAGGGAUCUAGUAGAUCAGUUGGGCAUGGCACUCGGCGCAGAUUUAAACAUGAAAGAAGACAAGGAA
rnacentral:lncRNA from 1 species